rnacentral:lncRNA from 1 species
AUCUCUUCGUGAGUUACAUAUUUCAGCAAACCGUUUUCAAAUUCCACUAUCAUUCGCACCAUUUGCAAACCUUUCAAACCUCAAAGUCCUUUCCGGUGAUGAAAACAAGAUGGUAAUGGAACCUUCCUUUUAUACCUCAGUCCCAAAGUUUCAAUUGACCAGCAUCAGUUUGUCAAAGUGCAUUACAUCUCAACAACUCAAUCUUGAACUUCCUACCUUCCUUUACUACCAAUAUGACUUGAGAUAUGUGGAUCUUUCUCAUAACAAUUUCAGCGGAACAGUCCCAACUUGGUUGUUAGAAAACAACACAAAGUUAGAAGUUCUCAUCUUGAUGGGUAAUUCCUUUACUGGUCCUCUCUCAUUUUCGUCAGCUCUUAUUUCUAAUGUAUCUUCAAUUGACAUAUCUGAAAACAAAUUACAAGGUCAAAUUCCGACUAGUAUAUGUUCAACUUUUCCACAUUUGUGGCGGUUAUUCUUAUCCAAGAAUGCUUUUGAAGGUAAUAUCCCACUUUGUUUAAGUGUCAUGAAGGACUUAUCAUUUUUAGAUCUAUCAAACAAUCAAUUGUAUGGAAAAGUACCAGAAGAGUUGAUCGCGAAAGGCUCACUGACCAUUUUGAGACUAUCAAAUAACAAGCUCAGUGGAAAUGUAGUUCCUGUGGUUCUCAACUCAAAUGGGGUGCAGAAUUUAUAUUUGGAUGGAAACAAUUUUUCAGGAGAGAUGACAAAUGUUGAUUUGUCUACUUUUGAGUUUCCAAAUUCAAUAAGGGAAAUUGAUCUUAGUAACAACAAGUUGCAUGGAAAGCUCCCAAGAUGGAUAGGGAAUGCAUCGUUUUUGGAGAGAUUAGCUUUGUCCAACAGCGGUUUCGAGGGUUCUAUUCCAAUGGAAUUUUGCAAGUUGAAUAGGUUGGAAUUUUUGGAUCUUUCCCAAAAUCAUUUAUCUGGAUCUAUACCGUCAUGUUUUAAUCCACCAAACAUAGAGCAUGUCCACCUCCACGAGAAUAGACUGAGAGGUCCACUAUCACUUGCUUUUUAUAAUAGCUCCUCUCUAGUGACUUUAGAUCUUAGAGGAAACAAUUUGACAGGUAAUAUUCCAAAAUGGAUUGACACAUUUUCUUCUUUGAGUGUUCUUCUCUUGAAAGAUAAUCAUUUUCACGGUAAAGUUCCAAUUCAGUUAUGCAAGUUGCAUUCUUUAAGCAUCAUAGAUCUUUCUCAAAAUAUGUUUUCUGGUCCUAUACCUUCUUGUUUGGGAAAUUUAUCUCUUCCAAUGCAAACGAAGAAGAUUCUAGACAUUGGGAUCUAUAGGCAAUCUACAGAAGAGGAUGAAUCAACACGCAUUAUGAUAGCAAAUCUGGGACUGGAUUCUUACUACCCUUACAGCUACUUUGAAGAAGUAAUAGAGUUCACAACAAAGAGUGGGUUCUAUUCGUACAAGGGCGACAUCCUUUCAUAUAUGACUGGGAUUGAUUUAUCUUGCAACAACUUAACUGGUCAUAUCCCACCAGAAUUAGGGAACUUGAGUGAAAUCCAUUCUUUAAACCUUUCACACAAUAAGUUGACCGGAGUUAUACCCUCGUCAUUCUCAAAACUUCAUCAAAUUGAGAGUUUGGACCUUUCUUACAACAACUUGAGUGGUGAAAUCCCCAAUCAAUUGGUAGAGUUGAACUCUUUGGAGGUUUUCAGCGUGGCAUUUAACAACUUUUCAGGUAGUAUUCCCGAACCAAAAGCUCAAUUUGGGACCUUUAUUGAAAAUAGUUAUGAGGGAAAUCCGUUUCUUUGUGGAGUUAUAUUGCAUAAAAGUUGUUCCAAAACCGAUUCACCAUCAACGAUAUCAACUGUAUCAGAAGAUAAAUGAGAAGAUGGUUUGAUAGAUACUUAUGAUUUUUGUGUGAGCUUUUUGGUUUCUUAUGUAGUUGUGUUGUUGACAAUUUUUGUUGUCCUCUACAUAAAUCCAUAUUGGCGAAGAGCUUGGUUUUCUCUAGUUGGGAAAUGCAUUACCACCUGUCACUACUCAAAUGUGGGCAAUUCUUACUUAUCACAUUUUCAAGCGAUGUGUUUAGCUACUCAAAUUGCGAUUUGAUUUCCACACCUAAAUGUUUAAUUAUGCUAAGUUGAGCGAUAAUGAAUAUUUUGUUGAUUUUUGCAUUUUGAAUAAAAGCUCUUUUACCUUAUGGUUUUAUCAUUUUCAACCAACUAUUUCUUUUUUCUUCUAUGAAAUUUAAUGUAAAAUCAUAAUCCAUUAUUAUGUAUAUGUAAUAUCUCUUUAAAUUAAAUUAAAUUAAAUUAACUGCCAAGCGUUCACUAGUGCAUACUAAAAAGGAAAUCUAAUGUAAAAUUAAAUAACAUACUAGAAAAUUGAAUCUAAAACUGGAAUAUUUUAAAACCUCACAAAUAAUGCAAUUCUUUAUUCCUCUUUUCCUCUCAAGUUAUUUUGUAUCAUGUUAUAUUUUACAUAAUUAUUCGUAUCAUUGAAUUUUAAAAAAAAUUUAAUAUUUUGAUAUCAUGUUCAUAUUAUGCUUUAAUUCACAAUAUAUUUUGUAUAAUAUGUUAUAACAAUUCAAUUUAAAAAACAAGCAAUUAUCUUAUUUUUGCAUACCGUAAUAUACAUUUACAUGUUAAUAAUUCUUUGUACAUAAAUUUUGACAUGUUCGUAUAUUCGAGUCAUUAUAAUUUUAUUAUUUGUAAUAUGACAUGUUUUACUUACCCUUAAUAUUGUGUCAUGAUAAUUAUAACUCGAUUGGCAGUGUACCAAAUAUUUUUCUAAUAAAAAAUAGUAUUUUAUUCUAUUUACCAAAUCUUUAUCAACUUUAUAUUCUCACCAACAAAACAUACAUUCAAAGUUCAAAUAAGUUCCACACCCAUUUAUGCUCAUCAUCAGAAAGCUGAAAUAUUCCACUCUAAUUAACAUUAUGAUUCUGUAAACAACAAAAAAGUGUGAUCUUUUUUUAAAGCUCUUUUUUUUCUUUAAUGAAAUGGGAUUGGUAAAAAAUCCGCACAUGUGUCGUGUGUGAAGAAGGUCAGGUUGUCUAUUCAUUCUCUAAUAAGUAGCUAAUUAUAGUUGAUCCUACAAAAUCAAAAUUAAUUCAGGUAUCUAUAUAUUCUGAAGACUGGACAGACCUUAGAAGCUCCUUCAAAUUUGCAAGAACAUGUCGUGGUCCUAAACUCUUUACACCGAUGAAAUUCAAAAGUUGCUCUAUAUCCUGCAAUCACAGUAAAGAUUAUGCAAGCUUUUCAGAACGAAUAACAUAACAAGCAAAAGGCAAUCAAAAUACUGUGAUCUCGAUAAUGUUCUUUGCCGAAAAGGAACAUAAACAUAACCUGAAAACAUCAGUGAAGGCUCAUCAGAUUUGCUUAGCAACCUUACAUACACAUGUAAAAAGCUUUGCUUUUGGAUGUAAGGUGUGACUAUCAUCACAGUCUUUCCUAAUUAGCUGAUAACCCUAUAUCUAACAUUAAUCAUGGCUAAGCAAAUUAACAUACAUAAUGUAAAGGAAUUUGACUAUAAGAUCCAACAUAAAACUUAAUAAAAGAUAAUCAACAUAGAAAGUUAAAAGGCAAUGCAAACUUAUUACAAUGAUGCAAGUGGAUCAAAAGAAAGCACUCUAUAAGGAAUUUGCAUUUAAGGCAUUGUAAACAGAAAAAAAAAAUAAAACUUUUUGGAAAGUAUUUUCAAAGAGGAGACAAACAGGGUAGAAAAAAUGUUUGGUCCUUCCUUUUUCUAUUUCUACUGUGGUGAAAAAGCCUUUUUGGGUUAAAAGUGUUUUUACACUGCAGAAGUGUUUUUCCACUGCAGAAGUGACGAAGAACACAUAGCUUUUGUAGUCAAAAACCUACUGCUUUUGGCUUUUGCAUUUCGAAGUGAAAAUUAUAAAAAUACUCUUAGAUUAAUUUAUAUUUUAUAUAUUAUUAUAUUAAUUGUUUAAAUCUUAUUUAUUAUUAUAUUUAAUUUUUUUCAAAAUAUUUUAUAUAUCAUCAAUUUUAUAAAUAAUUUAAAUUAAUUACUUAAAAGGUAUUUAAAAGUUAUAUUUCAUGUAUCAUUAUAUUAAAUUAUUUAAAUAUCAUAUAACUUGACUAAUUUUUUUCUUUCUACCAUCAUGUCUAAAAAAGACAUUUUAACUUUCAACUGCAAUUUUUGGCAGCAAUGAACAACACUAAAAACUAACAAACACACUUUUCCGCACCACAUUUCAACAACACUUUUUUCUAAACGCACUUUUGAACUAGUCCUUAGUCUAUCAUGCAUCAACUCUUCAUUUUUCUUUAACUACCCAUGUCCGACUUCGAACAUGGAUAUGGAGAUAUGACCAAGUCACAGUGACAUAGUUUUUAGUUAUGGGGAAUGGGAUUCGAGUGCUGGACCUCCUUUUAGAUGCAUGGUGGGACUUCAUCACAUUUUUCAAAUUUGUUGAUAAUCCUUCACCUAAUCUGCCGGUGAAGUUUAUAGAUAGUCUUAAGUGUCUAUCACAAGAACCUAGAUAUUGUAAAUCCAAUAUCUUCCAAACAAUUCAACCAUGAUAUUAAUGAUGAUGGAAGCAAGAUUAUCCACUAUCAAUGACAUAAAAUGAGCUGUAAAUGCUGACGAACAAACAUGCACUGUUUUUCCAACCUGUGGAUUGAAGAGCAUUGACAAGCUAACUUUGCAGACCAUUUGAAUCCAAUACUAUACAUAAAAAUGCCAAAGGAGAAUAAUUCAUCUUGGAAAAAGAAUUACUAAUAUGCAAAAGCUUACCUUGUUUAACAAGAAAACAGCAUAUGCUGCUCUUGUCGUGUCUUGACCUUCUAAAAACAGCGGAAAUUCUGCCAGCUUUACAUUUGCUGAAAGUGUUGUAUCCAAUGACAAAUCAGAAGAUGCAGGGUCUAUUGAAGACGCAUGGUCAUUAAUAUAUGAGCGAGAACCACCCAAGCGCAGAGGAUAACGCAAGGGAACUUGUAAAUAGGAUGCAAUUAGUGAAACAGCCUGCAAAUGAUGAAAUAACAGGAAACAAGAAACAAUAAUAGGUAUGAUUAAAAUUAUAGCCUCAGCAUGAGAAACAAACAAUCAAGAUGCAACCCACUAUACCAUAUUACCAUCCUAGCAAUUAAAAAUUACUACAGCAUCUUCAAGCAACAAGGGAUUGUAGGUGGUAGGUCAAAAAACUUGAUAUCCACAGCUUGAUAUUAUCAGAAAAAACAAAUUCAGUAAUAAAUGAUAACUUCACAGAAGAAAUAGAACGCACAUGUGCAACAUAUCCCAAGGCAGUUGCAGAUCUCUGAACCUCCUUUUUGUCAGUGAAAAAACUCAUCUUUGUAAAAGGAAGCAAGGUGAGAUUCAGACCUAAAAUUGUCAACGAUCCUUGAUUGACGGGCUUUGAUGCAGAAGGAUUCCCUAUUGAAGACAGGAACAAAGGAACUUCAUAUCAGUACAUCACCAGACACCACCUCUUUGUGAAAGUCAAAAGAAAAUUCAAAAAAAUAUCAUCAUGAAAGUAAGAGAUAUGUAAAAAGCUCAUAAUAUUCAAGAGCAAAAAAAAAUUGUUUUGAUAUGAGGAGAAUUGAAUAGUAGAUUGCUAAAAGAGGAAUAACUGAAUACAACCAUUAUAACCAAAAGAAGAGUCAAGUGAUAGGUAAUGGUACUCCCUAAGCUGUUUAGGAAUCAUAAAAGACUUGUCCAGUCGACAAAAAUAACUCAUUUUAUUCUCCCCUAGUAAAACAUCAUAUUGGACCAACCAUAUUUGAUAUCAAAGGAUAUGCAUAUCCAGGCAUGCCAUUUAUAGAUAUUCCCAGUGUUACAAGAAGGAAUUGUUCAAGAGAAAGAAGCUGCUAUUGUUGGUAAAGUUUUCCUCAAACCAUUUUGAACAUCCAAAAUCUCAAGAACAAAAAAGAAAACGUAGGAGGAAAUAUAACAAGCAUCACAACGGGUUCUCGAUGAUAUAAGUGAGAGGAUAAAUGUUAAUUAAGAUUAUAAAAAUAAACCACAAACUAAACAGGAAAGACAUGGAUUUCAAAACGAGGAGACUGGCUGCUAAUUAAAACCAUAUGCGGCGUUGUCUAGGGCGCAAGGCACAUUCUAGGUGCUAACCUUUAUAUUGCCUCAAGCACAAGGCACAAAAGGAAGCGCUAGCCUGAGUGCAGUAAAGCGCAAUACGUAUAUGUGAGAGUUUUUGCAAGUCUGUGUGUCUAUAACAUAAAAGUUUUAAGAUAUAUGGUAAACUCUAAAGUGUGGUCUGGUUUAUCCACAAAACUUGCAAAAUUUUUAUAGGUGAAUACUUAAAUAUUGAGAAUUAUAGAGUUUGAUAUUAUCCCUUUCUUAUUAGUAAAGGUGUAUCAAAUGAAAACAGUAGAAAAUAAAAUAAAAUAUUGAGAAAUUCAACAAGGCAGGCUUUUUCUAAUGCCCAUUGCCUUACAAAAAAAGUGUGCCUAGGUGCACCAGGCAUACGCUUGAUCAAAUGGACCUCACCUGGAAGGGUCCAAGGCGUUUUGUUGUAUAAAACUAAGGCGUAGGCACGCCUAGGCGCAUGCCUUGACAACACUGACCAUAUGUUGGCUUUAUUGCAAAGCAUUAGCAAUCCAAAACUACUAGCACAUUACCUAAUCUACUACUGCUAGAAUAGGACUCAAGUUCUUGCUCCUGUGCAGGUCCAACCAAGAUCUUUACAGGAUACAAUAAUGAAACUUGUGAUAUCAUAUAUUGUUGCCUUGCUCGAAGCUUCCUUUGCACAUUUUUAAGUUUAACACAACCCCUUUCUUCAGUGAGUAAUCUAUUUGCUUCCUGUGAUAAAAACAACAUAUAAUCAAUCAUGCCACGCAUGCAAGACUACCAACCAACUAUCUAAUAAAAGAGACAAAGAAGUAGGAGAGCAAGAAGGGGAUAACCCUUGACUAUGCAAAGGAAUUCAUAGAAUGAGAAUCAUCUCAUCUAAGCCCCUCAACCACCUUCACAGGGGGUGGAGGUGCAAAGAGAGAGGUCUUAUUGAUCCGAGAGGAGAAUAUAUAACAUCUAAAGCUGAAUAAGAAGAAACCUUCAAAUAUAUCAUAAAUUCAGAAUUCAUGAUAAUAUAAAAAUGAAAUUCCAAAGCUAAUUUAAGCUAGAAUAAAAAUGCUUCACCUGUAAUCGCUUCCUUGCUACAGAAAGAGAGGUACCAGCAACCAACAAUGAUCUUACUUCAGUACUCAGCAUUUCCUCCUGUUUUUUAGCAUCCUCUGUUGCAACUUUGCAACGAGUUGACAUGUUUGCCAUAACUACUUUCCUUGCCUCUAGUCUCUCACGCAUUUCCUCAAGCUCGUUCAGUUUAUUCAAAGACUCAUUUUUUACCUGCACAGCAUGUUCCCACCCAUUAAUCAGUGGGCCAAUUAAUUAGGUCACAGAAGACAAAACUAAAUUAUCACUCACCAGGUCCCCUUGAAGUGUCAUAUGGCUUUAACAAUUCAACGUGCAAUAUCUAGUAAAAGUGAAAUAAACAUAGAAGAAUGCAAAUGCAAUUCUUAAACGCCUUUAAAUGGACAACAUGAAACAGUUUAAGAGCCCUAUAAAACAGAAAAGUGGAAAAAAAAUCUGAAAAGGAAAAAAAAUGAAUUGAAACAAUAAAUCCAUCUGGUACAAACAGCAACAAAUCUCGAAAUAAGCCUUGGCUUUAGCCCAUUAAAGCCCGGGCAUCCGGCCGAAUAAACAGUGACUGCCAUGUCAACUUUUUGAGACGGUAGAAAAGAGCUCAAAAAUCUCAAUUUCCAAAAUUAAGGACAUAAGAAGGAAAACAAUGUACUUAUUCUUACAGUAGAAGAGCAAAAUGAAACUAAAUGAAGGAUAAGGGAACUGAUGCGAAUUGACAUUGUUAUUUUUGGGACUAAAAAGAAUACGCAGAUUGAAUAUUUAAGAUUUUGUAAGGGAAAAGUUCCAUUCACCAACACAAUUAUCAUCGCCCUUUAUCCCAGUAAAGCUUAAUUGACAAUUUUUCUGUCUCGUGUUCUUGCUAAAGCAUUUGAGCAACCCAACAGAAAUCAUUAUAUGUCAAACUGAAAUGAUUGGCUUUAUCAAUUUCACAACCUAUACUGCCCAACCUAGUAAGUAAUUUAGGUGCAGACACCAGAAAUCUAUUUUCUUUGCACUCUACAACCAAAUAGCCUACCACUUAUCAAUCAAACACAGCUGAAAACUUCAGUGAGGAAACAUUAUGUAAACUGAAAAAACUAUAACUUCAACUUGAUUCAUAGCUCGGUAAGUUCAGGGAACUUGGACUUCUACCACCAUGAUCCAGUUCGAUGUGAAACAGUGAUCCAUAUCACGCAUAUCAGUUCCCGCAACAAGAGGUAAAACAGCAAAUUAGGUAAACAAUGAUCCAACUAUAUUUCAGAAUAGCAACAUUGAGCAUGAAAGCUAAAAUUAUAGCAUAUUAUGGGUCCUUGCUCCCUACAACUACAUAUAAAAUUACUAAACAAUAUUACUACAUUAAGGAUCCAGAAAAACUUGGUUUCAAUUGUUGAUCACUUGAUCCAACUAUUUUAGAAAGUUUAUUCUUCUUUUUCCUUUCCCUUAUUUUCUAAAUCAGGAAAAACAGUAGCAUAUAAACUGGAUUACUACUCCAAUUAAGUUUCUAAAAUUUCAGCAAUAUCCCUUUAACCUUUUCACUCAAGUCACUACCCCCCCCCCCCAAUUAACAAAUAUAUUCCCAGUUUCCCUUUCACUUCAAACCCCCCCCCUUUUUUUUUUCUCUACCCAAAUUCAGCUUACGUUCAAAAACCCAAAAUUGGUUUGCUAAAAAAACAUAAUUUUCAAACCCAAAGGUAACCUAAUUUUAAUCAGAAAAAAAAAAGAAGCAUUACCUGAAUUAGUGAAUGGAGUUUCUCUUGAAGACUUUAUUUUAAAAUUAUCUUAUACUAUUUGCUUUAAAUCGAUUUUUAUUAGUUAUUUGAAACUCGUUUUCAUGUACUAUUUAUUUUUUUAUCACUUAUUUAAAUUGUUUUACAUAUCUAUUUUUUAAACCCUAUUUUAUUAUAUUUUACUUAUUUUAACUUUUUUACAUAUUUCAUUAUAAAUAUUAUUAAUUAUCUAUAUUGAGUUUUUCAUUUAUGUAUUACUUAUUUAGAUAAAUAUAUACUAUUUUGUGUAUUACUUAUUUUGAUUUUCUUCUUAUACAAUAUUACUUUAAAAUUCAUUUAGAUAUUAUUAUUUCACAUAGUAUUUAUUUUUAUCUUCAUUUUUGAUCUAUUUCAAACUCAUAUAUAUUGUUUAUUUUGAAAUUUUAUGCACAUGAUUUAUUGUUUAUAUUGAUGAUUUUAAAUUUCCUUUCUUGUAUUUUUAUUUAUUUAUUUUAAAACUUGUUAUACUUUAUUUGUGUUAAUUUGCUUAGUUUUUCUUUCAAAAUUAACUUAUAAUUCAUUAGCUUUUAAUGUUAGUAUUUGCAUAAUAUGUGAUAUAAGAUUAUUGCUCUCAUGUAUUGCUUAUCUGUAUAUAUUGAUUAUUUGUCAUUCAUUAGUAUAUAUUUUGUUUUACGAAUUAUCACUUCUCGCGUUGUACAUUAUCAUUUCCAUCGCGUUUUAUUUGCUCAAAAAUUAUGUUUAAUAUGGCUUAAGUUUUGAAAUCAUUUUAUCCAAAAGCUUCCAAUAUAGCAUAACACUCGGUGUUUGGGAUUUUUGAAAAGAUCGUACUCUAACUUACGAGGUCUCGAUUUUUUGAUAAUUUCAAAUAUACGAACCUUUUUAAAAAAAAAAACAAGACACAUUUACUUAAAAAUUAUCUCAAGAAUCAAAAAAAGAUCGUGUCCCAACUUACCGGAUAUGAUUUAUUAUCUGAAACCGAUAUGAUCAAGAUUUUUAAAAAUAAAUAAAUUUUGGUGUUUAUUCUCGUUUCGGGAUUUAAGAUAUUGUGUCCUAACUCACGGGAUAUAAUUUUUUUCUCGAUUAACGAGAAAUACACCCUUCUUUAAAUUUUAACAAAAUGGUCAUUUUUUUAAAUUUCUUUUCGAAAUUUUAAUUUUUCGACAUUAAGACAUUAAUUAAUCGAUUAGGUACUAAUUUUGGGCAUGACGGGGUGCUAAUCCUUCCUCGCAUGUAACUGACUCUCGAACCCGUUUUUCUUAAAUUCCAUUGACCAAAAUCAUUGUUUUAAUAAAAUCAAAAUGUUUUAUCAAAACGAUUGAAUUGCAAGGUGAUCCAAUCACACAUAAAAAAAAUGUCGGUAGCGACUCCCUUUUUUUCAUUUUCAAAAUAAAAGUCAACACUAUUUUUGUUUUCAAAAAGUGGUUUCGACAAAAUUGUUUAAAUCUUACUUAUUAUUAUAUUUAAUUGUUUUUCAAAAUAUUUUAUAUAUCAUCAAUUUUACAAAUAAUUUAUAUUAAUUACUUAAAAGGUAUUUAAAAGUUAUAUUUCAUGUAUCAUUAUAUUAAAUUAUUUAAAUAUCAUAUAACUUGACUAAUUUUUUAAUUUCUACUAUCAUGUUUAAAAAGAACAUUUUAACUUUCAACUGCGAUUUUUAGUAGCAAUGAACAACACUAAAAACUAACAAACACACUUUUCAGCACCCCUUUUCAACAACACUUUUUUCUUAAAGUACUUUUGAACUAGUCCUUAGUCUAUCAUGCAUCGACUCUUCAUUUUUCUUUAACUACCCAUGUCCGACUUCAAACAUGGAUAUGGAGAUAUGACCAAGUCAGAGUGACAUAGUUUUUAGUUAUGGGGAAAAGGAUUCGAGUGUUGGACCUCCUUUUAGAUGCAUAGUGGGACUUUCAUCACAUUUUUCAAAUUUGUUGAUAAUCCUUCAUCUAAUCUGCCGGUGAAGUUUAUAGAUGGUCCUAAGUGUCUAUCACAAGAACCUAGAUAUUGUAAAUCCAAUAUCUUCCAAACAAUUCAACCAUGAUAUUAUUAAUAAUGAUGAAAGCAAGAUUAUCCACUAUCAAUGACAUAAAAUGAGCUGUAAAUGCUGACGAACAAACAUGCACUGUUUUUCCAACCUGUGGAUUGAAGAGCAUUGACAAGCUAACUUUGCAGACCAUUUGAAUCCAAUAAUAUACAUAAAAAUGCCAAAGGAGAAUAAUUCAUCUUGGAAAAAGAAUUACUAAUAUGCAAAAGCUUACCUUGUUUAACAAGAACACAGCAUAUACUGCUCUUGUCGUGUCUUGACCUUCUAAAAACAGCGGAAAUUCUGCCGGCUUUACAUUUGCUGAAACUGUUGUAUCCAAUGACAAAUCAGAAGAUGCAGGGUCUAUUGAAGCUGCAUGGUCAUUAAUAUAUGAGCGAGAACCACCCAAGCGCAGAAGAUAGCGCAAGGGAACUUGUAAAUAGGAUGCAAUUAGUGAAACAGCCUGCAAAUGAUGAAAUAGCAGGACAUUAGAAACAAUAAUAGGUAUGAUAAAAUUAUAGCCUAAGCAUGAGAAACAAACAAUCAAGAUGCAGCCCACUAUACCAUAUUACCAUCCUAGCAAUACCUGCAAAACUUUCAUCAAAACGGUAAUAACACUUUUGGACAAUGUGUCCUAUUUUACCACACAACUGGCAUUGGGGCCGAUUGUUUGAAAAACCACCCUCACGGCCUCAUCCUCGAUGGAAACCUCUAUUGCAUUGAAAACCACCUCUAUGUGCCUGUUUGUUCCCUUGAUAGCCACUGUUAUAAUCAUAACACUUGGUCCGAUCACCCUCAUCACAAUCUUGUUUACUAGCUAUGUUAGCUUGUUCGAGAACACUAUUCAAGAACUCAAGUUCUCGAGCUUCACAAUCAAGCAGCAUCUCAAUCAACAGACCAAGCGACACAGCAGUAGCUGAAGCUACUACCCGUACUGAUUCACACUCAACUGGCAACCUUGCAAGAAUGAUGCUAACCAUUUCUUGAUUUGAAAUCAAACAACUCGUUGCAACCAACAUAUCACACAUGGACUUGAUCUUAGACAAAUAUUCUUUAACAAACAGAUGACCCUUUUUCUGUGAAUACAACACAUGAUGCAUACUGGACAAUUUUACCGUCGACUUAGUCGCAAGCCUUUUUUUCAAUAGUUUCCCAAAUAUAAUAACUAGUACGAGCACUAGUAAGAUAGGCUAGAAUUUCAUCACUAUCAGUUGAAAGUAACCAAGAAGCCAAUAGCUUAUCUUGUUGCACAUGUAAAACAGAAUCAGAAUCUUCUACUAAUCUCCCAUAUUUAUCCACUACAAACUGUGCUAGUACACUAAUAGCACCCAAAACAAACUCAUGCAGACCGUAUCAUUCAAGGAUCAACAUAAUUUGGAGCUUCCAUAAAACAAAAUUAUACUCACCAAGCUUUAUUGUAUCGUGCUUAGGAAAUUGUUGAAGACAUCUACAACUGUUGAGGUGGGUUUUCUUUAAACAUACUCAUUCCAACAAAAAAAAAAUCUACGUUAGUAUGAUUAAUUAGAAAGUGAUUAAUUCAUUAUUUAGUUAGAAGUGAUGGCCUUAAGAAAAAAAAUGACAUUAUUUUAUUUGGCAUUGUUAAAAGUGUUAGUUACUGAAAUAAUUAAUGAGAUUAUAAAAGUGAAAGAAUCAAAUUAUGUCAAAAGUAAAGUAGAGGGUUUUAAUCCUAAAUUUGGGUAUAAUAAAGGGACUAACACCAAAUAAUUAUAAAAUUUUCAAAUAUUUUAAAAUUAAUUUUAAAUAUUAAUUAAAUACAAAUUAUAAAAAAAUAAAAUAAAAAUCCCCAGCGCAGUGAGGGACAUAUUCGAUAUCAAUAAUUAUAAAAUCUGUAGUUGUAAUAUUUAAUUGAUAUAAUAUAUAAAAUUUGAGGGUUAAAUUUGUUAUUAUACAAUUUUUUUAACUGCCGUGUCACUUUGCAAUUUUUUAUUUUAAGGAGUCAUCAAAAUAACUAAACUAUGUAAUGUGAGUGCUUAAAUUACAAAAUUUUUACUUUAAUGUGAGUGCUUAAAUUACAAAAUUUUUACUUUAAGUGUUUAAAUUUUUAAAAAAAAUUAUAAUUAAAUAACAAUCUAUAUGUAGUUUGCCCAAAAAUUUUAUAACCCAAACUACACAAUUUUAUGGCCAUCUCCCACUUUUGAUAUCUCUUUGGCCAUUAGUUAAGAUGGGAGGGGAAUGACUUAUUCAAGAUUAGUGUCAACAUUAGAUUUAAAACCUACGGAAGUCAUGUUUCAAUUUUUUUAUAUAAUAAUAUAACAUUUAAAAUUAUAUUAUAUCUAUAAAAGAACUCAUUGGAUUAGGGUUUUUUUUUUUAAUUAACUUUCCAUUUGUUAUUAGAAAACAAAACUAAAAAUGCAUCAAACAGGGCUCUGAUAAAAAAUUAAAAAAAAACCAAAAUGUUUAGGUUUGGUAUCGUUUUACUUUUACUUUAAAAUCAGUCUAAUCUGUAUCAUGCUCACACCAAACAUAUGAAGAAAAAAAAAAGUGAAAUAGUAAGGAUAUUAUUAAUUUCAUUCCAAGACAAAUUUUAGCAUACCCAAUUAGGUCCUUGGGUUAAUCUUAUGUUUUUUGUUUAGGCAUUCAGCAUUCUUGGCGUUUAGUUUAGUUAGAAUUUUAAAUUAUGAUAGAUCUGAAACUUUGGUAUUUUUGUGCAAAACUCAACCUCAAAGCUUUAUUUGUUGUCUAAAUUAUUUUAUUGAAGCCUAGGAAUUGUUGUUAUUGUUUCGGCUAAUUGACCUUAAAGCAUCAAAUGCCUUUUUUUGGAUGGUCAUAUUCCUUCCAAGGGCUGAAUUACUAAAAGCCCAUGAAGUAUCCUUCUUUUUCUUAAGUGAGCCUCUGUUUCAAUGCCGCCAAAAUUUUCUUUAUCCACAUGGAAGCUGACCUGCCAUGAUGAUGUGGUAAAAAAAUGAACAAUUUGUAUUUUUUGAAAAAUAUAACACUUAAGAACUUUCUUUCUUCUUGCCUCCCAAUUCUCACCACCAAUUCCUUAGCCCAAAUCAGUUUUGGCCUCCGACAUUGAUCAUAACAAAAGUAAACUUUCUAUUAGAAAUAAUUUCUUUUAUGUACAAAUUAAAGGGUAAGAUAUUGUUUGGGUACAAAAAAAGCAUAUGAGCUUACUUUAGAAAAGUGACAACGUUGGGCUCUUUUAGUAUUCUAUCCUCCCACCAACUUUGUCCAAUGUUUUUUGCCUUAUCACCAGACAGUAAAAGGGCCUUUGACCUUUUCAGGCUAAGCGCUGCCUGGUGCAUGUAGGGGGAAAAGGCCUUCUAAUUGAAGUUCUCUUUAAUAUCUCUUUAAUUGUUUCUUAAUUGUAACAAAGGGAUAAUAUCGAACUCUCUAUUUCUCAAUAUUUGAGUAUUCAACACCAGGCAUGGGAUCAUAUGGAAAUAUGCAUAUGGUUGACAAAAGAAAGAAAAUUUGGAAAUGUUUAUUUAAGUAGUAACUGCUGGUUUUCUUGGAUGCUUUCUUGUUAAUGACUACUGUUUGGGCAUGUUUAUUUAAGAAUUGCCCCCAAGUAGUUUCUUGAAUCAUCUAAAAUUGGAAAAAAUAGUCUUAUGGUAACUCAUUAAAGUAUUUGAAAGUAUGCACAAGCUAAUAACAUUUUAGAAAUUAAAAUUGAAGAUCGGUUUUUAGGGUAUCAUGUCCAUAUUAAGCAUCAUCUUUCCAGAUUACUGUUCUCUCUCUCUCUCCCUCUCUGUGUGAUAUAUUUCUCAAGUGAAAGGUAACCUUCUUCACUUGAUUUUGACUUAAUUUUGCAGUCACCACGAUUGUAUAAUGUGUACAAGCAAAUGGGAAUUGUAAAAUCUUUUCAGAAUAUUCUGGACAAUGUUUUCAUUCCACUAUUUGAAGUUACAGUUGAUCCGAAUUCUCAUCCUCAACUACACGUGUUCCUAAAAAUGGUGAGUUCUAUGUUCAUCGGAGAACAUACUGUGCUAUAAUAAGAGAUUUCGGAAAAUAUAGUUAAAAAAUGCUUCUUUAUUGGAAUGACCUGCAUUAUAGCAAGCUGAAUAAAUGAUGCCUUAACUUUAUUCAUUGUGUUCUCAUAAUUCUUUAAAACCAUUCGAAAAUUCUAUUGAGCCACAUUAUAUGGUUAAUUUUUGGGUCUGUACUGCAUACUGAACAUGUGUACAUCCUUGCGAUUUUAGAUGGAUGGAGUUGGACAGCAAAGCAAUUGAAAAAAACCCAAUUUAUGGUUUCUAAAUGUUAGAUCAUUUAUGGUUUCUAGUUUCAAUUUAAAAAAAAAAAAUCCAAAUCAGCCAACUAAUGAAAUUUUCAACGAUGUUAGUUAUUUUAACUAAUCCAUAACAUGUUUGCUUCUUCUUCUUUUUUUUAGCCUAGCAGCAAUGUUAGCCUCUGGACUAGUUACCGCCCUCCUUUUUCCCCUCCCUAUUAACCCUUUUUAUUUUUCUUCUCAUUCACUCCAUGAGUCUUCGUUCUUUUCAGUUUACAGAUUUAUUUUGUGAGUAUUUUUGUUGUCUUUACAAGUUGUAAUGGACAGUUGACAAUGGCUAUCAUCAUUGAAACACCACCGACCACCAACACUUUCUUUUAGAAAGUGGGUACCUCUUCGUUGACUACUUAAUUUGUUUAUAUUUUGAGAGUUUCAAAAUAAUAAAUGAUUUCAUGACUCGGUUUAGACUCAUGUUUUUUUUCCAUUGUUCAAUAAGUUUUUACUUUUAAAAGUUUUUUUCUACUCUUAUAGUAAGCUUUUUAGUCUUGCUUUUGCGAGUAAUUUUAGGGUUGGUUUUGUCGCCAUCCCCUCUAGUUUGGUGGAUGCUCAGUUCUUUUGCUGAUUUAUGCCCGCCGCUUUGGACCAUCCGGGGUUGAUUUUCUUACUAUAUUAAGUGCUUGUAAUCACUUCUGAUAUGUUGUGCUUGAGUUGUGAUAGAGCUGAUUUCAACAUGCCAUAAUGUUCUAUUAAUGUUGAAGCUAAAGCUUUUGUUAUAUUGAUGGAGCUUGUCCUUUAGCGAGUACAACAAGUGUUUGUUAUUUCCUCCCCCCCCCCGAAUUGUAUGGUAUUAUUCAUUGAAUAAAUUAAUGAAGUUGUCUUAAAAAAAACUAAUCCAUAACAUUAACAUUAAUAAGAGAACAAAAUAUAUCAAAUUAAAAAAGAAAAACUGAAUCUUUAAUUCAAUUGAGAAAUUAUAGGGAUUAAAACUAUAAAUUGAUCUAUAAUAAUUUCUCAGGCAUUAAUUGUAAGAUUAAUUCCAUAACCUAAAUUAUUGUAGGGGCUAUAUAAGCUCAAGGUUGACGCAAAAGUCAAUAGUCAGCGUCUGAAAGUUAAUGCAAUUAAUUAUGUCAUUGUUGAUAUAUUUAACGCAAAUAUAUUAUCAUAUGUGUAAUGUCAUACCAUCUUAUUAUUUCCAUAUGUUACUAAAAAUCUAGUUAACGGACUAAGGAUUGUCAUUUGUAUCAAGACUGAAAUUUUAAAUUUUGAAAAAUAUAGGUACUUAGAAUAAUCCAAUUAGAGAGUAUGGACUAAAUCAACAAUUAUACGCAUAAUAUAGGACUAGUAAUUGGUUUUAAUUAAAUUGAUUUAACUCUAUUGUUUGGAUCACAACUAAAAUUUUAAAAUUCAAAAUGUAUAGGGAUUAAAAUUGAUCAAAUUGAAGUAAAUAGACUAAAUUUACAACUUUCACAAAGAACAGUGACCAACAGCAGAAUUUAACCAAAUAAGCUCACCAAAGUCAAUAGUCAAUCUUUGAAAAGUAAUGCAAUUAAUUAUGUCAUUGUAGGAACGCUUUCCUGACAUAAAAUUCCACCAACUAAGCCUUUUGCGUAAAUAUUAGCUAUGAAAAUUCAACCAUUGAUAUUAAAUUCAAGACCCCACAAAUGACAGACAUAUAUGUUGGAAAAAUCUUUGUGUGAACAUUUCUUUCGGUCAUACUCAUGUCGUAUAAGUUAGAGGAGCACAAGUCUAGAUUCAUCCAAUUUUUGAGGAAUUAAUUAAUUAUAUAUUAGUUUAAAAUUAUAGUGAAUUAGUGAGACGCCAUAGGUCUUGCUUGCAUAUAAAUAAGAAGCUUAGGCUUCUUCAGAUUAUUUACAUAUAAAAGUUUAAAAAGUAACAUAUAGCUAAGAGAGAAGAGGAAAACAGAAAGAUGAUGAUGAUAAUGAUGGAGUGGAAAUGGUUAUGGUUUAUAAGGAUGGCAGUAAUGUUGUUGGUGUUAGAAGGGUGCAGGUGGUGUACUGCUGAUGCUUGUUUGGAGCAUGAGUCGCCUUCUUGCAUCUCAAACCUUUCUUCAAUUAUGAUAAUCAAUUGAAAAGUUGGAUUGAGGUGAAGGGUUCAGAUUGUUGUAAAUGGAAAAGAGUUGAGUGCAACACCAUCACUAGGAGAGUCAUACAACUCUCCCUUAAUCAUACAUCAUCCAAUAUAUAAAUGAAUUAAUGAAUUUACCUUUCAAAAGAGAAAAAAAGAAUUCAUAAAUUUUGAAAUACAAAAUGAACGUGUUUUGAUAUUUUUAGGGCAAUGGUUUAGUGGUUCAAAAUUUUGAUUUAAUAUGGUGAAUUUAAUUAUAAUUUUUUAUAUAUUAGAUAGUAGAAUAUAUUUUACCAUUUAUAAUUAAGUACAAUUAAGUUUAGGUUAAAAUAUUUUAUUAAAUUUUUGUACUUUUCACAAAUUUUAAAUUUAAUCUGUUUACUUUUAUUCUAGAAUUUAAUCUCUCUGCAUGUAAAGGAGGUUAUUAUGGCAAGGGGAAUUACCAUGGCAGAGGUAGCCGAGGCUGACGAAGAGAUGCUGGAUAUGCUGAAGAAAGAUAGAUGGCUGAGAAACAGAAAAACUUUAGGAACAAUAUUCAGUGUUAGAAGUAUGGGGAUGUGAAGGCAGAUUGUUGGAAAAGGGGAAACAAGCAAAUUUUGCGGAAGAUGAUGAAGAGAUUUAAAUUAUUUAUGAGCUGUCUAGAUGACACUAUAGCUUCAACUAACAUUUGGUUUCAAGGGCGUAUAUCUCAUGAUGAAGAGAUCGUCUCUCUUCUUUUUUCUCAUAACAUAUUACACGCCAUGAUAAUAAAUAUUGAUAUGCCUAUAAAUUUGAGUUUCUAUUAUUUGUAGUCAUGAUUUGGUUCACUCCAUAAGUUACAUAAAUUUAUUAUAAUAAUUCAAUUAAUUUUAGAUUAAUUUUACAUUUUUGCCCGAACUUUAGUUUUUAAUAAUUCAAUCAUCCCACCAUUAUAUUCAAUUAAAAGUGUAAUACGAUUUUGCGUCAUCCAACCAUUAUUCUUAGUGUAAUUUUUGGUAGUGAGCAUAGAAGGACAGCGAGAACAAAGAAAGAAUGUAUCCAAUAACCCACUCCCCUUAUAGUCAAUGCUUAAAAUGAAUAAGAAAAUAGAAAACAAACGUGGCAAUGCCAGCUAAUUUGUUAUUACUAUUCACCGUAUAACUAAGGACAUUACGCACCGUUUUAAUUAAAACAAACUCACCGUUUAAGACCGUUACUUCUAUGCAUCGUUUUAAUCAUAUGCGUCAGUUCGAACAAAUAGGUGAACAUGAAAGCUUUUCGCAAAGUUUAGAUGUGUGCUUAAAACUCAAACUUUGUGUUCUGUAAAAAUAUUGAUUUUGUUGUAAUUGUAGGUUGAACUUUGUGAGUCCAAUUACUUUCUUUGGCAUCGGAUAUUUCGUGGAACUUUCGUAUGAGAUAUUUACUUCAUAAAUAGAAGAUUACAAAAUUUGGAUAUUAAUAUAUUUUUCAUGAUUUAAUUUUCUUUUCCUUUUUUGGGCUAAAAUAAUUAAUAACGAAAACACGUCUUUUGCUAGCACCUAUAAAUGCCUUAAAAAUGUAAAUUAAUAUUCCACAAUAAUUAUUAAGAUGAAAAGAAUUUUAUAAUCUAAACUUACGAUUUCAUGUGAAUUUAAUGUUUAGUUAUAGUUUUAAUUACAAAGUUAAAUUGGUAUCUUUGUUAUUGCAAUAAUUAAAAAAAGAUGAGUCCAAAUGACGUUGAUUUUCUGUUUUUUAAAAGUGAAUGCAAGAUGGGACGGCUGGAAUUUUUUUUAUUAAACAGUAAGUAUGAAACAGUUAUGGUAAUUGCUUGCUCCAUCUCACUCCACUCCACUAUAUAAAAUUAUCAUUUCAUUCUUUUAUAUAUAGAAAAAAAUUAAAUAUUUUAUGAAAAUAAUCAUGUUUAAAUUUCCAAGAAUAAAAGCAAACUGAAGACUUAAAAUUUCCAUUAAUAAAACCAAAAUCAAAGAAGUAAAUUUCCCAUGAAUAAAACAAAAAAUGAAGAUCUAAAUUUUCCAUUAAUAAAGCCAAGUCAAGACUAAGUUUGUAUAAGUGUAAGAAGGGUAUAAAUGAAACUCACAAGAAAGCCACAUGAAGAAUUUUAUAACCCCAAACUACACGAUUUUAUGUCCACCUCUCACUUUUCAUAUUUUUUUGGCCAUUCGUUUUUCAAGAUUAACAUCAGCAUUCUUGUGGUCCGUUCAUCCUUUUCUAAUGAAUUUCCACCAAGAGUUUUAUUUUUCAAAAUGUUAAAUUAACUCAUGAUAUUAAUUAAAUCAAGAAAUUUUAUAAUAAUAGAGAUGAAAAAACUAAAUUUUCAAAAUCAAAACCUAAAAUGUGCAAGAAUAAAAGCAAACUGAAGACUUAAAAUCUCCAUUAAAAAAAUCAAAAUCAAAGAAGUAAAAUUUCCAUGAAUAAAACGAAAAAUGAAGACCUAAAAUUUCCAUUAAUAAAUCCAAGUCAAGACUAAGUUUGUAUAAGCGUAAGAAGGGUAUAAAUGAAACUCACAAGAAAGCCACAUUAAGAAUUUUAUAACCCCAACUACACGAUUUUAUGUCCACCUCUCACUUUUCAGUUUUUUUGGUCAUUAGUUAUUCUAAGAUUUAACAUCAACAUUUGAUUUCAAAUCAACGUUAAACCAUGUUUAAACUCUUUUUCUUAUAUAAUAAUUAUAUUAUAUUUAAAAUUGAAAAAACUAACCAGCCAAAUAUAUAUUAAUUAAUUAAUAGAAUUUUUUUUGCUCAUCGAUUAAAAUAAAUCAAGAAAGACGUUGGAACCACCAACCUCUCUUUAAGAACAACAGGAAUACAAGAACCUAUGCACAACAAGUACUAAAAUGUAUUAAGUAAAUUCAUCACCAGGCCUUAAAAAAAGAAGAUCUCGAUAUACCUGCUUUUGCCAAAGCAUCUGCCAUACCAUUACUUUGCCAGUGAAUAAUUCUGAACUGAAACUUAGCCAAUUGAGUGAUAUUAAUUAUAGAAAUGGUUCUUCUUGCAACCAUAGAUGAAACACCACUGAGACUAACAAACUUGGAGAAACUUGAUUAAAUCAAACUUAUGCAAAUUUCUUGAAUAUUUAAGUUAAGAGUUAACGUCAAAGUCAAGAGUUGAUAAGGAUUUUGUGGUCCAUUCAUAUCUUUAUUACAAUAUAUAUAUAUUCAAGAAAUUUGCAGCAAGUUGGAGUUUUGCAAUAAGGAAUUUCCACCAAGAGUUUUGGAAUAAGGAAUUUCCUCCAAGAAUUUUGCAGGAAUCAUAUCUCUAACAAAAGAAAGACCUUCAUUUGACUAAAUUUUUUAGUAUUUAUUUUAACUUCCAUUUUAUUAAAAAAAAACAGAGGUAAAAAAUAUGCCGAACAGGGUCUUUAGGUUACUUUUCUUAGAACUAUAUUAUGUUAUAGUACCGUAUAAGUUAGAGGAGCACAAGUUUAGAUUCAUCCAAUUUUUGAGGAAUUAAUUAAAUAUAUAUUAUUUUAAUAUUAUAGUAUACAGAGGCAAUGUUAGAAAAAAAUUUUGUGGAGUCGAAAUUAAAUUAUAGUUUUAAAAGCAUAUAUCUUUAUAAUUUUUAAAGAAUUAAAUCAAAUUUUUAUCAAUUUUAGGGGGUCAAUGUGCAAUUUUAUCUUUACUAAUUUAAAAUUUUAAAACAUUUAAAGGACCUAAAUAGGAAUUUUUCUAUUUUAGAGGCGUCUGAGACGCCUGUCUAGCUAUGCCCCUGAUAGUGAAUUAGUGGGAUGCCAUAGGUCCUGCUUGUAUAUAAAUAAGAAGGUUAGGCUUCUUCAGAUUAUAUACAUAUAGAAGUUAAAAAUUAACAGACAACUGAGAGAGAAGAGAAAACAGAAAGAUGAUGAUGAUGAUGAUGAUGAUGGAGUGGAAAUGGUUAUGGUUUAUUAGGAUGGCAGUAAUGUUGUUGGUGUUCGAAGGAUGCAGGUGGUGUACUAUUGAUGCUUGUUUGGAGCACGAGAGGAUUGCUCUCUUGCAUCUCAAACCUUUCUUCAAUUCUCGUGAUGAAUUGAAAAGUUGGGUUGAGGUGAAGGGUUCAGAUUGCUGUAAAUGGGAAAGAGUUGAGUGCAACACCACCACUAGGAGACUCAUACAACUUUCCCUUAAUUAUACACAAUGGGAAUUCAACGUGGAAUAUUGGUAUCUCAAUGCCUCUAUGUUUCUUCCCUUCGAGGAAUUGAGGAGUCUUUAUUUGUCAGAUAAUGCCAUAGCUGGUUGCAUUGAAAAUGAAGGUCGUGCCUUUAAUUUUCCCUCAGUUACAUCUUUUAUUAUUACACUAUUCUCACCCUUGUUAAUUUGCAAUUACUUAUAAUUUAUUUUAUUUUAUUGAAGAAAGGUCACUAAAUGUUUGUGUAUAUAUUUAAAAGAACACUCUUACAGGUUUUGGAAAGCUAUCAUCCACAUUGAGUAAUUUGGAGAUUCUUGACUUAAGUUACAAUUACUUGAAUGAUAGCAUUUUGUUAUCUUUGAGUGAGCUUUCAUCUCUCCGAUAUUUGGAUCUAUCAUACAACCGAUUUGAAAGAUCAAGUCAUCCAAGAGGUAAAUUAAGUUUAGUCUGGUGUUAGUUUUUAUUUGUAUUGGGGAGUUUGACAGUGGUUUUCCAUUGUUUUAUUCCCUCUAACUUAGUUUUUGCUUUUAUGGUUGAGAGGAAAAAGAAACAAACAAGUACUUACUCAAAUUAACUAAACAAUGGAUUAUUUUUUUUAUGUUUUGCAGUAACUAAUUCUAUGGUAUAUAAAUCAGGUUUUCAGUGGCUUUCAAGGCUCACUAAAUUGGAAACUCUUCAUCUAAGUGGGAAUUCUUUGAAGAAUAGCAUUUUUUUACAGAUGAGAAAUCUUUCAUCUUUGAAGACUUUAAGUUUGGGUGACAAUCAGUUGGGAGGAAAACUGCUUCAUAUUCAAGGUAGACUGAUUUUACACUUUUCUUGUUAACUUUAAAAUAAAUUCAGUAUGUGAUUUGAUUUUAUCAUAUCAUGAAUAUAACUGAUCAAUAUUUGAGAUUGAAUUUCAGAAUUGAAUCAUUUGGCAAACUUGAAGUACUUGGAUUUAAGUAGGAACAGAAUUGAAAGCAUCUCAAACAAAGGUAUAAGUAAUAAUUUGUGCAUGACUUUCCUGACAGACUUCAAAUGUAUUUUCUUUGUUUUUUUCCUUUUCAUAUGGUUGAGAGGAAAAAAGAUCCUUAUAAUCUUAAAGAGUUGAUAUUGAGAGUUGGUCAUGAGAGAAUGGGUCCUUAAAAUCCUUAAGACCAGGGAGUUUGUGUCCACAGUUGAGUAUUCCAUUUGAAAACUGAAAAUUAAAUAUUCUAUUGCUUUAUUUCUUUUAAAAGAAAGAUUGAGUUUGGAUCUCCGACUGCUUUAUUUUUUUCAAAGAAAGAAAUAUGUUUAUACUUUUGCGCAGAAGAUAUGAAGAAGUCUUAUUUUGUUCUCGCUUUUGUGCAAGUGAAACUUAGUUAUCUCAAAUAUAUAUAUAUAUAUAUAUAUUGUAGUUAUCAGUUCACUACACAAUAGCAUGUAAACCAGUUCCCCCUUUUCAAAUUUAUGAGUGGGAGUUGUCCAUGAUUUUCUUUGUGAUUUUCUUUUCACGUUUUAGGAUUUUCAUCUUCACUUCAAGUUUUAGAUUUACUUUUUUUCAUUUUUAUUUCAUUAACUUAAAAAAGGAAUGCUGGAUCAUAUUCAAGGUAGAUUGAUUUUACAUGUUUCUUUUUAACUUAAAAAAUCAAUAUAUGUUCAAGUUUAAGUGACAACAACAUUGAAAGCAUCUCAAACCAAGGUAUAAGUAUUUGUGCGUAGUAACUUUCUUGACUGACUAUUAUUCCAAAAGGCAAUGACAGACUUCAAAUGUAUUUUCUUUAGUGAAUUUUUAUUGCAAAAAUGGAGUAUUAUUAUUUAUUUAAGUUUUGUAGUAACUAAUUAUAUAAUAUAUAAAUGAGGUUUUCAAUGGCUCAUUAAAUUGGAAAUUAUUGAUAUAAGUUGGAAUUAUUUGAAGAAUAGCAUUCUUUAAAAUAAAUUCAUGUUGAAGGAAAAGUUGUUGCAAUAAGUCAUUUGAUUUUAUCAUAUCAUGAAUAUAUAUAACUAAUCAAUAUUUGGGAUUGAAUUUCAAAAUUGAGUAAUUUAAGUAGGAAGGUAUCUCAAACAAAGUAUUUAUAUAUUGAAUCAAUUCAUCGGAAAGCUUGUAAAUUGGCUCUUCCUUCUCAAACAAACAUUUUUCCUAACUAUUUAUAUAUUGAAUGAUGUUAACUAUACUAAUUACUUUCUUCCAAUGAUAGAUGGAACACAAUUGAGGCUAACAAACUUAGAGGAACUUGAUUUGAGUGGUAAUCUCUUUCGGAACAACACAAUUUCCUUUCCUCAAGGGCUUUCAAGCCUAAAGUCUUUGACUUUGUACAACAACCAUUUGCAAGGCUCAUUAGAUACUAAAGGUACUAAAGCUAUAACUUUGUUUUUCUUGAUAAUUCUUUCUAGAACCUUUUAAAAUUAAUUGUUUCAAUUUUGAACAUUCACAUUUCACGUUUGAGGAUUUUCAUCUUCACUUCAAGUUUUAGAUUUACUUUUUUUUUCAUUUUUAUUUCAUUAAAAUAUUAAGUAGAAAUUAAAAUUAUUAACAUAAUGAUUUUUUGAAUUGGACGUGGAUAUGUAUAGGAUUGAGCAAUUUAACAAAUUUGAAGAAACUCGAUUUAAGUGUGAAUCAGAUUGAAAGCUUUCAAUCCUUUAAAGGUAUGCAUUUAUAUUUAACCAAUUACCUAAAUUCUUACAUAUAAUUAAAUUUUAUGCCAAUUCAUUUCAGUGAUGAAAUUAUAUAAAUCUUUUGUAGAUGGUGGUAGAAAAUUGGAGUUGACCCACUUGGAAGAGCUUUAUUUAGAUUACAAUCAGUUCAAUACUAGUGUAUUUGCAUCCCUUAACAAGCUUUCAAAUUUGAAAUCUUUGAGCAUAUGGGACAAUGGAUUGAAAGGAUCAAUAGAUAUGAAAGGUAAAUAUAUUAGUUUUUUUAACUAGAAUAUAAUCAUGUUUGAAGAGAAUAUAAUGAAGUUGAUUUGUUGUUUUUGUUUUCCUAGAUUUGGAAGCAUUUAUCAACUUAAGGGAACUAGAUAUGAACUAUAAUGAAUUGAAAGAUUUGGUGAUCCACCAAGGUAUCAUUUAAUUAAACUUCCUUUUUUUUUUAAUUUAGAAAUUUAGUUUUGAUCUCAUAUAUUAUAAUAACGGUUAUUGUCAUAAAUAUUAAUAAAGUUAUAUCAUAUCAUACUUGAAAGUAAAAGUUUGGUGAAACAUUUUCUAAAUCAUCCAUUAUAAUGUGUUUGGACUUUGGUUUGAAACUAAAAUUCUUUAAAAUUUUCAUCAUUUUAAAAUAUUAAUGUUUAUAAUUAUUUUGUUUGUAUAAAUAUAUUUUUUAAAAUAAUUUAUUGAAUUUUUAUGAGAUAAAAAAUAAUUAUAACAAUAAAAAAUGAUAUUAUAAAUAAAUAAAAACAUAUAUUUAUGAGAAAAUAUGUAAUAUAACUAUAUUUUAAUUUCAUAUAUUUUUAAUAGUAUAAAACAUAAAAAUACAUAUUAGCGUUAAAUAAAUGGCAUUUUUUGGCAAAAAUAAAUAAAUGUCAAUUUUGAAUAAUUUAAAAAAAAUCUUUAAUUUUGUGAAAUUUAAACAUACAUUGAGAGGUGCUUAAACUUCCAUUGCAAUCUUUUUAUAAAUUUCAAAGUGCAUAUGUUUUUAACUUUUUGGUUUAAAAAAAUAUGAUAGGUCUACGUACUCUUUACUAAUUUGUAAUUUAAUUCUUAUACUUUUAUUUUCAAGAAUUUAAUCCCUGUUUUUUUAUAAAAAAAUCAAAAUCCUAGUUCAAUUGUUAAAAUUGUUAAAAUUUUAAAAUAGUUUGUUGGUGUGACAUUUUGAAAUAAAAAAAAACUUAGUAGUAAUGUAACUAAAAAAUGACGUAAUGAACAUGGAUUUAAUAAAAUAAUUUUAACAAUAUUAAUAAAAUAAUUUUGAAUUUUGAAUUUUAACUUAACUCUAUUUUUGGGCCAAGAUUUAAUGCUUUAAAAUUUUCAUUUAAUCCGCUGAGUUUACUUAUAAUUCUUUUGAGUUUUAUUUAUUGGUGAGUAAAAUACCUAUUUGAUUUUUUUAUAUACUAUUGGCAUCUUUAAAGGUAAUAUAAUAAUUUUAGUGUAGACGUGUUUUAUUUUAUAAAUAUUAUUUAUAGUGUAGACAUGUGAAUUUUGAAUAAUUUAAAAAUAUCUUCAAUUUUAUGAAAUUUAAACAUACAUUUAGUGUAGACAUGUUUUAUUUUAUAAAUAUUAUUUAUAGUGUUGUUGAUUGGAGUUUGAAAAUUAUACAACUUAGCUAUAUCAGUUAAUUACUUAUAUUAAAAAAUAAUAUAAGAAAAUACUAAAAAGAAAAAAAAUAGUAUAAUUAAUAAAAUGGAUGAAGAGUUAUAUUAAAGUUUCAACAUCUUCUCUCUAUCAAAAUUUAUCUCGGAUAAAUCAUGAAUAAUCUAACUCAUAAAAAAAUAUAUAUAUAUUUAUAUACUUCAUUUCAUUCACAGAAAAUAAAGCAUUCCACUUAAUAGAGGCUUUCUAUAAUGCCGUUAUCUAAUACCUCUUGACAUUGCUUAGAUUCAAAUGUGUCGAGCAGUUUGGAGGAAAUAUAUCUUGACUAUUCUACUCUCAACACCAACAUUUUGCAAAGCAUUGGAGUAUUCGCUUCUCUUAAAAUAUUGUCUUUAUCUAAUUGUGGACUUAUUGGUCCCUUACCUAAUCAAGGUAAACAAUUUUAUGGCUCAAUUUGAUUUCUUUAUGAACUUUCUGUAAUAUAUUAUCUCCUAUUCUGUUUUAUAAAGCAAAAUUUAAUUGAAACUUCUUCCAUGAAUUUAUUUAUAAAAUUUUCAGGAUGGUGUGAUCUAAGGAACCUUGAAGUGUUGGAUGUGAGUAGAAAUGCACUUGAGGGGAUGCUUCCUCAUUGUUUUAGUAACUUGACAUCUCUUCGUGAGUUAGAUAUUUCAAGAAACCAUUUUCAAAUUCCGCUGUCAUUUGCACCAUUUGCAAACCUUUCAAACCUCAAAGCCCUUUUGAUUAAUGAAAACAAGAUGGUAAUGGAACCUUCCUUUUAUACCUCAAUCCCAAAGUUCCAAUUGGAAGUCAUCAGUUUGUCAAAGUGCAUAACAUCUCAACAACUCAGUCUUAAACUUUGUACCUUCCUUUACUACCAAUAUGACUUGAGAUAUGUGGAUCUUUCGCAUAACAAUCUCAGUGGAACUGUACCAACUUGGUUGCUAGAAAACAACACAAAGUUAGAAGAUCUCAUCUUGAAGGGUAAUUCAUUUACAGGUCCUCUCUCACUUUCGUCGGCUCUUAUUUCUAAUGUAUCUACAAUUGACAUAUCUGAAAACAAAUUACAAGGUCAAAUUCCAACUGGUAUAUGUUCAACUUUUCCACAUUUGAGGCAGUUAUUCUUAUCCAAGAAUGCUUUUGAAGGUAAUAUCCCACUUUGUUUAAGUGGCAUGAAGGACUUAUCAUUUUUAGAUCUAUCAGACAAUCAUUUGUAUGGAAAAGUACCAGAAGAGUUGAUCACGAAAGGCUUACUAAUCAUUUUGAGACUAUCAAAUAACAACCUCAGUGGAAAUGUAGUUCCUGUGAUUCUCAGCGCAAAUGGGGUGCAGCAUUUAUAUUUGGAUGGAAAUAAUUUUUCAGGAGAGAUGACAAAUGUUGAUGUGUCUACUUUUGAGUUUCCAAAUUCACUAAGCGAAAUUGAUCUCAGUAACAACACUUUGCAUGGAAAGCUCCCAAGAUGGAUAGGGAAUGCAUCAUUUUUGGGGAGAUUAGAUUUGUCCAACAAUGGUUUUGAAGGUUCUAUUCCAAUGGAAUUUUGCAAGUUGAAUAGGUUGGAAUUUUUGGAUCUUUCUCAAAAUAAUUUAUCUGGCUCUAUACCGUCAUGUUUUAAUCCACCAUACAUACAGCAUGUCCACCUCCACGGGAAUAGACUGAGAGGCCCACUAUCACUUGCUUUUUAUAAUAGCUCUUCAAUAGUGACUUUAGAUCUUGGAGGAAACAAUUUGACGGGUAGUAUUCCAAAAUGGAUUUACACGCUUUCUUCUUUGAGUUUUUUUCUCUUGAAAGAUAAUCAUUUUCAUGGUAAAGUUCCUAUUGAGUUAUGCAAGUUGCAUUCUUUAAGCAUCAUAGAUCUUUCUCAAAAUAUGUUUUCUGGUCCUAUACCUUCUUGUUUGGGAAAUUUAUCUCUUCCAAUGCAAAGGAAGAAGAUUCUAGAACCUGGUUUCUAUGGGCCACCUAUAGAAGAGGAUGAAACAACACGCAGUACGAAACUAAAUUUGGGAAUGUAUUCUUACUAUCCUAAUAGCUACUUCGAAGAAGUAAUAGAGUUCACAACAAAGAGUGGGUUCUAUUCAUACAAGGGCUACAUCCUUUCAUAUAUGAAUGGGAUUGAUUUAUCUUGCAACAACUUAACUGGUCAUAUCCCACCAGAAUUAGGGAACUUGAGUGAAAUCCAUUCUUUAAACCUUUCACACAAUAAGUUGACCGGAGUUAUACCCUCGUCACUCUCAAAACUACAUCAAAUUGAGAGUUUGGACCUUUCUUACAACAACUUAAGUGGUGAAAUCCCCAAUCAAUUGGUAGAGUUAAACUCUUUGGAGGUUUUCAGCGUGGCAUUUAACAACUUGUCAGGUAGUAUUCCCGAACCAAAAGCUCAAUUUGGGACCUUUAUUGAAAAUAGUUAUCAGGGAAAUCCGUUUCUUUGUGGAGUUAUAUUGCAUAAAAGUUGUUCCAAAACCGAUUCACCAUCAACGAUAUCAAUUGUAUCAGAAGAUAAAGGAGAAGAUGGUUUGAUAGAUACUUAUGAUUUUUGUGUGAGCUUUUUGGUUUCUUAUGUAGUUGUGUUGUUGACAAUUUUUGUUGUCCUCUACAUAAAUCCAUACUGGCGAAGAGCUUGGUUUUCUCUUGUUGGGAAAUGCAUUACCACCUGUCGCUACUCAAAUGUGGGCAAUUUUCUUACUUAUCACAUUUUCAAGCGAUGUGUUUAGCUACUCAAAUUGUGAUUUGAUUUCCACACCUAAAUGUUUAAUUAUGCUAAGUUGAGCGAUAAUGAAUAUUUUGUUGAUUUUUGCAUUUUGAAUAAAAGCUCUUUUAUCUUAUGGUUUUAUCAUUUUCAACCAUCUAUUUCUUUUUUCUUCUAUGAAAUUUAAUAUAAAAUCAUAAUCCAUUAUUAUGUAUAUGCAAUAUCUCUUUAAAUUAAAUUAAAUUAAAUUAACUGCCAAGCGUUCACUAGUGCAUACUAAAAAGGAAAUCUAAUGUAAAAUUAAAUCAAACAUACUACAGAAUUGAAUCUAAAACUGGAAUAUUUUAAAACCUCACAAACAAUGCAAUUCUUUAUUCCUCUUUUCCUCUCAAGUUAUUUUGUAUCAUGUUAUAUUUUACAUAAUUAAUCGUAUCAUCAAAUUUUAAAAAAAUUUUAAUAUUUUGAUAUCAUGUUCAUAUUAUGCUUUAAUUCACAAUGUAUUUUGUAUAAUAUGUUAUAACAAUUCAAUUUAAAAAACAAACAAUUAUCUUAUUUUUGCAUACCGUAAUAUACAUUUACAUGUUAAUAAUUCUUUGUACAUAAAUUUUGACAUGUUCGUAUAUUCGAGUCAUUAUAAUUUUAUUAUUUGUAAUAUGACAUGUUUUACUUACCCUUAAUAUUGUGUCAUGAUAAUUAUAACUCGAUUGGCAGUGUACCAAAUAUUUUUCUAAUAAAAAAUAGUAUUUUAUUCUAUUUACCAAAUCUUUAUCAACUUUAUUUUCUCACCAACAAAACAUACAUUCAAAGUUCAAAUAAGUUCCACACCCAUUUUUUUACUGCAAUACUCAAGAAUAUGCUCAUCAUCAGAAAUCUGAAAUAUUCCACUCUAAUUAACAUUAUGAUUCUGUAAACAACAAAAAAGUGUGAUACUUUUUUAAAGCUCUUUUUUUUUCUUUAAUGAAAUGGGAUUGGUAAAAAAUCCGCACAUGUGUCGUGUGUGAAGGUGGUCAGGUUGUCUAUUCAUACUGUAAUAAGUAGCUAAUUAUAGUUGAUCCUACAAAAUCAAAAUUAAUUCAGGUAUCUAUAUAUUCUGAAGACUGGACAGACCUUAGAAGCUCCUUCAAAUUUGCAAGAACAUGUCGUGGUCCUAAACUCUUUACACCGAUGAAAUUCAAAAGUUGCUCUAUAUCCUGCAAUCACAGUAAAGAUUAUGCAAGCUUUUCAGAACGAAUAACAUAACAAGCAAAAGGCAAUCAAAAUACUGUGAUCUCGAUAAUGUUCUUUGCCGAAAAGGAACAUAAACAUAACCUGAAAACAUCAGUGAAGGCUCAUCAGAUUUGCUUAGCAACCUUACAUACACAUGUAAAAAGCUUUGCUUUUGGAUGUAUGGUGUGACUAUCAUCACAGUCUUUCCUAAUUAGCUGAUAACCCUAUAUCUAACAUUUAUCAGGGCUAAGCAAAUUAACAUACAUAAUGUAAAGGAAUUUGACCAUAAGAUCCAACAGAAAACUUAAUAAAAGAUAAUCAACAUAGAAAGUUAAAAGGCAAUGCAAACUUAUUACAAUGAUGCAAGUGGAUCAAAAGAAAGCACUCUAUAAGGAAUUUGUAUUUAAGGCAUUGUAAACAGAAAAAAAAUAAUAAAACUUUUCGGAAAGUAUUUUCAAAGAGGAGACAAAAACAGGGUAGAAAAAAUGUUUGGUCCUUCCUUUUUCUAUUUCUACUGUGGUGAAAAAGCCUUUUUGGGUUAAAAGUGUUUUUACACUGCAGAAGUGUUUUUCCACUGCAGAAGUGAUGAAGAACACAUAGCUUUGUAGUCAAAAACCUACUGCUUUUGGCUUUUGCAUUUCGAAGUGAAAAUUAUAAAAAUACUCUUAGAUUAAUUUAUAUUUUAUAUAUUAUUAUAUUAAAUUGUUAAAUCUUAUUUAUUAUUAUAUUUAAUUUUUUUCAAAAUAUUUUAUACAUCAUCAAUUUUACAAAUAAUUUAUAUUAAUUACUUUUAAAAGUUAUAUUUCAUGUAUCAUUAUAUUAAAUUAUUUAAAUAUCAUAUAACAUCACUAAUUUUCUACUUUCUACCAUCAUGUCUAAAAUAGACAUUUUAACUUUCAACCGCAAUUUUUGGCAGCAAUGAACAACACUAAAAACUAACAAACACACUUUUCCGCACCACAUUUCAAAAACACUUUUUUCUAAACGCACUUUUGAACUAGUCCUUAGUCUAUCAUGCAUCAACUCUUCAUUUUUCUUUAACUACCCAUGUCCGACUUCGAACAUGGAUAUGGAGAUAUGACCAAGUCACAGUGACAUAGUUUUUAGUUAUGGGGAAUGGGAUUCGAGUGCUGGACCUCCUUCUAGAUGCAUGGUGGGACUUCAUCACAUUUUUCAAAUUUGUUGAUAAUCCUUCACCUAAUCUGCCGGUGAAGUUUAUAGAUAGUUGUUGACACCAUUUUUUUGAUGAAAACGGGAUCGACUUGGAUUUUGAAAAAAGAAUGAAAACGGGAGUCGCCACCAAUCCUUUUUGACGAGGUGUGAUCGGGUCACCUCAAAAUGUGGUUGUUUUUAAUAAAUGAUUUAAUUUUAUUAAAACAACGAUUUUGGUCUACGAAAUUCAGAAAAAUGAGUUCGGGAGUCGGUUACACACGAGGAAGGAUUAGCACCCUCGAUACGCCCAAAAUUGGUACCUAGUUGAUUAAUUAGUGUCUUAGUGUCGAAAAUUGAAAAUUUGAAGAGUUUUAAAAAUACGAUCCUUAAAAGAAAUUCUGAUAACGUGAAUUGAAAUAUAAGAUUCUCUUGUUCCGAAGGAAUAUCACAUCCAGCACGUUAGGACACGAUACUCUAAACCAUCGAAACCAAGAUCAUCUUAUAGUUUAAUGAAACCACACUUUGAAGCUUUAAGAGGAUAUUUGGCUAUUUAGUCGAACGAGAAAUCGAAACCCAGCACGUUAGGGCACGUUUUCUCGAUUUUCCAAACGCGAAAUAUCGCCUUAUUUAGAAAAAUUUUCCUUUUGAUGUUUGGUGUUAAUGCUUGACAAAACAAUAACGAAUACGACAAGGUGAGCAAAGUAAAGUGAGUAACAACAAUACAAUAGGCAAAAUGAAAUGACGAGGCGAUUACAUAAACAAAGCAUACAAAUAAAUAAAUAGAACUAACAUUUAAAAAAAAGCAUAAGUGUACACGAAUAAAUAAACAAACACCAAAUAACAAUGAUGACAAUAAAUACAAUUAUGUAAAAAUGUAUAUACAUGUAUAAUUUUAAGCCAUGAAAUAAGAAACGCAUAUAAAUUAUAGAAUAUGAAAACAUAGAUAAAUAUAUACAUAUGUGUAAAAAAUAAUAUUAUAAAAAGGGUACGUAUAUAUGUAUAAAAAAAUAAAUGUAUUAACAAUGAAUAUAAUAAGGGUAAGAAAACAAGUAUAUACACAAUAUAUAUGUAACGUGGUACUAAGGAUAUAUAUAUACAAUACAGUAUUUAAAAUAAUAUUUACGUAAUAUAAAAUAUAAUAUUAAAAGGUAUAUGUACAUACGUAAUAUAUAAAUACAUAUAUAAUAUAAUGUUAAAAUAUUUACAUAAUACUAAAAUAUUUAGGUAAUAUAUGCGUAUAUUGAAAACUAGUAAUAAUAUUAUCGAGGUAUAUACAAAUAUAUCAAGUAUAUACACGUAUUAUAAAUAUAUAAAUAUAUGACAAAGCAUAAACUAAUAAAAAUAAUAAGAAUAAUAAUAAUGAUAACAUUGGAAUAUAAAAGAAACAAACAUAACAUUAAUAAAAUAUUAAAAUAAAGUGAAAUAAAAAUAUUAAAUAUGAGAAUAUAUAUAGGUAUACACGUACAUAAUAAAAAUAUAUACUAAUACAUAAUAAUAAUAAUGGUAAUACUAAUAAUACUAAUAAUAUAAAAAUAACAAGGAUAUUUAAUAAAGAUAUAAAAAUCAACAAAAAAGGACUAAAAUUGAAUUGAAAGCAAAGUUGUGGGGCCAAUUUGAAAUGAAAACAAAGAAAAAGGACUUAAUUGUAACACGCAUGCAACUUGGAGGGUCAAAAGCGCAAUAAACCCAAGUAUUAAAAACGCUGCGCAGCGUGGGGGACCAGAAUGAAUUCGGGGCAACACCAUGGAGCCAAAUUAAAAAUAAAAAAACCUUGAUUGUAAACUCCCAGAAAGGCGGAAGGGCUAAAAGUGCAAUUAGCCCUUCCAAAGAAAAAAACACGCGGAUCUUCCUUGGUGCAGGUCGGGUCGACCCGACCCGUGUUCAAAACGACGUCGUUUCAUUUAUUUAAACCGGGGGUCCAAAACGGUGCGUUUUGACCCCCUAUAAAAGUCAAAAAAACUUCAAAAAAAAAUCAUUUGUAACGCUGAGGGAAAAAAAAGAAAAGGGAGAGAGGAGAGGGGAGCCCGGAGCGAUUUCCGGCCAAGGGAGGGGUCACCGGACGGCCACCGGAGGCUCGCCGGCGUCAGCGCCGGCCACCGCACGCGGUGGCCGGAAAGGUAAAAUUUUUUAUAUUUUUUUUAUAUUUUUUUUGUUAUUUAUUCUUGGUCUUAGAAUGUAUAGAUUUUAGGUUUAUAUUAAUAAAAAAGGUAUAGAUAUGUAUAUAGAAAUCGAAAGAAAAUGGAUGAAAACAAAAAGGUAACCUUUUCCGUUUGCCUUUCCUUUUUCCCGAAUGCUUGCUAUCUCAGUACUGAGAUCUAUGUAUUUUUUUUAAAAUUUUAGCUUCUGUUUUUUUGUAUUAAAAUGCCAAAAAACAAACAAAAAGAAGAAAGAAAAAAAACCCCCUGAUACAAUUUUUGAUUCGGGUUUUUAUAACCCAUUUUCAUCUAAUUUCCUAUUGUUUCUGUUUUGUCUCUUUGCAUGGGAUGGGCACGAUGGAGGUGACAGAGGCAUGGUGGUACAGAGGAGCAGGUGGCCGACAUGGUGGCAUGGAGAGCUGGGCGUGGCAGACAAGGAGGCCACGCGAGGCAUGCGGCGCUAGGGUUUGGGGGGCAUCUUUCUUCCGAAAAUGUUAAUGUUGUCUGGGCUGGGUUUUUAAUUUUUGUUUCGGGCCAUGGGCUACAUUGGGCUUGUUAUUUUCCUUUGUAAUUGGACUGUUGUUUAUCUUGUUUUAAUAUUCGGGCCUGGGCAUAAAAUUGGGCCUUACAGCUGCCCCUCUUUGCUUGUUAUCGUGUAACGAGAACAGAGCAAAGACUAAAAAAGGCCAAUUUGGCCCGGGCUCACCGAGUUUUGACUUCUUUUGGUGCUUCCUUUCUUCAAGCCUCAUUCUAGUCCACUGCGUCUUAUGAUUCUUCGAUCUGCUCUACUGCAACUUCAGAUACGCCUUAUAGCUUCAAUCUACUCUGCUACGACUCCAUGGGGAUGAGAUUUGUGUUUUUAGUCUGCUUCACUACUACUUAGGGAGAUAAGACUGUGGUUUCGUCUGCUCCGCUACUGCUUAGGGAGAUAAGACUGUAAUCUCCGAUCUAUUCCACUGUCAAAUACAGGGAGAUAGAGUUAUCAGCUUCAAUGUACUCCACUGUAGUCACAGGGAGGUAAAAUCUGCCAUCUUUGAUCUUCAAUCUAUUCCACUGCCAAAUACAGGGAGAUAGAGUUAUCGGCUUCAAUGUACUCCACUGUAGUCAGGGAGGUAAAAUCUGCCAUCUUCGAUCUGUUUCGCUGCCAAAUACAGGAAGGCAAGAUCUGCAAUCUUCGAUCUACUUCACGCCAAUACAUGAAGAUAAGAUCUGCUUUCUUCGAUCUACUUUGCCACCAGUAUGGGAAGACAAGAUCUGCAUCGUCGAUCCACUUCCUACCAAUAUAGGAAGACAGGACCUGCUAUCUUCGAUCUACUUCACGCCAAUACAUGAAGACAAGAUCUGCUUUCUGCGAUCUACUUCGCCACCAAUAUGGGAAGACAAGAUCUGUAUCUUCGAUCCACUUUCUACCAAUAUAGGAAGAUAGGAUCUGCUACCUUCGAUCUACUUCACGCCAAUACAUGAAGACAAGAUCUGCUUUCUGCGAUCUACUUCGCCACCAAUAUAGGAAGACAAGAUCUGCAUCUUCGAUCCACUUCCUACCAAUAUAGGAAGAUAGGAUCUGUUAUCUUUGAUUUACUUCACGCCUAUACAUGAAGACAAGAUCUGCUCUCUGCGAUCUACUUCGCCACCAAUAUGGGAAGACAAGAUCUGCAUCUUUGAUCCACUUCCUACCAAUAUAGGAAGAUAGGACCUAUUUACGCCUAGUGUUUAGGAUGACAUGAUCAGAAUGAAUCAAAUGCUCCUAACUAGAUGCGUAUGUAUUAUAUUUGUAGAAUGUCAUGAGAAUGAUCCAUUUUUAAUGCUUAGGUUGUCAUUCUUCAUUGUUCAUCAAGGUUCUAUCACUGAUGCCUUCUUGUUCAGCCAGUACCUUUGACAGAAAACCUAAAGAAAUAGACGCUAUUUAGACUAUCAUUUCUCAAAUGUUUCCAACCCUUAGGUUUGGUUAGUUCUAAACAAUAGUCCUGUUUCAGGUCAUCGUAUUAUUUAGAAACUUUCAGAGUAAUAUGCAGAACUCCUUCUGCAUGUGUAUUGUCAGUCCAUUAAUCGUUAUUUCAAUGAAAAAUGCUUGAAAAAGAUUAUCAAAAUGGACAAAAUGGAAUUUUGUUGAGAGCAAAGCUCUAAACAAACAAAUCAAGAUAGCAAAUUUGCUGAGAUACGAGAUGAAUAAGAUGAAAAAGAUUAUCACAACGGAUAAGAUGAAAAUUUGCUGAGAGCAAAGCUCUGAAUGAACAAAUUAAUCAAGAUAGCAAAUGUUGCUAGAAUACAAAACGAGAAUAAAUUAAUCAAGAUGAUGUAUUUUGUCAAAAAUACAGAAAAUGAAUAAAAUGGAAAUAAGUGCCCCAGAUAUCGUAGCAUGAGCUUCUCUGCCCCAAACUUCUUAAGGACCCUUUUGAACUUGAUAUGUGUUUAGAAGUCCUAGAAGGCUUUGUUGAUGCCCCAUCUUUGAUCGAAAACUACUUUAUGCCUCAUCCUUGAUCGAAAAUUUGAAUUGCCCGUUCCUGGGUUUUCAAUUCAAAACCCCUUUGGUCUCAAGGUGCCCUUUGCGGGUUUUCGCCUUGGCCUCUCCUCUUUUUUUUUUUUAGGCAAAGUACCUCUUCACUGAAUCCGAAUUCACAGGAUUGGGCAAGCUUUUGCCAUCCAUCCUAGUUAAAAUUAAUGCCCCUCCUGAAAAGGCCUUUUUUACUACAUAAGGUCCCUCCCAGUUUGACAUCCACUUUCCUCUGAAGUCUUUUUGUAUGGGAAGGAUCUUCUUCAGUACCAAGUCCCCUUCAUGGAAGUUUCUAGGACGAACUUUCUUAUUGUAAGCUCGCAUCAUUCGUUUCUGGUAUAUUUGACCAUGACGGAUAGCUCUUAACCUCCUUUCCUCAAUCAAGUUCAGCUGAUCAUAUCGGGAUUAGACCCAUUCUGCUUCGUCUAACUUUAGUUCUGAAAAAACUCAGAGGGAGGGAAUUUCAACCUCAAUUGGUAGCACUGCCUCCAUUCCAUAAACCAAAGAGAAUGGUGUUGCCCCGGUAGAAGUCUUGACGGACGUUCGAUAAGCAUAGAGGGCGAAUGGCAACUUCUCGUGCCAAUCUCUAUAGGUCUCAGUCAUUUUCCCCACAAUCAUUUUGAUAUUUUUAUUGGCUGCCUCCACCGCACCAUUCAUCUUUGGACGGUAUGGCGAUGAGUUGUGGUGCUUGAUAUUGAAUUGACUACAAACUUCUGCUAUCGUGCUAUUAUUCAAAUUUAAUGCGUUGUCAGAUAUAAUCCUUUCGGGCAUUCCAUACCGACAUAUGAUUUCCUUCUUUAAAAACUUGCUGACAGCUGCCUUUGUGACGUUGGUGUAAGAAGUAGCCCCUACCCACUUAGUAAAGUAGUCAAUCACUACAAAAAUGAAACGAUGUUCGUUUGAAGCCUUUGGCGAUAUCGGCCCAAUGACGUCCAUGCCCCACAUGGAGAAAGGCCAUGGGGAAGUCAUGACGUGAAGAGGUGAUAGAGGCAUAUGGAUUUUGUCUCCGUAAAUCUGGCAUUUAUGGCACUUCUUAGCAUAUUUGAUGCAGUCUCCUUCCAUGGUAGACCAAUAAUAUCCAAAUCUCAUGAUUUGUCUGGCCAUUGUGAAACCGUUAGCGUGUGUUCCACAAAUACCAUCAUGGACUUCUUCCAAGAUCUGUUUGGCCUCCAUAGCGUCCACACAUCUUAACAGCACCUGAUCUUUUCCUCUUUUGUACAGGAUCUCUCCAUCUAAGACGUAAUCACUGGCCAGCCUCCUCAACAUUCUCUUGUCAUUCUCAGUUGCUUGGUUUGGGUAUUCACGAUUUUUUACGUAUCGCAAUAUAUCCUGAUACCAAGGGUUUUCGUCCUUUUCUUCUUCUUCGUCAAUGUUACAACAGUGGGCUGGAGCAUCAUAAAUGCUCAUUUGGAUAGGCUUCACAUCCUCUGGUCUAUUUACUUUGAUAAUGGAAGCCAAUGUAGCUAAAGCGUCGGCCAUCUGAUUCUCGUCUCGUGGAAGAUAACAAAAAGUGAUGUCGUCAAACUCCUCAAUCAAUUCUAGGACUAUCCUUCGGUAACUAAUCAACUUAGGUUCUCUUGUUUCCCAUUCGCCUUUGAGCUGAUAAAUUACCAAUGCCGAAUCCCCAUAUACCUCAAGUACCUUGAUUUUGCGUUCUAUAGCCGCGCGGAUUCCCAUGAUACAUGCUUCAUAUUCCGUCAUGUUAUUUGUGCAAUCAAAAUCUAGUUUACUGGUGAAAGGAUAAUGAUCACCGUUUGGAGAUACCAAGACUGCCCCAAUCCCGUUGCCCAUGGCAUUUGAGGCUCCGUCAAAAUUUAAUUUCCAAGUAUUGCCUUCUUGUGUGCUUGCUUCAGUAGUUGCCACAUACAUCAGAUCCUCAUUUGGAAAAUCAAAGUUCAAAGGCUCAUAAUCGUCCAGGGCUCUACUUGCUAGAAAAUCUGCUAUCGCGCUCCCUUUUACAGCCUUUCGAUUCACAUAGGUUAUGUCAAAUUCAGAUAGUAGAAUUUACCAUCGGGCCAUCCUUCCGUUUAGAGCAGUUGACUCCAUCAUGUAUUUCAGAGGGUCUACCUUUGAGAUUAACCAAGUCGUAUGGUACAACAUGUAUUGUCUCAAUCUUCGAGUAGUCCAAACCAAUGCGCAACAUAAUUUUUCAAUUGGCGAAUACCUCGUUUCGCAUUCAGUGAACUUUUUACUGAGAUAAUAGAUCGCUCUUUCCUUUCGUCCUGACUCAUCAUGUUGGCCGAGCACGCACCCCAUGGAAUUCUCAAAUACUGCCAAGUAUAGUAUCAAUGGUUUGUCAGGGCAAGGUGGUAUCAGUACUGGGGCGUUGGACAAGUAAUGUUUAACUCUUUCGAAAGUUUUCUGGCACUCUUCAUCCCAUACACCUGGAUUGUGUUUCCUAAGAAGACGGAAUAUGGGGUCACAUUUCUCGGUUAAUUGUGAAAUGAAUCGAGCGAUGUAAUUUAGUCUUCCUAGGAAACCCCGAACUUCUUUUUGAGUACUUGGCGGAGGUAAUUCUUAUAUGGCCUUAACUUUGUCUGGGUCAAUUUCAAUUCCCUUUUCGCUGACUAAAAAUCCUAGCAAUUUUCCUGAUCUAGCCCCGAAAGUACACUUGGCUGGGUUAAGUUUUAGCUGGAACUUCCUUAACCUCAGAAACAGUUUUCUCAGAACUUGCACGUGUUCCCUUUCUGUUCUGGAUUUUGCGAUCAUGUCAUCAACAUAAACUUCUAUCUCUUUAUGCAUCAUAUCAUGGAAUAAUGCUACCAUGGCUCUCUGAUACGUUGCUCCCGCAUUUUUCAAUCCAAAAGGCAUCACUUUAUAACAAAACGUCCCCCACAUCGUUAUGAAUGUGGUCUUCUCCCUGUCUUCAGAAAGCAUCUUAAUUUGGUUGUACCCGGAGAAACCAUCCAUGAAAGAGAGCAGUGAGUAUCCGGCCGUGUUGUCUACCAAGGUAUCGAUAUGAGGAAGUGGGAAAUUAUCUUUUGGGCUGGCUUUGUUCAAGUCUCUGUAGUCCACACACAUUCGCACCUUCCCAUCUUUCUUAGGAACAGGGACUAUAUUGGCUACCCAUUCUGAGUACUUGACCACCUGUAAGAAACCAGCAUCAAAUUGCUUCUUAACUUCUUACUUUAUUUUUAGCAAGACAUCAGGCCUCAUCCUUCGGAGCUUUUGUUGGACUGGUUUGCAUUCUUCCUUUAUAGGCAAUCGGUGUACCACGAUAUCAGUACUUAACCCUGGCAUAUCUUGGUAGGACCACGCGAAGACAUCUUUAAACUCUUGAAGCAACUCAACAAGGUCUUGCCUUGUUUCCUUGGCAAUGCAAGCGCCAAUUUUUACCUCUCUGCUCUCUUCUAAGGUCACAACUUCUACUGAUUCCUUAUAGGGUAUAAUUUGUUUUUCUUCUUCUUUCAUCAUUCUUAACAAAUUCGGAGAUAAAACGCUGUCUUGGUCACCUUUAAAAUCUUGAGGAUCAUCUAUACUCAUGUCUUGCUCAAAUAGAGACUCUGAAUUAGUAACAGAGUCGCUCAUCUCGUUGAUAUUUGAAGACCUGUUAUUGGAACAAAUGGAGGCCCAAAUAAAAGGAUCUAAGAAUACUUGUAUGCAUAUUAUGAUUAUAAAGGGAAUGAAAAGAAUGAAAGAAUACUUGCUCAAGAUGAAACUGAAUGAUAAGUUUUCACUGAAAUUAGAUUUUGAACAUGUGCAUUUUACAAAAGAUUCUUAUCACCCCCAGGCUUAGGGCAACAAGUGUUCUGAAUAUUACUCUGAAUUAGUUCUAAAUGUUACAGGGAUCUCUUCUGCAGUCCAGUUAUUCGGAACACUUCCAGGUUCGUAAGGACGAAUGCCCGAUAAAUUCCUUUCCACCCUUUCUUCCGCGGAUAUGGCAUUGAUGUCCAACCUCUCAAUCCUUCCUUCUGUAACCUCAUCCUUCUCUUCAGGGUGGACAAUUCCCCCUGAAACAAAAGUCUUAGAUAUAUGAGGAAAGGUUAUCGGUCCCCACUUGGCUUCUAUCCCGCCCAAAUGUGCUCUUCUCCUUUCUUGUCUUUUCUCCAUCUCCUUCCUCCUUUCCCUCGCAAUAGGCUUAUAUCCCAAACCAUAACGGUCCUGUUUGUUAACUAGGAUCGGUACUCCGACCCUUCCCUGGAGGUAUUUUCCAAAUCCUCUUCCAGGCAAUGCUCCCUUUCCCACCGUUAAGUUCAUUGACGUAGCUUUGGAUAUCUUAGGCUCUGGGAUUUUGCUCAUCUCAAUGACAAAUAUGGCAUUUACGAAUUCCAAUGAUCGGAAUGAACAUUCUAUCGCUUCACUAUCAGCCUCUAUGUAUGGCAUAUCAUCGGUGACUGAUGCAAUGAUGUCUUCUUCUGCACCUAUAGUCACCAAUCUACCCUCUACCACCAAUUUUAACUUUUGGUGAAGUGACGAUGGUACAGCCCCUGCAGAAUGGAUCCAAGGCCUCCCUAAUAGGCAAUUGUAAGAUGGUUUAAUAUCCAUUACCAAAAAGUCUACCUCGUAUGUAUUUGGACCAAUCAAUAGAGGUAUCUCGAUUCUUCCCAUCACUUUUCUCUCAGUGCCAUCAAAUGCUCUCACUAUAUUUUGGCAUAAUUUCAUGUGAGAACUAUCCACAGGUAGCCUGUUUAAUGUGGACAGGGGUAAAACAUUCAGGGCCGAUCCAUUGUCAACGAGUACCGCCGGUAGUAUACACCCCUUGCAACGGGCAGUGAUGUGCAAGGCCUUGGUAGAUCCCAUACCGCCUGGCGAGAUCUCAUCAUCGUUGAAGAAGAUGAAGUUAUCGGCAUUUAUAUUGUUAACCAGGCAAUCCAAUUUGUCCACUGAGAUAUCUUUAGCGACAUAAGUUUCAUUUAGCACUUUUACUAACGUAUUACGAUGUAUCUCUGAACUUAGAAGUAACUCGAGCACUGAGAUGCGAGCCGGUUACUUAUGCAGUUGUUCCACCACGCUAUACUCGCUAUGCUUCAAGAAUUUUAAGAAUUCUCUAGCCUCAUUUUCAGUCACCGGUGUAUUAAUAUGCGGUUCAAUUCCGGUCUUCGUUUUAUCUUGUUCAACCGCCAAGGCUUUUCCUUUUAUAGGCCCCCUUUUUGUAUUUCCCGGGUCGCAACGUUUUCCACUACGCGUAUAAAAGCCUGUGUCAUUACCCUCUUCUGAAGCAUUUAUCGGGUUCUCCUCUCCCGUGAUCAUCACAUUGCAGUCAUAAUUCUAAGGAACCUUUUUACUAUCCUUGUAAGGAAAGGCUACAGGUUUUUGGAUUAUGACCCUUGGCGCCAGUUGUAUUCCAGAUCCUGUGCUUGUUGGCCUUGAAAUAAUCACCACCGGGUGAUUUUGGGCCUUUCUCGUAGGCCCCUCCUCUGAGGCAUAAACUUCUCCUUUCUCAAGUCCUUUGAUCUCUUCAUAAAAUUCUAACUCUUUGUUGUUCAUCAGAUUUUGUAACAUGGCCUUGAAAUCAGUGCAAUUUUGAAUGUCAUGGUCUUCUUCAGCAUGAAACUCGCAGUACGUCUUCGUUCCUUCGGGCCUUUCUUUUGAAUCUUGUUUGAUGAGACCUCCUUCUAUCAUUUGUCUCCAAACCCAACUCAAUGGGGUUUUUAUCUCUGCAAUGUCGGUUUUGAUUCUCUUUCUCCCACCUUCGAUUAUUGCGUUUACCCCUUUAUCAGCAUGAUCGGGUAACGGAUUCGCUGCUACAUUUGGUCCUAAUGGGUUGUCAAACUUCACAAUCCCCAUCUUAAUGAACCUUUCCACCGCCUUUUUAAACCCAGUGCAGUUCUCAAUUGAGUGCCCCGGUAUCCCUGCAUGGUAUUCACAUUGGGCAUUCGCGUCAUACCAUUUGGGAUACGGAGGUUGCAUGGGCUCUAGAUAAAAUGGAGAUACUAUGUGUGCAUCAAAUAACUUCUGAUACAGUUCCCCGUAUGUUAUUGGAAUGGGCGUGAAUUAAAGUCUCUCUGUGUUAGUCCUUGUGUUAGGCCUCGUGUUGGGUUCCUGCCUUGAGGGGGCUUGGUGACUAGUGGUUAUCAUUUUUGGAGGGCCAACAGUAAUCAGUUUUGAAUGGCUCUUGCUAUAUGUGCAUACGUUGUUUACUUCGCCCUCUUUUUUUCUUCGGGCUGGUCUUUUGAAGUUUUCCCCAGUGUCAAUUUUACCGCUCCUUACCGCGUUCUCAAUCAUUUCACCAGACAUUACCAUAUCCGAGAAACUCUUGGUAGCACUCCCCAACAUGUGGUUGAUGAACAGGGCUUUCAAAGUGUUGAUAAACAACAUGGUGACCUCUUUUUCCAAAAGGGGUGGCUGGACUUGUGUUGCCACUUCUCUCCAUCGUUGGGCGUAUUGCCUGAAAUUCUCGCUAGGCUUUUUUUCCAUGUUUUGUAACGUAAUUCGAUCGGGUGUUAUAUCCAUUACAUGACUGUAUUGCUUCAUAAAAGCUUGCGCCAAGUCUCUCCAUGAACUAACUUUAGCACGACUCAGUUGGUUGUACCAUUUGGCUGCAGAUCCGAUCAAACUGUCCUGGAAGCAGUGGAUUAACAGCUGAUCAUUGUUGACGUAUCCUGUCAUUCUUCGACAGAACAUAGUUAUAUGAGCUUCAGGACAACUAGUCCCAUUAUAUUUUUCGAAUUCUGACAUUUUGAACUUAGGUGGGAGUACUAAACCAGGGACCAAACUCAGAUCAUUGACGUCAACCCCGCGAUGACAGUCGAUGUUCUCCAUGGCUCUAAAUUUUUCCUCUAACCAUCUACAUCGGUCCUCCAGUUGUUUUGGCAGGUUCAUUCUUGUUUUUUCUGUUUCUGCCACGUCAUCGAGGUCCGGGACCACCAGAUUAGUGGGAUUAUCCCCGGGAUUAAAACCCGAGCCCAUUUGAAAAUGCACUGGUACCGAGGUACCAGCCAGAUAUUGAGGUCCUAUGGUAACUGGUACCCUCUGUGGGUACACCUCUGGUUGUGCUUGGAUGUUAGUUGGGGUGAAACCUGGAGGAUAAACAGGGUCAUCGUGAUCCUCCCCAGCAUCAAUUACGGGGUCUUUUCCUUUGUUAUUCCCUCCAGCCAAUAACUGCUUUAAUUGGUUCAUCACGGUGUUCUGGGAUUCUAACAUGUCCUGCUGGAUUUUUUCCAGUCGUUCAUGCAUCUGAUCUUGCAUCUCUCGUUGCAACUGUUCCAAUCUUUCCAACCUUUGAUCCAUUGCUUUUGUUUGGCGACGAGUACCGUAGUGAUAUUUGAUUAGAUUUUUGUUGGUUUCCAGGGUAACUGUCAUAAUUUAAUUUUAUUAGGGUCAUUUUAUGAGAUGUAAUGCAAAUGUAUGAGAUGAAUGCAAAAAAAAGAGGCAUUGAUUCGAAUUCAAUUUCAUUAGAAAACUCAACUAGAAAGCAAAUUUCUUUACAUAAAAUAAAUUACAUAUACGGCUUCGCCUUUAUACCCAAAGCCUUAACCUUCCUAAGAAGCCAACUAAAUCUCGACCUCGGCUUGAUUCUGACUCAUAUUUUAAACUCAAUACAUCGGCCUGAAUUGCUAAUGUUUGCAGAUGAUCAGCCACUUCCCGCACUUGAGUCACAGCUUCGCCCAUAACGUAAUCUCUAUCUCUAAUCUGACUUUGAGAAUGAUGGAAUUGCUCUUGCCAUUGAUCAUUACUCCUCUCAAGAAGCUCCAUUCGUAGCUCAGAAUUGUGUAAUGCGUCCUCAAGCUCCUCUACCUUUCCUUUCAGUUCUUCGAUCUUAUUUAAGCUUGCUCUUAAUUCGAUCAUGGAGUUGCGACUACGGUACGAGUGAAGUGACUUUUCUAGCUCUGCCACCUUGGCCUUUAAUCCUGCCUUCUCAUUUCGGCACUCUAACAAACUCCUUUCCAAAGCGUUUUCUCGAGCUCAAGCAUCUUGAAAUUUCUUUUCCCACUGAUCGGCCCUAUUCUUUUCCUCAUUGAUCUCUUGUCGCCAUUGCUCUGACGUUUUACCCAGACCGACAGUUCUCAUUGACAAUCGCAGCUUCUUGUAAUCUAUUUUUAGACUAUCCAAAUCCUCUUCAGCCUUGUUCUUUCCCUUCUUUAAUUUCUCGGCUUCUAGCUUGUGGAUAUCGAUGUCUAAUCCCAAAUGCACUCUUUCUUCUUCUAGCUGUUCUAUCCUCUUUCCCAACUCAGAAUUUCUUUUCUCAAAGUCUCGUUUGAUGAUCUCUAAUUCUGACGGAACUACUUGUAGAUGCUCCUCUAUAGACUGAACGCAAUCUUCCCUCGGCUUAGGGAUGUUGUCAUUGACUCUUUUACUCCACCACCCAUAAUAUUCUGAAGUUGUCAUCGCUCCUACGGUAAAUCUUUUCAUUCGGUGAACCUGUUUCCAAGCGUUAGAUAUUUCUCGAGUUUUUCUCUUGUAGUUUUCAUCCUUAUAAGAAAACUCACAUUGAGCCAGCCCUUGUGUUGCUGGUAUGAACUGUCUCGAUCUAUAUUGUCUUAAUACGAGUAAAGGGGCAUAACCGACAGCUCCCCAAAUUUCGAGUAAAGGGACCCAGUCGAAAUCCCCACAUCGAUACAGGAUCUCGUCGGGUACCAUCCAAGGAGCUUUCCAUUCAACGUCAUCCUCCUGAAGAUUUUGGAGAAUCGUCAUCCACUUCUCUUCCGUGAUGUCGUCUCGUCUUGGUGUAGCAACUUGUUCCUUCAAUGGGGAAUAGUCUUCUGAGAAGACUCGAUAGGAGACAUUUUCCACCUUCCAAAAGUGACUAUGGAACCACACUAAUAGUAGCUGUGCGCAUCCGAUGAACCUUCCCUCCCCUGCUCUUCGACAUGCACUUAGAAAUCUGAAGGUUUCUGCUAAGAUUGCCGGGAUGGGCGUGACUCCUUUACUAAGCCGAUCGAACAAAUCAGAGACGGCCUCAUCUACGUGCCCUAAAGCUCUAGGGAAAAUUACCAAUCCAUAGAUACCUAGAGCGAAGACAUCCACUCUUUUCUUCACAUCAGGGUGUGCUAAUACUAAAUCUCGCAAGCUUUUCCAAGGAACGCAUUUACUGUCUCCUUUCUGUUGGAUUCGGGCAGCGACCCACUGUUCGCUCAUCCCUGUAAUGCUCAUCAAUUUUUUUAAUAAUGUCGGGACACUAGCAGCUCUAGAAUAGGCCUUGUCAAUUUGAAUCUUUGGACACCGAAGCAAGGUCGUAUAUUCUUCCAUGGUGGGCACCAAGUCCACUUUUCCAAAAGUGAAACAACUGUAAGCAGGAUUCUAAAACUGGGCUAGGGCUCGGAAUAAAUGCUUGUCCACUUUGACACCAAGUAGGUAAGGCAAGUCCCCGUAGUCACAGUAAAACAUCUGCUUGGUCCCAUCGUCCCAUUGAUCCCAUAUUUCCUUCAUUUCUCGAAGAUCAUUUUGGAUUACGCUGAUACGGGUGAAGUCCCAUAACUCUGAUACGUACCCUUCUGCAAGACUAUCGCCUUUCUCUCUCCACAUCGUCUCAGCCCACACUCGUACAGCUGCAUUGUCUUCUACUUUAUCAAGAAACCUCUUUUCCAUGAUAAGCUUUCUAUCUAUACUGAACGUGAAUCGACACCUUUUGAAAUGAAAAUGCCAUGCAAUCAUAAACAAAGCAAAUCAGAGCUAGGAUUUAAAGUAAACAAUAAUAAAUAAAGCAUCUAUUCGGUAAGCGCUAGGGUUUGGAAUAGCUCUAUCUCGGUGGGUUCUUACGGCUCGCUAUAUGUGGUUUAGUUCUAAAGUAAGGGUACCUGAACCAGCAGAUUCCUCGAUCCUCACCCAUUAUAGGCUCAUGGACCGAGUUCAGUUCAGGGGAAUACAUUUCCCUAUGGCCAUGCGGAGAUGAAAAUCUCACGAAGACAUAGGUACGGAUGUAUCCCGGAAGCGAUUCACUAUCCCAUGCGGAGGUGAAAACCUCACGAAGGCGUAGUUUCUCACUCCCACUUAAAAAGGUAUGACCAGCGAUCAUGCAAUUCAAUGUGCAGAGGUAUAAAAUAAAAUACAGAACACGAUAAAAAAUAUAACUCAAAACAAAAGAGAUGCAAUGAAAGGAUCGUAAAUUUAAAUCAAAUUUUCCACUUUCAACAAAAAGACAAGAAAUAAUCAACACGUGGCUUGACUCUCUUUCGUUCCCCAGUGGAGUCGCCAAGCUGUUGACACCAUUUUUUUGAUGAAAACGGGGUCGACUUGGAUUUUGAAAAAAGAAUGAAAACGGGAGUCGCCACCAAUCCUUUUUGACGAGGUGUGAUCGGGUCACCUCAAAAUGUGGUUGUUUUUAAUAAAUGAUUUAAUUUUAUUAAAACAACGAUUUUGGUCUACGAAAUUCAGAAAAAUGAGUUCGGGAGUCGGUUACGCACGAGGAAGGAUUAGCACCCUCGAUACGCCCAAAAUUGGUACCUAGUUGAUUAAUUAGUGUCUUAGUGUCGAAAAUUGAAAAUUUGAAGAGUUUUAAAAAUACGAUCCUUAAAAGAAAUUCUGAUAACGUGAAUUGAAAUAUAAGAUUCUCUUGUUCCGAAGGAAUAUCACAUCCAGCACGUUAGGACACGAUACUCUAAACCAUCGAAACCAAGAUCAUCUUAUAGUUUAAUGAAACCACACUUUGAAGCUUUAAGAGGAUAUUUGGCUAUUUAGUCGAACGAGAAAUCGAAACCCAGCACGUUAGGGCACGUUUUCUCGAUUUUCCAAACGCGAAAUAUCGCCUUAUUUAGAAAAAUUUUCCUUUUGAUGUUUGGUGUUAAUGCUUGACAAAACAAUAACGAAUACGACAAGGUGAGCAAAGUAAAGUGAGUAACAACAAUACAAUAGGCAAAAUGAAAUGACGAGGCGAUUACAUAAACAAAGCAUACAAAUAAAUAAAUAGAACUAACAUUUAAAAAAAAGCAUAAGUGUACACGAAUAAAUAAACAAACACCAAAUAACAAUGAUGACAAUAAAUACAAUUAUGUAAAAAUGUAUAUACAUGUAUAAUUUUAAGCCAUGAAAUAAGAAACGCAUAUAAAUUAUAGAAUAUGAAAACAUAGAUAAAUAUAUACAUAUGUGUAAAAAAUAAUAUUAUAAAAAGGGUACGUAUAUAUGUAUAAAAAAUAAAUGUAUUAACAAUGAAUAUAAUAAGGGUAAGAAAACAAGUAUAUACACAAUAUAUAUGUAACGUAGGUACUAAGGAUAUAUAUAUACAAUACAGUAUUUAAAAUAAUAUUUACGUAAUAUAAAAUAUAAUAUUAAAAGGUAUAUGUACAUACGUAAUAUAUAAAUACAUAUAUAAUAUAAUGUUAAAAUAUUUACAUAAUACUAAAAUAUUUAGGUAAUAUAUGCGUAUAUUGAAAACUAGUAAUAAUAUUACCGAGGUAUAUACAAAUAUAUCAAGUAUAUACACGUAUUAUAAAUAUAUAAAUAUAUGACAAAGCAUAAACUAAUAAAAAUAAUAAGAAUAAUAAUAAUGAUAACAUUGGAAUAUAAAAGAAACAAACAUAACAUUAAUAAAAUAUUAAAAUAAAGUGAAAUAAAAAUAUUAAAUAUGAGAAUAUAUAUAGGUAUACACGUACAUAAUAAAAAUAUAUACUAAUACAUAAUAAUAAUAAUGGUAAUACUAAUAAUACUAAUAAUAUAAAAAUAACAAGGAUAUUUAAUAAAGAUAUAAAAAUCAACAAAAAAGGACUAAAAUUGAAUUGAAAGCAAAGUUGUGGGGCCAAUUUGAAAUGAAAACAAAGAAAAAGGACUUAAUUGUAACACGCAUGCAACUUGGAGGGUCAAAAGUGCAAUAAACCCAAGUAUUAAAAACGCUGCGCAGCGUGGGGGACCAGAAUGAAUUCGGGGCAACACCAUGGAGCCAAAUUAAAAAUAAAAAAACCUUGAUUGUAAACUCCCAGAAAGGCGGAAGGGCUAAAAGUGCAAUUAGCCCUUCCAAAGAAAAAAACACGCGGAUCUUCCUUGGUGCAGGUCGGGUCGACCCGACCCGUGUUCAAAACGACGUCGUUUCAUUUAUUUAAACCGGGGGUCCAAAACGGUGCGUUUUGACCCCCUAUAAAAGUCAAAAAAACUUCAAAAAAAAAUCAUUUGUAACGCUGAGGGAAAAAAAAGAAAAGGGAGAGAGGAGAGGGGAGCCCGGAGCGAUUUCCGGCCAAGGGAGGGGUCACCGGACGGCCACCGGAGGCUCGCCGGCGUCAGCGCCGGCCACCGCACGCCGUGGCCGGAAAGGUAAAAUUUUUUAUAUUUUUUUUAUAUUUUUUUGUUAUUUAUUCUUGGUCUUAGAAUGUAUAGAUUUUAGGUUUAUAUUAAUAAAAAAGGUAUAGAUAUGUAUAUAGAAAUCGAAAGAAAAUGGAUGAAAACAAAAAGGUAACCUUUUCCGUUUGCCUUUUCUUUUUCCCGAAUGCUUGCUAUCUCAGUACUGAGAUCUAUGUAUUUUUUUUAAAAUUCUAGCUUCUGUUUUUUUGUAUUAAAAUGCCAAAAAACAAACAAAAAGAAGAAAGAAAAAAAACCCCUGACACAAUUUUUUAUUCGGGUUUUUAUAACCCAUUUUCAUCUAAUUUCCUAUUGUUUCUGUUUUGUCUCUUUGCAUGGGAUGGGCACGAUGGAGGUGACAGAGGCAUGGUGGUACAGAGGAGCAGGUGGCCGACAUGGUGGCAUGGAGAGCUGGGCGUGGCAGACGAGGAGGCCACGCGAGGCAUGCAGCGCUAGGGCUUGGGGGGCAUCUUUCUGCCGAAAAUGUUAAUGUUGUCUGGGCUGGGUUUUUGAUUUUUGUUUCGGGCCAUGGGCUACAUUGGGCUUGUUAUUUUCCUUUGUAAUUGGACUGUUGUUUAUCUUGUUUUAAUAUUCGGGCCUGGGCAUAAAAUUGGGCCUUACAAUAGUCUUAAGUGUCUAUCACAAGAACCUAGAUAUUGUAAAUCCAAUAUCUUCCAAACAAUUCAACCAUGAUAUUAAUGAUGAUGGAAGCAAGAUUAUCCACUAUCAAUGACAUAAAAUGAGCUGUAAAUGCUGACGAACAAACAUGCACUGUUUUUCCAACCUGUGGAUUGAAGAGCAUUGACAAGCUAACUUUGCAGACCAUUUGAAUCCAAUACUAUACAUAAAAAUGCCAAAGGAGAAUAAUUCAUCUUGGAAAAAGAAUUACUAAUAUGCAAAAGCUUACCUUGUUUAACAAGAACACAGCAUAUGCUGCUCUUGUCGUGUCUUGACCUUCUAAAAACAGCGGAAAUUCUGCCAGCUUUACAUUUGCUGAAAGUGUUGUAUCCAAUGACAAAUCAGAAGAUGCAGGGUCUAUUGAAGACGCAUGGUCAUUAAUAUAUGAGCGAGAACCACCCAAGCGCAGAGGAUAACGCAAGGGAACUUGUAAAUAGGAUGCAAUUAGUGAAACAGCCUGCAAAUGAUGAAAUAACAGGAAACAAGAAACAAUAAUAGGUAUGAUUAAAAUUAUAGCCUCAGCAUGAGAAACAAGCAAUCAAGAUGCAGCCCACUAUACCAUAUUACCAUCCUAGCAAUUAAAAAUUACUACAGCAUCUUCAAGCAACAAGGGAUUGUAGGUGGUAGGUCAAAAAACUUGAUAUCCACAGCUUGAUAUUAUCAGAAAAAACAAAUUCAGUAAUAAAUGAUAACUUCACAGAAGAAAUAGAACGCACAUGUGCAACAUAUCCCAAGGCAGUUGCAGAUCUCUGAACCUCCUUUUUGUCAGUGAAAAAACUCAUCUUUGUAAAAGGAAGCAAGGUGAGAUUCAGACCUAAAAUUGUCAACGAUCCUUGAUUGACGGGCUUUGAUGCAGAAGGAUUCCCUAGUGAAGACAGGAACAAAGGAACUUCAUAUCAAUACAUCACCAGACACCACCUCUUUGUGAAAGUCAAAACAAAAUUCAAAAAAAUAUAAUCAUGAAAGUAAGAGAUAUGUAAAAAGUUCAUAAUAUUCAAGAGCAAAAAAAAAUUGUUUUGAUAUGAGGAGAAUUGAAUAGUAGAUUGCUAAAAGAGGAAUAACUGAAUACAGCCAUCAUAACCAAAAGAAGAGUCAAGUGAUAGGUAAUGGUACUCCCUAAGCUGUUUAGGAAUCAUAAAAGACUUGUCCAGUUGACAAAAAUAACUCAUUUUAUUCUCCCCUAGUAAAACAUCAUAUUGGACCAACCAUAUUUGAUAUCAAAGGAUAUGGAUAUCCAGGCAUGCCAUUUAUAGAUAUUCCCAGUGUUGCAAGAAGGAAUUGUUCAAGAGAAAGAAGCUGCUAUUGUUGGUAAAGUUUUCCUCAAACCAUUUUGAACAUCCAAAAUCUCAAGAACAAAAAAGAAAACGUAGGAGGAAAUAUAACAAGCAUCACAACGGGUUCUCGAUGAUAUAAGUGAGAGGAUAAAUGUUAAUUAAGAUUAUAAAAAUAAACCACAAACUAAACAGGAAAGACAUGGAUUUCAAAACGAGGAGACUGGCUGCUAAUUAAAACCAUAUGCGGUGUUGUCUAGGGCGCAAGGCGCAUUCUAGGUGCUAACCUUUAUAUUGCCUCAAGCACAAGGCACAAAAGGAAGCGCUAGCCUGAGUGCAGUAAAGCGCAAUACAUAUAUGUGAGAGUUUUUGCAAGUCUGUGUGUCUACAACAUAAAAGUUUUAAGAUAUAUAGUAAACUCUAAAGUGUGGUCUGGUUUAUCCACAAAACUUGCAAAAUUUUUAUAGGUGAAUGCUCAAAUAUUGAGAAUUAUAGAGUUUGAUAUUAUCCCUUUCUUAUUAGUAAAGGUGUAUCAAAUGAAAACAGUAAAAAAUAAAAUAAAAUAUUGAGAAAUUCAACAAGGCAGGCUUUUUCUAAUGCCCAUUGCCUUACAAAAAAAGUGUGCCUAGGUGCACCAGGCAUACGCUUGAUCAAAUGGACCUCACCUGGAAGGGUCCAAGGCGUUUGGUUGUAUAAAACUAAGGCGUAGGCAUGCCUAGGCGCAUGCCUUGACGACACUGACCAUAUGUUGGCUUUAUUGCAAAGCAUUAGCAAUCCAAAACUACUAGCACAUUACCUAAUCUACUACUGCUAGAAUAGGACUCAAGUUCUUGCUCCUGUGCAGGUCCAACCAAGAUCUUUACAGGAUACAAUAAUGAAACUUGUGAUAUCAUAUAUUGUUGCCUUGCUCGAAGCUUCCUUUGCACAUUUUUAAGUUUAACACAACCCCUUUCUUCAGUGAGUAAUCUAUUUGCUUCCUGUGAUAAAAACAACAUAUAAUCAAUCAUGCCACGCAUGCAAGACUACCAACCAACUAUCUAACAAAAGAUACAAAGAAGUAGGAGAGCAAGAAGGGGAUAACCCUUGACUAUGCAAAGGAAUUCAUAGAAUGAGAAUCAUCUCAUCUAAGCCCCUCAACCACCUUCACAGGGGGUGGAGGUGCAAAGAGAGAGGUCUUAUUGAUCCGAGAGGAGAAUAUAUAACAUCUAAAGCUGAAUAAGAAGAAACCUUGAAAUAUAUCAUAAAUUCAGAAUUCAUGAUAAUAUAAAAAUGAAAUUCCAAAGCUAAUUUAAGCUAGAAUAAAAAUGCUUCACCUGUAAUCACUUCCUUGCUACAGAAAGAGAGGUACCAGCAACCAACAAUGAUCUUACUUCAGUACUAAGCAUUUCCUCCUGUUUUUUAGCAUCCUCUGUUGCAACUUUGCAAUGAGUUGACAUGUUUGCCAUAACUACUUUCCUUGCCUCGAGUCUCUCACGCAUUUCCUCAAGCUCGUUCAGUUUAUUCAAAGACUCAUUUUUUACCUGCACAGCAUGUUCCCACCCAUUAAUCAGUGGGCCAAUUAAUUAGGUCACAGAAGACAAAACUAAAUUAUCACUCACCAGGUCCCCUUGAAGUGUCAUAUGGCUUUAACAAUUCAACGUGCAAUAUCUAGUAAAAGUAAAAUAAACAUAGAAGAAUGCAAAUGCAAUUCUUAAACGCCUUUAAAUGGACAACAUGAAACACUUUAAGAGCCCUAUAAAACAGAAAACUGGAAAAAAAAUCUGAAAAGGAAAAAAAAAUGAAUUGAAACAAUAAAUCCAUCUGGUACAAACAGCAACAAAUCUCGAAAUAAGCUUUGGCUUUAGCCCAUUAAAGCCCGGGCAUCCGGCCAAAUAAACAGUGACUGCCAUGUCAACUUUUUGAGACGGUAGAAAAGAGCUCAAAAAUCUCAAUUUCCAAAAAUAAGGACAUAAGAAGGAAAACAAUUUACUUAUUCUUACAGUAGAAGAGCAAAAUGAAACUAAAUGAAGGAUAAGGGAACUGAUGCGAAUUGACAUUGUUAUUUUUGGGACUAAAAAGAAUACGCAGAUUGAAUAUUUAAGAUUUUGUAAGGGAAAAGUUCCAUUCACCGACACAAUUAUCAUCGCCCUUUAUCCCAGUAAAGCUUAAUUGACAAUUUUUCUGUCUCGUGUUCUUGCUAAAGCAUUUGAGCAACCCAACAGAAAUCAUUAUAUUUCAAACUGAAAUGAUUGGCUUUAACAAUUUCACAACCUAUACCGCCCAACCUAGUAAGUAAUUUAGGUGCAGACACCAGAAAUCUAUUUUCUUUGCACUCUACAACUAAAUAGCAUACCACUUAUCAAUCAAACACAGCUGAAAACUUCAGUGAGGGAACAUUAUGUAAAAUGAAAAAACUAUAACUUCAACUUGAUUCAUAGCUCGGCAAGUUCAGGGAAUUGGGACUUCUACCACGAUGAUCCAGUUCAAUGUGAAACAGUGAUCCAUAUCAUGCAUAUCGGUUCCCGGAACAAGAGGUAAAACCAGCAAAUUAGGUAAACAAUAAUCCUACUAUAUUUCAGAAUAGCAACAUUGAGCAUGAAAGCUAAAAUUAUAGCAUAUUACGGGUCCUUGCUCUCUACAACUACAUAUAAAAUUAGUAAACAAUAUUACUACAUUAAGGAUCCAGAAAAACUUUGUUUCAAUUGUUGAUCACUUGAUCCAACUAUUUUAGAAAGUUUAUUCUUCUUUUUCCUUUCCCUUAUUUUCUAAAUCAGGAAAAACAGUAGCAUAUAAAUUGGAUUACUACUCCAAGUUUCUGAAAUUUCAACAAUAUCCCUUUUACCUUUUCACUCAAGUCAUUACCCCCCAAUUAACAAAUAUAUUCCCAGUUUCCCUUUCCCUUCAAACACCCCUUUUUUUUUCCUCUACCCAAAUUCAGCUUAUGUUCAAAAACCCAAAAUUGGUUUGCUAAAAUAACAUAAUUUUCAAACACAAAGAUAACCUAAUUUUAAUCAGAAAAAAAAAGCAUUACCUGAAUUAGUGACUGGAGUUUCUCUUGAAGACUUUGUUUCUUCUCAUUAGCUUCCUUAAGGGCAGAAGUUAAACUCCACAAUCUAGCUAGCUCGUUGUCGAAAUCUUCCCAUUCAAUUAGUUGCACAUUUUCAUGUGCAGCAUUGAUUUUCUUCGGGUCGGUAAUUAGGGUUUUGACUCGGGCUUGUUCUCGAUUUUCCAUGAAAUAAUUGAAGAGGAAAGCUUUCGAUUCUGUAAGUUUAAAAAGGGAUCAUAGAUCGACCUCAUGGUACUGGAUCUCGCCCGGUUAGAGUGUUCUUUUUCACGCCGAUCGAAUCAUUUUCUCGGGAAACUUUGCUAGCUAGGGGUAAUUUUCUCGGGAAAAUGGAGGGAAAAACAGAUUCGGGAGUUUUUAUUUGGGGGAGUCUAAGGUAUAACGGAGAAUGACAGGUGGCGGUUAACGGAGGAAUCUCACGAUUCAUGUCAUUUUCACUUUUUCGAUUUAGAAAUUGCUUAAAUACUUUUAAAAAUAGAUAAUAAGAUAAACUUUCUUUUUGAAUAAGAUAAAACUUUCAUUGAAAAUAAAUAAAUAAAUUAAAAAAUAUUUGAUGAUUUUUAAGUUGGUAAUUUUUUUUUAUAAAAAUUUGGUAACUUCUUUGAAAGUUGAUAUAAAAUGUAUCACGACCCGACUUGAGAUUUAAUUUGUCCUCGUCAGAAGUCCGACCCAAACAAGGGAAUAUGACUUGCCACUCACCAAUUUUUUAACCUUCCAACUUGCCAGCUUUAUGGAGUAACUCGGCACCUUGCGACACUACCUAACAUACCGUGAGAUUUAAGUACAAAUAUCUCUAAGGGUAUGUGUCAAGCUUAAGAGAAAUAACAUAUUAUUAUACAUAUUAUUUAGUUACCCCUAACAUGUCACGUCAAAAAAUCAUACUAUAAAAAAUAGUCCUCACAAGAUAGGAUAGAAAAAAAAAGUCAUCAACAAAAGUAAUUAAGUAACCUUUUUAUAAAACAAAAAGAUUUAUUUUAUUUUGAAAUAAAUUAAUUCUCUAACUUAUAUAAGAAAUUAAGUAAAAUCUUUUUAAAUAAUAAGACAUAAUUUCUCGAAAAAAAAUAAUCAAAUGAGAGCUAAUCAAAAUAAUUUAUUUUUUUAGGCCAAACAAUUUUACUUCAACUAUUUAUAAACACUUUUUAAUCAAUUUUAUUUUAACUCCCAUUAUAAAUUUUAUAAAAAGGAUAAUAUAUUAAAAAUACCCUUAAAUUAUUAGAUUUUGUAUAAAUAAACUCUUAUUUUUUUUAGUUAAAUAAACUCCUAAAUUAUUAAUUUAGUCAUGAAAAUGUUGAUAUAAAAGUAUGAGAAUAAUUUAUUAAAUAAAAAAUUAAUUAUUUUAAAAUAUUUAAAAUAUUUAUAUACAUAAUAAACUUAAUUAAAUUCUCUAGAAAAAAAAUUUAUAUUCUUUUAAAUUUUAUGUUGAUAUAUUAUUUCUAUUUGUCUAAUAAAGUGCAUAACGAGGCAAUAACUAUUUUUUAUGUAUAAAUUAAACAAUACUACAACUUCCGAAGUUAAUAAGAUUAUAUCUAUACUCACCAUCACAAUUAGAGACAGGGGUGAGUAUUCGAUCGAAUUGAGUUAAAAAAUUUUGAAUUAGUCGAGUUAACAAAUCUUAUUUUAGCAAUCGAAAUCAAUUUAAAUUUUUUUAAAUCAAAUCGAAUCGAGUCAAAAAAUUUCAAGUCGAAUUAACGAAUCCUAUUAUUUAUACUCAAUAUUGCGUUUAUAUGGGCUGAUUAUUUAACUGGUAGACGAAGUACAAGAUUAUUUAACUAUAUAAACAAUAUAAUGGUUUUGCAUUGUAACUUAAUAGGUAAACAUUUAUCAAAACGAAAUAAUUUUACCUUUUAAGUUAAUGGUUUUGACUUUUAACUUUUAACUUUAAAAAAUAUAAACAUUUAUCAAUACGACGUAAAUUUACAUUUUCGUAUUCGGAUUUUCGAAUAACUCGAAACGUGUAAUUCAUAUUCGAGUUAAACUAAAAAUUUUAAUUUUUUUAUUUGAGUUAAUCUGAAUAACUUGAUUAAAUCGAAUAACUCGAAUUGUUUAAUUUGAAAUUUGAUUUUUUUAUCGAAUUUUUCAAAUCAAAUCAAAAUUUACUCACCCUUAAUUAGUCAUCAUAACUAAAUUAAAGUUGCCCCAUUAUGCAAUUGCAAGUCUUCAAAGCCUAAAAGUUGUAACAAUUCAAAAUUUCAAUGGAAAUUAAAAUUAAUAUUUUUAUCAUAUAUUAGUCAAAGUUUAUUGCAUCAACAAUAAGUUAAGAUAAAAACCUCAAAUUUUAAAAUAUUUUUACCUCAAUAUAAAAUUUAAGAGCUUUCAUGUAUAAAAACUAAAGGUUAGAGCUUUCAUGUUUAAGGGCUUAUUUAUACUUCAUCUUUAUAAAAAAACACUUAAAUAGUAGUUUAAAUUAUAUAGUUAAUCACUCAAUUUUAGUAAAUUUUCAUUUUAGUCACUCGUUGUUAAUUUGGCUAAUGUAAAUAUUACAUUACACUGAUUUUAGUCACCUAAUUUUCAUAAGAUAGAAUUAAUUUUAUUUUUCGGUAAAAAAGAAAAGAAAAACUCAAAAUUUUACAAGCAAGUACCUAGGUUUUUAUAGAAAAAACUUGGAGUUUUAUAUGAAAAACCUACGUUUUUAUUGGAAUAGUCAUAUUAUCUUUUUUUAUUUCAUUUAUUUUUUUCAUUUAUAAAAUUAAUUUUAGCUUUUUCAAUGAAAAGAAAACCUAAUUUUUUACUAAGAAAAUCAUUUUAUCUUUUUAAUUUCUUUUACUUUCAUAUUUAGAAUUAAUUUUAAUUUUUUUUCCAAUAACAAUGAAAAAAAACUUGGAUUUUUACAAUGAGUUUGUUGGGUUUCCACGAGAAUUGCUUGAGUUUUAUGAAUAACUCAAUUCCUUAAAAAAUUCUAAAAAAAAUUAGAAAAAUAAGAUUAAUUAAAAAAAAUGGAGCAAAAUGAAAAUUUACUAAAAUUAGAUGGCUAAAAUGAAUAUACAAUUGCAUUUUCGUUAGCCAAAUUAACAUGUGAUCAAAAUGAAAUAUUAUUAAAAUUGAGUGAUUAAAAUGAAAAAACUAUUUGAUUUAUUUACACCCUGAUUUUAUGAGCAAAUUCCCCAGCACAAAGCCUAUUUUGACAAUAACAGUUCAAAUGAAAAGUCUUCGCUUACUCUUUGAACGAAACUCUUCUCCCGCUAAAACCACCUCUUCUUCCUCCAAAUUCAAACGCCCAAAGCUUUCUUCCAUCUCUAAUGGCUCUGAUUCAUCACAAUCAUCAUCAUCUCAAGAUCCCCUUAAAACCCAUUUCUCCUCUCUCAUCAAAUCCUCCGAAACCACCCUACAACUCCGGCAAAUCCACGCUCAAAUCCUGCGCCGCCACCUCUCUUCCAGUGCCAAUCUCACCACCCUCUUAAUCUCCGUUUCUUCUUCCUUCAAAUCCAUACCUUACGCGCUCUCUAUUUUCAACUAUUCUCACCACAAAAGCUUAUUCCUUUUCAAUGCUUUGAUUCGUGGCUUGACGGAGAAUUCCCAUUUCCAAUCCUCAGUUUCACAUUUUCUUCUCAUGUUGAGACAUAGAGUUCGCCCUGAUUAACUUACAUACCCUUUCGUGCUCAAGUCUAUUGCGGGAUUGGGUCUUCAUUUCCUUGGUCUGAUCCUUCAUGGGAGAAUCAUAAAAUCUGGGGUUGAGUUCGAUUCGUUCGUUCGGGUUUCGUUAGUGGAAAUGUAUGUGAAGCUCGAGGAAAUGGGUUUUGCGUUGCAAGUGUUUGAUGAAAGUCCUGAGAGAAACAAGAGUGAGAGUAUAUUGUUGUGGAAUGUGUUGAUUAAUGGGUGUUGUAAAGUGGGGGAUUUGGAGAAAGCUAUGGAGUUUUUCGAGGCUAUGCCUGAAAGGAAUAUUGGGUCUUGGAAUAGUUUUAUAAAUGGGCUAAUGAAAAAUGGGGAUUUGAACAAAGCAAUGCAGCUUUUUGAUGAAAUGAAGGAGAAGGAUGUGGUUUCUUGGACUACAAUUGUUAAUGGGCUUUCACAGAAUGGAGAUCAUCAGAAGGCGUUAUCCAUGUUCUUUAAGAUGUUGGAGGUCGGUUUAAGGUCGAAUGAUCUUACUCUUGUUUCAGCUCUUUUCGCUUGCGCUAAAAUUGGUGCACUUGAAGUUGGAGUCCAUAUCCAUAACUAUUUUGUGGAAAAUGGGCUUCGGUUGAAUAAAGCAACUGCUGCUGCUUUGGUUGAUAUGUAUGCAAAGUGUGGGAAUAUCCUAUCUGCUAGUAAGGUUUUUGAAGUAACUGUUGCGCGGAAGCGUGUGAAAGAGUAAAAUUAUUGUACUGAAAAAUCACACUAAGUUCAAUUCCCAGGAAAGAGAGGUGGAUCACGAGGAUCGCUUACAUACCAGAUCUUUCCUAGCCAGAAUAUCCCUCUAUCGUAAUUUAAUAGCACAAUAAAUCACUACAAUGACACUUGCAAAAUAUGCAGAACAAAAAAUAAAGAACACUAGAAUUUUAACGAGGUUCAGCAAAUUUUGCCUACGUCCUCGGGCACUACCAAAUAUAUUUCACUCCAAAAAAUACAAGUGAAAGUUUACAAAUAGGGAGAGAGAACAAUUGCCUUAAGUAGAGAUUGGCAAGUGUGGGAUGAAGAAAGUAAGAAAUGGUUAGGCCUAUUUAUAGUUGAGGUUCAAGGAUCAACUUGCAAUGUCCCUAUACAAUUAGGGACCAAAAUUGCAAUUAUCUCAUGCCAACUUUUAACCCAACUUGCCAACCAAUUUUACUUUCUACUUUCGGUGACCACCCUUUUUGACUUUUCAAACAAUGGGUGGGUUCCAAUAAUCUCCACCUUGAAGAUUUGAUUAGGCUAAUCUUAUCUUCACACAAUUCUUUCUGCCUUUGACAACAAUACUUGAUAGUGCCUUCUUCAACUGUUAAACUUGCAGGAUAUUAAUCAAGUUCAAACAAUGUUCGAACUUGGUUGAUGUUACCACCUUGCUCAUCAUAUCUGCGGGAUUAUCUGCAGUCUUGAUCUUCUGAAGACAAAUUUUCCCCUCUUCAAUAAUUUCCCGCACAAAAUGGAAUCGUACGUCGAUAUGUUUUGUACGUGCAUGAUAGACUUGAUUCUUUGCUAAAUGAAUAGCACUUUGACUAUCACGAUACACGUUAAUAUGCUCCUGAACCAACCCCAAGGUUUUAGCCAUACCUUGUAACCAAAUAGCCUCCUUUACAGCCUCUGUUACAGCCAUGUACUCGGCUUCUGUGGUUGACAAUGCAACUGUAGACUGUAGUGUAGACUUCCAACUUAUUGGUCAUCCAGCAAGUGUAAACACAUAACCAGUGGUUGAUCUUCGAUUGUCCAAAUCACCGGCAUAGUCAGAAUCAACGUACCCAAUAACACCUUUACCAAGUGUAUUAUCCUGCUUGAACAGUAAUCCAACAUCCACGGUCUUCUGAAUAUACCGUAGAAUCCAUUUCACAGCUUGCCAAUGUCCUUUUCCAGGAUUAUGCAUAUACCUGCUCACUAUACUAACUGCCUGUGAAAUGUCAGGUCUUGUACACACCAUUGCAUACAUCAAGCUACCCACUGCAUUAGAAUACGGAACUUGCAACAUGUAUUCUCGUUCCGUAUUCGUCGAAGGAGAUAGUUGUGUAAAAAGCUUGAAAUGAGAAGCCAACGGGGUACUUACAGGUUUUGUCUGCUCGUUCAUGCCAAACUGCUGUAGUACCUUUUUCAAAUACUGCUUCUGAGACAAGCUAACUCUAUCAUGAGCUCUAUCUCUCCAUAUUUCCAUGCCGAGAAUCCUUUUAGCUUCUCCUAGAUCUUUCAUCUCAAACUCGAGAUUGAGUUGAGUCUUCAAUCUUUCAAUUUCAACUUUGCUCUUAGAUGCUAUUAGCAUAUCAUCAACAUAUAAGAGCAAGUAUAUGAAAGUUCCUUCUUGUAGCUUCUGAAAAUACACGCAAUGAUCAAAUUUACUUCUUGUGUACCUUUACCCUUUCAUAAACUGAUCAAAUCGCUUGUACCACUGCCUCGGAGAUUGCUUCAAUCCAUAAAGCGACUUUGUCAGUUUGCAAACCCAAUUUUCUUUUCCAGCAACCUUGAAUCCAUCUGGCUGAGUCAUAUAGAUUUCCUCUUCCAAAUCACCGUGUAAAAACGCGGUCUUCACAUCAAGCUGAACUAGUUCAAGAUCAUAUUGCGCAACCAAGGCUAGCAAAAUCUGAAUAGACGAAUGCUUCACAACUGGAGAAAACACUUCAUUGUAGUCUAUUCCUUCUUUCUGAGCGUAACCCUUUGUUACUAAUCUAGCCUUGUAUCGAAUUUCAUUUUUAUCAGGAAAUCCUUCCUUCUUUGCAUAUACCCAUUUGCAUCCAAUUGCCUUCUUUCCCUUGGGUAGUGUCACCAACUCCCAGGUCUUAUUUUUCUGAAGAGACUGCAUUUCUUCAUUCAUUGCUUGCUUCCACUUUACACCAUCAGGGUUACUUAUUACUUCUGUGUAAGUAGAAGGAACAUCAUCAUCUGUAUUUGGAAAUGCAUAGGCCACUAUAUCAUCAAAGCGAGCAGGCUUACGAAUCUCUCUUCUUGGCCUUCUAUAUGCAAUUGAAUCUUGUUGCUGUAGAGAUUCUUGGGUAGGAACCUCUUCAUCAUUUGUCCCUUCAAUAUUAGCUGGAUCAUCGUUAACCUUUUCAAGCUCCACAUGCUGCAAAGUACUAACGGUUUUGUCAUCCUUUUGUGAAUCCUUGUACUUCAACAUGGUUGAUUCAUCAAAAGUCACAUCUCUACUGAAAACAAUCUUCAUUGUAUCAGAACACCAGAGACGAUAUCCUUUUACUCCAUCAGUUAUACCCAAGAAUAAUGCUUUCUUUGCUCUUGGGUCUAACUUAGAUUCUUUUACAUGAUAAUAUGCAGUGGAACCAAAUACAUGCAAAGAAUCAUAAUCAGUAGCAGAUUUACCAGUCCACAUCUCUAUAGGAGUUUUUCCAUUUAUUGCAGCUGAUGGCAAACGGUUAAUUAGAUGGCACGCAUAUGUAACUGCCUCAGCCCAAAAUUCUUUGCCCAAUCCAGCAUUGGACAACAUACAUCGAACUUUCUCCAGUAUAGUUCGAUUCAUUCGUUCUGCCACCCCAUUUUGCUGUGGUGUAUCCCGAACAGUGAAGUGUCGCACAAUGCCCUCAUCUUGGCAUACUUGUAGAAAUGGAUCGUUUUUGUACUCAGUACCAUUAUCUGAUCGAAGUCGUUUGACCUUUCGACCAGUCUGAGUCUCCACCAUCUUCUUCCAUUUCAGAAAUGCAUCCAAAACUUCACUUUUUCUUUUCAUUAGAUACACCCAUACUUUUCUUGAAUAAUCAUCAACAAAAGUAACAAAAUAGUGCAUACCUCCCAAAGAAGCUACUUUGGUAGGUCCCCACACAUCACUGUGAACGUAGUCCAGAAUUCCUUUCGUAUUGUGAAUUGCUGGACCAAAUUUUACCCUCUUCUGCUUGCCCAGAACACAAUGUUCACAGAAUUCCAUUUUGCAAGAAUUUGCACUUUUCAAUAAGCCUUGCUUCACCAAUGUCUGCAAAGCUUUUUCACCAGCAUGUCCCAAUCGCAUAUGCCAUAAUCUGGUAGCCUCUGAAUCUACAUCUUUUGUAGAAACUGUUGAUGUUGAUCCAAUAACUGUACUUCCAUUUAAAAAAUACAAGUUAUUUCUUCUUGUGCCUUUCAUCACCGUCAGUUGCCCAGCUACUACUUUUAGUAAUCCAUCUCUCAAAGUGAUUGUGAGCCCUUUAGAUUCUAGGGCACCUAAUAAGAUGAGAUUUUUCUUCAGGCUAGGUACGUAGCAAACAUCUGUCAAGACUUGGAUUGAGCCGUCGUGAUUCUUCAAUUGGACUGUACCCACUCCCAUUGUCUUACAAGCACUAUCAUUGCCCAUAAGAACAAUUCCACCUUCUAGCUCUUUAAGACUAGAAAACCAGUCCUUAUUAGGACACAUAUGGUAAGUACAUCCUGAAUCCAAAAUCCACUCAUCCGUUUGACAUGCCAUUGCCAUGCCAACCAAGCUAAAGUCUGACUCCUCAUCAUGCUCCGCUACACAUGCAUUAGAAAUAGCCUUGCCCUUUUGUAGCUUAGGACAAUUCUUUUUCCAAUGCCCUUUUUCACGGCAAAAGGCACAUUUAUCUUUGGCGGGUCUCCCUUUGGACUUUCCUCUUCUACCAGAUUUGCUGCUGUGUGAACGACCUCUUACUGUUAAGACUUCUGCGGUUGUAUCUCUGUGAUCUCUUUUAUCUUUCUUUCGAGUCUCAGAUCUAUACAACGCACUACAGACUGCAUCAAAUGUGAUCGUGUCCUUCCCAUGAAGCAAUGUGGUGGUAAGAUGAUCAUAUUCAUCAGGAAGGGAAUUCAACAACAAUAAUGCAUUGUCUUCAUCUUCAAAUUUCUCAUCCAAAUUUAGCAAGUCUGCUAAAAUUUUAUUGAAUGAGUUCACAUGGUCAUUCAUCGACAUACCGGGUGCAUACGUGAAUCGAUAAAGUUUCUUUUUCAUAUAAAGCCUAUUUUCAAGACUUUUCGUUAGAAACUUUUCUUCCAGUGUAUCCCAUAACUUCUUCGCUGAUGUCUCCCUCAUGACAGAGUACUUCUGCUCUUUGGCCAAACAUAGGCGGAUUGUACCACACGCCUGUCUAUUGAUUUUGGCCCACUCCAUGUCAUCCAUCUUGUCAGGUUUUUCUUCAAAUGCUAUAUCUAGCUCUUGCUGACAUAAGACAUCCAGGAUCUCACAUUGCCACAUACCAAAAUUAUUGGUACCGUCAAAUUUCUCUACUUCAAAUUUUGCAUUUGUCACAGUAGUCCUUGCUGAUGACGAUGCUGCUGCCAUUUUUCUCCUCAAUCCCAACUACUGUAUACGUGAACAGUACUGUAUACGUGAAUAGUACCGUAUACGUGAAUAGUGCCGUAUACGUGAAUAGUACUGUAUAUGUAAAUAGUACCGUAUACGUGAAUAGUGCCGUAUACGUGAAUAGUACUGUAAACGGUCGUAUUCCCCAAGUACGAACCUGGCUCUGAUACCAAUUGUUGCGCGGAAGCGUGUGAAAGAGUAAAAUUAUUGUACUAAAAAAUCACACUAAGUUCAAUUCCCAAGAAAGAGAGGUGGAUCACGAGGAUCGCUUACAUACCAGAUCUUUCCUAGCCAGAAUAUCCCUAUAUCGUAAUUUAAUAGCACAAUAAAUCACUACAAUGACACUUGCAAAAUAUGCAGAACAAAAAAUAAAGAACACUAGAAUUUUAACGAGGUUCAGCAAAUUUUGCCUACGUCCUCGGGCACUACCAAAUAUAUUUCACUCCAAAAAAUACAAGUGAAAGUUUACAAAUAGGGAGAGAGAACAAUUGCCUUAAGUAGAGAAUGGCAAGUGUGGGAUGAAGAAAGUAAGAAAUGGUUAGGCCUAUUUAUAGUUGAGGUUCAAGGAUCAACUUGCAAUGUCCCUAUACAAUUAGGGACCAAAAUUGCAAUUAUCCCAUGCCAACUUUUAACCCAACUUGCCAACCAAUUUUACUUUCUACUUUCGGUGCCCACCCUUUUUGACUUUUCAAACAAUGAGUGGGUUCCAAUAGUAACAAAAGAGAAGGACAUUCGUACCUGGAGUGUCAUGAUAUGGGGUUGGGCAACCCAUGGGUUUUAUGGACAAGCUAUCCGAUGCUUCAAAAAGAUGAUGUUUUCAGGUGUGGACUUAGUAGUUUUCAUUGAGCUCAACCCUUUAUUCUAAUCUUUCUGAAUAAACUCAAGUUUGUCGUAUUUGCAGGAAUAAAACCCGAUGCGGUGGUCUUUCUUACCCUCCUGACUGCAUGCUCACAUUCUGGACAAGUAGAUCUUGGGCUUAACUUCUUUGAUAGCAUGAGGUUUGAUUACUCCAUUGAGCCAACCAUGAAGCAUUAUACGUUGGUCGUUGAUUUGUUAGGCAGGGCAGGCCGACUGGAUGAAGCAAUGAAGUUCAUACAAAGGAUGCCUAUAAGUCCUGAUUUUGUGGCAUGGGGAGCACUUUUUGUGCUUGCAGAGCUCACAAAAAUAUUAAAAUGGCAGAACUAGUGUCAGAAAAGCUCCUUCAGCUUGAACCUAAACAUCCUGGGAGCUAUGUUUUCUUGUCAAAUGUUUAUGCAGCAGUUGGUAGAUGGGAAGAUGUGGAGAGGGUAAGAAUGUUGAUGCAGAAUCAAGCUGUUGGCAAAGAUCCGGAGUGGAGUUAUAUUGAAGUCAAUGGACAAGUGCAUAGUUUUGUAGCUGGUGAUCAUGAUCAUAAGCGUGCAAGAGAAAUAUACUUGAAAUUAGAGGAAAUAGUGUCUGGUGCAAGAGAGCAAGGAUAUAUGCCUGAAACUGGGUGGGUUCUUCAUAAUAUUGAGGAAGAAGAGAAGGAAGAUGCAUUAGGAAGUCACAGUGAGAAAUUGGCGCUUGCCUUUGCCUUAAUGAACACUCCUCCGGGGACAACUAUUAGGAUAGUGAAGAACUUAAGAGUAUGUGGAGAUUGCCAUUCUUUGAUGAAAUGUGCUAGUAAGAUGAGCCAAAGAGAAAUCAUAUUGAGAGAUAUAAAGAGAUUCCACCAUUUCAAGUAUGGGGUCUGCUCAUGUGGAGAUUAUUGGUAAAAUGGUAAGUAACAGCAACAUUAAUUUGCUUUGCUGUUAAUAGCACAUGAUUAGUGCUUCUACUUGGUUUAUUUAGAAUAAUGCUUUUAGUUAAAACAUGGAUGUAGCUACAGCAACACAAGUUUUUUUGUUUGAUAAUUGGUAGCAAGUACAUUAAAUUUCUCCAAUGGACCUUUCUGCACAUAUAUAUUAAACUUGAAACUCAUUAGUUAAGUUUGUACUUUAUUUAGGUAUCUAAUUAACGUUGUUAGAUUUUUUCAAUUUCAACUUAUCAUCUUGUGCCACUUCUUUCUCUUCCCUUUAGUGAAAUUUAGCACUUUAAAAGAUGGGUUGCAUUUUGCUCCCUCUGUCAAAAAAAAUGGACAGAUUAAGCUAUACACGUUAGAUCAAAGAGCAAAUAGGUCUUUUUGUUUAAAAAUCCAUCAAUUUUUGUUGUUAAAAAUCAAUCCAUUUACAUCAACAUAAAAUAUAUAACUGUUUGGGUAUCUCAUCAUCCAUGUUAGUUUUUAGCAAUACAAAUGGAUAGAAUUUUUAACAAAAAAAACCAGUUUAUUGUUUGAUCUAACAUACAAUGACUAAUUUGUCAAUUUUUUAAGUAAAUAAAGCAUAAUGCUAAUUGACUCUUAGUAUAAUAUCUCUAUGGUACUUUUAUCAAUACUAUCUCUAUUUAUGAAAUUAAAAAUACUUAAAUAAUUAGAUUUAUUGUAUAUUGUGAUAAAAAAUUAUGUAAGAAAUGCAUUUAUUAAAAAUCCAUAUAAAAUCUAAAUGAUGAUUGUAAAGUUAAAUGUUCUGGUGCAAGAGAGCAAGGAUAUAUGCCUGAAACUGGGUGGGUUCUUCAUAAUAUUGAGGAAGAAGAGAAGGAAGAUGCAUUAGGAAGUCACAGUGAGAAAUUGGCGCUUGCCUUUGCCUUAAUGAACACUUCUCCGGGGACAACUAUCAGGAUAGUGAAGAACUUAAGAGUAUGUGGAGAUUGCCAUUCUUUGAUGAAAUGUGCUAGUAAGAUGAGCCAAAGGGAGAUCAUAUUGAGAGAUAUAAAGAGAUUCCACCAUUUUAGGUAUGGGGUCUGCUCAUGUGGAGAUUAUUGGUAAAAUGGUAAGUAACAACAACAUUAAUUUGCUUUGCUGUUAAUAACACAUGAUUAGUGUUUCUACUUGGUUUAUUUAGAAUAAUGCUUUUAGUUAAAACAUGGAUGUAGCUACAGCAACACAAGUUUUUUUGUUUGAAAAUUGGUAGCAAGUACAUUAAAUUUCUCCAAUGGACCUUUCUGCACAAAUGAUAUAUGUCCCCAUAAAGAACUUGGUGCUCACGGUAUUGCAUGACAGGUAGCCAUAGGUUAUUCGCUCUCUUGAUUGGUAUCUUACAUUCCUCAAGGUCCAAAAGUUGUUCCUUCUUUUUGUCUGAAGUCCAAACCUAAGAAAAGCAUUGAUGGGCCUUUAAAACUUUGCUCAUUUCACUACAUGAACUAUUGGAUGUUUUGUGUUCAAAUUAGUUUAUGCCAGUAGUGAAAGUACAUCUCUUUCUCCUUAUCCAGUUAUUCUUUUCAGUUGUCAUCAUCUUUCUGUGUCUUGCCUUCUGAAGUGUUUAGAUGACUGCAUUUCUCAAUAUAAUUUUCAUUUGACCUAAAUAGUUGAAAUUAAAGUCCCUUAUCAUGCCAUUCAUUACUUUGCUUCUAUAUGGUAGUUAUUCUUCAAUGUCCAUGAAUUGACAUAUAUCACUGGAAGCAUAAUCUUACUUCUAAGCAUGGGAUUGACCUUCUUUAAUGCAGGUUCUUCUGUAAGACUCAAACCAUAGAUGGGCAAGGCUUGAGAAAAUAAAGUUGUAAGUGUUGAACCAGGAAGGACGAUGUUGGCCAUGUUAUAAACAUUCCUCCAGAAUGACUAAACAUCGAGGAAAAGGUUCAACCAUGAGUGGUCCACUGAAACGUGCUUGGUCGAACACGUGCCAAUUAUCAGCUACGUAUCAAAUCCCACAAUUAUAAAUGUAGAUUGGGUUCCAUGCUCUGGUUAAUCCAUUAGAUGACACGGUCCAUUGAAAAGGUACUAAAUUACUGAUGUUUGGUCCAUAUAUGAAUCUGUUUAUUUAAUGGCCAGCAUUAAUUGUUAAUUCUCUUGUUUGCGGGUGACUUUUCCUCUAGCAUGCCUUAUGGAAAGAAGUGUCAGUGACAACCUUUUAAUCAACAGCAACUUACCCUACUAAUGAGCAUUUGGAGCAUUUCAUAGCUCGUUCAGUUUAUUCAAAGACUCAUUUUUACCUGCACAGCAUGUUCCCGCCCAGUAAUCAGUGGGCCAAUUAAUGAAGGAGAGGAUAGUUUGCUAGACACAUGUUUUUUGUGUGAGCUUUCUGGUCUUUUAUGUAGUUGUGGUGUUGACAAUUUUUGUUGUUCUUUACAUAAAUUCUUAUUGGCUAAGCGCUUGGUUUUCUUUUAUUGGAAAGUGCAUCACAACCUGUCGUUACUCAACAAUGGCCAAUUUUCUUGCAUAUCACAUCUUCAGGCAAUGUGAUUAUGUUGAAAAUUGGCCUACCAUGCUUGCUGUAAUACUUCCGGAUGAAGUACGUGCUAGCAAUUGUUCAUGCUGCAGCACGUAUGCUUGCUGUAACAGCAAGAUUUUUGUUUUAGUUUCACUGUAAUCAGCCUAGUUGGAAAUGAACAAGCUGAUGACAGCUUGAUAUGUUUAGGUGUUGAAUGACUAAUUUAGGUGGCUUGUUUCUGUGUACAAGCAAUGUUUUUAAAGUUAGUAGGCUACUUAGUGGUAGUAGGUAGUAAUAACUGAUGUAGUUGGCUAUAAAUGUAUUGUUUUUUUAUUGAAAAAUUAAGCAUAUCAGUGGUUAAAACAGAUUGCUUCCUUGCUGCACGUUUGUGAGCAAGUAAAUUAUUCUUGCAGCUUGCUUCAUUGUCUUGUUCUGUUCUCUGUUUUCUUCCUCUGCUGUCAAAAAACCCAACAGAUUAGCUAUCGUGAAGAUUUCAACAAAGUCGGUUCGUGUUGAUUCAAGGAAAAAAAGAUAUUACGAUUUGAUUUCCUCACCUAAUUGUUUUACUAUGCGAAGUUGGAUUGUGAGGAAUAUUUUGUUGAUUUCUGCAUUUUGAAUAAAGAGCUCUUAGGUUUGUGUGGCCGACGUUUAUAGUUUUAUCUUUCGAUUUUAUCUUUUUUUUUGUAUGAAAUUUAAAGUUUAAUCAAAACUAAUUGUUAUGUGUAUGUAAUAGCUAUUUGAAUUAAAUUAAAUUGACAAAUCAACGUACACUAGUGCAUACUAAAAAAAAUGUAAUAUAAAAUUAAACCAAAAUUGAAUCUAAAACUUAAAUAUUUUAAAACCUCAAACAUAUGGCAACUCUUCACUCCUCUUUCCCUCUGAAGUUAUUUUAAUUUAAAAUAUAUUUUGUAUAAUGUGUUAUAACAAUUCAACUAAACAAAGUGAUUCUCUUUGCAUAACAUAUUAUAUGCUUAUAUAAACUUUUACACAAUUUGUUAUAGAUACAUUUUUAAUAAUUGAAUGAUGACUCCAUUAAAAAUGCAAUAUCAUAAUAAUUCUACAUUUCUUGCAUUAAUAUAAAAUUUUCCUUUUUUUUUCCUCCAAGCCUUGUUUAUUAUCUUUUGUUUUGCCAAAUGGCAGUGCCAGCUUUCAGGCUAGCUAUCGCCCGCCUUUUUCUCCCUCCCAUUAAUCCUUUUUUUCUUUUUUCUUCUCAUUCACUCCACAUGUCUUCUUUCUUUUCAGUUUGUAGAUCUAUUUUAUGAGAAUCUUUAUUUUCUUCACAAGUUGUGAUAGACAGAUGACGACGCCUAUGUUCGUUAAAACUUCAUCGGCCACCAAUAAUUUUUCAGAAUAAUAAAUAAUUUCAUGAGUCGAUUUGGAUUCUUGUUAUCAUAAGUUUUAUAUAUUUUUUAGUUUGUUUUUCAUUGUUUAAUAGGUUUUUAGUUUUAGAAGUUUUUGUCUACUCUUGUAACACGUUUUUUAGUCUUGCUUAUGCAUGUAACCUUAGUUUUACAAGUGAUUUUAGAGAUGGUUUUGUUACCGUCUUCUCUAGUUUGGUGAAUGCUCAAUUCUUUUGUCCAUUUUUGCUCGUCACUUUGGACCAUUCGAGGCUGAUUUUCUUUAUCGCAUUAAGUGCUUGCGAUCACUCCAAAUAUAUCGUGCUUAAGUUGUGAUAAAGCCUGUACAAGCCCAAUUUUUAUGCCCGGGCCCAAUUGACCCAACAAAACCGAACGGCCCAACAGACUAAGGCCCAAACCCAACAAAGACUAGGGUUUCAGAACCCUAGCCCCUCCAUCAGCGCCGCAUGCUAGGGUCUCUGACUUCUGCCCCGUCGGCGCAAACGGCGCACCUACCCCGUCCGUGUCACGUCUCCUCCAUCGCCCUACACCUGCAAACAAUAAAGAGAGAAGCAGACAACACAAAACAGGGGAAAGAUUGAAUCUUUUUUUUUUGUUCUUUCGGUUAUAAAGCCGAACGUAUCAAAUAAGAAAAAGGGGGGAUUUUUUGCAAAAAAAGAAAAUCACAUCAGAAAUAAGAAAAGGAACAAAGGUUGCUGUGUUCUUCAUUUUAUUCUUUUUUGAUUCGUUUACUUUCAUUUAUUUUUAAACAAAUCCGUUAAAAAAUAUAUCAAUAAAAAGGAAAAGAAAAAAAGGAGCGCACCUGAAUCGCUCUCUGGCUCCGUCGACGGAGGUUCUCUCGCCGUUGUCGGCCCGGAUCUGAAGGAGGGAUUCAGAGCCCUUGUCUCGGCGCUCGUAGGGGUUCAAGGACCCGAUUUUCAAAUCGCCCGAAGGCCAGGCUUUUUAAAAACCCUUUGUUGCGCUUCGUUGGCCGCCGUUUCGGUGGCGGUGCGACGGACAGACGGACGAUGGUGAAAAGCCAAUCGUCGGAGGGCAUGAAGAGAGAGUGGGGGAAAGAGUUCUGAAUUUUUUUUUUUAAAAGAGGGAUGAAAUGAUUUUUUUAGGGGUUUUGAUUUAUAUAAGGAUCCAAAACGGCGCCGUUUUGGAAGGGUCAGAAAGCCCCUAAAACGACGCCGUUUUUGCAUAAGACCCGAGACCCAACCCGUCUGCCUUAGGGGAUCCGCGUGUUUUUUACGGAAGGGCUAAUUUCACGUUUAAUCCUUCCGCUUUUUAAUUAUUUUAAAAUUAGGUUCUUUUGAUCUUUUUAAUUUUACCCGGAAAUUGUUUUCGUUUUCAAUUUGAUCCUUACCCAAACUACGUCGUUUUAAAGAAAGGGCCAUUUCUUUGUUGGUCCCUCCAUGUUUUAUGCUUGUUUAGAGCAGUCCUUCCCUUUUCGUUUAUUUGCGUUUUGAACCCCCCGAAUUUUGUUUUAAUGUUUAAUCUAAUCCUUCUGCUAUUUUGUUUAUUUUCUUAACAAAUUUAUUAUUAUUAUUAUUAUUACAUAUUCAUUUAUAACAUCUAAUUUUAGAUUUAAUCAUAUAUAUAAAUAUACGUCCAUGAUAUAUACCUACUUUUUAUAUAUACUUUAUAAUUUAUAUAUACAUAUACACAUUUUAAUUUAUGUACAUAUCUACACAUAUUUUUCAUACUUUACUCAUAUAUAUAUACAUGUACUUAUACAUAUUCUUUAUAUCUUAAAAUCCAUAUUUUUCUUAUGUAUAUAUUUUAUAUUUUAUAUUUUAUAUAUAUGUGUUUAUAUAUUCUACGAUAUAUAUUUAUAUGCAUAAUAAAUACAUAUCUAUAUACGUUUCGAUUUUUAUAAACACAUAUAUAUGUAUGCAUACCUUUAUAUUUCUUAUAUUAAAUACAUAUAUAUAUAUUUAUAUAUCCCUUUAUACUUCUAAAAUCAUAUAUUUUGUAUAUAUUCUUUAUAUUUUAUGAUUCCUAUAUGUACCCACAUAUAUACUUUUUGUAUUGUAUGAUUGUUAUUUACGUAUAUGUACGUACAUACAUACUUACACCUAUUUUCAUGUAUAAUAGCCUUAUAAUAUGUGUACAUACAUGUAUUUUUCAUAUUUCCAUAUACAUACACAUAUAUCUUUUUAUUUUAUAUAAUCUUACUCAUUUUAUUUAUUUAUUUAUUUACAUGUCUAUUAUUAUUAUGCUCUAGUUUUUAUUUAUUUAUUUAUUAUUUGUUAUUGUGCUUGCUUGAUCCUUUUAUAUAUUAAUCUUAUUUUUUAUUUUUAUUUUGAUCAUGUCAUUUUACUUACAUUAUCAUCAUCAUUCCGUUACACUCAUUUUUUUGUUUAGAUUUCAAAAAAAAAAAGAAGAAAUUUUAAAAAUAAGUAACACUCGGUAUUUUGGAUCUUCGAGAGAAUCGAGUCCUAACGUAUUGGGUUCCGACUUUCUUCGUUGAAUUUAAAUAAUCGAGAUUACUCUUUUAAAAAUGAUAAAAAAGCUCGUUAUCGAGAAUUCAAUACGUUGUGUCCCAACGGAUUGGACGUAACACGGUGUUUUCUCGAGACGAGGAUUUUUCGAAAUAAACGUAAUAUUCAAUGUUUAAUCUUUUGAGAAAUUGUGCCCUAACGUAUUGGGUUGUGAUUUCUUCAUUUGAUUUAAACAAUUGAAUAUCCUUUUAAACUUUAUUACAUGGAUCUUUUCAAACUCAAGUUUUAAACAACCUCGGGAAUUAAAAGAGGAUCGUGUCCUAACUUACUGGUCGUAAUCCCUUUUUUAAUUCGAGAUCGUUAAAUAUCUUUUAAAUAAGCUUUUUUCAUUCGCGUAUUGGGAAUUCGACAUAUUGUGUCUUAACUUGCUAGAUAUGAUAUUCUGUCUCGAAUAACGUGAAAUAUGCCCCUUUUCCUGAAAAUUUUCAACGUUUUAAUACAAGGAUCGUAUUUUUAAAAUUCUUCUAAGUUAUCAAUUUUCGACACUAAGACAUUAACUAAUCAACUAGGUACCAAUUUUGGGCGUAUCGAGGGUGCUAAUCCUUCCUCGUGCGUAACCGACUCCCGAACCCGUUUUUCUGAAUUUCGUAGACCAGACUUGUUGUUUUAAUAAAAUUAAAUUGUUUAUUAAAAACAACCACUUUUCGAGGUGAUCCAAUCACCCCUCAUAAAAAAGGAUUGGUGGCGACUCCCGUUUUUUUAUUUUCGUCAAAACCCAAGUCGACCCCGUUUUUCAUCCAAAAAAAUGGUGUCAACAAAGCCAAUUGUCAACAUGUCAUAACGUUCUAUUUAUGCUAAGGCUAAAGCCUUCGUUGGGUUGUUGGAGCUUGUCAUUUACCAUCUACGACGAGUGCUUAUUUUUUUCCCUGAAUUGUAUGAUUCCAUUCAUUGAAUGAAUUAACGAAUUUACCUUUCAAAAGAAAAAAAAUUCAUAAAUUUUGAAAUACAAAAUGAAUGUGUUUUGAUAUUUUUAGGGCAAUGGUUUAGUGGUUUAAAUUUUUUUAUUUAAUAUGGUGAAUUUAAUUAUAAUUUUUUAUUUAUUAGAUAGUAGAAUAUCUCUUACCAUUUAUAAUUAAGUUUAGGUUAAAAUAUUUUAUUAAAUUUUUGGACUUUUCACAAAUUUUAAAUUUAAUCUGUUUACUUUUAUUCAAGAAUUUAAUCUCUCUGCAUAUAAAGGAGGUAAUUAUGGCAAGGGGAAUUACCAUGGCAGAGGUAGCGGAGGCUGAGGAAGAGAUGCUGGAUAUGCUGAAGAAAGAUAGAUGGCUGAGAAACAGAAAAACUUUAGGAACAAUAUUCAGUGUUAGAAGUAUGGGGAUGUGAAGGCAGAUUGUUGGAAAAGGGGAAAACAAGCAAAUUAUGCGGAAGAUGAUGAAGAGAUUUAAGUUAUUUAUGAGCUGUCUAGAUGACACCAUAGCUUCAACUAACAUUUGGCUUCAAGGGCGUAUAUCUCAUGAUGAAGAGAUUGUCUCUCUUCUUUUUUCUCAUAACAUAUUAUACGCCAUGAUAAUAAAUUUUGAUAUGCCUAUAAAUUUGAGUCUCUAUUAUUUGUAAUAUGACAUGUUUUAAUUAUUUUUUAUAUUAUGCCAUGAUUUGGUUCACUCCAUAAGUUAUAUAAAUUUAUUAUAAUAAUUCAAUUAAUUUAAUUUAGAUUAAUUUUACAUUUUUGUCCUAACUUUAGUUUUUAAUAAUUGAAUCAUCCCACCAUUAUAUUCAAUUACAAGUGUAAUACGAUUUUGCGUCAUCCCGCACCAUUAUUCUCAGUGUAAUUUUUGGUAGUGAGCAUUGAAGGGGAGAGAGAGAGAGAACAAAGAAAGAACUUACUGUAAUUUUUGGUGUAUGUAAUCGAUAACCCUCAAUGCUUAAAAUGAAAAAGAAAAUAGAAAACAAAGGUGGCAAAGUUAGUUACAAUGCCAGCUAAUUCGUUAUUGCUAUCCACAUGAAGAAUUUUAUAACCCCAACUACACGAUUUUAUGUCUACCAGCUCUCACUUUUCAUAUUUUUUGGCCAUUAGUUAUUCUAAGAUUUAACAUCACCGUUAAGCCAUGUUUAAACUCUUUUUCUUAUAUAAUAAUUAUAUUAUAUUUAAAAUUGAAAAAACUAACCAACCAAAUAUAUAUUAAUUAAUUAAUAGAAGUUUUUUGGUCAUCGAUUAAAAUAAAUCAAGAAAGACGUUGGAACCACCAACUUCUCUUUAAGAACAACACGAAUACAAGAAUCUAUGCACAACAAGUUCUAAAAUGUAUUAAGUAAAUUCAUCAUCAUGCCUUAAAAAAAGAAGAUCUCGAUAUAUCUGCUUUUGCCAAAGCAUCCGCCAUACCAUUACUUUGCCAGUGAAUAAUUGUGAACUGAAACUUAGCCAAUUGAGUGAUAUUAAUUAUAGAAAUGAUUCUUCUUGCAACCAUAGAUGAAACACCACUGAGACUAACAAACUUGGAGAAACUUGAUUUGAGUUUUAACAUCUUCAGGAACAACACAAUUUCGUUUCUUGAAGGACUUUCAAACUUAAAUUAGUCCUUGGAUAUGCAUAAUAACACUCUGCAAGGCUCAUUAAUAGAUAUUAAAGGUACUGAAGCUAUAACUUUUUUUUCUUGAUAAUUCUUUUUAAAAUAUUUCAUAAUUAAUUGUUCUGAAUUUGUACAUUCACUUCUCACAUUUCUGGGUUUUUUUUGUCCUCAACUAAAUUAAACUUAUGCAAAUUUCUUGAAUAUUUAAGUUAAGAGUUAACGUCAAAGUCAAGAGUUGAUAAGUAUUUUGUGGUCCAUUCAUAUCUUUAUUACAAAAAAAAAAUAUUCAAGAAAUUUGCAGCUAGUUGGAGUUUUGCAAUAAGGAAUUUCCACCAAGAGUUUUGGAGGAAUCAUAUCUCUAACAAAAGAAAGACCUUCAUUUGACUAAAUUUUUUAGUAUUUAUUUUAACUUCCAUUUUUAUUAAAAAAAAGGUAAAAAAAUAUGCCAAACAGGGUCUUUAGGUUACUUUUUUUAGAACUAUAUUAUGUUAUAGUACCAUAUAAGUUAGAGGAGCACAAGUUUAGAUUCAUCCAAUUUUUGAGGAAUUAAUUAAAUAUAUAUUAUUUUAAUAUUAUAGUGUAUAGGGGCAAAGUUAGAAAAAAAUUUUUGUGGAGUCGAAAUUAAAUUAUAGUUUUUACAAUAGUUAAAAAAAAUAAUUUCACUAUUUUAAAAGCAUAUAUGUUGUAAGCACUAAAUUUUUGUCCGACUAGAGUUUGUGUUUAAUUUUCAAAAUUUCAAAAAAAAAUUUUAAAAAUAAAAAUUGCAUUUUGACCCCUAAAUUUUUCCUAAAUUUCAUUUUGACCCUUAAACUUUCAUUAAAUUUCACUUAGACCCCUAAACUUUCAUUAAAUUUCAUUUUAAUCCUAAAUUUUCUAAAAAUUACAUUUAGCCCCAGAAGUUUUGCUGUAUUUGUGAUUUGGUCCUUCAGACACGUUACGUGAUUUGGGGCACCCACUUCCCAGAUUUUCAGGCCACAAUCACCCACUACCUGCAAACAAUGAGAAAGAGGACAAAAUUUGGAGCUUUUAAAAAGAAAAAAAGAGAAGAGGAAGAAAAAAAGGAGAGAAAAAAACAAGCAGAAUUUUUAGAGAAAAAUAAAAAAAGAAGCUCUCAAUCCGGCCGAUUGCCUCCACCGCCACCACGUCCGUUGCGCCACCACCAUUGUCAUCUCACCAUCGAGUCCUAAACGCAAACAAAACAAAAACAAAGAAAAAAGCAAGCAAAAGAGAAAAGGAGAAAGUGCAAAGAAGAAAAAGAAAAAGGAAAAGGGGAGAGAGCAUACCUCCGUGCACGCCAUUGUCGGCCGUCGCACCAGGCGGAGGGACAUCACCGGCGAGACAAAGGAGGUGCUGCUGAUCGGGGAGAAAGAAAGGAAGAAAAAGAAGAAGGAAAGAAGAAAAGGGGAAGAAGAAAGAAAGAAAAAAGAAAAAAAAACUAAAAAAAAUAGCAGGCCAUUUUGGUGGACCAGAUUCAGCCCAACAAGAAGCAGCCCAAACCAGUCCUUUGGCAGCCAAUAGCAACAGCCCAACAGCAAAAAAAAUAAUAAAAGGGGAGGCCCAAAAUUUAAGCCCAUAACUUUGGGCUUUUGGGUAAUUUUUUUUCUUUUUUUCUUUUUAAUCUAUUUUAUUUUAUUUUAUUUAUUUAAAUGGUGUUUUAUUUAAUUUAAAUUAGUAUGCUUUAAAACAGUUUUCAUAAAUAUUAUUAUGUCAUUUAAUUGCAUAUUUUUUUUAAAAAAUAAUAAUAUUUUAAUGCAUAAGGCAACGAACCGAUUUAGCAUCGAGUCAUCGAAUUCAUCGCUAUGUUGGAUGGAUAUCGAUAGCUCGUGUUAAAUUCGGGACACCCUUUUAAAAAUAAAAAUAUUCAAAAAUCCUCGUAUUUUAAUAAAAAUUCUCGUGUUUUAUUAGAAUCCCGAUUAAAUAUUAAAUUGAAUUGAGUUAACAUUAAUUCGAUGGUUUCAUCGCCAUAUCGGGAUGAAUAUCAUCGAUUCGUGUUAAAUACGGUAUUUUUUAAAGAAAAAUUGUGUUUCAAAAAUUUUCAUGUCUUCAAAAUUUCUCGUGUUUCGUAUUUUAUCAAAAAAUUUAUGUUUUCAAAAACAAAUUUUCUGUUUUAAAAAUUUUCGUGUUUCAAAAAGAAGAUUCGUGUUUUCAAAAAUAAAAAUAAAAAAUCUCGUGUUUUAAAUUCUUCGUGUUUUUUAAAAAAAAAUUUUGUGUUUCUAAAAUUCUUGUAUUUUAAAAUUUUCGUGUUUUCAAAAAAGAAAAAGUUGUUGCGCUUUAAAAUUCUCGUGUUCAAUCGGAUCACGACUAAUAUUAAAUUGAACUCGUAUUUUUGAAAAUGAAGACAAUGCGCGUUUAACGAGAUACCAAUUUUGGGCGUUGCGAGGGUGCUAAUACCUUCCUCGCGCGUAACCGACUCCCGGACCCUAAUUUUCUCUGGAUUUUUACGUGGACCUAAAAUUACCUCUUUUUUAGAAAAGUUUAAAAAUAAAUUUUUCUUCUAAAAAGAGAAUUUUAUAGGUGUCCGAUCACACCUAGAAAAAAUAUCGGUGGCGACUCCUUUUUCAAAUAAAAUCGAGAUUCAGUUUUCAAAUUUACAAUAAUUACUUCGACUAGCGCCCGUGCCGAAAUUUUUAGGUCGCUACAGCUGGCGACUCCGCUGGGGAACCUUUUUGAGAGUCGAGUCGAAUUAAACUCGCGUUGUCAAAAUUUUCAAAGUUUCUUGUUCAAAUUAACAUUUAGUCGUGAUCCUUAAAUUUUUUGUUUUCAAAAAAAUCAUGCAUUUGCAUCGUGUUGUAUAUAUUCUAACUUGUUUUAUCAGGUUGUUUUUCAGCUUUAAAUUUUUGCGGUUUUAGUUUUGGUUUAGUUUUUCUAAAUAAAACGUAAAGGUUUACAAGUUUCUCCCCACACACCGUGCACGUGCAUUUAUGUUGCAUAACAUGAGCUCUAUACCCGGGCUCUGUCCCUGUUAAGAGAAAGUAAAUGCUACGCCUUCGUGAGUUAACUCGUUCCUCCGCACAGGCUAGUGAAUACUUUCGGGUUACAUAUGACUUAUGCUUUCGUGAGUUAACUUGUCCCUCCGCAUAGGCAUAAGUAAAUGUAAUCCCUCGAAUUGAUCUCGUAAGCCUAUGAUGGGCCAUGACCGAGGCUCUGUACUAAUCUUAGUAGAUGACAGUGCAGACGAUUCGAGUACCCACCUAGAACCAAAACCGCAUAUAGUGAACCAUACGAGCUAUCCAAUUAGAGUCAUGCCGAACCUCUGUCCGCUUAUAGUCAUCAAAAUAAGUACACGGGGAAAAUGCCUUUUGCCUUUCAUUUACACUGUUUAUGCAAAAUAAUUGGAUUGGGUAGUUUAAUUUGUUUUUCAAAUUAUAUUUGUUGUGUUUACUAACCAAGUUUGUUUGUUUUUACUUUUAUUUUCAUCAUGCAUCAUAGGCAUCAUAUUAGGAAGGUGUUGAUUAAAAGUUGGUUGCCAAAAAACGGGUUUCUGAUGGAAGAGUCAAUUACACAAAUAACCGAGAAGAAUGCCGUGGUUCGGGACUGGUCUCUAAAAAUUCAGAGAGAAAAGAGGGAUAGUCUAGUGGAAGGGUGUGUCACUAAUUUGCCCGAACAUAUAACUGUAAAUGUUCGCCAAAAUAACUUUGAGGAUUUGGUUCAAAUUUGGAAUCAGUGGGAUUCAGACACUAGAGACAUUUUCACUCAGAGGUAUGGAGAUAUAGCUCACCUGAUCAUCAUCCAUGUAGACGAACAGUUGAUUCAAGCCAUGGUUCGGUUCUGGGACCCAGCUUAUCAGUGUUUCACCUUCAAUCAAGAAGACAUGACUCCAACCAUAGAAGAGUAUGCUGCUUUACUCCGCAUCGACAAUGUACAAUUCGGCAAAAUAUAUGUGAAGGAGCCUAAACCGAUGACCUUCAAGAAAAAGUUAGUGAGACUGACAGACAUGACUGAUGCAUGGGCCGAAAAACAGAUAAAGAAGAAGAAUGAAACCAUUUGCAUUCCAUGGUCCUCCCUACGAGAUUUGGCUCUGAACCAUCCCAACAUGCUGAAAAGGGUAAAUCUAUUCGCUUUGGCCAUUUACGGUUUGGUCAUUUUCCCAAAAGUUCUCGGACAUCUCGAAGUUGCAGUAGUUGAUUUCUUCGAAAGGUUAAAACAAGGAAUCAACCCUGUCCCGACCAUCCUAGCCGAGACCUUCAGGUCCCUGAGUAGUUGUCGAAAAAAAGGGGAGGGACGAUUUAUCAGAUGCGCGCAGUUGCUCAAUGUUUGGAUUUUGAGUCACUUCUGGAAGGUAGAGCGCACUCCGUUCCAUAUGUUUUCUAAAACAUUCUCCCCGCUAGAAGCUUACCUCAAUAAAGAAUGGCCGAAGGAAGUCACCGAGCAACAUUGGGUAUCAGUUUUUCAAAAUCUUCGCACCGAGAAUAUAACAUGGAGAGCACCCUGGAUCCGUCCUUCAGUUCUGCUAUACAAAUGUGGAAGCCAAGAUUGGGUACCUCUACUCGGGUUUUGGGGAGGAGUUGGAUAUGCUCCGCUAUUAGUCCAAAGGCAAUUUUCUUCGCGACAAUUCCUCCCCGCAACUGGAGGAUUAGCACAGUUCGAGUUCGCUUUUGCGGGUGAAGGAUAUAUGAAGAGAGUCCGAGACACUGCAAAGUAUUGGAAGGAAAUUCAUUUCAUGGAAUUAGCUUUGUAUGUUGAUACCCUUACCCAAGAUUACGACAUAUGGAGGAAGCAACGGGUAAAUAGUCAGCAAAUCUCAUCAACAAACUACACCAUCCAGAAUCCUUUCUCGGAGAAAACGCCGUCUGAGCUAGAAAUGGCAAGACAAGAAUUCGAACGAGAAAAGGCCAAGAUGUCUCGGGACCUUAGUGCCCUUCAAGAAGAAAACUAUCAACUGAAGAUUGAAGUUCAGGUUGAAAGGUCCAGGACUGAAAAGUACAAAAAGAAGCCGAGAUUGUGAGAAACGACUUAAGGGACCUUCAUUUGGAAAACAAGAAAUUAAGAAACACUAUAAAGAAUAGCGGGUUGGGUAAGUCGACAGCAGAAUGGAAGGAAGAAAUUAGCAAUAUCAAGGGAGGAAUGGAGUUUUGGAAGGGAAAAGUAAAGAAAGAGGAGGAAAAGGCUGCGCGCGCUGUGAUAGAGUUAAGAAGGAAGAACGACGAGUAUGAAAUAGUGACUGCAAAAUUUGCGAAUAGUCAGUCUGAAUAUCAAGAAUUAAAAAGGAAAGCACGAGAUCUAGAAAAUAUGCUGCAAUCUCGUCAACAACAAUUAGAUAACCUCCUGAAGGCUCUAGAGGAAAAGCAUGAUCAGUACGAUAGGGACAUUCAGGCGUAUGAAGGAACUCUCAAAGAAAAAGAAAUGCAACUCGACUUCUUGAUCAAUGAAAUUCGUAAAGCGGCUAUGCAAGUUGUUCAAUUAUCAGAUGAAGCCGAAGUUAUCAGUUGCCAAUUCCCUCCGAGCCAAAGAUCGAGCAUAUCAGAGUUUUUAGAGCAAGUGAAUAAACAAGGCAAUGUGGCUAGGAAAUUUGUGUAACUGUUGGAAAAAUGAGAACUUUGUGUAAUAGACUAUGUUGAUAAAUGAAAUGCCUAAAUAUGGGGCUAUCUUGAAAUCAACACCAAAUUCUUGCAUGUUUACUCAUAACUAACAUUUAUGCAUCAUUUAUUCUUUGGACAUUCAUCCAUUCAUAUACUCAUUCAUUCAUUCAUCACGAGUACAUAUCACCAUAAUCAUCCACCGAAACUAAAGAACCGUAUAAUCCGCAGUUGCAAGAUUUCAAAUCUGGAACCACGCAAUUCCUAUAAAACGCGCCGACAAGCUAGAGUAAUGGAGGAUGAAUUCAAUGAGAGAAUUGAAAGGAUGGAAAGGGCUCAAAAGGAAUUACAAGAGUAACUGGCCAAAUCGCAGCAAGAGACGAGAGACCUAAUGGUGAGAUCUCGAGAGGAAUCACUCGAGCAAAGAGAUCAGAUGGCUAAAAUGAUGGAGAUGAUGACAACUUUGGUCAAAGGAAAAGGACCCAUGCAGAACUCCGAUGUUAUGGAACCUCGGUCAAGAAUUCACCAUGAUCAGGAUCCACUUUAUCCCCCAGGAUUUACUCCACCUCAUGUCCACGCAAUACAACGAGGAUACCCCCAAAGGGAACCUACAGGCCUAGAACAACAUCUUGCUCCGCCCACUAAUUUGGGGCAAGGAAUGUUAGCGUCGAACCUUGGGGCUAGUCCUGCUAAUCCACUAGUUCCAGAUCUGGAUGACCUAGCAGAGGCAGCCAAGUUGAAAUUGGAUAACCAUGACGCAAAAUAUAGGAGUCUAGAGGAAAGACUCAAAGCAAUAGAAGGCACUGAAGUCUUCUCCGCACUAGGUGCCAAGGAACUCAGUUUGGUACCUGAUCUAAUUUUGCCUCCGAAGUUCAAAGUGCCUGAUUUUGAGAAAUAUGAUGGGACAAGGUGCCCAAAAGCACAUCUCAUUAUGUUCUGUCAAAAAAUAACCGGUUAUGUGAACGAGGAUAAGCUACUCAUACAUUGCUUUCAAGAUAGUCUAACAGGGUCAGCUCUUCGGUGGUACAAUCAACUUAGUAGAGAAAAGAUUCGAUCCUGGAAGGACUUGGCGUCAGCAUUUUGCGAACAGUACAAGCAUGUAUCGGAUAUGGUGCCAGACCGUAUGACCUUGCAAAUGAUGGAGAAAAAGCCAUCAGAGACCUUUAGACAGUAUGCGCAGAGAUGGAGAGACGUCUCAGCUCAAGUGGAACCCCCACUAACAAAAACGGAGAUAACCGUUCUCUUUAUCAAUACUUUAAAGGCACCGUUUUAUGACAAAUUAGUGGGAAGUGCCACGAAAGAUUUCGCGGAUAUUGUAAUAUCCGGUGAACUCAUAGAGAACGCCGUCAAGAGCGGUAGAAUGGAAGGAUCAGAAGGCUCAAGAAAAGCAGCACCCUUAAGGAAGAAAGAGCCAGAAGCCCUCAUGGUGGGAACUGGGAGUCGUUACAUUCCCAAUUCAUAUCCUAAUCAACCCCGACCUCGAGAUUAUCCACCCUCGAGUUUCCAUUAUCCCCCUCAAACCCCUUGCUACCAAGCACCACAUCCGUCCUGCCCCGUAUACGCUACGAACAACCAAAGACCCGUCACCACUUUCCCACAAAACACGGUACCCACCCAAAGCCAACCCAGAAACGAACCAAGACCAUCAAGGCAUAAUCCUGAGAGACCGCAAUUUACCCCCAUCCCUGUGUCGUAUGGGGAAUUGUACCCAAAACUUUUAGAAAAAUAGCUAAUUUCUCCCCAUUACAUGGCACCCCUUAAACCUCCAUACCCAAAGUGGUACGAUCCAAACGCUAGUUGUGCAUACCACGCAGGGAACCAAGGGCACUCUACUGAGAACUGUCUCACUUUCAAAAGGAGAGUUCAAGGACUCAUUGAUGCGGGUAUCCUACGAUUCGAUAGUGCUAGUAAAGCCACGGAGAACCCGUUCCCUAACCAUACCGAAGGGAAUGUGAGCACAGUGGGGAAAGAGGAUGAAUGGAAGGUCAGAAGAUGUGUAUCAGAAAUAAGGACGCCUCUGCAGAAAAUCUGGGAGGUAUUGGUUAAGAAAGGAUUGCUCUGUCACUCUGAUAGAAUUUUUGGAGAAGAAGGUCAAAGUUUUUGCAAUUUUCAUGGGAUUGUUGGGCACGACAUUCAGUCGUGCGAGGACUUUAAAAGGUUACUUCAAGACUGGAUGAAUAAUAAAGAGAUCAAGGUCCUUAACAAGAGUGAAGAUGCCAACGAAAGAGAAGUAUGUGUCUCUGAUAGCCAAUCACCAGGUCCCCCUUAUAGUGCUGAUCGACCGUUGGUAAUUUAUUACGACGCGAUGAGAGAGCCCUUGAAACCACAGAUGGUAAUUGAAGUACCAUCUCCUUUCCCGUAUAAGGACAACAAAACAGUACCGUGGAGAUAUGAUGUUAAUAUCGUUACACCGGAAGUUGAAAAGUCCAAAGCCAUAAUUGAAGAUGUUGGGGAGGUAGGUCAUUUUACUCGAAGUGGACGAUGUUAUUCUAAAGAAGUUGAAUCGGUAAAGAAAAGUAGCGACUCGAAGCAAAAAGGAAAAGCAGUGAUGCACAAGGUCGAAGUCGAGCAAGAAAUUCCACCCGUGCAAGAAACUAAAAAGCUUGUGAAUGAGGAAGAAGCUCAAGAAUUCUUGAAAUUUAUUAAGCACAGUGAAUAUAGUGUGGUGGAACAAUUGAGCAAGCAGCCAGCACGAAUCUCAGUUCUAUCUCUACUGUUAAAUUCAGAGCCACACCAGAACGCUUUAUUGAAGGUGUUAAAUCAAGCUUACGUGGCCAACAACAUAUCUGUCGAAAAGCUUGAUAGGUGGGUAAACAAUCUGAAUGCGGACAACUUCAUCUCUUUUAGUGAUGAUGAGAUACCGCUAAAUGGUAGAGGUUCGGUGAAAGCGCUGCAUAUCACGACCCGCUGCAAGGGCUACAUAAUACCGAACGUACUCAUCGAUAAUGGGUCAGCGUUAAAUGUUAUGCCAUUGGCUACACUUUCCAAAAUACCGAUGGAUUUGUCCUACUUAAAGCCCUGUCAUUCCAUGGUAAGGGCAUUCGACGGGACGAAGUGCAAAGUCAUGGGAAAGAUCGAAAUCCCUUUGGAAGUGGGCCCCUACAUCUAUGAGGUCGAAUUUCAAGUUAUGGACAUUACACCCUCUUAUAACUGCCUUUUGGGAAGACCUUGGAUUCAUUCUGCAGCAGCAGUCCCAUCAUCCCUCCAUCAAAAAGUGAAAUUCAUCAUGGAUGGCUGUUUGGUCACAGUCGAGGGCGAAGAAGACAUUAUCGCAUCUAUCUCUGUUGAUGCGCCAUACCUGGAAGUAAGCAAGGACGUAGUGGAAUGUUCCUUUCGAUCCCUUGAAUUCAUCAAUGCCACUUUCGUCGCUGAGGGAAAUAGAAUUUCGAUGUCAAAACUGUCGAGAAAUACCAGAAUGGGUGUCAAGUUGACCGUAGGAAGGGGAGCUUGUGCGAGAAGAGGUUUAGGGAGACAUAUGCAAGGAAUAGUGAGGGCUUUAAAGCCAGUGCACCACAAGGCCUGAUACGGUUUGGGGUUCCAGCCUGACAUGCGCCAAAGAAGAAGACAGUGGAAGAAGGAUCAAGAAAGAAGAAUUGCAAGAACUUUGGGCCGAGAACCAGAAUGGGAACCAAUAGAGUACCCUCCUUUGUCAAAAACAUUUACAUCUGCGGGAAUGAUGUACCCUGGACAAGAGGAUCCACGAAACAUGCUGGGAUUAAUUGAAAAGGAUUUUCAGAAUGUUAGUAUAAAUGUCAUUGACAAAGAAGCUGGUGCAAGUAAAGAUGUCUCGAGGAUACGCCAUUGCCCUCCUGGUUUCAUGUUGAACAAUUGGAUAGCUGAGGAGCUUCUUGUAGUUUAUAAGCCUUCAGAGUAAUGCUAAACAUCAACCUUCUAUUGUGUCCUUAGAUAUAAUAGAGUUCUUUUGUAAGAGUUUGCAUUCGCUCUUUAUCAUUUAAAUGAAUAUCAAUGAAGAUGCAUUUUGUCACGAUUUUUCGCAUUAUCACUAAUUUCAUAAUCAUUUUCUCAUUUCAUAGCCUAUCCUUACAUUUGCCUCAUUGCCAUGACAUAAAAUUUUGUUUGUUGUUUCCAAUACUUGGAUGUCCCCCGAUAGCUUCCUUUUCCAUUCAACUUUCAGGUGCUCAGAUAUUGACGACAUGAAUAAGCCCGUUACGAAUCUUGAAAUUGAUUUUGAGAAGGCUGUUUGCUUAGGAGAAUUUGAAGCCGAAGAAAAUGCUGAAGAUUAUGUCUCGUCUCUUGAAUUGUUAAGAAUGGUGGAACAAGAGGAUAAACAGGUUCUGCCUCAUGAAGAAUCUGUAGAAACAAUAAAUUUGGGCACUGAAGAGAGGAAACAAGAAGUGAAGAUUGGGACUUCUAUUUCAGAAAGUACCAGACGUAGUUUGAUCACUUUACUCCGCGAAUACAAAGAUGUUUUCGCGUGGUCAUACCAGGACAUGCCAGGGCUAGAUGAAGAUUUAGUGGUCCAUAAGCUCCCAUUAAAGCCAGAAUGCAAGCCCAUCCAGCAAAAAUUAAGACGGAUGAGGCCCGAAAUCCUGUUGAAAAUAAAAGAGGAAGUCAAGAAGCAAUUUGACGCUGGCUUCCUACAAGCCUCCAAAUAUCCAGAAUGGGUGGCUAACAUAGUCCCGGUACCAAAGAAAGAUGGAAAAGUACGAAUGUGCGUGGAUUACCGUGACCUGAAUCGAGCAAGCCCAAAAGAUAAUUUUCCCUUGCCACAUAUUGACACGUUGGUGGACAACACAGCAAAACAUUCAUUGUUUUCUUUCAUGGAUGGAUUCUCGGGGUAUAAUCAGAUCAAGAUGGCUCCUGAGGAUAUGGAGAAAACUACCUUCAUAACAAUGUGGGGAACGUUCUGCUACAAGGUGAUGCCAUUCGGGUUAAAGAAUGCUGGGGCAACAUAUCAGAGGGCUAUGGUGACAUUAUUCCAUGACAUGAUGCAUAAGGAAAUAGAGGUCUACGUCGAUGAUAUGAUUGCUAAAUCUCGAGGAGAAGAAGAGCAUGUAAUGAACCUCAAGAAGUUGUUCGAAAGGCUGAGAAAGUUUCAGCUAAAGCUUAAUCCAGCCAAAUGUACAUUCGGGGCUACCUCGGGAAAGUUGCUAGGCUUCAUUGUCAGUGAAAGAGGUAUCGAAGUUGAUCCAGAUAAAAUAAAAGGCAUCCAAGAAUUACCACAUCCGCCACGCAAAAGGAAGUUAGAGGAUUUUUAGGGAGAUUAAAUUACAUCGCCCGAUUUAUCGCUCAACUUACCAACCAAUGCGACCCAAUCUUUCGGCUUCUUCGAAAACAUAGCCCGGGAGAAUGGAACGAGGAAUGCCAAGUGACCUUUGAUAAGAUAAAACAAUAUUUGUCCAGUCCUCCAGUGCUAGUACCGCCAACUCCGGGAAGACCAUUAAUUUUGUAUCUGACAGUGUUCGAAAGUUCAAUGGGUUACGUACUGGGACAACAUGACGAGUCAGGAAAGAAAGAAAAGGCGAUCUACUACCUCAGCAAAAAGUUCACUGAAUAUGAGGCAAAAUAUUCGUCCGUUGAGAAAUAUUGUUGCGCUCUGGUUUGGGUAGCUCGGAGACUCAAACAAUAUAUGUUGUAUCACACGACAUGGCUAAUUUCAAAGCUGGACCCAAUAAAAUACAUGAUGGAAUCGCCGGCACUAUCAGGAAGAAUGGCACGAUGGUAGCUCCUCCUUUCGAAAUAUGACAUUGCCUAUGUAAGUCAGAAGUCAAUAAAAGGGAGCGCAAUAGCUGACUUCUUAACAACUCGAACGACAGAGGAAUAUGAGCCUUUAAGAUUCGAUUUCCCAGACGAAGACUUAAUGUGCAUCACAGAAAUAGAAUCCGAGUCAUCAAAAGAGAAGUCAUGGAAGAUGUUCUUUGAUGGUGCGUCAAAUGCUUUAGGGCAUGGAAUUGGAGCAAUCCUGGUAUCACCAGACGGGAAUCAUUAUCCGUUCACUGCAAGACUGAACUUCUUCUGUACCAAUAAUAUCGCAGAAUAUGAGGCCUGUAUCAUGGGGUUUCGUGCAGCUAUCGAACGAAACAUCGAGAUCUUAGAGGUGUACGGGGACUCAGCCCUAGUGAUUUACCAAAUCCGUGGAGAAUGGGAAGUGAGGGACUCAAAAUUGAUUAAGUACAGCGAUUUAGUGGCUGGAUUGAUCAAGGAAUUCAAAGAAAUAACUUUUCAUUACUUCCCACGAGAAGAGAACCAACUGGCUGAUGCCCUAGCCACUUUGGCUUCAAUGUUCAAAGCAAGUAGAGAAGCAGAAAUAAUGCCCCUCAAAAUGAGCAUAUACGAGGUCCCUGCACACUGUUGUAGCAUUAAGAAAGAAGUAGACGGACGGCCUUGGUUUCAUGAUAUCUUAGAAUAUAUCAAGAAUCAAAGGUAUCCCGAACAAGUAAAUGAGAACGAUAAAAGAACAAUUAGAAGAAUGGCAGCGGGAUUUGUUCUUGAUGGGGAUAUCCUGUAUAAAAGAGGAAAGGAUCAGAUGCUUUUGAGAUGUGUGGAUGAUGUUGAAGCCAGAAAAAUACUUGAAGAGGUCCAUGAGGGAGUUUGCGGAACGCAUGCCAAUGGUUUCAAUAUGGCCAGAAAGAUCAUGAGACUCGGUUAUUAUUGGCUGACAAUGGAAAGUGACUGCAUCAAUUUUGCCAGAAAAUGCCACAAAUGUCAAAUCUACGGCGAUAAAAUUCAUGUAGCCCCUUCACCCCUUCAUGUCAUGACUUCUCCGUGGCCUUUUUCUAUGUGGGGCAUGGAUGUCAUAGGGCCAAUUUCUCCAAAAGCUUCAAAUGGACAUCGAUUCAUUUUUGUGGUUAUCGAUUACUUCACAAAAUGGAUUGAAGCCGCUUCAUUUGCCAAUGUGACGAAGACUGCAGUGUGCAAGUUUUUGAAAAAGGAAAUCAUUUACCGAUAUGGUUUGCCUGAAAGAAUCAUCUCAGAUAAUGCCACGAAUCUGAACAAUAAGAUGAUGAAAGAAGUGUGUGAGCAGUUUCAAAUAAAGCAUCAUAAUUCCUCGCCCUAUCGCCCAAAGAUGAACGGGGCUGUUGAAGCAGCUAACAAGAACAUUAAGAGGAUCAUUGGGAAAAUGACUGAGACAUAUAAAGAUUGGCACGAGAAACUUCCAUUUGCUUUGUUUGCAUAUCGUACAUCUGUGCGAACAUCUACGGGAGCAACUCCUUUCUCUCUAGUCUAUGGAAUGGAAGCUGUGCUACCUAUCGAGGUUGAGAUCCCCUCUCUGUGAGUAUUGAUGGAAUCAAAGUUAGAAGAAGCAGAAUGGGUUCGAGCUCGAUAUGAUCAGUUGAACCUCAUUGAAGAAAAACGUCUAAGGGCAAUUUGUCAUGGGCAAAUGUACCAAAAGAGAAUGAUCGCAGCCCAUGACAAGAAGGUACGACAAAGAGAGUUCCAUGAAGGAGAACUCGUUCUGAGAAAGAUUCUCCCAAUACAAAAAGACCUGCGAGGAAAAUGGGCACCAAAUUGGGAAGGACCAUACGUUGUAAAAAAGGCAUUCUCGGGAGGAGCUUUAAUCCUUACCAAGAUGGAUGGGAAGGAGUUACCGAAUCUGGUGAAUUCGGAUGCGGUGAAGAAAUAUUAUGCUUAAGAUGAAAACCCGAAAAGGGCAUCUUAAAAAAAAAGGGUGAAAACCCGAAAAAGGUGUCUUGAUUAGUACAAAAAGAUUAGGAUGAAAACCCGAGAGGGCGUCCUAAUGAAACAAACCUGGCGGUCAAACGAUAGGUCAAGUAGUGAGACUACAGUAUUUGAAGCACUUCUGAAAGCUCGAAAUUUUCUACGCAAGAAGCCAUGCUCGAAAAGAUAAUUGAUUGAGGAACGUAGAAGAGUUCAUGUGUUGAAUAUCUAGAGCAUUAGUAUCCGUUGAAUACGACCUUUUCUUUCUUUUUGACAUUUUUACUCUCAUUGGUUAACUUUCUUUGUUUGCCACACUUGAAAUAAAGGAAUAUGAGAUAUCCUUUGUGUCCCUACCUGACCAUUUUCAUGCAUCUCAUUAUGUGUUUAUUUAAUGAUAAAUAGUGAAAUGACAUACUCUAAACAAAAGAAAUGUCAAGCAUUACCCGGAUAAGAAUUUGAUAAGUGCAAGAUCUUCAAAGCAAGAACAAAGUUUAACCAAGGGCAAAAGGGUGAUAUCUGAGAAACGUCGAUUACUCGUAAAGCUCGAAGACAGGUAUGAGGCCUGAAGAGAAGGUCGAGAAUCAAAGCAAUGAACGCAGAUCCUCAAAAAUCAUGGCAAAAAUGACAUACGACCAAUAUGCUUAAGGAGCACUGCAUAAUCAUGUAGGCAUAAAGGCAUUUAAGACAAACAUGUGCAUAUCAUGAUGACUUCAUGCAUGGCAUAUACAGGUAAUCCAGUAAAGCAAGAAAUCUUGAAUCGCACAGAAUCAAAGGAAAAGAUACCCGAGUUCUACCAAAGGACUGGUUUUGGUAUUUUGAUGUUUAAUAUUCAUGCUUUCCAAGGAAAAUCAACUCAUAUUGCGAGAAAUGAGUUGAGCCUCAAGACACGUUGAGCUAUUUUUAAUUUUUUUAAAAAUCAACUCAUAUUGCGAGAAGUGAGUUGAGCCUCGGGGCACGCCGAGGUAUUUUUAGUUUAUGUUUUAAAUUGACUCAUAUUGCGAGAGGUGAGUUAAGCCUUUUAAUUUUUGUUUCUCAAAAUUCAACUCAUAUUGCGAGAAAUGAGUUGAGCCUCAAGACACGUUGAGGUAAUUUCAAUUUUUGUUUUCAAAAUUCAACUCAUAUUGCGAGAAAUGAGUUGAGCCUCAAGACACGUUGAGGUAAUUUCAAUUUUUGUUUUCAAAAUUCAACUCAUAUUGCGAGAAAUGAGUUGAGCCUCAAGACACAUUGAGGUAUUUUCAAUUUUUGCUUUUCAAAAUUCAACUCAUAUUGCGAGAAAUGAGUUGAGCCUUAAGACACGUUGAGGUAAUUUCAAUUUUUGUUUUCAAAAUUCAACUCAUAUUGCGAGAAAUGAGUUGAGCCUCAAGACACGUUGAGGUAAUUUCAAUUUUUGUUUUCAAAAUUCAACUCAUAUUCCGAGAAAUGAGUUGAGCCUCAAGACACGUUGAGGUAAUUUCAAUUUUUGUUUUCAAAAUUCAACUCAUAUUGCGAGAAAUGAGUUGAGCCUCAAGACACAUUGAGGUAUUUUCAAUUUUUGCUUUUCAAAAUUCAACUCAUAUUGCGAGAAAUGAGUUGAGCCUCAAGACACGUUAAGGUAAUUUCAAUUUCUGUUUUUAAAAUUCAACUCAUAUUGCGAGAAAUGAGUUGAGCCUCAAGACACGUUGAGGUAAUUUUCAAUUUCUGCUUCUCAAAAUUCAACUCAUAUUGCGAGAAAUGAGUUGAGCCUCAAGACACGUUGAGGUAAUUUCAAUUUUUGUUUUCAAAAUUCAACUCAUAUUGCGAGAAAUGAGUUGAGCCUCAAGACACGUUGAGGUAAUUUCAAUUUUUGUUUUCAAAAUUCAACUCAUAUUGCGAGAAAUGAGUUGAGCCUCAAGACACGUUGAGGUAAUUUCAAUUUUUGUUUUCAAAAUUCAACUCAUAUUGCGAGAAAUGAGUUGAGCCUCAAGACACAUUGAGGUAUUUCCAAUUUUUGCUUUUCAAAAUUCAACUCAUAUUGCGAGAAAUGAGUUGAGCCUCAAGACACGUUGAGGUAAUUUCAAUUUCUGUUUUCAAAAUUCAACUCAUAUUGCGAGAAAUGAGUUGAGCCUCAAGACACGUUGAGGUAUUUUCAAUUUCUGCUUCUCAAAAUUCAAUUCAUAUUGCGAGAAAUGAGUUGAGCUUCAAGACACGCUGAGGUAAUUUCAAUUUCUGUUGUUAAAAAAAAAUCAACUCAUAUUGCGAGAAAUUAGUUGAGCCUCAGGACAUGCUGAGGUAAUUUCAAUUUCUGUUUUCAAAAUUCAACUCAUAUUGCGAGAAAUGAGUUGAGCCUCAAGACACGUUGAGGUAUUUUCAAUUUCUGCUUUUCAAAAUUCAACUCAUAUUGUGAGAAAUGAGUUGAGCCUCAAGACACGUUGAGGUAUUUUCAAUUUCUGUUUUUCAAAAAUCAACUCAUAUUGCGAGAGGUGAGUUGAGACUUUUAAUUUCUAUUUUUCUAAAACCAACUCAUAUUGCGAGAGGUGAGUUGAGCCUUUUUCUGUUUUUCAAAAAUCAACUCAUAUUGCGAGAGGUGAGUUGAGCCUUUUAAUUUCUGAUUUUCAAAAAUCAACUCAUAUUGCGAGAGGUGAGUUGAGCCUUUUAAUUUCUGUUUUUCAAAAAUUAACUCAUAUUGCGAGAGGUGAGUUGAGCCUUUUAAUUUCUAUUUUUCAAAAACCAACUCAUAUUGCGAGAGGUGAGUUGAGCCUUUUUCUAUUUUUCAAAAAUCAACUCAUAUUGCGAGAGGUAAGUUGUGCCUUUUGCAAAUUCUGUUUUCAAAAAUCAACUCAUAUUGCGAGAAGUGAGUUGAGCCUUGGCUCACGUGCUGAGCUAUUUUCAAUUUCUAUUUUUAAUGUCUAGUUUUAANNNNNNNNNNNNNNNNNNNNNNNNNNNNNNNNNNNNNNNNNNNNNNNNNNNNNNNNNNNNNNNNNNNNNNNNNNNNNNNNNNNNNNNNNNNNNNNNNNNNNNNNNNNNNNNNNNNNNNNNNNNNNNNNNNNNNNNNNNNNNNNNNNNNNNNNNNNNNNNNNNNNNNNNNNNNNNNNNNNNNNNNNNNNNNNNNNNNNNNNNNNNNNNNNNNNNNNNNNNNNNNNNNNNNNNNNNNNNNNNNNNNNNNNNNNNNNNNNNNNNNNNNNNNNNNNNNNNNNNNNNNNNNNNNNNNNNNNNNNNNNNNNNNNNNNNNNNNNNNNNNNNNNNNNNNNNNNNNNNNNNNNNNNNNNNNNNNNNNNNNNNNNNNNNNNNNNNNNNNNNNNNNNNNNNNNNNNNNNNNNNNNNNNNNNNNNNNNNNNNNNNNNNNNNNNNNNNNNNNNNNNNNNNNNNNNNNNNNNNNNNNNNNNNNNNNNNNNNNNNNNNNNNNNNNNNNNNNNNNNUAGAUAAUGUGAAUGUAUUUAGAGGUGCUUAUAUAGUAUUCAAAACUAUCAUAUAAAUUCAAUUUUCAACCAUAUAUAAUUGACAUUAUGGGAGUUGGAAAAUGAUAGGGGGCACUAUAGCAAAUGUUAUAGUUGUAUAAAAUUAGGACUUUGUGAUGGAAUAGUUUAGGGCAUAUUGUUUGAAUAUUCCAUAAACAUUAAAAAAAAAACCAAAUUUGUAAUGGAAUAUAAGAUUGGGUUUUCUUUUAUUAUCAAUUUAAAGCCAUGAGAAUCUUUAUUAUUUAAAAAUUAAUGUAAUUGUUAAAUUGAAAUUGCAGGGGAAUUUCAAAUAGGAGAAAAUAUAAAAGAAAUGGAUCCAAAAACAGUGGGAAGUAGUGUUGUAAAAUAUGGGAGGUGGAGAUUUGGAAUGACAAAGAAAGCAAUGGGGCAUUCAUUAGUUUAUAGCCAACUUUAUCCAUUUAAAGGCCUCCAAAAUUAUACCUCUGGAAUUAUUCACCAUGUUCGCCUCACUGGUAUUUCUCACCAUUUCUUCCCUUAUUUAUCUUCUGCAAAUUUGUUUUCUUACCAUUUCUUUCGCAUUAAUACUAACUUUUUUAAUUUACAAUAUGGUAGCCAAUACUGUUUCGGUAUUAGUAAUAUUAGUCGAUACAUAUCACUUUUAAGGGUGAGUUUAAAGGGAUAGGAACAAUUCCGUGUGUUGACUUAAUAGUCAGGGUGUUCACCGUUCUAGGUAUGGUUUGAGUUCAAGUUAAGUUGUGCUAGUCACGUUACUGUUAGGGUUUUGCCCUUCUCUUGUAAUUCAGCAAAAAGAAAUUAAUAUAUGGUGAAAUUGCACUUUAACUCCUCCAAAAAUGAAAAUAUUUAUAUUUAAUUCCUUCAACAAUAAUGAAAUCGUAAGUUAAUGCAAGAUAAAUGACACUUUAACUUAACAAUCUCCGCUCCCCUUAAAAAAAAAAUCCUAACUUCACCCUUAAUCAUCUUGAUUUUAGAUUGGUACCAAGUAGAUUAAAUUUUGUUCUUAUUAAAACAUUGGUGUGUUUCCUUCUGUUUCAGCUAAUACCAACUUAUACCGAUAUGUACCAAACAAUAUUGGUAGGACUGAGAAAGAAAUCAAAAAAUUGAACUAAUUUUUAUUUAUAAUUUUAUUUAUAAUUUAAAAAUAAAAAUAUAUUUAAACAGUGACAAUAACUCAAAUUUUAUAUAAAAACUAUUUAAAAAUAUUAUCAUAUAAGAGUUAUUAAUUUAUUUGAAAAUUAGUUUCUUUUAAAAAUAUUUAUGAAUAUUUUUAAAAAUUUUACAAAAUAAUAUCCAAAAUUCAUAGAAUAAUUUAUCAAGAUAAGUUCAAACACCCAAAAUUAAUAGAUCUUGAACCAAAUAAAUCCAACUAAAAUAAACCCAAAAUUAAUAGACCGAGAAUCAAAUUAUCAUAGAAGAUAUACCAUACACACUAAUACCCAUAAUUACCCAAUAAUUCUUCUCACACUUUGCAGGUUUAAAACCCAACACCUUCUAUUACUAUCAAUGUGGAGACCCUUCAAUCCCAGCAAUGAGCGAUGUUCAUUAUUCACCAUGUUCGCCUCACUGGUAUUUCUCACCAUUUCUUCUCUUAUUUAUCUUCUGCUAAUUUGUUUUCUUACCAUUUCUUUCGCAUUAAUACUAACUUUUUUAAUUUACAAUAUGCUAGUCAAUACUGUUUCGGUAUUAGUAAUAUUAGUCGAUACAUAUCACUUUUAAGGGUGAAUUUAAAGGGAUAGGAAUAAUUUCGUGCGUUGGCUUGAUAGUUAGGGUGUUCACCGUCCUAGGUGUGGUUUGAGUUCAAGUUGUGCUAUUGUAAUUCACCAAAAAGAAGUUAAUAUAUAGUGAAAUUGCACUUUAACUCCUCCAAAAAUGAAAAUAUGUAUAUUUAGUUUUCUUCAACAAUAAUGAAAUCGUAAGUUAAUGCAAGAUAAAGGACACUUUAACUUAACAAGCUACGCUCCCCUUAAAAAAAAUCCUAACUUCACCCUUAACCAUCUUGAUUUUAGAUUGGUACCAAGUAGAUUAAGUUUUGUUCUUAUUAAAACAUCAGUGUGUUUCCUUCUGUUUCAACUAAUACCAAUUUAUACUGAUAUGUACCGAAUAAUAUUGGUAGGACUGAGAAAGAAAUCAAGAAAUUGAACUAAUUUUUAUUUAUAAUUUUAUUUGUAAUUUAAAAAUAAAAAUAUAUUUAAAUAGUGACAAUAACUCAAAUUUUAUAUAAAAAUUAUUUCAAAAUAUUAUCAUAUAAGAGUUAUUAAUUUAUUUGAAAAUUAGUUUCUUUUAAAAAUAUUUAUGAAUAUUUUUAAAAACUUUACAAAAUAAUAUCCAAAAUUCGUAAAAUAAUUUAUCAAGAUAAGUUCAAAAACCCAAAAUUAAUAGAUCUUGAACCAAAUAAAUCCAACUAAAAUAAACCCAAAAUUAAUAGACCGAGAAUCAAAUUAUCAUAGAAGAUAUUUACCAAACACACUAAUACCCAUAAUUACCCAAUAAUUCUUCUCACACUUUGCAGGUUUAAAACCCAACACCUUCUAUUACUAUCAAUGUGGAGACCCUUCAAUCCCAGCAAUGAGCGAUGUUCAUUAUUUCCGAACAAUGCCGGCCUCCGGUCCAAGGAGUUAUCCGGGAAGAAUUGCAAUCAUCGGAGACUUGGGGCUCACGUAUAACACAACUUCAACAAUUGAUCACCUUAUGAGCAAUCACCCGAACCUGGUGCUGUUAAUCGGCGAUGCAAGCUAUGCCAACUUGUAUCUCACCAAUGGCACCGGUGCCGAUUGCUACUCUUGCGCUUUCUCCGACACUCCUAUUCACGAAACGUAUCAGCCUCGUUGGGAUUAUUGGGGAAGGUAAAUUUUAACGAUGUUUCAUGGAUUUAAAUAGCGGUCACAACAUGACAUUACGAUAGUAUUUGUUAUAAAUGUGCAGGUUUAUGCAGCCUUUGGUGUCCAAGGUUCCCUUGAUGAUGAUAGAAGGGAACCAUGAAAAAGAAGAACAGAUUGAGAAGAAGACAUUUGCGGCUUAUAGUGCUCGAUUUGCAUUUCCAUCGGAGGAGAGCGGAUCAUCGUCGACAUUCUAUUAUUCUUUUAAUGCAGGUGGCAUUCAUUUCGUGAUGCUCGGUGGUUACACCGACUAUAACAAAUCAGGGGAUCAAUACCAGUGGUUGAAGAAGGACCUUGCAAAAGUUGAUAGAAAAGUGACUCCAUGGUUGGUUGCAACAUGGCAUCCUCCAUGGUACAGUACAUAUACUGCACAUUAUAGAGAAGCUGAAUGUAUGAGGGUAGAAAUGGAAGAUUUAUUAUACAAAUACGGAGUUGAUAUAGUCUUCAAUGGACAUGUAAGUCGUGCUUUAUAAUGAAUUAAUUCAAUUACAUUCACUCGAAGAGCUGAUGGUCGUGUUCAUUUGGUGAUAAUCAAUAGGUUCAUGCCUACGAGAGGUCGAACCGAGUGUAUAACUACAACUUGGAUCCUUGCGGUCCUGUUCAUAUUACGAUUGGUGAUGGUGGCAACCGAGAGAAAAUGGCAAUUACACAUGCUGAUGAACCCGGAAAUUGCCCCAAACCAUCGACAACUCUGGAUAAAUUUAUGGGUGGGUUCUGUGCAUUUAACUUCACAUCAGGGCCGGCAAGUGGUAAAUUCUGCUGGGAUAGGCAGCCUGAUUAUAGUGCAUAUAGAGAAAGCAGCUUUGGACAUGGAAUCCUUGAGGUAUAUUAUGCAGAUAUUUCAUUAAGAUUAAUUUCUAUGGACCGUAAAAAGGACACAAAGGGUACUUUAAUUAUACAAAAAAAACAUUAACAGCAAGUGUUUUGCAGGUGAAAAAUGAGACUCAUGCACUGUGGACAUGGUACGGUAAUCAAGAUGCUUAUGGGACUACUGGUGAUGUGGUUUAUAUAGUUAGGCAACCUGAUAGAUGCCCUGUUGAACCCGACGUAAUUAAUUAAGAGUAAACUCCAAAGCUUAAUUAAGUUGAUUCAUCUGCAGUCACCAUUAAAAAGUGAUGCCAAGAAAGUUUAGGUUUGAAUCUCGGCAUCUGUCCUCAGACUAUGAUUUCUUUUGUACCAGUAAAUAUCUUUCAAAGCUAUAAAUACAUAUUAAACAUCAAAAUCAGACAGCUGAUAAAUCACAAAGGGAUUAUGUACGUAUGUAUGCAUGCAUGUAUGUUGGCUUCUAAAGAUUGAAAAGUAAAUAAUUAAGGAUUCAAAAGGAACAUUAUUGUGAUAUGAUUUGCAGGUUCGUAAUUUUAAUUAAAUGAAAUAAGUUUGAUGUAACUAUGCAAGUAGUACUUAGAAUCCUAAAAGUUUGAAAUAAAUAUUUGUAACUUUGUUGAAUGUUUUCAUGAGAGUUCCUUUCUCAUGGAGGUCAAUUUCUUUGUUAUAAGAUACGGUCCCAUGGUUUGACAUACUAAGAUUAAAUAGGCUCUUAUGUAGGCUAACACGUAUCCUACUUUAGGGUCAACACGUGUCUCUUGAGUAUGGGUUUGCCUGCAUGGUGGUGUGAACCCAUUAGGUGCGGACUUAUACAGACGAACUAUAUGGUUUGGUUAACUAUAUCCGAAAUAAAAGGGGUCAGAUCGGUCUUAAUCAGAAAACAAAUAAUUUAUGGCGGACACUACAACAAACUUAAUAAUCACAUUUGUUAAUAACAAAUAAUUAAUUUGUUUUGAUAACGUAAUUACAAGACAUAAUUUGAAAAUAAUAUAUGCUUGCUUAGAUACCAUUAUUCUCAGUACUCCAAGUAACAUAAAUAUUGAAAUGAAUUUGUGAGAGAGCUAAGAUGGUUGUAUUCUAAUAGAGAGAUUUCUAUUGCUGGUAAAGAAGACUUUAGCUCCACUAUCGUGCGGCCGUGACAUUAGCUUAAGCUCCUCAUUAAGCUAAUUAAAUGUGAUCUCUAGAUUAACCAACAAUGUCUUCAUAAAGUAGACAACUAAAUGAUCGAUACCACCAGCAUCCUUCCAUAAAUAGCUGCGAAAUAGGGCUUCAACUUCUAACAAAAACGCCUCUUCCUAUCAUUGGGGUCAUGCAUCAAGGUUUAAAAAGUUCCAUAUUGGAUGCAAAAUAAAUGAUAGAACAAGUAAGAGCAGGAUAGACAUUGAGCUUGUGUUGAGUGUACUAUCAAAUGAAGCUCUAGAGAGAAAUGGAGGGCUGAAUCCAGGGUAAUUGAGCCCCGGACCGCCACCUCCGCCAUUGAUCGGUGUGGUUGUCGUAGUUGGCACAUUCGGAUUGUUCCACGACCCUGUUUUUGGCAUAGCUGUCCCUCCGGAUGUGCUGGAAAUUUCAUAACUUAAGCUUUUAAAAUCAAUAAAAUAACAGUGACAAAAACUACAAAUAAUGAUGGAAUCCAAUUUGGUUGGUAAUUUUCAAAAAAUAGGCGAAAGGAGCUAUUAUUAGCUUUUGCUGGAACCCAAUAGAGGUGCUCAUGGGCCGGGCCGGGCCGGGCCCAGAAAAAAUUUCGGCCAGUGUCCUAGACCCUGGCCUGGCCGAGGCUGAAAUAUGAGCCUAAAAUUUUAUCUAGGCCAGGCCUGAAAAAAAAUUCAUAAGCCCGAGCCCAGCCCGGCCCAUUUUUUAAAUAAACACCAAAAAAAAUUUAAAAAUAAAAAAAUUUAUUUUAAAAAUAUUUUAAAAAAUAAAAAUAAAAAAUAUUUUAAAAAUAAAAAAAUAAAUAGAUUUAUUAUAUUUGGGUCGGGUCGGGCCGGGCCAAAAAAUGUUAUGUGAGGCCCGGUCCAUUUUUUAAAUGGGCCUUUUUUUUUGUCUAAUGUCAUAUUUCGGGCCUAUUUUUUACUUAAACCCUCCCAUAUUUUGGGCAGGCCAUUGGGCCGAGCCGGGCCGCCCGGCCCAUGAAGACCUCUAGAACCCAGCAAUGCGCCCAUGGAUAGAGAUGACAACAAGGUGAGACGGGACGAGUUUUUGCUCGCCUCAAUUUCGACUCGAUUUUUAUAUCCUCUACUUCGAUUUAUUCUGAGCUCGAUUUUAUUUAAAAAUGUAAAAAUAAUUAUAAAAUUAAAAAAAAAGUGUUUUAGUAAGUAAAUCAAGGCAGACAAAUCGAAUUUUCAUCUAAAUCUAAACUCGAAUUGAUCUUGAACUACCCAUGUAUGACUCCAGUAUCCAAAUAUCUAGAGUGUUUUUUGACCGUUGGAUGUCUUUCAAGAAAAGAGUACCCAUCCAACGGUUGAAAAAGUCUCACCUAAACAAGACGGUAGGAAAACAUUACAAGUAAAGAAGUGGCCAACAGACAUAAAUAAGCCUGGAAACGUAAAAGGUGUAAACCUUCACAAAGUGACGACUGCAUGUAGGAUACGAAAAUGGACGGUUAGAGAUCAUGCCGAGAAACACGUGUCAGACAUCUACUCAAUUACAGCAUCACCAUGAAAGGCUCACACCCACUUGAGAAUCAAAGGAUUAUGCAAAGUUGAUUCAUGUUAGUUAAUUAGGAUUUAAACAAUAUCUUAUUUUGCGCCUUUUUGUUUUUCUGUCUUUGAUCCUCUUACAAGCCACAAGGGUUUCAAUAAUAAAUUACACCCAACUUCAAAAAGUUAUUAAAUGAGCAAUAAAUUAUUCAAAUUUUUUUAUUUAAGUCACUAAACUAUUUAAAAGUUUUUAUUUAAUUUACUGGGCUGUUAAAUUUUUUUUUUAAAAAGGAGGUUCAGCUAGUGAACUCCAAGCAACAAUUUAACAAUCGGUAUGGUGGAUAAAUACCCGCUGACGAGUAGAUCCAAGUUGAUCUAACGGUUAGUGUCGGAGAUCGGAGAAUGAAGAGAAAAACUGUUUGGAUUUUAGUUUAUAGAUUUGUGACGUUAAAAGUUAUUUCAUAAAAAAAAAUUAAACUGUAAAAGAGAAGGGAAAUUAAAGCUUUUGAGUGUUGCAAGCAAUGCAGACAAAGAAAGCCGUACAACAGUAAUUUUAACAACCCGAUGACUUAAAUGAAAAUUUUCGAGUAGUUCAAUGAAAGAAAAUACAAAAAAUUCUCUCUGCUGCGUUGUUUUCGUCUUCUUUGCAGGUAAGGAGGCUAGCUGGCGUAAGGAGGUGGUGGAUGUGGCACAGCACACGCGGGGAAGGCCUUGGUGGCUGCGGCGCCGGAAGGAGGGCUGUUGCAGCUAGGGUUUUCUGAUUUUUUUUUUGUUUUGGGCUAGGGUUGUGUUGAUAGUUGUAUUGGGCUAGGUUUUUGGGCUGGGUGUAGUUGGACUAGAUGCAUCUGACUUUGGGUUUGUACCGGGUCACUGUAAAUGGGUUUGGUUUUUAUUGUUAUUGGGCUGUGAACUAUUUGAGUUUUAAUUAAUUUUUAUUUAUUUGGUUUUUUAUUGUGGGCUGGGCAAAUUGGGUAUUACAAUCAGCUAAUUAGGAAAGACUGUGAUGAUAGUCACACCUUACAUCCAAAAGCAAAGCUUUUUACAUGUGUAUGUGAGGUUGCUAAGCAAAUCUGAUGAGCCUUCACUGAUGUUUUAAGGUUAAGUUAAUGUUCCUUUUCGGCAAAGAACAUUAUCGAGAUCACGGUAUUUUGAUCGCCUUUUGCUUGUUAUGUUAUUUGUUCUGAAACGAUUGCAUAAUCUUUACUGUGAUUGCAGGAUAUAGAGCAACUUCUGAAUUUCAUUGGUGUAAAGAGUUGAGGACCACGACAUGUUCUUGCAAAUUUGAAGGAGCUUCUAAGGUCUGUCCGGUCUUCAGAAUAUAUAGAUACCUGAAUUAAUUUUGAUUUUGUAGGAUCAACUAUAAUUAGCUACUUAUUACACUAUGAAUAGACAACCUCACCUUCUUCACACACUACACGUGCGGAUUUUUUACCAAUCCCAUUUCAAAGGAUCACACUUUUUUGUUGUUUACAGAAUCAUAAUUAAUGUUAAUUAAAGUGGAAUAUUUCAGAUUUCUGAUGAUGAGCAUAUUCUUGAGUAUUGCAGUAAAAAAAUGGGUGUGGAACUUAUUUGAACUUUGAAUGUAUGUUCUGUUGGUGAGAAUAUAAAGUUGAUAAAGAUUUGGUAAAUAGAAUAAAAUAUUAUUUUUAUUAGAAAAAUUAUUUGGUAGACUGCCAAUCGAGUUAUAAUUAUCAUGACGUAAAACAUGUCAUAUUACAAAUAAUAAAAUUAUAAUGACUCAAAUAUACGAACAUGUCAAAAUUUACGUAAAACGAAUUAUUAACAUGUCAAUGUAUAAUACGGUACGCAAAAAUAGGAUAAUUGCUUGUUUUUUAAAUUGAAUUGUUAUAACAUAUUAUACAAAAUACAUUGUGAAUUAAAGCAUAAUAUGAACAUGAUAUCAAAAUAUUAAAUAUUUUUUAAAAUUUGAUGAUACGAAUAAUUAUGUAAAAUAUAACAUGAUACAAAAUAACUUGAGAGGAAAAGAGGAAUAAAGAAUUGCAUUGUUUGUGAGGUUUUAAAAUAUUCCAGUUUUAGAUUCAAUUUUCUAGUAUGUUUGGUUUAAUUUUACAUUAGAUUUCCUUUUUAGUAUGCACUAGUGAACGCUUGGCAGUUAAUUUAAUUUAAUUUAAUUUAAAGAGAUAUUGCAUAUACAUAAUAAUGGAUUAUGAUUUUACAUUAAACUUCAUAGAAGAAAAAAGAAAUAGACGGUUGAAAAUGAUAAAACCAUAAGAUAAAAGAGCUUUUAUUUAAAAUGCAAAAAUCAACAAAAUAUGCAUUAUCGCUCAACUUAGCAUAAUUAAACAUUUAGGUGUGGAAAUCAAAUCACAAUUUGAGUAGCUAAACAUAUCGCUUGAAAAUGUGAUAAGUAAGAAAAUUGCCCACAUUUGAGUAGCGACAGGUGGUAAUGCAUUUCCCAACAAGAGAAAACCAAGCUCUUCGCCAGUAUGGAUUUAUGUAGAGGACAACAAAAAUUGUUAACAACACAACUACAUAAGAAACCAAAAAGCUCACACAAAAAUCAUAACUAUCUAUCAAACCAUCUUCUCCUUUAUCUUCUGAUACAGUUGAUAUUGUUGAUGGUGAAUCGGUUUUGGAACAACUUUUAUGCAGUAUAGGUCCACAAAGAAAAGGGUUUCCUUCAUAACUGUUUUCAAUAAAGGUCUCAAAUUGAGCUUUUGGUUCGGGAAUACUACCUGACAAGUUGUUAAAUGCCACGCUGAAAACCUCCAAAGAGUUUAACUCUACCAAUUGAUUGGGGAUUUCACCACUUAAGUUGUUGUAAGAAAGGUCCAAACUCUCAAUUUGAUGUAGUUUUGAGAGUGACGAGGGUAUAACUCCGGUCAACUUAUUGUGUGAAAGGUUUAAAGAAUGGAUUUCACUCAAGUUCCCUAAUUCUGGUGGGAUAUGACCAGUUAAGUUGUUGCAAGAUAAAUCAAUCCCAGUCAUAUAUGAAAGGAUGUCGCCCUUGUAUGAAUAGAACCCACUCUUUGUUGUGAACUCUAUUACUUCUUCUAAGUAGCUACUAGGAUAGUAAGAAUCCAUUCCCAAAUUUAGUAUCAUACUGCGUGUUGUUUCAUCCUCUUCUAUAGAUGGCCCAUAGAACCAAGUUUCUAGAAUCUUCUUCGUUUGCAUUGGAAGAGAUAAAUUUCCCAAACAAGAAGGUAUAGGACCAGAAAACAUAUUUUGAGAAAGAUCUAUGAUGCUUAAAGAAUGCAACUUGCAUAACUCAAUAGGAACUUUACCAUGAAAAUGAUUAUCUUUCAAGAGAAGAACACUCAAAGAAGAAAGCGUGUAAAUCCAUUUUGGAAUACUACCUGUCAAAUUGUUUCCUCUAAGAUCUAAAGUCACUAUUGAAGAGCUAUUAUAAAAAGCAAGUGAUAGUGGGCCUCUCAGUCUAUUCCCGUGGAGGUGGACAUGCUCUAUGUAUGGUGGAUUAAAACAUGACGGUAUAGAGCCAGAUAAAUUAUUUUGAGAAAGAUCCAAAAAUUCCAACCUAUUCAACUUGCAAAAUUCCAUUGGAAUGGAACCUUCAAAACCAUUGUUGGACAUAGCUAAUCUCUGCAAAAACGAUGCAUUCCCUAUCCAUCUUGGGAGCUUUCCAUGCAACUUGUUGUUACUGAGAUCAAUUUCGCUUAGUGAAUUUGGAAACUCAAAAGUAGACACAUCAACAUUUGUCAUCUCUCCUGAAAAAUUAUUUCCAUCCAAAUAUAAAUGCUGCACCCCAUUUGCGCUGAGAAUCACAGGAACUACAUUUCCACUGAGGUUGUUAUUUGAUAGUCUCAAAAUGGUCAGUGAGCCUUUCGUGAUCAACUCUUCUGGUACUUUUCCAUACAAAUGAUUGUCUAAUAGAUCUAAAAAUGAUAAGUCCUUCAUGCCACUUAAACAAAGUGGGAUAUUAUCUUCAAAAGCAUUCUUGGAUAAGAAUAACCGACUCAAAUGUGGAAAAGUUGAACAUAUACCAGUUGGAAUUUGACCUUGUAAUUUGUUUUCAGAUAUGUCAAUUGAAGAUACAUCAGAAAUAAGAGCCGACGAAAGUGAGAGAGGACCUGUAAAUGAAUUACCCUUCAAGAUGAGAUCUUCUAACUUUGUGUUGUUUUCUAGCAACCAAGUUGGUACAGUUCCACUGAGAUUGUUAUGAGAAAGAUCCACAUAUCUCAAGUCAUAUUGGUAGUAAAGGAAGGUAGGAAAUUUACGAUUGAGUUGUUGAGAUGCUAUGCACUUUGGCAAUCUGAUGACUUCCAAUUGGAACUUUGGGAUUGAGGUAUAAAAGGAAGAUUCCAUUACCAUCUUGUUUUCAUUAAUCGAAAGGGCUUUGAGGUUUGAAAGGUUUGCAAAUGGUGCAAAUGACAGCGGAAUUUGAAAAUGGUUUCUUGAAACAUCUAACACACGAAGAGAUGUCAAGUUACUAAAACAACGAGGAAGCAUCCCCUCAAGUGCAUUGUUGCUCACAUCCAAUACUUCAAGGUUCUUUAGAUCACACCAUCCUGAAAAAUUUAUAAAUUCAUGGAAGAAAUUUUAAUUAAAUUUGGUCCUAUUAAAUAGAAUAGGAGAUAUUAUAUUACAAAAGCUAGUAAAGAAAUCAAUUUGAGCCAUAAAAUUAUUUACCUUGAUUAGGUAAGGGACCAAUAAGUCCACAAUGAUAUAAAGACAAUGUUUUAAGAGAAGCGAAUACUCCAAUGCUUUGCAAAAUGUUGGUGUUGAGAGUAGAAUAGUCAAGAUAUAUUUCCUCCAAACUGCUCGACACAUUUGAAUCUAAGCAAUGUCAAGAGGUAUUAGAUAACGGUAUUAUAGAAAGCCUCUACUAAGUAGAAUGCUUUAUUUUCUGUGAAUGAAAUGAAGUAUAUAAAUAUAUAUAUAUAUUUUUUAUGAGUUAGAUUAUUCAUGAUUUAUCUGAGAUAAAUUUUGAUAGAGAGAAGAUGUUGAAACUUUAAUAUAACUCUUCAUCCAUUUUAUUAAUUAUACUAUUUUUUUUCUUUUUAGUAUUUUCUUAUAUUAUUUUUUAAUAUAAGUAAUUAACUGAUAUAGCUAAGUUGUAUAAUUUUCAAACUCCAAUCAACAACACUAUAAAUAAUAUUUAUAAAAUAAAACAUGUCUACACUAAAUGUAUGUUUAAAUUUCAUAAAAUUGAAGAUAUUUUUAAAUUAUUCAAAAUUCACAUGUCUACACUAUAAAUAAUAUUUAUAAAAUAAAACAUGUCUACACUAAAAUUAUUAUAUUACCUUUAAAGAUGCCAAUAGUAUAUAAAAAAAUCAAAUAGGUAUUUUACUCAACAAUAAAUAAAACUCAAAAGAAUUAUAAGUAAACUCAGCGGAUUAAAUGAAAAUUUUAAAGCAUUAAAUCUUGGCCCAAAAAUAGAGUUAAGUUAAAAUUCAAAAUUCAAAAUUAUUUUAUUAAUAUUGUUAAAAUUAUUUUAUUAAAUCCAUGUUCAUUACGUCAUUUUUUUAGUUACAUUACUACUAAGUUUUUUUUUUAUUUCAAAAUGUCACACCAACAAGCUAUUUUAAAAUUUUAACAAUUUUAACAAUUUAACUAGGAUUUUGAUUUUUUUUUAUAAAAAAAACAGGGAUUAAAUUCUUGAAAAUAAAAGUAUAAGAAUUAAAUUACAAAUUAGUAAAGAGUACAUAGACCUAUCAUAUUUUUUAAAACCAAAAAGUUAAAAACAUAUGCACUUUGAAAUUUAUAAAAAGAUUGCAAUGGAAGUUUAAGCACCUCUCAAUGUAUGUUUAAAUUUCACAAAAUUAAAGUUUUUUUUUAAAUUAUUCAAAAUUGACAUUUAUUUAUUUUUGCCAAAAAAUGCCAUUUAUUUAACGCUAAUAUGUAUUUUUAUGUUUUAUACUAUUAAAAAUAUAUGAAAUUAAAAUAUAGUUAUAUUACAUAUUUUCUCAUAAAUAUAUGUUUUUAUUUAUUUAUAAUAUCAUUUUUUAUUGUUAUAAUUAUUUUUUAUCUCAUAAAAAUUCAAUAAAUUAUUUUAAAAAAUAUAUUUAUACAAACAAAAUAAUUAUAAACAUUAAUAUUUUAAAAUGAUGAAAAUUUUAAAGAAUUUUAGUUUCAAACCAAAGUCCAAACACAUUAUAAUGGAUGAUUUAGAAAAUGUUUCACCAAACCCAUAUUUUACUUUCAAGUAUGAUAUGAUAUAACUUUAUUAAUAUUUAUGACAAUAACCGUUAUUAUAAUAUUUGACAUCAAAACUAAAUUUCUAAAUUAAAAAAAAAAAGGAAGUUUAAUUAAAUGAUACCUUGGUGGAUCACCAAAUCUUUCAAUUCAUUAUAGCUCAUAUCUAGUUUCCUUAAGUUGAUAAAUGCUUCCAAAUCUAGGAAAACAAAAACAACAAAUCAACUUCAUUAUAUUCUCUUAAAACAUUAUUAUAUUCUUGUUAAAAAACUAAUACUUUUACCUUUCAUAUCUAUUGAUCCUUUCAAUUCAUUGCCUCUUAUGCUCAAAGAUUUCAAAUUUGAAAGCUUGUUAAGGGAUGCAAAUACACUAGUAUUGAAGUGAUUUCCAUCUAAAUUAAGCUCUUCCAAGUGGGUCAAUUCCAAUUUUCUACCAUCAUCUACAAAAGAUUUAUAUAAUUUCAUCAUCUACCAUCACUAAUUUCAUCUACCAAUUUGUUAAAUUGCUCAAUCCUAUACAUAUCCACGUACAAUUCAAAAAAUCAUUAUGUUAAUAAUUUUAAUUUCUACUUAAUAUUUUAAUGAAAUAAAAAUGAAAAAAAAAAGUAAAUCUAAAACUUGAAUUGAAGAUAAAAAUCCUCAAACGUGAAAUGUGAAUGUUCAAAUUUGAAACAAUUAAUUUUAAAAGGCUCUAGAAAGAAUUAUCAAGAAAAACAAAGUUAUAGCUUUAGUACCUUUAGUAUCUAAUGAGCCUUGCAAACGGUUGUUGAACAAAGUCAAAGACUUUAGGCUUGAAAGCCCUUGAGGAAAGGAAAUUGUGUUGUUCCGAAAGAGAUUACCACUCAAAUAAAGUUCCUCUAAGUUUGUUAGCCUCAAUUGUGUUCCAUCUAUCAUUGGAAGAAAGUAAUUAGUAUAGUUAACAUCAUUCAAGAUAUAAAUAGUUAGGAAAAAUGUUUGUUUGAGAAGGAAGAGCCAAUUUACAAGCUUUCCGAUGAAUUGAUUCAAUAUAUAAAUACUUUGUUUGAGAUACCUUCCUACUUAAAUUACUCAAUUUUGAAAUUUAAUCCCAAAUAUUGAUUACUUAUAUAUAUUCAUGAUAUGAUAAAAUCAAAUGACUUAUUGCAACAACUUUUCCUUCAACAUGAAUUUAUUUUAAAGAAUGCUAUUCUUCAAAUAAUUCCAACUUAUAUCAAUAAUUUCCAAUUUAAUGAGCCAUUGAAAACCUCAUUUAUAUAUUAUAUAAUUAGUUACUACAAAACUUAAAUAAAUAAUAAUACUCCAUUUUUGCAAUAAAAAUUCACUAAAGAAAAUACAUUUGAAGUCUGUCAUUGCCUUUUGGAAUAAGAGUCGGUCAAGAAAGUUACUAUGCAGAAAUACUUAUACCUUUGUUUGAGAUGCUUUCAAUGUCGUUCCAACUUAAAUCCAAGUACUUCAAAUUUGUCAAAUUAUUCAAUCCUGAAAUUCAAUCCCAAAUAUUGAUCAGUUAUAUAUAUAUAUUCAUGAUAUGAUAAAAGCAAAGACAUAUUGCAACAUUAACUGUCCCUUAAACAAAAAUUGGUUUUAAAGUAAAAAAGAAACAUAUAAAACCAGUCUACCUUUAAUAUGAAUUGACAUAUAAAUACUGUACUUAUACCUUUGUUUGAGAUGCUUUCAAUUCUGUUCCAACUUAAAUCCAAGUAUUUCAAGUUUGACAAAUUAUUCAAUCCUGAAAUUCAAUCCCAAAUAUUGAUUAGUUAUAUAUAUUCAUCGUAUGAUAAAAUCAAACUUGAACAUACAUUGAUUUUUAAAUCAAGGAUGAAAGAUUUCUCAUAUGAAACAAAAUGCUAUUCUUCAAAGAAUUCCCACUUAAAUCAAGAGUUUCCAAGUUAUUGAGUCUUGAAAGCAAUUGAAAACCUGAUAUAUAUAUUUACUUGUUAAUUGUUUUUUCUUUCUUAGCCAUAUGAAAAUUUUACUAAAGCAAAAGUGGAAUUACGACGGAUAAAAAGAAUGGAAAACUAGGUACCAAGCCUAGAAGACCAUCCUCAAACUCCACUAUACAAAUAAAAACUAACAGCAGACCAAACUUAAUUUACCUCUUUGAUGACCUGAUCCUUCAAAUUUGUUGAUUGAUAGAUCUAAAUACCGGAGAGAUGAAAGCUCACUCAAAGAUAACAAAAUGCUAUCAUUCAAGUAAUUGAAACUUAAGUCAAGGAUCUCCAAAUUACUCAAUGUGGAUGAUAGUUUUCCAAAGCCUAUAGAAAUAUUCUUUUAAAUAUAUACAAGUUAGUGACUUUUCUUCCAUAAAAUAAAAUAAAAUAUAAGUAAUUGCAAAUUAACGAUGGUAAGAGUAGUGGGAUAAUAAAAGAUGUAAUUAAGGAAAAACUAGAGGCACGACCUUCAUUUUCAAGGUUACCACUUAUGGCAUUCCCCCGCAAAUAAAGACUCUUCAAUUCCUCAAAGGGAAGAAACAUAGAGGUAUUGAGAUACCAGGCAUUGAGAUUCCUAUUAUCCGUUUUGUAUCCCAUACUGUCAAACCAUCUUGUAGAAUUAAGGGAGAGUUGUAUGAGUCUCCUAGUGGUGGUGUUACACUCAACUCUUUCCCAUUUACAACAAUCUGAACCCUUCACCUCAACCCAACUUUGCAAUUGAUUUUGAUAAUUGAAGAAAGGCUUGAGAUGCAAGAGAGCGAUUCUCUCAUGCUCCAAACAAGCAUCAGUAGUACACCAUCUGCAUCCUUCUAACACCAACAACAUUACUGCCAUCCUAAUAAGCCUUAACCAUUUCCACUCCAUCAUCAUCAUCUCUCUGUUUUCACUUCUCUCUCAGUUAUAUGUUACUUUUUGUUAACUUCUAUAUGUAAAUAAUCUAAAGCAGCCUAACCUUCUUAUUUAUAUACAAGCAGAACAUACUGGAUCCCACUAAUUCACUAUAAUGUAAAAAUAAUAUAUAAUUAAUUAAUUCCUCAAAAAUUGGAUCAAAAUCUAGGCUUUUUAUUUACGUAAAUUCCUUAUUGCAAAAACUCCUGGUGGAAAUUCGUUAGGAAAGGAUGAAUGGACCACAAGAAUGUUGAUGUUAAUCUUGAAAAACGAAUGGCCAAAAAAAUAUGAAAAGUGAGAGGUGGACAUAAAAUCUUGUGGUUGGGGUUGCAAAAGUCUUCAUGUGGCUUUCUUGUGAGCUUCAUUUAUACCCUUCUUACACAUAUACAAACUUAGUCUUGACUUGGCUUUAUUAAUGGAAAAUUUAGGUCUUCAUUUUUGGUUUCAUUCAUGGAAAUUUUACUUCUUUGAUUUUGAUUUUGCUUUUAUUCUUGCACAUUUUAGGUUUUGAUUUUGAAAAUUUAGUUUUUUUCAUCUCUAUUAUUAUAAAAUUUCUUGAUUUAAUUAAUAUCAUGAGUUAAUUUAAUAUUUUAAAAAAUAAAAUAUUACAUUCACUAUUUUUAAAAAAAUAGGAGUAACUAUAAAAUUUAAUUAUUUAUAUAAUAUUUUUAUAAAAAAACUAUUUAUUUCUACUAGACCACUACUUUAAAACUAUCAAUUAUCAUAUAACUUCUCUUUAAUAAUUCACUAUUCUUUGAACAUUCAUUAGUUUUUGAAACAUAAAAUUUAUAAAUAAUUAUUUUUAAAAUGACUUGAGUUUUACUUGAAUCAUUUUUGUAAUUAGUUAAUUAAAUUGGGUUAUUUUUAAAAAAAAUCCUCUUAACUAAUAGCAAAAAAAAAAAAAGAAAAAAAAAAGCCAUCAUGUAGAAAAUUCUGGUUUGUUGGAAAGAUAAAGACUUGCACCAUUACUUUAAAUUUUGAAAUGUUCAACUUGAUAUUGACAUCUGAUAAUAUGUACAAAUUUCUCAUUGUUUUGAAUUUUAGUGAUAUUACACAUAUGAUAAUAUGUUUGUCACACCAAAUUUUGAAAUAGUAGAACUUAAUGAAUUUAACAAAUACUUAAUGAAUUUAAGAAAUAUCUAAAAUAUCAAAUUAAAGUCUAGGAAUUAAAUCUACAACUUCAGUAAAGUACAAGAACUAUUGUAGAAUUAAACCUUUAUAUAAUAAUUUCCUUCUAUGAACCACAAUUCAAGUGCACCCCACAAGCAACAUUAAAAAAUUGGCAUGUGUCUAUUUUUUUAAAAAUAUUUAUUUUUUUAAUAUUAUAUACUACACCUCUAUAGGAUACGUGUCAAUCCUUUAACUCUCCUUAUGGAAUUUAAAAACUCCACUAACAAUGUACCAAAUAUUAAUCCUAAUUAUUAUACUAUUCAUGGAUAAAGAUAAAAUAUAAUAUUUGCUUAAAAAUCUCAAUUAUAUAUAUUUGGUCACCCAUUGUGAUGUAAUAUAGCACCGUCUACAAAAUAGUUGGAGGAAAGUGUUAAGAAAAUAUCAUUACAUAUAUCAACAUUCGCAUAAUUCAUUGCAUUAACUUUCAAAUGUUAACUAUUGACUUCUGCGUCAACUUUGAGCUUAUAUAGGUCCCCCUCAUGGAAAUUGAGAAAAACAAAUUAAUAUGUAUAUUCUUGUGGGUGGAAAUUUAGUGGAGAUGCCCAUCAUCUUUCCUAAUUAAUAAAAAUGAAGACUUAGAAAAUGUGCAAUCAUAAUCCUAGUCGUCGUUAUGGCCCCAAGAAUAGUUAUCUUAAUUUGUCUCUCUUCAGGAUUAAAGAUAAAAAAUAAAUUUUAUAAAGUUAGAACUAUAAUUUUAUAAUUAUAUUAACAUAUAAUUUCAUAAAAUUUUAAAAAUGUAUCUUUUAAUUUUUUAAUUAAAUUGAUAAUUCGUUAACUCAUAAUAUUAUUUUAUUUUUCAAAAUAUUUACGAGAACGAGUUCGUAUUCUAUUGUGUGGAAAAUUUUAGUACAGAUUAUUAAGUUAUUGGAGAAGCCAAAUCCAACUUGUUUGACCAAGAAAGUUUUUGUCGCGUGGAAAAUGGACAUUACCAUUUCCUUGAAUGACCUUCAAUUUAAUGUAUUCACACCAAAUUUCAUUAAUGAGUAAAACAAAUAAUGAAUAAUAAUGAAAAUUGGAGGAAAUUGUUAAGAAAUUAUUAUUACAUAUAUCAACAGUCACAUAAUUCAUUGUAUUAACUUUCAAAUGUUGACUAUUGACUUUUACAUCAACCUUGAGCUUAUAUAGGCCCCCCUCACGGAAAUAAUCUCAUAAUUAAUGCCUGAAAAAUUAUUAUACAUCAAUUUACAGUUUUAAUCCCUAGACUUACUCAAUUGAAUUAAAAUUUUAGUUUUUAUUAUUUAAUUUGAACUAUUACUUUAGAUUUUGAAAUGUUCAACUUGAUAUUACAAAUUUCUCAUUCUUUUGAAUUUUAGUGAUAUUACACCUAUGAUAAUAUGUUUGCCACACCAAAUUUAGAAAUAGUAGGACUUAAUGAAUUUAAUAAAUAUCUAAAAUAUCAAAUUAAAGUCUAGAAAUUAAAUCUACAACUUCAGUAAAGUACAAGAACUAUGGUAGAAUUAAACCUUUAUAUAAUAAUUUUCUUCUAUGAACCACAAUUCAAGUGCAUCCCACAAGCAACAUUAAAAAAUUAAAAUGUGUCUAUUUUUUUAAAAUAUAUUUUUUUUAAUAUUAUAUACUACACAUAUAUAGUAUACGUGUCAAUCCUCUAACUCUACUUAUGGGAUUUAAAAAAUCCAGCAACAAUGUACGAAAUAUUAAUCCUAAUUAUUAUACUGUUCAUGGAUAAAGAUAAACUAUAAUAUUUGCUUAAAAACCUCAAUUAUAUACAUUUGGUGACCCAUUGUGACGUAAUAUAGCACCAUCUACAAAGUAGUUGGAGGAAAUUGUUAAGAAAAUAUCAUUACAUAUAUCCAACAGUCACAUAAUUCAUUGCAUUAACUUUCAAAUGUUGACUAUUGACUUCACGUCAACUUUGAGCUUAUAUAGGCCCCCUCCUCAUGGAAAUAAUGUCACAAUUAAUGCUUGAGAAAUUAUUAUACAUCAAUUUAUAGUUUUAAACCCUAUACUUACUCAUUUGAAUUAAAAUUUUAGUUUCAAUUUGAUAUAUUUUGUUCCUCUUAUUAAUAUUAAUGUUAUAGAUUUAUUAAAAUAACUAACAUUAUUAAUUCUCUAACAUUUAAAAAUUAAAAUUAUGUGGUUAUUAAAAUUAUGAUGCUAAAUUGAGAAUUAAAAAUUAUCAAGUUUUAAAUGAUCUCGGGAAUUAAGAAGAGAUCGUGUCCUAACUUAUUGGGCAUGAUCCUUUUUUUUCUCAAGUUUUAAAUGAUCUCAGGAAUUAAGAAAAGAUCGUGUCCUAACUUACUGGGCAUGAUCCUUUUUUUUUUAAAAUCUAAGAUAGCUAAAUAUUUUUUAAAUAAGUAAAUUUUUGGCAUUCAUUCGCGCAUCGGGAAUUCAAGACAUUGUGUCCUAACUUACUGGAUAUAAUUCUCUUUCUCGAUUAAUGUGAAUUAUGGCUUUUUCCCGAAAAUUUUCAACAUUUCAAUAAAGGAUCGUAUUUUAAAUCUCUUUAAAGUUUUCAAUCUUCGAUACUAAGACAUUAAUUAAUCAACUAGGUACCAAUUUUGGGCGUAACGAGGGUGCUAAUCUUUCCUCGUACGUAACCGACUCCCAAACCUGUUUUUCUGAAUUUCGUGGACCAAAAUUAUUAUUUUAUUAAAAUUAAAUUGUUUAUUAAAAAUAACCACUUUUCAAGGUGGCCCGAUCACACCUUAUCAAAAAGGAUUGGUGGCGACUUCCAUAUUCGUUUUCAUUUUUUAAAAUCCAAGUCGACCCCGUUUUCACAAAAAAAAAAAGUGUCAACAAUUAUAUUAAUAUAUAAUUUCAUAAAUUCUUUAAAAAAAAUUGUAUCUUUUAAUUUUUUAAAUUAAUUUAGUAAUUCAUUAACUCAUAAUAUUAAAUUUUUUAUUUUUCAAAAUAUUUACGAGAACGAGUUCGUAUUCUAUUGUGUCGAAACUUUUAGUACAGAUUAUUAAGUUAUUGGUGAAGCCAAAUCCAACUUGUUUGACCAAGAAAGUUUCAGUCGUGUGGAAAAUUUUAGUUUUGUGGAAAAUAUAGAUUAACUUCUAUAUAUGUAUGUAAUCUAAAGAAGCCUAAGCUUCUUAUUUAAUUAUAUACAAGCAGAAGAUAUUGCAUCCCACUAAUUCACUAUAAUAUAAAAAUAAUAUAUGAUUAAUUAAUUCCUCAAAAAUUGGAUCAAUCUAGGCUUCUUAUUUACGUAAAUUCCUUAUUGCAAAAACUCUCGAUGGAAAUUCGUUAAGAAAGGAUGAAUGGACCACAAAAAUGCUUAUCAACUCUUGACUUUGGCGUUCAAUGCUAAGUUCAUUUUAAAAUUCUUUCAUGGAGAGAAGAUGGGAUGACAAGAAUGAUAAGUUUUAAGUCAUUUAAGUUUACACAAAAUUUUAAUCACUCACAAAAAAUCAGUCUUGAUAUUCUAUUAAAAAAUUUAAACAUGGCUUAACGUUGAUUUUAAAUCUAAUGUCGAUGUCAAUCUUGAAAAACGAAUGGCCAAAAAAAUAUGAAAAGUGAGAGGUGGACAUAAAAUCGUGUAGUUGGGGUUAUAAAAUUCUUCAUGUGGACAUAAUAUAUUUUUUAUGCCCUUCUUACACUUAUAUAAAGUUAGUCUUGAUUUCGCUUUAUUAAUGGAAAUUUUAGUUCUUCAUUUUUUGUUUUAUUCAUGGACAUAAUAUUUAUUUUUAUUUUUUAUUUUUGUGUUAUGGUCUAUGUUCGAGGUUUAUGGCUAUCCCCUUUCAACAACGUCGUCUCAACGGUUCAAACAUACACUUGCAGGUAAAAUAAUACUUUUUAAAAUCACAAAUAUUUGAAAUAAUAUAUUGCAGCUAUAUAAAUGCUUUCUUGUUUAAGAUACUAAUAAAGUAAUUAACAAAGUAAUUAUUAUACCUAUAAUAAUUCAAAAUGCCACUUGUUAUCUAAUGAAGUAUAGGGGUGCAAAUGAGACAUCCGUACCCGCAAGCUAUUCGAAUUCGGCUCAAAAAAUUUUGAAUUUGAUUCGGUAAUUAUUGCGCCGAGCUAUAGGUCGAUCCGGAUUCAAGCUUAGUAAUACUUGACUCGAGUAGUUUGGGAGCCUUAUUGAACUUUUCAUAUUUUUAUAUUAUUAGAUUACAUUAUUGCCUUUAAUAUAUAUUGUUAACCCUAAGUUUAAUUAUUGAGGCGAGCUCGAACUCGAGUACAAAAAUUGAUAAACAGAUUUAAUUUCGAGCUUAAAAAUAUAUGUUCAAUCGAGUAUCAAGCUUUGAAUUUCAAAUUAAACUUGAGUUUAACCGUAUUGAGUUCGAAUAGAUUCAAUUACACCCUACAAUAAAAUAUACCAACAAAACCUACAUUCCAUAUUUGCUUAAAAACUUUGCUGUAAAUUUUAUAUAUGUGUGUGUUUAACGUGAGUUCCAUCUAUGUCCAACUUGAUGACGAUGAAAGUUCCUAUGGUGUAAAAAGUUUUAGUUAUGUGGAAAAAUAAGGUCUUCUCUUCACACGUUUAAUAUGCUUACUUGUGACGGUCAUUUCGGGCUUGACAUCAAUUUUCAAAAUGUUCUAAUUGGUGGAAAACUUACGUCUGCUUUUAUGAUUCUUUCAAGUCAAUUGGAGAAUGCCUCUGUUACACUUCAAAAGAAGUAGAUUUUGAACUCAACAUGAACCUGUGAGAUUUGAUGCCUAAAAUAUAGGUAUAAGGUUUCAAUUCAAGGAAAUGUUGGAAGUCCAGGAAAUUUCUUAGUCUCCUCUCUUUGGAUGUUUUUGAACAAAAAUGUUUUAAGUCUCUUCCGAUGCUAAACUUCUGAUUGGUCGUCGGUUCACUGACCCUUUGGUACACAGCAAUAUGAAGCAUUGGCCAUUCAAGGCCAUUGCUGGUCCUGGUGAUAAGCCAAUGAUUGUACUACUAUAGAUUUGAAAUGAUUGUACACAUCUGAUCGGCUCUUUGUAAAUUUAAAUCUUACAAAUUCGGAUAAUAUUCGAAUUUAAAUAUUUCAAUUACUAUCUGCAAUAGAUUAAAAACAAACGUGAUUAUCAAUCCUUGGAUAUCCACAUACAGAUUAUGCAAUACAAUCUCUUAAGGCAUAUAGAAUUUGGGUCUUAACCAAGCUAUGUUGCUUAAAAGCUUGCUAAAAGCACCCCUAACAAAGGGGUAAAUAAAUAAAAUAUCAAGCACCAGUUAUCAAAGCAGAUUGACCACCUUAUAUCUAUGUAUGCUACUACAAAACUUGCACCAUUAAAAUCUCAAGCUGGUAAUUGGAGCUUCAUGUUAUUCUUGCAGCUGCAGGCAUAAUAAUCAAAUAAGUUGCAAUCAUUCACAUAGGUACUAUGAAGUGCUUUCCAGAGCGUGAGAAACCUCUGGAAGUAAUAGUAGAAGAAAUCAGCAUAAAGCAAUGUCUGGACAAGACCGCAAAUCCAAGCUGAUCAAAGGCAUCAAUCAUGUAAACUAGGUGUUAGAAAUAACAAAUAUAGCAUAGAAUAUAACAAAUAAUGAAUAACAAUGAAUAGUACACGUUACCAUUUCCUUGAAUGACCUUCAAUUUCUCCAUUGAGAUAUAGUAAGAGGGAGUGGAAUAGAUGUAAGGUAAUAUUUGAUGUAUUCGGUAAAUGAAUAAUAACACCACAUUCCAUUAAUGAGUAAAACAGAUAAUGAAUAAUAAUGGAAGUUUUAUAAAAUAAAAAUAAAUUAAAUCAUAUACAUAUAAUGUAUUAAAUCUUAUUCGUGAAGUUCACAAUGAACAAAAUACUAAUCCAUAAUGGAGAAAAAUAACCUAAACUUUAAACAUUUGUUCAUUACUAUAAACAUAUGUACAACUUUUUAAAGGUUUUAUAUAAACUAUUAAAAGGUAUAAACACUCUCAUAAAAAUAUAUUAUUAAGUACGUCUUCUUUUACUAGGAAAGUUCCUAUCCUGUAGAAAAAUGUAGUUUUGUGAAAAAAGGUCUUCUAUGCACUAAUUUGUGGCAAUCACAUGGGGUUUGGGAAUUUCAAUUUUGAUAGCCAACCGAGAUUCACUAAAUUUAAAUUUUAUUAUGAUUAAUUACGCUCUUCGUUUUGGAGAAAUAGGUAAUCACAACAACUAAUUUAAUUAAAUGUAAUUUAAUAAUUAAUUUUUUUAUAAUUUAAUUACAUUAACUAUAUUUAAAUUUAAUAUUUAGUAUUUAUAUUUUAAUUUAACAUAAUUUAAUUCACUUACUUUUAUAAUAUUAUUAGUUCGUCUAAAUAGUUGACACCUUUAAUUAAUUCUUAUUAAAAUGUUAAAAAUGUUUAUACUUAUUUUCCAUGUUAAAAUAUAUAUUUUUUUGUGCUUUUAAAAACAAAAUUUCACAAUAUCAUUUCCCGAUAUAAAAAUUAAAUCUCAAAUUAAUUUAUAUUUUUGUAUUUUUUUAUAACUAAUGUUAUCAAGAACUCUUAAUAGUGCAACUGAUUCCACCAUAAUAUUUAUAUUCUUUAAAUAUGAUUUACAAUUUAUGUUUGGAGUUCGUGACUGUCAUUCUUAAUAAUGUCAUUUCUAAUGUUCGAACAUGCAUCUCCCCUUGAGAAUGCAAUAUUCAUUACUAUUGCACCUAAUUAUUUUGAUAAUUUAAUUUUAAAUAUUGACAUAAAAAUAUUUUUAAAUAUAUUAUUAAUAAAUUUAAUUAAGAUUAUAAAACUUGAGGUUUUUUUUAAUUCUUCAAAAAUGUCAUUUAUUUAUUUUUGGCCAAAAAAUGCCAUUUAUUUAACUCUAAUAUGUGCUUUUAUGUUUUAUUUUAAAAAUAUAUGAAAUUCUAAUGAUAGUUAUAUUACAUAUUUUUUAAUUUUAAAUAUCAUUGUUCUUUUAUAAUUUGUUUCAAGUAUGAAAUGAUAUAAUUUUUUUUAGUAUCUAUCACAAUAACCUUUACUAAGAAUUGAAACUAAAUUUCUAAAUUUUGAACAAAAAUGAAAGUUUAAUUAAAUGAUACAUUGGUGGAUUCAUUACCCCUCAUAUCUAGUUCCCUUAAGUUGAUAAAUGUUUCCAAAUCUAGGAAAACAAAAAACAACAAAAUCAACUUCAUUAUAUUCUCUUCCAACAUUAUUAUAUUCUUGUUAAAAAUCUAAUAUUUUUACCUUUCAAUCCAUUGCCCCAUAUGCUCAAAGAUUUCAAAUUUGAAAGCUUCUUAAGGGAUGCAAAUACACUAGUAUUGAACUGAUUUCCAUCUAAAUAAAGCUCUUCCAAGUGGGUCAACUCUAAUUUUCGACCACCAUCAAUAAAAGAUUUAUAUAAUUUCAUCACUAAAAUGAAUUGGCAUAAACUUUUAUUAUAUAUAAGAAUUUAGGUAAUUGGUUAAAUAUAAAUGCAUACCAUUUAAGGAUUGAAAGCUUUCAAUUUCAUUCCAACUUAAAUCGAGUUUCUUCAAAUUUGUUAAAUUGCUCAAUCCUAUACAUAUCCUCAUCCAAUUCAAAAUCUGAAAUUAGUAAAGAUAAAAUUGCACAUUGACCCCCUAAAAUUGAUAAAAAUUUAAUUUAAUUCUUUAAAAAUUAUAAACAUAUGUAGCGACCUAAAAAUUUCGGCACGGGCGCUAGUCGAAGUAAUUAUUGUAAAUUUGAAAACUGAAUCUCGAUUUUAUUUGAAAAAGGAGUCGCCACCGAUAUUUUUUCUAGGUGUGAUCGGACACCUACAAAAUUCUCUUUUUAGAAGAAAAAAUUAUUUUUAAACUUUUCUAAAAAAGAGGUAAUUUUAGGUCCACGUAAAAAUCCAGAGAAAAUUAGGGUCCGGGAGUCGGUUACGCGCGAGGAAGGUAUUAGCACCCUCGCAACGCCCAAAAUUGGUAUCUCGUUAAACGCGUGUUGUCUUCAUUUUCAAAAAUACGAGUUCAAUUUAAUAUUAGUCGUGAUCCGAUUGAACACGAGAAUUUUAAAGCGCAACAACUUUUUCUUUUUUGAAAACACGAAAAUUUUAAAAUACAAGAAUUUUAGAAACACAAAACUUUUUUUUUAAAAAAAACACGAAGAAUUUAAAACACGAGAUUUUUUAUUUUUAUUUUUGAAAACACGAUUCUUCUUUUUGAAACACGAAAAUUUUUAAAACAGAAAAUUUGUUUUUGAAAACAUAAAUUUUUUGAUAAAAUACGAAACACGAGAAAUUUUGAAGACAUGAAAAUUUUUGAAACACAAUUUUUCUUUAAAAAAUACCGUAUUUAACACGAAUCGAUGAUAUUCAUCCCGAUAUGGCGAUGAAACCAUCGAAUUAGUGUUAACUCAAUUCAAUUUAAUAUUUAAUCGGGAUUCUAAUAAAACACGAGAAUUUUUAUUAAAAUACGAGGAUUUUUGAAUAUUUUUAUUUUUAAAAGGGUGUCCCGAAUUUAACACGAGCUAUCGAUAUCCACCCAACAUAGCGAUGAAUUCGAUGACUUGAUGCUAAAUCGGUUCGUUGCCUUAUGCAUUAAAAUAUUAUUAUUUUUAAAAAAAAUAUGCAAUUAAAAUGACAUAAUAAUAUUUAUGAAAACUGUUUUAAAGCAUACUAAUUUAAAUUAAAUAAAACACCAUUUAAAUAAAUAAAAUAAAAUAAAAUAGAUUAAAAAGAAAAAAAGAAAAAAAUUACCCAAAAGCCCAAAGUUAUGGGCUUAAAUUUUGGGCCUCCCCUUUUAUUAUUUUUUUUGCUGUUGGGCUNNNNNNNNNNNNNNNNNNNNNNNNNNNNNNNNNNNNNNNNNNNNNNNNNNNNNNNNNNNNNNNNNNNNNNNNNNNNNNNNNNNNNNNNNNNNNNNNNNNNNNNNNNNNNNNNNNNNNNNNNNNNNNNNNNNNNNNNNNNNNNNNNNNNNNNNNNNNNNNNNNNNNNNNNNNNNNNNNNNNNNNNNNNNNNNNNNNNNNNNNNNNNNNNNNNNNNNNNNNNNNNNNNNNNNNNNNNNNNNNNNNNNNNNNNNNNNNNNNNNNNNNNNNNNNNNNNNNNNNNNNNNNNNNNNNNNNNNNNNNNNNNNNNNNNNNNNNNNNNNNNNNNNNNNNNNNNNNNNNNNNNNNNNNNNNNNNNNNNNNNNNNNNNNNNNNNNNNNNNNNNNNNNNNNNNNNNNNNNNNNNNNNNNNNNNNNNNNNNNNNNNNNNNNNNNNNNNNNNNNNNNNNNNNNNNNNNNNNNNNNNNNNNNNNNNNNNNNNNNNNNNNNNNNNNNNNNNNNNNNCUCUUUUUACUUAAUUAUUUAUCAAUUUACACUAGUUCGAGUUUUUGUAACAGUAUCAUGGAGACUUAUGUACUAGGAGUUAGAUUGUAUUUUGCCUCUUUUACUCAAAAAAUGAGUAAAUUAAUCCUUGUACGUUAAAUCAAUGAGCAAACUAGUCCUUUUAGUUAACAUUUUCAUUCAUUUUUACUAUUAAAAAUUGGAGUGACUAACGAAAUAACCAGAUAGUUACACAUUACAUGCCAAGGGUGAAGCCAGAAAAUUCUUUUAGGGGGCCGAAAUUAAAUUUUAAUUUUUAAUAGCUUAUAUCUUUAUAAUUUUUAAAUGAUUAAAUCAAAUUUUUAUCAUUUUUAGGAGGGGACUAAAGUGUAAUUUUAUCUUUACUAGUUUAAAUUUCUAAAAUUUCUAAAAAGCCUAAAUGGAUAAUUUUCAAUUUUAGAGGGGUCAGGGCCCUUGCCAGCCUCCCUAGAUACGCCACUGUGGCAUGCCACAUGUACCUCAUGUCAGCAUACAUGAACCCGUUUUUAACAGUUAAAAUGGAUGAAUUUUUUAGUAGAAGGAUUAAUUUUCUCAUUUUUUGAGUAGAGGAAAGAAAAUGCAAUCCAAUGCCUAAUACAAGGGCCUCUAUGUCUUUCAUUAUUACUCAAUUAUUUGUCAUCAAAAGUUGUAUAUGUUCAAAUAUAAAUACAAUAAAACACAUAUGUAGUUAUUAAACAUAUCAUGCUAAUGUCAUUGUUUCUUCUUUAUCCAAAAUUAUUGGACUUAUAAAAUUCUUGAGAAUAAGAAAACCCCAUUAAACUUCCUUUUAAGUAAAACGUGUGUUCAAAAUCUUGAACUAGGUUUAUGCAGCAAUAGAAAUUCACAAGCUGUUUUUUUUAUACAUGAGAUGUGAAUCUCAAAAUUUUAGGGUUUCUGAUCUCAUAUAUUUUGGGUCCAGAUUUAAUGCUAAGGAUUUGUUGAGAAAGUUGAAAGGGAAGAAAAUGAUGUUCAUUGGGGAUUCACUAAGCUUGAAUCAAUGGCAGUCUCUAACAUGCAUGUUGCAUGCAUUUUUGCCACAAUCAAACUACACUGUUCACAGAGAAGGGAACCUUUCGACCUUUUAUUUGCCUGUGAGUUGCCAAAUCUAGUAGCUAUUUUAUUUCCUUCUUAUAAUUAAAACUUUUCAAUGUCACCUUUAGAAGGUAGCUGCAUGAAUCAAAUGAGUUAAAUCAAAUAGACUAAUUACUAUUGUUUGGCAAAAAUACCGAGUAGACCUUUUUAAAAAUAGUUAUUAUACUUUUAUUACAACAAAAUAAGCAGGGGUGAACCUAAAAUUUUUUUUAGCAGGAUAGAAAUUUAAUUAUAAUUUUUUCAUAGAUCAAAAUAUAAAUUUAUUAUGAAUUAAUUUAUAAUUUUAUCAUUUUUAAAGGGAUUAAACAGAAAUCAUUUCAUUUUUAUGGGGGUUAAAGUGUAAUUUUACUAUAUAUUAAUUUAUAAUUUCUUUAUUUAUAAGACUAGAAAAAAUUUUCAUGGGGGCCAAAGUACAAUUUUACUAUAUAUUAAUUUAUAAUUUCUCUAGUUAUAAAAGAACUAAAUUAAAAACUUUUCAUUUUUUAGGGGGGCCAAGGCCCUGCCUACCCCUUUCAGAUUAUUCGCCUCUGAUAAUAAGCCAUUAAACUUUAAUUUAUAACCGUUACCAUUAAUUUUUAACUUAUAUCCAAAUAACCCCUUACCAUUUUAUUUAUACUCAAAAUAAAAUUUAACAUAAAUAAAGGUGAGAGAGGGGCCUUGGCCUAUUGGUUAAAAUAGAAAAUUUUCAUUUAGGUCCAAAGGUAAAGCCAAAAAAUCAUUUUAGGGGGUUGGAAAUGAAUAAUAAAUUUUUGGGGAGACUAAUAUUGCAAUUUUAUCAUUAUAUCAACUUAUAAUUUCAUAAAUUUUGAAAAGAUUAAAAGACAAAUUUAUCAAUUUUUGGGGUUGUCUACUCUCCUGAGUUGGUCUCUAUUGAAAAUUAAUAAUUCCAUAAAAUAUAGCUUUCCUAAAUUUAUAAUUUUAGCUCGACCCUAAAUAUAAAAUUCUUUGCUUUACCCCUGAUAUUAAAUCAAAAGAUAGAAACUUAUUAUGUUACUAUAAGAAUAUAGGGAUUUAUUUAGCAAAAGCAAACUAUUUCAAGGACUUUUUUGGUAGUUUGCACUUAUAGUUGGUAUUAGUUAGAAUUAAGUGCCAAGAUUAAGUUUCCUUUGAGAUAUAUAGUUGGUUAAGCAAUUUAAUAUAAGUGGAAAUUUAGACCCCUAAGUUAUACCCUUCAUGCAUUUGGACAACUGUGUUGAGCCAAAAAAAAAAUUGCAGGAGUAUGAAGUUUCGUUGAUGCUAUCACGCAAUGCAUUUCUUGUGGAUAUUGUCCAAGAAAAGAUUGGCACCGUUCUGAAGCUUGAUUACAUUAAAAACGGCGAAUCAUGGAAAGGAUAUGACUUUCUCAUCUUCAAUACCUGGCAUUGGUGGCUCCACACUGGAAGAAAACAACCGUAAGCAAAACAUAAUUUCAGCAAUUAAAACCCGAUUUUUUAAUUGCAUCCCGAGUAGAUUUGUAAACAAAUACAACACUCGAAUUGGGUUGGGUUUGAACCGGAAUAUCAUUCCUAUAGUUUUGAUUAGACCUGUAGUUUAAAAGUUAAUUAUUUAUUUAAGUUUGAAAAUUCGUUUGAAAUUUAGAAGAAUAUUUAGAUAAAAAUAUUAGACUUCAUAAAUGAGCUUGAGUAAAAAAAUUAAACCCGUUUUUAAUAUGGGUUAAGCUUAAGCUCAAAAAAGUUAAGGAUCCAGACAUGUUGAUGAACUUAAAAUGAAUUUGCGAUAACUAUUUACAAAUAUUAGUAUGUUGGAGCAAAAUUUUAAGCCAUUGUUUGGUCCAACUAAAUUUAGGCAAAUAUAAAGUGCGUUAAUAUCAUGCUUAAAAUUGAUUCAAACUGAUCCCAACCCAUAACCACUUCUAAUUCUGAUUAGUUUGACUCAACCUUUUUAUUCUUUUAAAUACUUAUAAAAUCUCUUAUCCAAUUAUAUUUAUAUUUGAGCAAAAAAUGAUGUAUGUAUGUAUGUAUGUAUGUAUGUAACUUGAAAAAUGAAUUGGAUAUUAGAUGGGAUUUCAUUGAAUCAAGAGGAAAGGUGAAGAAAGACAUGGAUCGUAUGGCUGCAUAUAGAGAGGCACUAAGAACAUGGUCAAAAUGGGUGGAUUCCAAUGUUAACACUACAACUACCCAAGUGUUUUUUCAAGGCAUUUCUCCGACUCAUUUCAAGUAAGCUUUAGCUCUUCUCUUCUCUUCUCUUACCAUUUGCAUUAACUUCCUUGUUCUUAUUUUACUUAAAAGAAAUGGAAUUAUGAAAAAAAUUGAAAGCCAUUUUUUUUCCAAUAGAACUUAAUUCAUUUUAAUCCCAUCAGAUUUGGUUCAAAUUAGAGGUGUUUAUAAGUUGGUGAGUCAAUCGGCUUAGUUCGCUUUAGACUGCACUUGAAGUUAAGUUUUCAAGUUUCGAGCCAGAUUAGCCUUACUUGUUUUAUUAGUCGAAGAAAACUAUUUUUAAUUGUUUUAUAAACAAUGAAAAUGGACCAUUUAGGUAAGCUUAAGUUUGGAAAAUUUUUGAAAUUGGGCUUAAACUUGACUUGGAAAAUGAACACUUAUAGUUGAAAGAAACUCAUUUGUCAUAAAGCACAAAUACUUUUAUGAUUAGAGACGUUAAUGGGCUUGAACUUAAAUUUUCUUUUUGGUUUAAGCUUGGUUCGAGUUGAAAACUCGUAUUGUUUAAAAUAUUUCUAAUAUAUUAUUGUUUAAAAUAUUUCAUAAAUAUUUUCAAAAUGAAAUAUGUGUAAGAAUCAUAAAUUCAAGCUGUAGUGUUUCCUCAUAUAAAUUAUGAAUCACUCUAAAUAUCUCAAAGAGAAAAUGACAGUUCAUUGACAUCUAUAUAAAGAUUUUUUUUUUUAAAAUAAAAAUCAACAAGUCUCUUACGUUAUCCAUAUAUAAUAUGUGGAUGUACAAUUAUAAACUUCACCUCAAACAAUUUGGUAUUUUGAUCCACAAUUUUGACAGUGGCAAAGAAUGGAAUGGUACCAAAUCAACAACUUGCACACAUCAAAUCAGACCGGCUACCGAUUUAACGUACGAAAGUGAUCCACCUCCGGAAGUGACGAUCGUAAAGGAAGUGCUAAAAAACAUGUCGACGCCGGUGGUUUUGCUCGACAUAACCAGAUUAUCACAGCUGAGGAAAGAUGGUCACCCAUCAAUUUAUACUGGUCUAAAAGGAAAUGAUUGUAGUCAUUGGUGCCUAGCUGGUGUUCCUGAUACAUGGAAUGAAAUCUUAUAUGCAAUUCUUACAAGUAGGAAAACUUAAUUCAAGAUUAUAAUUUUUUUUUCAAUUUAAUGUAUUUAGUUAAUAAAAAUUAAUUUCCCAUUAAUAGAUGAAGAAUUUUAAAUUUAAUAACAUAGGUGUAGCCAUCAAUUUAAUGUAUUUUUUACCCGAACCCAAAUUAAGUCAAGCUCAAACCAAUGGAAAACCUACAAUAUUAUUCAUAAUAAUAUUGAAACUUUAGAUUUUUUUAUUAGUAUUAUAUAUUUUAAUAAUUAAUUUUAAAUAUUUUUAUUAAUAAAUAGUAUUCAGGUCGCGCCAGCCCAAUUUAAAAGAUAUUUAACUCAAUAUAAAUUCAACAUAUUAAAUGAAUAAUUCAAAUGUCAAAAUGAGCAAAGGAAAAUCUAGAGUUGUAAGCUUUGCAACUUUAAAUUGGACAUGAGAGUUUCUUUUAUUGGAUACAUGCCACAUUAUUUUUUAACAAAAUUCCUUUAUUUUAUCAAUUGAAUUUAAAUUAUUAUAUUAAUAAAAUUAUUUAAUUAUUUAAUUGUGUUUCAACCUUUUACAUAAAAUAAAAUUUUCUCUUUUAACUUUUUCAUCAUUUAAUUUUUCACUUUUUAAAAUCACCCUCAAUUUCAAAUAUAAAUUUACUUGUGUAAAAAAAAAUCUAAAUCUGUUAAUUGCAUCUAGAACUUUUCAGAGUUGGUCUUGUCAAAAUUUUAAGUCUAUUUGCUAGGCCCAAGUUUGGCCUAAAAAAUAGACUUAAAAUUUUGUCUAAAUUUAACCCGGAUAAAAUAUUAAAAUCAGGCUCGACUCAACUCACCUGAAUUAAUUUUUCUAUAAAAAUAUUAAAAAUAAUAGGUCAAAAUACUAAAAAUAUUAAAAUAAAUAUUUUUUAAUAAUUUAAAAAUAAAUUUAAAAAUAUUUAUACUUAGAUAAAAUUAACAAUAAAAUAAUUUUUUAAUGUUUAUUAAAAAAUGGGCCGGACCGGGCUCGGGCUUAUGAUAUUUUUCCCGGGCCGGGCCUGGAAAAAUAUCAGGCCCAUAUUUCGAGCCGGGCCAAAAAAAAUUUCUGGGCCCGACCCGGCCCAUGGACAGGUCUAAUCUUAGACCUUUUCAGUGUUGGUCUUGUCAAAAUUUUAAGUCUGUUUGCUAGGCCCAGGUUUGGCCUAAAAAAUAGACUUAAAAUUUUGUCUAAUUUUGACCCGAAUAAAAUGUUAAAACCAGACUUAGACUCAACCCACUUGAAUUAAUUUUUUAUAUAAAAAUAUUAAAAAUAAUACGUCAAAAUAUUAAAAAUAUUAAAAUAAAUGUUUCCUAAUAAUUUAAAAAUAAAUUUAAAAAUAUUUAUACUUAGAUAAAAUUAACAAUAAAAUAAGAGUUAUAUAAUAUAUAAAUAAUAAUAAAAUAAUAGUAACAACAAGAAAAUAGUAAUUUUUUGUCUUUUUGUUAAUUCAUAUCGGACCGGGCUUAACCCGGUUGAGAACGGUACUUAUAUUUGUACAAAAAAAAAAUCAAAAAAAAAUGUGAACGGUACUUAACCCGGUUGAGUCGGAGCUCCAUGACCCGAACAGCAAUUUAUUUUUCAAUUCUUCUUCGUUACGCAAAAAGGAAAAAAAAAAAAACAGCUCAUGAAAAUGGCAUGGUCAAAUACUCUGCUUCAGAUUCACAUCAAAUCCCCUUCGAUCCCUUCUCUCCAUUUCCCACAUUCCCUCCCAAAAAGCUCCCCAUUCCUUCUUAAUCCUAACCCUAUAAAUCCCAUUCCCAGAUCCCUCAGAAUGCAAUUCCUUCACAGACCCAACGCUGUCCCACUCGUAUCAAGAGCCAUGGACAUCAUCCAAUCGUCUCCUCCCACGUGGCAAUCCGCAGUCCUCAGUAACCUCUUGAUCUUCGUCGUCGGCACCCCACUUUUAGUGGCGGGGCUUUCUCUCUCCGGAAUUUGUGCUGCGUUCUUGCUUGGCACUCUCACUUGGCGCGCUUUUGGCUCCCCUGGGUUUCUCCUCGUUGCUUCGUACUUCGUUAUUGUGAGUUGCUAAUAAUAUAUUAUGAAUUGUAGCUGAAUUAUGGGAAUUAAGUUAAAUUUUGGAAAUUGGGUUUUGAUUUUGUAUCCAUCUGGUAUUAAAAGUUGCUUGCUUUGGAGAAUUAGCUGUCAUUGUUUGGUAGUAUGGCAAGGAAAAUAAACUUAAUUUAUGUCGAAAGGUUACUUUUUAAUUAGUUAGCUAUUCAAGUUUGAUUAGUUGUAUUUAGAGAAAUUGAUUGUACUAGGUGAAAUGAGAUCAAAAGAUUAACAAAAGUUACUUGAUGGUUUCUAGCUUUUUAGCUGAAAUAAAGUCCUGUAUGAAAUGAUAUAAUAUUUUAGUUUUCUAUUAUGGCUUGUUUUCCUUGCAAAGUAUGAAUCUUGAAUUAGUUCCUGCCUCCCUCUUCUAAUUCUCCUUACCCAUUUCUAGUUGAAAGUUAAUUGAAAUUCCAUGUGAUUUUGUGUUAUAAUUCCAGUUCAUAAUCUGAAUGGAGACAAUAAAUUUGGAUGAAGGAGCUUUAAGCAGUGGGAAAAAUCCAUAAUAAUUUGUAAUUCUCUAAAUCUCUAAACAAUCUUACAUCUCUUUGUCAUGCCUUUCAAACAUAGUUGGUAUAACUAUGUUCAAUUGUCUUAGCUAUUGUUUAAUCAUUUUUAAUUUUUCAUUCCCCCUGCUCCCCCAAAAAAAAAUGUUUGUCUGAGCAAUGAGUCUUUCUCAAAAUCAAUUUCCAAGGCCAUUUUAUUUGAUUAUGACUUUGUGAGUAAAACAUGUUUGUAUUUGUUAGGGAACCGCAGUAACAAAAGUGAAAAUGGCUCAAAAGGAGGCCCAAGGGAUUGCUGAGAAGAGGAAAGGAAGAAGAGGACCUGGGAGUGUAAUUGGGUCCAGUGCUGCUGGUUGUGUAUGUGCUGUUCUAACAAUAUAUGGAGUUGGAGGAGAGGCAUUUACACGUCUUUGGCAACUUGGUUUUAUUGCUAGUUUCUGUACUAAGUUGAGUGAUACAGUGUCCAGUGAGAUUGGGAAAGCAUAUGGCAAAACAACGUAAGUAGUGCAUCUCUGUUUGUUAAUGUAUAGGCGCUUUAGAUUAACUGUAUUAAUAAUUCUCCUUAGUUCAUUCUAAAGAAAGGAUAUUUCAAAUCAAGUGGAAUUUAGAUCCCUUAUGGUUCUUGCUAUAUUCGAGCUCUAUUAUUGUCAUAUAUGCUGGUGAUAAAGGUCGCUUUGACAUCCUAUAUAGAAACAAAAUUUGUGAGUGUUAAUAUUGCCUCAAAUCUUUUUUUUUUUCUUCAAAGGUUUAUGUCAAUUGCUACUCUCUUUUUUUUUUACUGUUAAACUACACUUUAGAAUUGCAAAUAUAAAGUGUGUGAUGUGCCAAAAUGAACAGGUACCUGGUGACAAACUUUCAGAUUGUUCCUAGGGGAACAGAAGGAGCUGUCAGUGUUGAAGGAACUGUUGCUGGACUUCUAGCAUCUAUACUGCUUGCCACUAUUGGUUGUCUAUUGGGUGAGGUAGUACUUGCUAUGUACUCAUACUAUGUGAAUAAUUUGUUCUGCCAUUCAUGAUACCAUUUUUUUUUAAUAACAAGCAUUAUUGUGAUCAUUACAAAAUGUUUACACCUUGUAAGAACCUGGAAUUUUUUCUAGUCUCUGCAACAAUAGACUAAUUGGUGGGGUGGUGCCUAGAUGGAAUGAUUUUGCAGAUAUAAUUUGUUGAAGGUGUUUUUCAAAGGGAACUCUUAGCAAAAUAGCAGAUCAUGAUAUAUUUAUAAAUUGAUUUUGACAUCUCAGUUUAGGCGUGUACGACCUUUGUGAGCAUUAUUUUGCUGGGAACUUAAAUUUCAAUUUAAUAUAGUUCAGGUAUUACAAUUUGGUAAAUUGGAUAAUAUUUUCAAGGGGAAGGAGAAUUAAAUUAGUUGAAACCGAUUUUUAUUGUUAGUGGUUUUUUGUAUGUGAGUGGAUGAGGUUGUCUCUCUAGCCUUGCUGCAUCUUUAGCUAGGAUUUUCUCAAAAAUCUUGUAUAUAUCCCUAAGGUUAUGGUGUUGUUCAUAGUAUUGACGCCAUAACCUCUAUACACUUUCAAACUGAAUAUGAUCAACAGCUUCUAGAGAAUGCAUAAAUGAAAUAUGGGUAUUUGAAUUUAUAGAGAUGUUCUAAGCUUCUGUUUUUUGCUUUUUCAUUUAUCUUUGCAAGCAGAUAAAUGUACCUGAGGUAUUGAUAUGUGUAAUAGCAUCCCAGAUUGCUAAUCUUGGUGAGAGCAUAAUUGGUGCUGCAUUCCAAGGGAAAGAAGGAUUUCGUUGGGUAAGGAAUCAUUUGAAUAAUAGGAUGGUUUCUGUCAUCCUGUUUUCUUAACCAUUUUUUCUUAAAUUUAGUGCCUAUGUAUCUUCUAGAUUUUAGUGUUACCGAUGAAUCAGGCUUGAUUCUAUAUGAAUGUAUGGUUUGAUGUGGUAUAUCGAUGAGAUGAUUACAUGUAUAUCAUUUUGUGGACUCUCAUCAUGUUUGGAUCUGGCUGCACUCCUAAAGCUGUAGUGAGGAAGAAUUAUAUACCCACUGUUUUGGGGUAAAGAAGAUCGAAGAGUAAAUUUAGAGAGAUCAGCCUGUUAUAAAACUGCCUGCUAAGGAUUAAUUCUAGUCUUAAUUUUCAUUCGAUGAAAUCACGGUAUUGUGCAUGUAAAAGGCUGUUAUGUUGGUCUGAUUCUUCUUUUUGCUUUGAAGUAUCCAUGUUCAACAUAUAGUCACACAAGAAAUAUGGAGAUAUGACCUUCAAGAUACAUGAUAAACUUUAGCACAAAUCUCUAUCAGACACUUACCUGAAUUUGAGCGAAAUAUCUGGGUUGGCCAUAUAUAAAUCUGCCUAGGAUCUAUCAUCUUAGCAUGUUUAUAUGCUUUUCAUUAUAAGGCUGAAACUUGGAUUCUUUUACCAUAUUGAUUUUGGUUUUCAUCUUGCAGCUGAACAAUGAUGCUGUUAAUGUCAUCAACAUAUCCAUAGGCUGCAUUUUGGCAGUCUUAAUGCAACAACUACUCCAAAACUGGCAAAUGUAAGUUCACCCCAUCAUCUCUUUUGCGAUGUCAGGUAAUUAUUGCAGAGUUCAUCGACACUGCAAUCGACAUAUUGCAAUGUGGGGAAAGAAAAGAAGAAGAAGAAAGAGAAAGUCUUCAAUGUAAUGCAAGAGAUGAGCACAAAGGUGCAACAAUUAUAGCAAUGAUUUUGCUAACCUUGAAAGAUACUCAAAUGAUAUGGAAAAUCAUUAGCAUAACCAUUUGUUCCAUGAGUAUAUUUUAAAAAGGCUUCUCUCUUUUAUAGUCUUGGUAUUCAAAGAUGUAUUCCUUUUAUCAAUCUCCAGUUAGAAAUGAAUUAGAUGCUUUUUAAAUUGCAUUUCUUAACCAAAAUUAUUGGCUUUUUUUUUAUUGUUGUUGAGCCGCACUGGAUUUAUGGGUGUAAUUGAAGCACAAGCUUGACUUGGAACUUUUAUGUUCAAAGUUCGGCCCGGGCCCAAGCUUGAGUUCAAUUAAGCCAUUUGUGAAUAUAUCAACCAAUUGUUCCUUUGUAAAGACAUGUCUAGUUUGGACUAAACCAUCUUGGAUUUUUUUUACAAGGUGAGAGUCAAUCUCUAUAUGUUUCGUUCUCUCGUAGUAUUCAGGGUUGGUUGCAAUCUGAAUUGCUGCUUGACUAUCAUAGAAUAAUAUGAUUGGUUCUACUCGUUUAAAUCCAAGUUCCUUCAGUAGUCCAGUCAACCAAACUAACUCAGCCAUAGUUCUAUACUUUGCCUUUGCUGAAGAUCGUGAUACUGCAUUUUGUUUUGUUUUGUUUUUUCCAAGAGAUGAGACUUAAAACUUCUGGAGGAUGGUCAGGAUGGGUGUUUGGUUUACAAGGUAAAGAAAACGGUGAAGGUGGAGUUUGUGAGGUUUUCUUUUUACCUUUCCCUUUGGAGGAGGAUGAAGGUUGGAUCAUGAAAUUUUCUGGAAGUUUUUCUGGUGGUCUAGAAAGAAUGUCUGCAAGAACAUUGGUUUUCCCUUUUAUGUGGAGGACAUUCUGUCACUAAUCGCUUUGACAUUGGACUUGAAGCCCAAUUCGAAUCACAAUAUGCUACAAGUUAUGGAGAACCAACUACAGCACAGAAUAAACCUUGUCCUGGAUCCUUUUUAAUGUAUCUGACUAUUCUAAGAGCAGCUUUAUAAUGCGACUUCUUGGGUCGUUGCAUAAACUGACUGGAUGUUGUACCACAAACGUCAUAUCUAGCCUUGUAUGAGUCAAGUACAAAAGCCUUCUAAUAAGCCUUUGAUAUAAUGAAACAUCUGUCAAUACCUCAUCAUCAUGAUUCAUUUGCACCAUCUCAUCUUACUGGAGAUGUCAAGUUUUGAUUUUGUUCUAAAGGAGUGACAACUAUCUUUCCUCCCCCUUACCUCGUGUCUGAAAUUAAUUCAAGAGCAUAUUUGCGUUGAUUCAGUACAAUUUCAAACUGUGAUCUUGUGAUUUCAAUGCCAAGAAAAUACUUUGAGAUCACCUAAAUCUUUCAUUUUGAAAUUUUGAUGCACAGUUCCUUUAAGCUCAUUUAUAAGCUUGGUAUCAUUUCCAGAAAUCAACAAAUCGUUAACAUAUAUCAACAUGACAACCAGCUUAUAACCUUUCUUCUUGAUAAAACGAGAAUAAUCGUACUUACUUUGUGAAUAACCAUUUAGAAGAAUAGCUUUAGUAAGCUUUAGAUUCCACUGUCAGACUUAGCAAUUGACAUACUCUAGUCUCUCUUUGAUUGCGAAAAUCGUCUGGAAGAGUCAUAUAAACCUUCUCAUGUAAAUCUCCUUGCAUUAUAGGCAUCCAUUUGAAACAAGGGCCAACCAAACUAUACAGCAAGAGCAAUGACCGUGCAAAUUGUGACUUGCUUCGCAACAGGGGAAAGUGUCAUGAAAAUAAAAAACCUGCCUGCUGAGUAUAACCCUUCCUAACAAGUCUGGCUUUAAAUCUUUCAACCGAGCCAUCAGAGCUGUACUUGACCUUGUAGACCCAUAUGCAACCAAUGGGCGUUUUACUAGGAGGUAAAGGAACUACCUCCCACGUGACAUUUGAUUCCAAUGCUUGAAUUUCUUGAUCCAUGGCCUUUAUCCAAUGUUUAUCCUUAAUUGCUUCACUUUAGGUUUAAGGUUCAAUAAUAUGGGAAAUGGAGGCAGCAAAAAAUUGUGUAUGCAAAGGUAAAUGAGCAUCAGCUAUACAAUUAGAUAUAGGGUACUAACCUUUAUGGAGUGAAGAAGAUAAAGAAGAGCAAUUUAAAUCUUUCAUCCAUGUAGGAUCCUUAAAAGAACGAGUAGUGCGAUGUAAAGACAGCUGGUAAGGUAGUAGACUACGAAGGUAAUAAGGACUGGUUGGGAAAUGGAGCUGAAGAACGACAAGGAGCUAAGGAUGAACAUUUCAAAUGGGAUUUUUCCAAUUCAAAGCUGAAGUAGGUAAUCUGUUAACAAUAUAACAAGCAGCAAGGAUACACUCGCCCCAAAAUUUGGUAGGUACAUUAGACUGAACUUUGAAAGCACAUGCUAUUUCUAACAAAUGUCGAUGCACACAAGAACUUUGAUGUAUUAUGCCUAAGAAGAAAAAAAAGGAGUAUAUUCAGAGUUAAAGAACUCAGUACUUAUGACUUCCAAAAGUUUUAACAACAGUUGAAAAUUGCGUGUGAACCAAGGCUAUAAACUGUUUCAAAAUGACAAUAGUGUCGGUUUUAAGCUUAAACAGAUGAACCAAAGAAAAAGGAGAAUCCGCUCGAGAAUAACUAAUAGGAAAUGGCAAUCGUGUUUGUUUAGUAAGAGGACGAACAUGGCAUGGACUAAUAUAGUCACUGUUCCAAAAUGAAAGAAACAUGGCCAAGUCCGGCAUGCCAAAGGAAAGACUGAUCAUGAGAUGUCAAAAAGGAAGAAAUGGGAGAAGAUACAAAAGAUGGCAAUUGAGGCUGUUGAUGCACCAGAAUGUAAAGAUCAUUCUGUUCUUUACCAAUCCCCUUCACUUGUCCACUGCAAAGUUGCCGUAAAAGGCAAAAAUCGGGAUAAAAGGAUACAAAACAAUGUAAGUCUCGAGUUAACUUGAAAACGAAAAUUAAAUUGAAAUGAAAGUCUGGGACAUGAAGGGCAUUGGUUAACUUGAUAGAGGAGGACAAGACAUAGGAACCCAUGUGAGUAAUAGGGACGGAUUUACCAGUGGGAAAUUGGACAAAUGAAGAAUGAAAAGUAAAAGGAACAAGAGAAUCCAAAUAUUGGCAAUCAGAUAUCAUGUGGUUGGUGGCCCUCGUCUCCAAAAUCCAUUGGAAAGAUGCAGGCCAAGAAACCAUACCUGCCAUGUGAGCAGCUACUCCAACAGUUGAAGUGAACUCAAGACUGAGUAAAUUCAAGAUCAGUAGAUACUGUGCCUGAAUAAACACAGGUGCAAAUACUAUGGUAGCAUUGUUAGUCAUAGUUGACCUUUGUUUUGUAAAUUUAAAAUCAACAGGAUACCCAAUAAGCUUCUAACAAGUUUCCCGUUUGUGACCUUUAAUCUUUCAAUGGUCACACACAUCUUUCAAUGGUCACAGAAUACAAUGUUGUAGGUUCAGAAGGAAAAGAUAUGCCAGAAGAAUGUUGUCUUUGAGCUUCCUCUUGAACAAGCACGGAAUUAGCUUAAUUAACAGAAGGUAAGGGUUCCAUUAACAAAACCUGACUUCCAACAACAGCAUAAGAAUCAUUCAGGCCCAUCAGAAACUGAAAUAACCACUGUUGUUGAAUAAGUUGUUGAUUCAUGCGGGAAUUUUCACAAGAAAAAGAACCAAAGCAUCGUAAUCCCACAAAAGCUUCAAUCGUGUAAACAAAACUGAAACAGAGUAAGUACCUUGAGCAUGGGAAGCAAUCUCACCAUGAAGAACCAUCGACUUUCUCAUAUCGUUCUUGAAGUUCUUUCCAUGUUGACAAAAAUAAACUGUGCGGUAUAAUUAUAUAAUUAACGUCGCUCAAAAUUAACAUAAAAUUUCAAUAUUUGUAAAUUCGAAUAAAGAAGGUGAAAUUCAAUUAUAUUACUUUAUAUACUCAGUGCUUUCUAUGUAAAUUAUUUUCAUUAUUUUAAAUAUAAAAUGUUUAUAUUAACAUGAUAAAAAAUAAAUUAAAUUAUAAAUUAAAUAAAAAAUAAAAUUCAGUUUUAGUUACAUUCAAAUACUCGAUUUUUGGGGUUUUCUGCGCCCUAAUAGUAGGAAAAGAAAAUUCUCAUCAAACCCUAAAGCCCAUAAAAGAAAAAGUGAGAAGUUUAGUUGAUCUAUCAGAAUCUCAAGCACUCACCCUUAAUUUGCAGUAAGUUGCGAGUCUGCAAUUCUUUAGACCCCUUUUCUCAAUUGAUUUUCUUCUUUAACCAAUCGUUUCUCUCGCGCUCUGUUUCUUUUAGGAUGGCCGAUGAACAUAUUUCCACAGUCCUGGAGCAGCUACGACGAAUCAUGGCCGACGAAAGAUUUCGGAACUCGGAGUUUCAGAUAAACUUGCUUGUAUGGAGACUCGAAGCUUUUCAAUCUAUGAUUCUUUAACAUGGGGACGGGCUAUUUUCGGUUCGGCUAUUGGAGCGUGGGAUUACUGUUCAUGCACUCGAUCAAGUGCUAUAUAACAUAGAAGAUGUAAUUAACGACGUCUUACAUUUAGGAGUAUCUACUGAAUUAGCAGCAGCAGGCCUUGAGAAGUUUGCUUCUACUCAAUCAAAAGCAGCAUCAGCAGAAACAGCCACUCUUUACAUCUUGCGCAAGAGGUUGGAAGAAUUGGAGGAGGUAUUGAUUGGUAAUCCGCAUGAAUCGCAUCCCUUGCACUCUAAACGAUCUUUUUUUGUAAAAUUGUCAAAGUUAUAUGGUCUAGAUGUGGUUAAGAAAGAUAUAAUAAAUGUAAUUUUGGGUGAAAGUUUCAGGGAUAGUAGCGACAGCAUUAAAACCAUCAUUAUUGUUGGCAUGGAAGGAACGGGGAAAACAUAUCUUGCGCGGUGCAUUUGUACUGAUUGUCAAGUUCUGGAAAUUUUUGACAACAUAAUUUGGGUGAAUGUUUCGGAUGAUUUUGAUUUAGGUAAAAUUGCAAGAAAAAUUAUUCUGUCUCUUGAAGGUUUGGAGCAUGACUCUUUGCGUCUCCUAACAUUAGUUCCAUUGCAAAGUCUGUUAGAUAGAAUUCAGCGAAAGAUUGUUAACAAGAAAUCACUUCUUGUUUUAGAUGGUGUGGGGAGAUAUGAUUGUGAUGAUUGGGAAGCACUUAGAGCUGUUUUUCAACAUGGCAUGUCGGGGAGUGGGAUUCUAGUGACUACUCAUGAGCACUCGGUUGCAGGAGCAAUGGAAUCAUCUUAUAAAUUUUGUUUGGGAAAGCUGUCUGAUGAGUUGUGUUGGAUGAUACUUCGUGAAGUUGGAUUGAAUGAUGAUACUCUUGAAUAUGCGGUAGAGGAUAUAGGAAGGGAACUUGCAAGGAGGUGUGAAGGACUACCCUUUGCUGCAAAGGUUUUGGGAGAUGCUAUACGACAUUAUGACUUUGGAAUAAGAGGAUGGGAUGUUUUUCUGAGAAAUUGUAUCUGGAAAUCUCCUAGAAUACCCAAAUAUAUGUCUAAAAUUCUAUCACUAUCUUAUUGCAAUCUACCUUUGUCUGUAAGACGGUGCUUAUCGUAUUGGGCUAUCUUCCCCAAAAGCUUUGAGAUUUCAAAAACUCUUUUGGUGCAACACUGGAUGGCACAAGGUUGUCUGUACUCAUCUGAUAAUUUAGAAAUGGAACUAAAAGGUGAAGAGUACUUUAAAUGCUUAGAAGCUCAUUCAUGUUUCCAAUAUUGUACCAGAGAUGGUGGUAUGCUUACUUGUAAGAUGCAUAGCUUAGUACAUGAUUGUGUCCAAUCUUUGUCCCCAUAUGAUUUAAUGAUGAGGUUCGAGUCUGUUAAACAGCUGACCUUGAAUUUAUCUUCUUGGACGGAGGAGGUCAAAGUUGUUGGCACUCAUCAUUUGGUAAUGAUGAUUGCUCAAGGAGCUGGUUUUCCCAUGGACAUUAGUGGUGCAGAGAAAUUGAGGACCCUUGUUGCUGUUACUCAAGGGUGUUUGAUAACUAGUCAAGCAUUAUCUAACUUAUUUAAACAAUCCAAACAUCUGAGGUUAUUGGAUUUGAGCUUGACUAGUGGGUGGCAUAAUUGUUUUGGGCCAUCCGGACAAGGUAAUAUACUAGAUGAAAUUCCGGUGGAAAUCUGCAGAUUGAUUAAUUUGAGGUACCUUAGCUUGGCUGGCAGCAAAGUAUUGAAGAUAUUACCAGAAACAUUGUGUGACUUGCAUAAUUUGCAAUCCUUGGAUCUUACUGGUUGUAGUAGUCUUAGAAAAUUGCCAGAUGGAAUGGGGAAAUUAAUGAACUUGAGGUAUUUUUAUACCUGGUGUUGCUCUAGUAUAACUUCCUAUCCAAAAGGGAUUAGCUGCUUAACUUCUCUUUGAGAAUUAACCAAUGUCAUUGCUAGAGCUGAUCACAAUGAUGCAAAGGAAUUCACUCUUGGAGAUUUUGAAAAGUUGAACAACCUUUGUGGACAUGUUCGUGUGAAACUGGUAGGGAAUGCGAUGGAUGCAGAUGAGGCUAUUAGAGCUAACCUUUGGAACAAGAAGGAUCUUGACCGUAUCAGAAUAAAUCUGGAUGGGGAUAUAGGGAAAGAAAGCCAAGACGUUAUAAAGAAAGCAUUAAACCCGCCUUCCGACUUGAAUAUAGAGUUCGUAGGUUGGUGGUUCUAGUCCAGAAAUGUAAGGAUGCUGCAAAGCAACAGGUAGUCUCUCUGUCUCAUUUUCUCUUUUGUUGUAGCUUUGAUGGUUCAAAUUCAGUAUUUACUCCUAUGAUUCAUUCAAACCCAAAUUUCAGUUGUGUUAUAGUAGUUCUAGUUUCUGUUGUUAUCAUCUGAUUAGAUGGAAUAUUAUGAAAUCUCUUAUAACAUUACAAUGACAAAGAUAUCGGCUUGUCUAUCACAUGAAAUUUCUCUCUUGCUAAAGCAUGCUCUGAAUGAAUCACUUUAAAACGGCAAGAUAACUUAGAUUAUCCUUAUUUUCUUUUGCUGGACAUACAUAUCCCGUGAGAGACAUUGUCGUUAUCGGUGGUACUGUAGUUAAAGUUGGAGUAUAUUUUUAGUAUUUUAGUUUUUAUAUUAGGAUUUAAUCAGUUAUUAAGAUGGAUUUUUUCUGGAAAAAACAUGGAUACUUUUUUCUAAAAUUUUUUAUUAACUCUUUUGAAAUUUGUUAAAUUUUUAAUUAUUUUUAUUAGUUUUUGAAUUUUUAUGAAUUAUAGGUAGGCUACCACACGAAUUGAUCACGUCAAUAUUGUUAAAAUUUUAAUAAUCUUUUUAAUUCAAAAGAAAGUAAUAUAACUAAAUUGUAAAGGUUAAGUGUAAAAGUCAAAAUGACAAAAUAAGUCAACAUUAAAAGAUUAAAUUUAUCACGAUGCCUUUUUUAUAUACUCAUAAUUAAUUAUAAUAAAAAGUUAACUUUAUUCAGAUAUAUUUGUUAUUUUAAAUAAAUAUUCAGAAUACAACUUGAAAAUAAUCUCAUGUUUAUAAUUAUAACACGAAAACUUUACUUACUAUAUAAUGGAAGAGUAUUUGGUAUAUUAACAGUGUGCCUUUUUUUAUUGCACAAGUAUGUGUAAAAGAUUGAUAUAUGUCUUUAUUUUUUAAUAUUUUAUUAUACUUUCUAAGACACUUGUCAAUCUUUUAACUUUGCUUAUAAAAUUUAAAAAUUCCACUAAUAAUCUCACCUAGCAAAAUGGAUUAAAAACAUUUAAAGUAAUUUAGUUGAAUUAUGAUAAAAGGUCAAUGUAUUCUAAAAUGCUAAAUGGCAUAAAUUUGAGUUUGUCAAAUUCUCUAGCAUUGGGAGGUAAGUCAAAUUGCAAACUAAGUUGAAUAUUUUUUGGCUUUUCAGUAAUCAUAUUCAUGCUAAUAUUUUUAGAUUUAAUUCUCACUUUCAAUAUUAAAAGAGGGUUCAAAUGCAACUUGGAGUCAACAUGAACAUGAUACUUUGAAAACCCUAAAGGGCACUUGCACUCUUGUUUUGGAGGUGAGGUUAAGAAGACCUACAACAAGUUUUAAUAGAAUUUGAUAUAGUUGAAAAAGAUUCAGAGGAAAAUGGUACCAAAAUCUACAGUCGUGGAAUACGAUGACUGUAUUAAAAUAUAUGAAAUUGGUUGAUGGUUUUAUUUAUUGUCUCUUAAUAUUUUAACUAAUCAAUUAAGUAGUAAUGAGAAGGACAUGACACUUAAUCAUUAUAGUUUCUAGUUAAAGUUUAGGAAGAUGCAUUGACAUCAAUUCACUAAUUUUUUAUGAAAAAUGUUUUUAACCGGUUCAUAUCCCCAAUACCAUUGAACGUUGAAUCAAAUGGUUUUGUUGAUUAGAGAAAGACACUAAGAAAUGUAGAGGAACAUGUAUGCGUAAGAGAGAAUUUGAGGCACAUUUAAUAAGUUAACUUUGGAAAUUUUAUAUGUGGAUAAUAGCAACGAAGAAAGAGACUGUUGAGAAUGAUCAAACUUGGAGCAUAUGUUUAGAUCCAUGUGGAGGUACCUAUUAGGUAAGUGAAACAAGCAAUUGAAAUGAUGGAGAGUUUAGUACACCGGUAUCGUACUAUGAUAAUUUAUGGUCAUUUUUAAUUAAUACAAGUCAAAAAUAAUAAUAUUUAAUAAACCUAAAAUUAAUGGGCAAAUAGUGAUGAGUUAUCCUAAAAUAGAAUUGAAGAGGAUAAGGUCCUACAAUUAAUAAUAAGAAAAGUGAAGACUCUUUGAAAAGAUUAAGGAUGUACUUUGAUUAAGAGUGGUUAUAAAAAAAAAAAUUGGGGGGAAGGGAUAGAGUGGAGUAAGGAAAGUGGUGUGAUUGCCCAUUAACAUAAGUAAGAAAUAUGCGAAUGAUUGCCCAUUAACAUAUAGAGUAGGUAAAAUUGACUUGUUUUUCUAGAAAGACAAUAGAUAAGCCUAAAAAGUUAUAAAAAGUAAUUGUUAAAAUAGUUAAAAUGAGAGGAAAAAAUAAGAUAUUUUUGUUUAUGAGAAUUAAGUGUCGUGAGUCGGGACGAAAAGAUUAAUCAUUGUUACGACAGUAAAUACCUUGAUUACAACGAAAAAGAUAAAAUACCAUUUUACUUUAUAGAAAAUUCUCAUGAUUUUAUAAAAUAUACCAUGAAUAUAUUAAAUCAUAUAAAAAGCGUAAUUCUAUAACUCAUACCUAAUUUAAAUACAGGAUGGUAUUUAGAAUGAUUAUAAGAAAAUGCUUGUUCAUGAAUGUUGUGAGUUUUCCGAAUCUUGGGGACAAUGUACCCUCUGGCUCCCGUCAGGAUUCACCUGGUAAUUUAUAAAAAGGAAUAAACAAUCACUUGGUAACUCACAACUCACAAGGCAUAAAAUAUAAUCACGUCAAGCAGCAAAACACAAACCUUUUUUAAUAUUCCAAUCUAAUACAAGUGAUAAUAUCAACUCUUAGAGCCCUAACUCUUAAAGUAUCAGCACAUAAUUUUAACCACUUACUUUUAAUAAAUACCACCAUCACUACCAUUAUCACCAUCGACAGAGCCUCUCAAUUCAUAUGUCCUGCAAAAAAUGGUGUCAACACUAACAAAAAAACCAAAAUUAUAUCAUUAAAAUAUAUUUGUAUUUCUUAAAAGGCAGAUCAUUCAGUUUUUCUGGACAAGUUUCCCUAUGCAAUCUAAUACAAGUGAUAAUAUCAACUCUUAGGGUCUGUUUGAUUGACGGAAUUGAUUUUCCGGAAAAUCAUUUCCAACUUUUCCAGCGUUUGAUUGGCGGAAAACAUUUUCCAUUUGGAAAAUGAACUCCAAAACAAGGGAAAAUGAGUUACAUUUUAGGGAAAAUGUCUUACUCUUUCAAUUUCUAUAAUUUUAGGCUUUUCCCACCUACCUCUAAUUACACAAAAUAUUUUCAGAUUUAAUUUACUAAUUUUGGCUUUUACAAGGUCAAGAUUUGACUAUCCCAUCAAAUGUCCCAAAUUUAUAAUUUGGUCCCUCUUCUCUUUUCCAUGCUUCAAUCUAACCCCUUCUUUGCUUGUUUUUGAUUUAAAGUGCCCGAAUUUUGUUCCUGUCAAUAUUUAAACACAAAACGCACCAAUUACCAGGGAUUAAUUUGAGAAUAAGUCGAGUUGAACACGUAAAUUAUGCAAAAUGAACAAGUUAUCAUUGACCAUUAGUGCUACGUCAGCACAAACAAACGGUGUUAGUGCAGAGAUACCAACCUAGGUGACAGAAUAUAAAUUCAGGUACCAAUUAGAUAAAAAAAAAUCAUACACCAAAUAAAUACUUUUGAAUAAGUUCGAAAAUAGACGACAAAUUAUCCUUUCUUUUCUCUUUUUAUCUACCUGUAAUAUUUGAAUAUGAAAAGAAGUUACACAACUUUUCAAUUUCAAUAGUAGUUAUUUAACUUUGCCUAGUUGAGUUUUACAUAAAAUUUCUUUCUUUCGUUGAACAUGCUCUCAAUGAAUCACUUCAAACCCCCAAGAUCCUAAUAUUUUGCAGAACAUAUCAAUUGAGAGGCUCUAUCGAUGGUGGUGGUGGUGUUAGAAUCCGUUUAUGCUGGUGGUAGCAUUUUGUAUUUUUUUUUAUCGUAUUUAUUAAAAAUAAGUGGUUAAAAUUACGUGUUGAAAAUUUAAGAUUUAGAGCAUAUCGCCACUCGUAUUAAAUUGUAAUAUAAGCAUCGAUUGUAAAAAGAAAAGUUUGUGUUUUGCUUGUACUGUCUCAUAAAAGACAUUAAGUAAUUUCGUUGUCGUGUUUAUAUUUUAUGCCUUAUGAGUUACCAAAUGGUUGUUCAUUCCUUUUUAUAAAUUACUAGCCGAAUCCUCUUCAGUGAAGGAGCUUGAAAAUUUUUUGGGAGGGUCGGAAUUAAAUUGUAUAUUUGUAUGAUGGUAAAAAUAGAAUUUUAUAAUUUUAAUAGCUUAUAUCUUUAUAAUUUUUAAAAGGUUAAAUCAAAAUUGUAUCAUUUUAAGAGGUCAAAGUAUAGUUUUACUAUUACUAAUUUAAAAUUUUAUAAAUUAUAAAGGGCCUAAAUUAAAAUUUACUAUUUUAAGGGGGCUAUGGCGCCUUGGGUCUCCACUACAUUAUGCCACUGAUCCUCAUGGAAGACAGAGGCUACCUUGACCCCCAAGAUUUAGAAAAUUGCCAUUUGACCUUUUUAAUUUUAUAAAAUUUUUAAUUUAGUUUAUUAAAAUUCUGUAAAUUUUCAUUAAACAAUUUUUAAAACUUUUAAUUAGAUCUCUCAAAUUCUUUUUGGAAAUUCUUAUUUUCUCAAUUAAUUUUUUAAUUAAACUAUUCAGAAUUUUUGAUAAUUCUCAUUAAACCUUUUUAAAAUUCUCGAAAUUUUAAUUAAAUUGGUAAAAUUUGAAAAAUUUUAGUGAAGGGAAUCCCUCCCACAUAUUGAUCAAGAAAGCUUUGAAAAAAUAUUAAUUAAUUAUAUGUUUGAGAGAUUAAUAAUGUACUAUUUGGCUCCCAACAAUAAUAAUUCACUCUUAAUUUUGCUUCUUUUCCCUUUUUCUUUUACUUGUUUUUGUGAAAGAUAUCAUAAUAUAUGUUUUAAAUAAUUAAUGUAAUAAUAGAAAUAUUAAAAAAUAUAGUUAAUAGUAACAAUAUUUUAUACAAGCACAAUGACUUAUUCAAUUCUCCAAUUUUACAAAAAGAGACCAAUAAGUGAUUAGAUGUAAUGACAGGUCACAUUGCAUUCCCAAAAGAACUGCCUAAGUUCGAACAUCAUAAGUAAUAUAAAAACUUAAACAAAGUCAUGUAACAACCCAUAUAUCAAGUAUCACCAAAUACCAUUUCAUUCUUAUUCCAUUGUUUAGUUUCUAUUUUCAAUCAACUGAAUAUCGUCCGAUGGAACUAUAGCAAAACGGGCUCAAAUACACGGGAAUAAGUUGGUCACACAAGUUGACAGUAUAUUAGGGCUGCUCAGACAAGUUGACAUUACAACAGAAUUGCUCACAUAAACUGAUAUUAUAUCAAGGUUAUUCAUCUGGGCUAAACCUUCAAUAUGUAUAACCCGAGAAUUUGAGACAAGCCCAAGAACUCAUCCUAUGUAAAAGGGGUGCCAAACCCUAGUGCAUAGUAGGGUAUGUUGCCGCCCCUUAGUGUUUUGAAUAAAGGGGAACUGUAGUAUCAUAUUAAAACAAUACUAUUUAAUUACUCAUUAUUCAAGUAAAACUUUUGUACUAUUUUCCUAAAAUAGGAUCUAUGAAAUGAUUUAAUUACACCUAUCGCUGUUAUUUUAUCAUAAAAUAGUGGUAAUUUGUUUAUAAGAAUAAAUUCUAUAUUCUGAAAAGCUCAAAGUUUUCGAUUUCUAUAUAGAGAAUUAACUUUCUCACUAAAAGUUCAUGAAAGAUUGGUUGAACUGGGCAAAAAAAUUGGUCGAAUUAGAUGCGAUUGAACUGGUUGAACUAAAAUAUUUUAAUAUAUUUUUAUUUUUUAUGAAUUUUUUAUGAUUUAUUUAAUUGAAUUAGACUAAUCAAUCAAACCAAUUGAAUCAAUUGGAUCAACAAACUAGUAACCUUAUUGGUUUGAUCAUCGAUUUAGUUUUUAAAACCUUAGAUUUCGUCAUACCGUUUCAAUUAUUAUACCUUAUAAAUAAAAUAUAAAGUAAACCAGUGGUGAAAUUAGGGGGAUUGGCAAGGGCCCUGGCCCUCCCUAAAAUGAUUUUUUUUUUCAUAUGGACCCUCUAAAAAAAUUAAAAUUUUAAAUUAAUAAAAAUAAAAUUAUACUUUGGCUCCCCUAAAAUAUAAAAAUUUGAUUUAAUCUAUUAAAAAUUAUAAAGAUGUAGUCUAUUAAAAUGGUGAAAUUGUAUUUUUCUAUCGUAAAAAUUACAAUUUAAUUUUAGCCCAUAAUUUUUUUUUUCUAAUUUCGCACCUGAAAUAAGCUAUAUUUGAUUAAAUUUAUUAUUUUACCUUACAUACAAAACACAAAAUAAACAUUUAACUAUACAAAAUUAAUUGAUGAAUUGUUUUACUCAGUUGAAAGUAGAACAAAUAAUUGAUCCAAGAGGAAAGUGAAAUUUAUCCUUUUAUACGUCGAACAUUAGCGAAAAGGACAAAAAAGAAAUUUUGGGUUAUUUGGCUUUUGUUUCCUGCUGCUCUCCUCAAUCCAUUGACGCUGUUUCACCCCCUUUCUCUCGAUUUCUCAAUGUUUCUUUUCCUGUAAUUUGUUGUGAUUUGAAGUAUAAAUCAGGGAGAAGUAAAAGCUAUCAUAAAAAUGGCGGAGGCAAUUCUUACGGUAGUCUUGCGACAGAUAACAACAAUCUUGAGUGACCAAGCGGUAAAAGAGAUGACGAUGUGGGGAGACCGCGAGGCUGCUCUCAAAAAUCUUGAAACAUAUCUGAAAUCCAUCCGAUCCGUUCUCAAAGAUGCAGAGGACCUUCAAAUUACAGACGAUGCAAUCAAACUGUUGCUAGAAGAUCUGAAAAUUGUAAUUUAUGAAAUCGAGGAUGUGUUGAAUUUAUGGAGCUGUAAAGUACGGAAGGCAGAAUCUGUUCGUGCCAAGGUAAAUUGUCUACUUGAAUUCAUUGCAUAUCGUCGUAGUUCUGAUAGAAUAAAGAAGAUUUGUGAAAAACUGAGUCCAUUUGAGCUGAAAAACAAGCUGGAUCUGGGCAAGAGUAAAAUUAUAUCUCCUCUGCGGAACAAAGAAAGUACUAGCUAUUGUGAUCUAUCAAAAAUUAUUGGUCGAAGCGGAAUAAAAACUGAGUUAGUGUUCCGUUUAGUUUNNNNNNNNNNNNNNNNNNNNNNNNNNNNNNNNNNNNNNNNNNNNNNNNNNNNNNNNNNNNNNNNNNNNNNNNNNNNNNNNNNNNNNNNNNNNNNNNNNNNNNNNNNNNNNNNNNNNNNNNNNNNNNNNNNNNNNNNNNNNNNNNNNNNNNNNNNNNNNNNNNNNNNNNNNNNNNNNNNNNNNNNNNNNNNNNNNNNNNNNNNNNNNNNNNNNNNNNNNNNNNNNNNNNNNNNNNNNNNNNNNNNNNNNNNNNNNNNNNNNNNNNNNNNNNNNNNNNNNNNNNNNNNNNNNNNNNNNNNNNNNNNNNNNNNNNNNNNNNNNNNNNNNNNNNNNNNNNNNNNNNNNNNNNNNNNNNNNNNNNNNNNNNNNNNNNNNNNNNNNNNNNNNNNNNNNNNNNNNNNNNNNNNNNNNNNNNNNNNNNNNNNNNNNNNNNNNNNNNNNNNNNNNNNNNNNNNNNNNNNNNNNNNNNNNNNNNNNNNNNNNNNNNNNNNNNNNNNNNNNGCAUCUUUCUAACACCAACAACAUUACUGCCAUCCUAAUAAACCAUAAGUACCAUUUCCACUCCAUCAUCAUCAUCAUCUUUCUGUUUUCACUUCUCUCUCAGCUAUAUGUUACUUUUUGUUAACUUCUAUAUGUAUAUAAUCUAAAGAAGCCUAAGCUUCUUAUUUAUAUACAAGCAGAACAUUUUGCAUCCCACUUAUUCAAUAUAAUAUAAAAAUAAUAUAUAAUUAAUUAAUUCCUCAAAAAUUGGAUCAAUCUAGGCUUCUUAUUUACGUAAAUUCCUUAUUGCAAAAACUCUUGGUAGAAAUUCGUUAGGAAAGGAUGAAUGGACCACAAGAAUGCUUAUCAACUCUUGACUUUGGCGUCCAAUGCUAAAUUUAUUUUAAAAUUUCUUCAUGGAGACAAGAUGGGAUGACAAGAAUGAUAAGUUUUAAGUCAUUUAAGUUUACACAAUUUUAAUCACUCAUAAAAACAAGUAUUGACAUUCUAUUAAAGAAUUUAAACAUGGCUUAACGUUGAUUUUAAAUCUAAUGUUGAUGUUAAUCUUGAAAAAAGAAUGGCCAAAAAAAAUAUGAAAAGUGAGAGGUGGACAUAAAAUAGUGUAGUUGGGGUUAUAAAAUUCUUCAUGUAGACAUAAUAUUUUUUUUAUGCCUUUUUUACACUUAUAUAGAGUUAGUCUUGACUUUGCUUUAUUAAUAGAAAUUUUAGGUCUUCAUUUUUUGUUUUAUUCAUGGACAUAAUAUUUUCUUAUUUUUAUUUUAUGGUCUAUGAUCGAGGUUUAUGACUAUCCCCUUUCAACAACGUCGUCUCAACUGUUCAAACAUACACUUGCAGGUAAAAUAAUACUUUUUAAAAUCACAAAUAUUUAAAAUAAUACAUUGCAGCUAUAUAAAUGCUUUCUUGUUUAAGAUACUAAUAAAGUAAUUAACAAAGUAAUUAUUAUACCUAUAAUAAUUCAAAAUGCCACUUGUUAUCUAAUGAAGUAUAGGGGUGUAAAUGAGACAUCCGUACCCGCAAGCUAUUCGAAUUUGGCUCAAAAAAUUUUGAAAUUGAUUCGGUAAUUAUUGAGCCGAGCUAUAGGUCGAUCCGGAUUCGAGCUUAGUAAUACUUGACUCGAGUAGUUUGAGAGCCUUAUUGAACUUUUUAUAUUUUUAUAUUAUUAGAUUACAUUAUUGCUAUUAAUAUAUAUUAUUAACCCUAAGUUUAAUUAUUGAGGCGAGCUCAAACUCGAGUACAAAAAUUGAUAAACAUAUUUAAUUUCGAGCUUAAAAAUAUAUGUUCGAUCGAGCAUCAAGCUUUGAAUUUCAAAUUAAACUUGAGUUUAACAGUAUUGAGUUCAAAUAGAUUCAAUUACACCCUACAAUAAAAUAUACCAACAAAACCUACAUUCCAUCUUUGCUAUAAAUUUUAUGUAUGUGUGUGUUUAACGUGAGUUCCAUCUAUGUCCAACUUGAUGACGAUGAAAGUUCCUAUGGUGUAAAAAGUUUUAGUUAUGUGGAAAAAUAAGGCCUUCUCUUCACACGUUUAAUAUGCUUACUUGUGUCGGUCAUUUCGAUCUUCACAUCAAUUUUCAAAAAGUUGGAAAACUUAUGUCUGCUUUUAUGAUUCUUUUAUGUGUGUGUUUAACGUGACUUCCUUGUGAGUUCCAUCUAUGUCCAACUUGAUGACAAUGAAAGUUCCUAUGGUGUAAAAAGUUUUAGUUAUGUGGAAAAUUGGUGGAAAACUUACGUCUUUUUCACUUGCUUUUAUGAUUCUUUUUACAUGAUAUUACUAUAUAAUUAAAUUGAAAUACUGAUAAAUUUGAACCCAUAUGAUGUAAGUCUAGGCAUCAUCUAAUUUAUUGAUAUUUAAUUAAUUAAUAUAUAUACUUUCAAUUAUAAGAAUUGAAACAUAACUUUCAAGUCAAUUGGAGUAUGCCCCUGUUACACGUCAAAAGAAGUAGAUUUUGAACUCAACAUGAACCUGUGAGAUUUGAUGCCUAAAAUAUAGGUAUAAGGUUUCAAUUCAUGGAAAUGUUGGAAAUCUUGGAAAUUUCUUAGUCUCCUCUCUUUGGAUGUUUUUGAACAAAAAUGUUUUAAGUCUCUUCCGAUGCUAAACUUCUGAUUGGUCGUCGGUUCACUGACCCUUUGGUACACAGCAAUAUGAAGCAUUGGCCAUUCAAGGCCAUUGCUGGUCCUGGUGAUAAGCCAAUGAUUGUACUACUAUAGAUUUGAAUAUUUGUACACAUUUGAUCGGCUCUUCGUAAAUUUAAAUCUUACAAAUUCGGAUAAUAUUUGAACUUUGAAUGUAUGUUUUGUUGGUGAGAAUAUAAAGUUGAUAAAGAUUUGGUAAAUAGAGUAAAAUAUUAUUUUUAUUAGAAAAAUUAUUUGGUACACUGCCAAUCGAGGUAAUUAAAACAUGUCAUUAUAAAUAAUAAAAUUAUGAUGACUCAAAUAUACGAACACGUCAAAAUUUAUGUACAACGAAUUAUUAACAUGUAAAUGUAUAAUACGGUACGCAAAAAUAAGAUAAUUGCUUGUUUUUUUAAUUGAAUUGUUAUAACAUAUUAUACAAAAUACAUUGUGACUUAAAGCAUAAAAUGAACUUGAUAUCAAAAUAUUAAAUUUUUUUUAAAAUUCAAUGAUACGAAUAAUUAUGUAAAAUAUAACAUGAUGCAAAAUAUCUUGAGAGGAAAAGAGGAAUAAAGAAUUGCAUUAUUUGUGAGGUUUUAAAAUAUUCCAGUUUUAGAUUCAAUUUUCUAGUAUGUUUGGUUUAAUUUUACAUUAGAUUUCCUUUUCAGUAUGCACUAGUGAACGCUUAGCAGUCAGUUUAAUUUAAUUCAAAGAGAUAUUGCAUAUACAUAAUAAUGGAUUAUGAUUUUACAUUAAAUUUCAUAGAAGAAAAAGAAAUAGAUGGUUGAAAAUGAUAAAACCAUAAGAUAAAAGAGCUUUUAUUCAAAAUGCAAAAAUCAACAAAAUAUUCAUUAUCGCUCAACUUAGCAUAAUUAAACAUUUAGGUGUGGAAACAAGUCACAAUUUGAGUAGCUAAACACAUUGCUUGAAAAUGUGAUAAGUAAGAAAAUUGCCCACAUUUGAGUAGCGACAUGUGGUGAAGCAUUUCCCAACGAGAGAAAACUAAGCUCUUCACCAGUAUGGAUUUAUGUAGAGGACAACAAAAAUUGUCAACAACACAACUACAUAAGAAACCAAAAAGCUCACAAAAAAAUCAUAAGUAUCUAUCAAACCAUCUUCUCCUUUAUCUUCUGAUACAAUUGAUAUCGCUGAUGGUGAAUCGGUUUUGGAACAACUUUUAUGCAAUAUAUCUCCACAACGAAAAGGAUUUCCCUCAUAACUGUUUUCAAUAAAGGUCCCAAAUUGAGCUUUUGGUUCGGGAAUACUACCUGACAAAUUGUUAUAUGCCACGCUGAAAACCUCCAAAGAGUUCAACUCUACCAAUUGAUUGGGGAUUUCACCACACUCAAGUUGUUGUAAGAAAGGUCCAAACUCUCAAUGUGCUGAAGUUUUGAGAAUGAUGAGGGUAUAACUCUGGUCAACUUAUUGUGUGACAAGUUUAAAGAAUGGAUUUCACUCAAGUUCCCUAAUUUUGGUGGGAUAUGACCAGUUAAGUUUUUGCAAGAUAAAUCAAUCCCAAUAAUAUAUGAAAGGAUGUUGCCCUUGUACGAAUAGAACCCACUCUUUGUUGUGAACUCUAUUACUUCUUCUAAGUAGCUGUCAGGGUUGUAAGGAUUUAUACCCCUUUCCCAUUUUCUCAUCACAAUGGAUGUUGAUUCAUCCUUUUCUAUAAAUGGAAGAUAGAACCCAGUUGCUAGACUCUCUUUCUCUUUCAGUGGAAGAGAUAAAUUUCCCAAACAAGAAGGUAUAGGACUAGAAAACAUAUUUUGAGAAAGAUCUAUGAUGCUUAAAGAAUGCAACUUGCAUAACUCAAUAGGAACUUUAUCAUGAAAAUGAUUAUCUUUCAGGAGAAGAACACUCAAAGAAGAAAGCGUGUAAAUCCAUUUUGGAAUACUACCUGUCAAAUUGUUUCCUCUAAGAUCUAAAGUCACUAUUGAAGAGUUAUUAUAAAAAAGCAAGUGAUAGUGUGCCUCUCAGUCUAUUCCCGUGGAGGUGGACAUGCUCUAUGUAUGGUGGAUUAAAACAUGACGGUAUAGAGCCAGAUAAAUUAUUUUGAGAAAGAUCCAAAAAUUCCAACCUAUUCAACUUUCAAAAUUCCAUUGGAAUAGAACCUUCAAAACCAUUGUUGGACAAAUUUAAUCUCCACAAAAAUGAUGCAUUCCCUAUCCAUCUUGGGAGCUUUCCAUGCAACUUGUUACUGAGAUCAAUUUCGCUUAGUGAAUUUGGAAACUCAAAAAGAAAUGUUCACACAAAGUUUUUUCCAACAUAUGUCUGUCAUUUGUGGGGUCUUGAAUUUAAUAUCAAUGGUUGAAUUUUCAUAGCUAAUAUGUGCGCAAAAGGCCUAGUGGGUGGAAUUUUAUGUCAGGAAAGCGUUUCUACAAUGACAUAAUUAAUUGCAUUACUUUUCAAAGAUUGACUAUUGACUUUGGUGAGCUUAUUAGGUUAAAUUCUGCUGCUGGUCACUGUUCUUUGUGAAAGUUGUAAAUUUAGUCUAUUUACUUCAAUUUGAUCAAUUUUAAUCCCUAUACAUUUUGAUUUUUAAAAUUUUAGUUGUGACCCAAACAAUAGAGUUAAAUCAAUUUAAUUAAAACCAAUUACUAGUCCUAUAUUAUGUGUACAAUUGUUGAUUUAGUCCAUACUCUCCAAUUGGAUCAUUCUAAGUACCUAUAUUUUUCAAAUUUUAAAAUUUCAGUCUUGAUGCAAAUGACAAUCCUUAGUCCGUUAACUAGAUUUUUAGUAACAUAUGAAAAUAAUAAGAUGAUAUGACAUUACAAAUAUGAUAAUAUUUUUGCGUUAAAUAUGUCAACAAUGACAUAAUUAAUUGCAUUAACUUUCAGACGUUGACCAUUGACUUUUGCUUCAACCUUGAGCUUAUAUAGCCCCUACAAUAAUUUAGGUUAUGGAAAUAAUCUUACAAUUAAUGCCUGAGAAAUUAUUAUAGAUCAAUUUAUAGUUUUAAUCCCUAUAAUUACUCAAUUGAAUUGAAGAUUCAGAUUUUCUUAUUUAAUUUGAUAUAUUUUCUUCUCUUAUUAAUGUUAAUGUUAUGGAUUAGUUUUUUUAAGACAACAUUAUUUUAUUCAAUGAAUAAUAUCAUACAAUUCGAGGAGAAAAUAACAAACACUCGUUGUACUCGUUAAAGGACAAGUUCCAUCAACACAACAAAACCUUUAACUUCAACAUUAAUAGAACAUUAUGGCAUGUUGAAAUCGGCUCUGUCACAACUCAAGCACAACAUAUCAGGAGUGAUUACAAGCACUUAAUAUGGUAAGAAAAUUAACCCCGGAUGGUCCAAAGCGGUGGGCAUAAAUCAGCAAAAGAACUGAGCAUCCACCAAACUAGAGGGGAUGCGGCGACAAAACUAACCCUAAAAUUACUCUCAAAAGCAAGACUAAAAAGCGUACUACAAGAGUAGACAAAAACUUCGAAAAGUAAAGACUUAUUAAACAAUGGAAAAAUAAACAAAAAAAACAUAUAAAACUUAAGAUAACAUGAGUCUAAACCGAGUCAUGAAAUUAUUUAUUAUUUUGAAACUCUCAAAACAUAAACAAAUUAAGAAGUCAACGAAGAGGUACCCACUUUCUAAAAGAAAGUGUUGGUGGUCGGUGGUGUUUCAAUGAUGAUAGGCAUUGUCACCUGUUCAUCACAACUUGUAAAGAUAACAAAAAUACCCACAAAAUAAAUCUGUAAAUUGAAAAGAACGAAGACUCAUGGAGUGAAUGAGAAGAAGAAAAAUAAAAAGGGUUAAUAGAGACAAAGCAGGGCGGUAACUAGUUCAGAGGCUAACACCGCUGCUAGGCUAAAAAAAGAAGAAGAAGCAAACAUGUUAUGGAUUAGUUAAAAUAACUAACAUCAUUGAAAAUUUCAUUACUUGGCUGAUUUGGAUUUUUUUUUUUAAAAAAUUGAAACUAGAAACCAUAAAUGAUCUAACAUUUAGAAACCAUAAAUUGGGUUCAAUUGCUUUGCUGUCCAACUCCAUCCAUCUAAAAUCGCAAGGAUGUACCCAUGUUCAAUAUGCAGUACAGACCCAAAAAUUGACCAUAUAAUGUGGCUCAAGAGAAUUUUCGAAUGGUUUUAAAGAAUUAUGAGAACACAAUGAAUAAAGUUAAGGCAUCAUUUAUUCAGCUUGCUAUAAUGCAGGUCAUUCCAAUAAAGAAGCAUUUUUUAACUAUAUUUUCCGUUACCCCAAUAACAAUGGCACAGAAUGUUCUCCGAUGAACAUAGAACUCACCAUUUUUAGGAACACGUGUAGUUGAGGAUGAGAAUUCGGAUCAACUGUAACUUCAAAUGGUGGAAUGAAAACAUUGUCCAGAAUAUUCUGAAAAGAUUUUUCAAUUCCCAUUUGCUUGUACACAUUAUACAAUCGUGGUGACUGCAGAAUUAAGUCAAAAUCAAGUGAAGAAGGUUACCUUUGACUUGAGAAAUAUAUCACAGAGAGAGAGAAAGAGAAAACAGUAAUCUGGAAAGAUGAUGCUUAAUAUGGACAUGAUACCCUAGAAACCGAUCGAUCUUAAAUUUUAAUUUCUAAAAUAUUAUUAGCUUGUGCAUACUUUCAAAUACUUUUCAUUAGAGUUACCAUAAGACUAAUUUUUCCAAUUUUAGAUGAUUCAAGAAACUAUUUGGGGGCAAUUCUUAAAUAAACAUGUCCAAACAGUAGUCAUUAACAAGAAAGCAUCCAAGAAAACCAGCAGUUAAUACUUAAAUUAACAUUAUCAAAUGGAGAUGUAAAGAAGAAAGAAUCCUACUGCAAAGCUAGAUAGCAGGAGAAUCACUAGAAUGAAGAGAAAUACUAUUGGCACUAUACCUGGAUUAACCAAACAGUAGUCUCACUAUAAAUUUCAUUGUUAAUAAACCAACUUGCCAAACUGGUCCCAUUCACUUUGUUUCCUUCCAUAUAUGGACACCCUGUACUCUGCCAUCUAGAAAAUAUAUAUAUUAUUCAGUGUAGUCAGAGGCGCAAGGAGCACUCUAGGUGCUAGAAUCCUUUUAUUGUACAAGGCACAUGGCGCACAAAAAAAAAAAAAAACUUGCUUAUGUUAAGGCACAUGUAUGCGUGUUUUGGUAUGUCCAUGUCUGUAUAUAUAUAAGCCGAAGAUAUAUAAUUAUAAUAAUAAACUAUAAAAGUGCUCCAGUCUGAAGUACAGAACAUGCCAAAUUUUCUUUCUUUUGUCAACCAUAUGCAUAUUUCCAUAUGAUGCCAUGCCUGGUGUUGAAUACUCAAAUAUUGAGAAGUUGAGAGUUCGAUAUUAUCCCUUUGUUACAAUUAAGAAACAAUUAAAGAGAUAGUAAAGAGAACUUCAAUUAGAAGGCCUUUUCCCCCUACAUGCACCAGGCAGGCGCUUAGCCUGAAAAGGUCAAAGGCCCUUUUACUGUCUGGUGAUAAGGCAAAAAACAUUGGACAAAGUUGGUGGGAGGAUAGAAUACUAAAAGAGCCCAAUGUUGUCACUUUUCUAAAGUAAGCUCAUAUGCCUUUUUUGUACCCAAACAAUAUCUUACCCUUUAAUUUGUACCUAAAGAAAUUAUUUCUAAUAGAAAGUUUACUUUUGUUAUGAUCAAUGCUGGAGGCCAAAACUGAUUUGGGCUAAGGAAUUGGUGGUGAGAGUUGGAAGGCAAGAAGAAAGAAAGUUCUUUUGAGUGUUAUAUUUUUCAAAAAAUACAAAUUGUUCAUUUUUUUUACCACAUCAUCAUGCCAGGUCAGCUUCCAUGUGGAUAAAGAAAAUUUUGGCGGCAUUGAAACAGAGGCUUCAUGGGCUUUUAGUAAUUUAGCCCUUGGAAGGAAUAUGACCAUCCAAAAAAAGGCAGUUGAUGCUUUAAGGUCAAUUAGCCGAAACAAUAACAACAAUUCCUAGGCUUCAAUAAAAUAAUUUAGACAACAAAUAAAGCUUGAAGGUUGAGUUUUGCACUGCAGCAGCAUUGGGCUUUACAAGGUGAAAACCCACAUUGCACAAAAAUAUCAAAGUUUCAGAUCUAUCAUAAUUUAAAAUUCUAACUAAACUAAACGCCAAGAAUGCUGAAUGCCUAAUCAAAAAACAUAAGAUUAACCCAAGGACCUAAUUGGGUAUGCUAAAAUUUGUCUUGGAAUGAAAUUAAUAAUAUCCUUACUAUUUCACUUUUUUUUUCUUCAUAUGUUUGGUGUGAGCAUGAUACAGAUUAGACUGAUUUUAAAGUAAAAGUAAAACGAUACCAAACCUAAACAUUUUGGUUUUUUUUUAAUUUUUUAUCAGAGCCCUGUUUGAUGCAUUUUUAGUUUUGUUUUCUAAUAACAAAUGGAAAGUUAAUUAAAAAAAAACCCUAAUCCAAUGAGUUCUUUUAUAGAUAUAAGAUAAGUCCUGCAAAGUUUUUGUUUUUUAGAAAUAAAAUUUUAUUUUUGUUUUUUAAUUCUUCAUACCUAUUUUAAUAUCUAAGUUCCGGAUUCCUAACUGCCCUUUCAAUUAUAUAGUAUUCAAGAUUUGAACUUAUAUUUUUCUAUAAAAAUAUAAUGUAUUUUAUUAUUGUAUCCUACAUUCAUUAAUACUUAGUAGAAAUAACCUAAUAAAAUGAUUUUUUUCAUAUAUUAAUAGAGAUAAGAUUCGUGCAAAAUUGUUGGUUGAAAAUUCAUUAGGAAAGGAUGAUUGUACGAAUGUACCAUCAUUAUAAGUGAGCUCAACGAUAAGCCUCCUAUCAAUCACCAGUGUGCAGAAAACAUUUGAAAUCGAAACACCCGUUCAUACAUCAUACAUCAUCAUAAGUGAGCUCAACGAUAAGCCUCCAAUCAAUCACCAGUCUACAGAAAACAUUUGAAAUCGAAACACCCCGGACAUCUCCAACAAAUCUGCCAUAACGUUAGCAUCUCUUCCAUUUUUUCUAAACAAAACCUCACUAAGCUCAUCAAAUGUGCCAAUAUUUCCAAGGCCUAGAUUUCUCAUUGAUACACCAAGAAAGCUCGACUAUGGAGUCGGAUUCAACCAUAAGCUUUCAGUCUAUAAUCCACUAGGAAUCCAAAAAGAAACACUCUCGAACACCUAAAGAACCUGAAACAUAGCAAUGACAUGACCCUUUGAAUUUCUAAGAACCUCACCUCACCACGUCGAGCUAAGAUUACCUAAUGUCGAACCUUCACGGUUAAACUUUUACCAGCCUUCACCUUACUCUUGAUAUGAUGAUUAUGGAUACUCCCUUCACAAUCCCACAAACACUCCCACCAAAUUGACUCAACAAAAUUUGCACCUAUAGGUUUUCUGUUUAUAUUUGAUUUUGUUCACACAUUGCCUAAAACUACUCAUGAUCCCUCUCCAACCUAUAAAUACGAGGAUAAUGCGCUUCAACGCGCUCAAACCCACGUCCUCCUACAUUAGCAACAAUACUCAUGUCAAUCGAGUUAAAACACAAUCAAUAGAUUUUUUUUAAAAAAAAUCUUUAAAUGUUAUAUUAUUAUAUAAGAAUUUGAAACAUGACUUCCGUAGGUUUUAAAUCUAAUGUUGACACUAAUCUUGAAUAAGUCAUUCCACUCCCAUCUUAACUAAUGGCCAAAGAGAUAUCAAAAGUGGGAGAUGGCCAUAAAAUUGUGUAGUUUGGGUUAUAAAAUUUUUGGGCAAACUACAUAUAUUAUCAUUUAAUUAUAUAUUUUUUUCAAUUUAAACACUUAAAGUAAAAAAUUUAUAAUUUAAGCACCCACAUUAUAUAGUUUAGUUAUUUUGAUCACUCCAGUUAAAAUAAAAAAUGGCAAACUGAAGCGACAAUUAAAAAAAUGUAUAAUAACAAAUUUAACCCUCAAAUUUUAUAUAUUAUAUCAAUUACAUAUUACAACUAAUUUUAUAAUUAUUGAUAUUGAAUAUGUCCCUCACUACGUUAGGGAUUUUUUUUAUAAUUUGUAUUUAAUUAAUAUUUAAAAUUAAUUUCAAAAUAUGUGAAAAUUUUAUAAUUAUUUGGUGUUAGUCCCUUUAUUAUACCCAAAUUUAGGAUUAAGCCCCUAUAUUUUAAUUUUGACAUAAUUUGUUUCUUUCACUUUUAUAAUCUCAUUAAUUAUUUCAAGUAACUAACACUUUUAACAAUAUUGCCAAAUAAAAUAAUGUCAUAUUUUUUUUUCUUAAAGCCAUCACUUCUAACUAAAUCAUGACUUAAUCACUUUCUAAUUAAUCAUACUAACUUAGAUUUUUCUUUUGUUGGAAUCAGUACGUUUAAGGAAAACCCACCUUAACAUUUGUAGAUGUCUUCAACAAUUUCCUAAGCACGAUACAAUAAAGCUUGGUGUGUAUAAUUUUGUUUUAUGGAAGCUCCAAAUUAUGUUGAUUCUUGAAUGAUACGGUCUGCAUGGGUUUGUUUUGGGUGCUAUUAGUGUACUAGCACAGUUUGUAGAGGAUAAAUAUGGGAGAUUAGUAGAAAAUUCUGAUUAUGUUUUACAUGUGCAACAAGAUAAGCUAUUGGCUUCUUGGUUACUUUCAACUGUUAGUGAUGAAAUCCUAGCCUAUCUUACUAGUGCUCGUACUAGUUAUUAUAUGUGGGAAACUAUUGAAAAGAAGGGUUGCGACUAAGUCCACGGUAAAAUUGUCCAGUCAUGUGUUGUAUUCACAGAAAAAGGGUCAUUUGUUUGUUAAAGAAUAUUUGUCUAAGAUCAAGUCCAUGUGUGAUAUGUUGGUUGCAACGGGUUGUUUGAUUUCAAAUCAAGAAAUGGUUAGCAUCAUUCUUGCAAGGUUGCCAGUUGAGUGUGAAUCAGUACGGGUAGUAGCUUCAGCUACUGGUGUGUCACUUGAUCUGUUGAUUGAGAUGCUGCUUGAUUGUGAAGCUCGAAAAUUGAGUUCUUGAAUAGUGUUCUCGUACAACCUAACAUAGCUAGUAAACAAGAUUGUGAUGAGGGUGAUCGGACCAAGGGUUCUGAUUAUAACAGUGGCUAUCAAGGGAACAAACAGACAUAUAUAGGUGGUUUUCAAUGCAAUAGAGGUUCCAUCGAGGUUGAGGCCGUGAGGGUUGUUUUUCUAACAAUCGGCCCCAAUGCCAGUUGUGUGGUAAAAUUGGACACAUUGUCCAAAAGUGUUAUUACCGUUUUGAUGAAAAGUUUUGCAGGUAUUGCUAGGAUGGUAAUAUGGUAUAGUGGGCUGCAUCUUGAUUGUUUGUUUCUCAUGCUGAGGCUAUAAUUUUAAUCAUACCUAUUAUUGUUUCUUGUGUCCUGCAAUUUCAUCAUUUGCAGGCUGUUUCACUAAUUGCAUCCUAUUUACAAGUUCCCUUGUGUUAUCCUCUGCGCUUGGGUGGUUCUCGCUCAUAUAUUAAUGACCAUGCGUCUUCAAUAGACCAUGCAUCUUCUGAUUUGUCAUUGGAUACAACACUUUCAGCAAAUGUAAAGCCGGUAGAAUUUCCGCUGUUUUUAGAAGGUCAAGACACGACAAGAGCAGCAUAUGCUGUGUUCUUGUUAAACAAGGUAAGCUUUUGCAUAUUAGUAAUUUUUUUUUCCAAGAUGAAUUAUUCUCCUUUGGCAUUUUAUAUUAUAUAAUUAGUCACUACAAAACAUAAAUAAAUAAUAAUACUCCAUUUUUACAAUAAAAAUUCACUAAAGAAAAUACAUUUGAAGUCUAUCAUUGCUUUUUCGAAUAAGAGUCGGUCAAGAAAGUUAUGCGCAAAUACUUAUAUCUUUAUUUCAGAUGCUUUCAAUUCUAUUGUCACUUAAAUCCAAGUACUUUAAAUUUGUCAAAUUAUUCAAUUUUGAAAUUCAAUCCCAAAUAUUGAUCAAUUAUAUAUAUUCAUGAUAUGAUAAAAGCAAAGACAUCUUUCAACAUUAACUUUCCCUUAAACAAAAAUUGGUUUUAAAGUAAAAAAGAAACAUAUAAAACCAGUCUAGCUUGAAUAUGAAUCAAUAUAUAAACACUAUACUUAUACCUUGGUUUGAGAUGCUUUCAAUAUUGUUGUCGCUUAAAUACAAGUAUUUCAAGUUUGUCAAAUUAUUCAAUCCCAAAUAUUGGUUAGUUAUAUAUGAUAUGAUAAAAUCAAACUUGAACAUACAUUGAUUUUUAAAGUUGAAAAUUACUUGUUAAUUUUUUUUCUUUCUUACCUAUAUGAAAAUUUUACUAAAGUAAAAGUUGAAUUACAACGGAUAAAAAGAAUGGAAAACUAGGUACCAAGCCUAGAAGACCAUCCUCAAACUCCACUAUACAAAUAAAAACUACUCAAACUCCACUAUACAAAUAAAAACUAACACCGGACCAAACUUAAUUUACCUCUUAGAUGACUUGAUCCUUCAAACUGGUUGUAUGAUAGAUCUAAAUACCGGAGAGAUGAAAGCUCACUCAAAGAUAACAAAAUGCUAUCAUUCAAGUAAUUGUAACUUAAGUCAAGGAUCUCCAAAUUACUCAAUGUGAAUGAUAGCUUUCCAAAGCCUGUAGAAGUGUUCUUUUAAACAUAUACAAGCAGUUAGUGACUUUUCUUCCAUAAAAUAAAAUAUAAGUAAUUGUAAAUUAACAAUGGUGAGAAUAGUGGAAUAGUAAAAGAUAUAAUUAAGGAAAAAAAAUAAAGGCACGACCUUCAUUUUCAAGGUUACCACCUAUGGCAUUUCCCGACAAAUAAAGUCUCUUCAAUUCCUCAAAAGGAAGAAACAUAGAGGCAUUGAGAUACCAGACAAUGAGAUUCCUAUUAUCCAUGCCGUAUUCCCAAUUGUCUUCCCAUUUUGUAGAAAUAAGGGAGAGUUGUAUGAGUCUCCUAGUGGUGGUGUUACACUCAAAUCCUUCCCAUUUACAACAAUCUGAACCCUUCACCUCAACCCAACUUUGCAAUGGAUUACGAUAAACGAAGAAAGGCUUGAGAUGCAAGAGAGCGAUUCUCUCAUGCUCCAAACAAGCAUCAGUAGUACACCAUCUGCAUCCUUCUAACACCAACAACAUUAUUGCCAUCCUAAUAAACUAUAACCAUUUCCACUCCAUCAUCAUCAUCUCUCUGUUUUGUAUACAUAUGGACUACAAUUCAAGUUUCAUGCUUAUAAUUAUACCAAAUCAAAGUUCAUGUAUCAAAUUGCACAUUAAAUCAAAAUUUAUGUAUACAUUUGAUAUUUAUCUCAUUUAUGGGAGAUUAACUUUCUAAUGGUAUUGUUUUGUUUACAUUAAUCCAAAUAAUAGGAAAUGAUGAAUUAGUUUAACGCAAAUUGUAAUUCUAUUAAUGUUUCUUCUCAAACUUUUGGUUGCUCUUAUUUACAUGUUUUAUUAAUUGAUAGAUUUAAAUUCUUGGAAUAUAUUCGGUUAGAAUGAAGUGCCCCGAAUCCUUAUUUAAAUAAAAUACAGUGUUAAAAUAAAAGAAAAGUAAAAUCCCUACAGAAUUAUACUUCUUUUAUUUUAUUUUAGAAUAAGGCUUUUUAAAUCUUAUUAAACUCCAUCUAUUUGAUAUUGAUUAGAAUAAAGAGUUUCACUCCUAUUAGAAUAAAGUUUUACAAGCCUAUAAAUAGACAUAGUCUACUCCUCUUGUAAUUAAUUCAAAUUCGACAUAGUGAAUUUUCUUCUCCUCUGCCCGUGGUUUUUUCCCGAAAGGGUUUCCACGUAAAAUUUGUGUGUUCUUUAUUUUUCUAUUUCUAUUUUCUUUGUGAUAUAUUAUCAUUACCGACAUUUAUUUUCACAAAUUGGUAUCCGAGCUUCUGGGUUGUUCAUCGCAAUCACUGUAAUGACGUCUUUGAAGUAUGAAAUUCUACUGUUGGAUCGCAACACCAGAUUCGCAUUUUGGCAGAUAAAGAUGCAGGCAGUUCUUGCACAGAUGGACUUAGAGAAAGCCCUGCUAAGGUUAGAUAAGAUGCCUUCAACAUUGAUGGAGGAAGAGAAGAAGCACAAGGAUUGAAAGGCGUUAACACAAUUACAUCUGCAUUUGUCUAACGAAAUUUUGCAGGAUGUGAUAAAGGAGAAUACCGCCGCUAGAUUAUGGAAGACGUUGGAACAACUAUGUAUGUCGAAAACUCUAACUAGUAAGCUGCAUAUGAAGCAGCGUCUUUAUGCUCAUUGUUUGGAGGAAGGUGCGUCUAUGCAUGAACACUUGACAGUGUUUAAAGAAAUUCUCUCAAAUUUGGAGGCCAUGGAGGUUCAGUAUGAUAAGGAAGAUUUAGGGUUGAUUCUACUUUGUUCGUUGCCCCCGUCUUAUUUAACCUUUAGAGAUACAAUUUUAUAUAAUCGCGAGUCUUUCACAGUUGAUGAGAUUUAUAAUUCUUUAACCUCGUAUGAUAAGAUGAUGCAUCUUAUGGUUAAAACUGACUCUCAAUGAGAGGGUCUCAUUAUUCGUGAGAGAUAAGAUCAGAAUAUUGAUGAUGAUCAUGGAAGGACACAAGAACGGAAUCCUCGUGGUAAAUCUAAAGGUAGAUCGAAGUUUUCAAACAGAGGUAAAACUUGUAACUUCUGCAAGAAGAAAGGGCACAUUAAAUCUAAGUGCUAUAAGCUACAGAAUAAGAUCAAAAGGGAGACUGUGAAUCAAAAUGGAAAACAACCAGAAAAUUUUGGUAAGGCUAAUGUUGUAGAAUACUACAGUGAUUGUGAACUUCUAGUCGCUUCUGUCAAUAAUUUUAAAGUGAGCGAGGAGUGGAUCCUUGAUUCGGGUUGCACCUUCCACAUGAGUCCCAAUAGUUAUUGGUUUACAACUUACGAAAUAGUGUCUGAAGGUGUUGUUUUAAUGGGAAAUAAUACUUCAUGUAGAAUUGCAGGUGUUGGAACAAUUAAAGUUAAGAUGCUUGAUGGAGUUGUCAGAACACUUAGUGACAUAUGACAUGUUCCAAAAUUGAAGAGAAAUUUAAUUUCAUUGAGUACUCUUGAUUCAAAAGGGUACAAAUACACAGCUAAAAGUGGUGUUUUGAAUAUUUCUAAAGGUUCCCUCAUUGUGAUGAAAGGAUAGAGAAAGACUACCAAGUUUUAUGUUUUGCAAGGUUCUAUUGUUACUGGUGAUGCAGCUGUCGUAUCCUCUUCCUUGUCAGAUGAUGAUAUUACUAAACUUUGGCAUAUGCGCCUAGGGCAUAUGAGUGAGAAUGGCAUGGCAGAAUUGAGCAAAAGUGGACUUCUUGAUAGGCAAUGAAUUUGCAAACUGAAGUUCUGUGAGCACUACAUUUUUGGGAAGCAAAAGAGAGUUUGAUUCACCAGAGGAAUCCAUAACACAAAGGGAACGUUUGAGUAUAUUCAUUCUGAUCUGUGGGGGCCAUCCAGAGUACUUUCGAGAGGUGGAGCUAAUUAUAUGCUAACUUUUAUUUAUGAUUUUUCCAAAAAAGUGUGGGCGUUCUUCCUGAAGCAGAAAAACGAUGUGUUUUUUGUAUUUAAGUCUUGAAAAACCAUGAUUGAAAAACAAACGGGAAAGUAAAUAAAACACCUCCGCACAGACAAUGGCUCAGAGUUCUGUUUUGAUAAGUUUAAUAAAUUGUGCAAGUCAGAAGGGUUCAUGAAACACUUGAUAGUUCAUCAUACUCCACAGGAAAACGGCGUUACAGAAUAAAUGAACAGAACGAUCAUGGAGAAGGUUCGAUGUAUGUUGUCAAAUACCAACUUACCAAAGUCAUUUUGGGCUGAAGCAGCCUCUACUGCAUGAUUUUUAAUCAACCGAUCUCUAUCCAUUGCCAUUGAGAAAAAGACUCCACAAGAGGUAUGGUCUUGUAAUCCUGCUGACUAUUCUGAUUUAAAGAUUUUUGGUUGUCAUGUGUGUGUGCAUGUUGAUAAUGGAAAAUUGGAAUUGAGAUCCAUUAAAUGUGUUUUUCUUGGUUAUAAAGCUGAUGUAAAAGGGUAUAAGUUAUGAUAUCCUAAAAAUAGAAAAGUUGUGAUUAGCAGAUAUGUUAUUUUUUAUGAAACUGCUAUGCUACCUAACUUAUCUCUUAAAGAAUCUCUCAAUAAAGAAAAUCAAAAGUAGGUGGAGCAUCAGAUUAAUACAGAAUCUACAACAGAGUCGACUACUGAAGCCAGUACAAAAAUUCAAAAUAGAGUUGCUCCUUCACCAUAAUACUCUAUCGCCAAAAAUAGAACUAGAAGAGAAAUUAGACCUCCAAAGAAGUAUGUCAAGUCUGAUCUAGUUGCUUAUGCUUUAAAUGUGGCUAAAGAUAUAGAUGUAAAAUAAGAGCCAUCUAAUUAUUCUGAGGCGAUUAGUUGUGAAGACUCAGAAAAGUGGAUGUUUGCUAUGCAAAAGGAGAUGGAAUCACUCCACAAAAAUAAAAUAUGGGAUCUUGUGAAACUUCCUAAAUGUAAAAAGAUUAUUCGUUGUAAAUGGGUGUUUAAAAAGAAAGAAUGGACUCCAAGAGUUGAAGAACCCAGAUAUAAAGCAAAGUUUGUUGCAAAUGGUUACAGUCAAAUUCCAGGAGUGGACUUCACAGAUGUGUUCUCUCCAGUUGUGAAGCAUAGUUUGAUUCAAGCUUUACUUGGUAUUGUGGCCAUACAUGAUUUGGAGCUUGAACAGUUAGAUGUAAAAAAUGCUUUUUUGCAUAGAGAAGUUAAGGAGGAUAUUUACAUGCAACAACCAGAGGGUUUUACAGUCUCAGAAAAAAGGACUAUGUUUGCUUGCUGAAAAAGUCUCUUUACAGUUUGAAACAGUCACCAAGACAGUGGUACAAGAGGUUUGAUUCAUUUAUGACUUCUCAUGAUUUUAAAAGAAGUAGCUUUGACAGUUGUGCUUACUUUAAGAAAAACAAUGAUGGUUCUUUUGUGUAUCCACUCUUUUAUGGUGAUGAAAUGUUGAUAGCAGUGAAAGAUAAAUGAGGGAUAAGAAAGGUCAAAGCCCAACUAAGUGAAGAAUUUGAGAUGAAAGAUUUGGGACCAGCAAAGAAGAUACUUGGUAUGGAGAUUCUCAAAGAUAGAAAAGUAAGUAAAUUGUACCUAAGUCAAAAGGGGUACAUUGAGAAAGUUCUUUGCAGAUUCAAUAUGCAGAAUGCUAAGCCUGUUAGUACUCCUUUAGCAGCCCAUUUUAGACUUUUAUCGGCUUUGUCUCCACAAUCAGAUGAUGAGAUUAAGUACAUGUCACAUGUUCCAUACUCUAGUACAGUGGGAUCUCUCAUGUAUACUAUGGUUUGUUCACGUCCAGAUUUAUCAUAUGUAGUUAGUGAAGUUAGCAGAUACUUGGUGAAUCCCGAUAAAGAACAUUGGAAAGUAGUUCAGUGGAUUUUAAGAUACUUACGAGGUACUACUGAUGUUUCCUUACAGUUUGGAAGAACUAGAGAUGAAGUCAUUGGGUAUGUUGAUGCUAAUUUUGCUGGAGACUUUGAUAGAAGAAGAUCUCUCACAGGUUAUGUCUUUAUAAUCGGAGGUUGUGCAAUCAGUUGGAAAGCCACUUUGCAAACUACAGUUGCUUUGUCCACCACUGAAGAUGAGUACAUGGCGAUUACUGAGGCUUGUAAAGAAGCUAUUUGGUUGAAGGGACUCUUUAGUGAACUCAAUAAAGGCUUUCAAAUCAAUACAGUAUUUUGCGACAGUCAGAGUGCUAUCUUCUUUACAAAAGAUCAAAUGUUUCAUGAGAGAACAAAACACAUUGAUAUUCGGUAUCAUUUUGUUCGUGAUAUUAUUGCUUGUGGUGAUAUUGUUAUGAGCAAAAUUAGUACUCAUGAAAAUCCUGCAGAUAUGAUGACUAAGUCACUUCCUAUAACCAAGUUUGAGCAUUGCUUAGACUUGGUUAGUGUUCAUUGUUGAAGUUAAACCCUUAAGGGGUUUUAUGGAAUAGGUGGAAAACUUGAUCGUUGAGAGUUCGCGAUGAAGAACUUGUUCAUUAAGAAUUCGUGUCAAUGUGGAGAUUGUUAGAAUUAAGUGACCCGAAUCCUUAUUUAAAUAAAAUACAGUGGUAAAAUAAAAUAAAAGUAAAAUCCCUAUAGAAUUAUACUUCUUUUAUUUUAUUUUAGAAUAAUAUUUUUUAAAUCUUAUUAAACUCCAUCUAUUUGAUAUUGAUUAGAAUAAAGAGUUUCACUCCUAUUAGAAUAAGGUUUUACAAGCCUAUAAAUAGACAUAGUCUACUCCUCUUGUAAUUAAUUCGAAUUCGACAUGGUGAAUUAUCUUCUUCUCUGCCCGUGGUUUUUUCCCGAAAGGGUUUCCACGUAAAAUCUGUGUGUUCUUUAUUUUUUCUAUUUUUAUUUUCUUUACGAUAUAUUGCUAUUAUCGACAUUUAUUUUCACAUAUUCUAAUUAAUUAGAUAUUUCCUUCCUUCCAAAAGCCUUUCAAAAUAGGUUUAGUUUGACCAAGAUACUCUUGUAGAAAAUUUUAGUUUUGUGGGAAAACGAAAAACUAGAUUUAUUUUUUAUUCUAAUUGGUUUCAUAUGCAAGGUAUAUAAACUUUUGUGUCGCUGCAAUUUUUUUCCAACAUAUGUAUGUGAUUUGUGGGGUUUCAAUUUUGAAUUUUUUUUAUAAUUUAAUUAAAUUGUGAAAGUAUUUGAAAGUUUUUAAGUUGAUACAAUGUUUAGAACUACCCCAACACCCACCCAACCCUUAAAUAGGAGGAUAAACAUGCUUCAGCACGCUCAAACUCACAUUCUCCUACAUCUAUGAUAAUACUAAUGCCAACCGAGUUAAGACUCAACUAGCCUUGAAUUUUGAAUUUUACUUCUGAUAUAUUUUGAAUUUUGAAAUUUUAAUUUUGACCCAAACAGUAGCAGUUAAUUUAAUUUGAUUAAAUUUAAUUACUAGACCUAUAUUAUGCGUACGAUUAUUGAUUAGUCUAUACUCUCAAAUUGGGCAAUUCUAAGUACCUAUACUUUCUGAAUUUUGAAAUUUCAGUCUUGAUGCAAAUGACAAUUGUUAAUCUAUUAAUUAGAUUUUUAGCGAGUAAUAUGUAAAAAUAACAAACUGGCAUAACAUUACACAUAUGAUAAUAUGUUUAUUGCACCGCAUUUGAAAAUAGCCGAAUUUAACAAAUAUCGUUAGUGAGGAUUGGAAAUUAGAGUCUAGGGAUUAAAUCCACAAGUUCAGUAAAUUACAAGAACUAAUGGUAGAAUUUAACCUUUAUAUAACCUUUAAAUUCUAACCGUGGUUUGCACACUACUCAGCCGACCAUUGGCUGUGGUGGGAACACAAACUGUUUGAAUUUGACAUCAGUGAUUGAAUUUUCAUAGCUAAUAUGUACGUUCCUUCAAUUUCUCCAUAGGAGGGAGUGGAAUACAUUAUAUAAGGUAAUAUUUGAUAUAUUCGGUAAAUGAAUAAUUGCAAGAUAUCUCAUUAUCUAGUAAAAUAAAUAAUGAAAAUUUUAUAAAUAAAUAUUAAUAAAAUAUUAUUACAUAUAUCAACAAUGACAUAGUAAGUUGCAUUAACUUUUAGAUGUUGACUAUUGACUUUUGCAUCAACCUUGAACUUACAUAGGCCCCUACAAUAAUUUAGGUUAUGGAAAUAAUCUUGCAAAUAAUGCUUGAGACAUCAUUAUACAUCAAUUUAUAGUUUUAAUUCUUGUACUUACUCAAUUGGAAUAAAGAUUUAGUUUUUUAUUUUCUUUUGAUACAAUGUCUAGAAUUAUCCAUAGCCCUUUUCCAACCCUUAAAUAAAUGAAUAAUGUGCUUCAGCGUACUCGAACUCACAUCUUCUUACAUUGACAAAUUGCUGAUGCCAAUUAGUUAAUGUUAAUGCUAUACUUUAGUUAAAAAUAACUAACAUUAUUAAAAAAUUCAUUAGUUGGCUCAUGUGGAUUUUUUUUCAAAAAAAUUGAAAUUAAGAACCAUAAAUUCUUUAAGACUUAAAAAUUAAAAUUAUGUGGUUAUUAAAAAAGAUUUAUUUUUUAUUAAAUUAUUAUUUAAAAUAAAUUUAUCUCAUCAUAAUGAUAUGAUUUUUUUCUUUAAAAAAUCCACAUUAACCAACUAAUAGAAUUGUAUAAAGCUGCCACCAAUCUCUUAGCAUGAUGGCAAAAGAUUCAGAGGCAGCCAGAAAAUCUUUUGAGGGGCGUGAAUAAAGUUAUAUAUUUUUAUAAUAGCAAAAGUGAAAUUUUAUUAUUAUAAUAGUUUAUAUCUUUAAUUUUUAAAAUAUUAAAUAAUUUUUUUCUUAUUUUUGAGGGGAUAAAGUAUAAGUUUAUCAUAUACUAAUUUUAAAAUUAUAAAAAGACUAAAUGUGAAAUUUUUCAUUUUAAGGGGUGGGGCCCUGUCAGGUCUCCUUGGCUUCACCUUGAUAAAAGUAUUAUGUAAUACGUAUAAAGUUUGAGUUUAAUCCCAAACAAUCUCAUUUCUUAUCCCUCAUUAUAAAAUAAUAAAAUAAAUAGAGCAAUUGAUAUGAGGAGACAAGUAUAAUAGGGCAAUUUUAACCUGGGCCAGAUUUCAAAACAAAACCCAAACCAAAUAAUAAAAGAGUCCAAAAUAAUUAAAACAAUCCAUCCAUUUUACAAACAAACCCAAAUUAGCAGCCCAAAUACAAAUUAAAACUCAAUAACCCAAAACUAACUAUAGCCCAAUUAGCUAAACACUUAAACGCAACAAAAAAAACCCUAUCCCCCUAAGCCUCCAACGCUGCAUGACCACCUACGCCGCACGUCGUCGCUGCCGCUCGAGGCUCGCCUAUCUUCGACCAUCCACGCAUCUGACACUUGCAAAACCAAGGCAACACGCAACAACAAAGGCCAAAUAGAGGAAACAACAAGGAAACAGACAAAAAAGGAAGAAACAAACAGUUUUGAUUCGGCUAUAAAAGCCCGAAUCUCACCCUUGUAAUUUUUUUGCGAACAUUAGAAAAUAAAAAAACAAAAACAACACUUUCAAGGUGAAUUUCUACUUUUAUUUCUGUUUUAAAUACUUAUUUGAUUCUAUAUUCAUAUUUUUAUUUUAUUUUUUAUAUAUAUACGAAAAUAAUAAAAUAAAAAAAGGAAGAAAGGGCUCACCGGAGACGCCCCGUGAUCGUGCCGUCAGAAGGCUCUUCUCCGUUGUUGCCAUCGGAUCCGAGAGGGGGUCGAGAGUCUUCCUCUUUCGCUUUUUUGGGUCGAGAGGGCUGGGCUUCCAAGGGAGCUGCGAAACGGGGGCUAAAAAUGCCCUUUUGCGCAACACCGACCACCGGCCACGACAGCACUACGACGGCGACCAUGGCCGGCCAAGGGGUGGGCUGAGAGAGAGACCAAGAGAUACUGAGAGAGUUCUCUGUUUUUUUAGAAAAAUGAAAGUUGAACCGUUUUUUUCUUCUUUUUUUUUGCUAUUUAUAUAGGGUAUAAUACGACGCCGUUUUGGACUUAAGCAUCAGUGGCCAAAACAAUGCCGUUUUGCAUCAGACCUGAAAAUCGACUCGAAUGCGGCCAGGAUCUGCGCGUUUUAGCUUUGAGGAGCUAUUUGCAUAUUCAGCCCUUCCGCUUUUGUAGUAUAGUGCAAUCUGGUCCUCGUUGUUUUUAUAUUUUGGCCGCAUAAUUUUUUGAUUGUUUUACUUUGGUCCGAGCUGAAACGCUGCGCAUAGGGGCUAGGAAUAUUGCCCAGUCGGUCCCUCAUUCCUUAAGCGCGCUCUAUUUCAGUCCCUAGCAACCCUUUUUUUUAUUUGUAAUUUAAACCCCAAAUUCUGGGUCGAUUUUAGUAUCAUCCUUAGUCCAUUUAAUUUAUUUGUUCACUAUUUUUUAUUUAAAAAACUCUUUUAUUAUUAUUUGUUUUAAGUUUUUUUAUUUAUCAUUUAUUUUAAAUUGUUUUACAUACUAUUUAUUUAAAUUUUUUAUAUAUUAGUCAUUUUAAACCAUUAUAUGUACAUUAUCUUUUAAAUUUUUAUAUACAUAUAUUUUUUUUAAAAAAAACUGUUGUAUGUUUCUUAUUUAUUUAUUUUAAACUGUUAUUAUUAUUCAUUUUAAGUUUUUAUAUACUGUUUAUUUGAAGCCGGUUAUUAUUUAUUUUUGAAUUGUUCUUAUAAAUUAUUUACUUUAAAUUAUUAUUUACUUUGAAAUUUUUUUGCAUAUUAUUUUGUUUUGUUUUUUUUAUUGUUAAUAUUAGUAUAAAAAUUAUAUACAUUGUGUGAUUAUUACCGCCAUGUGUACUAUAAUUAGUUUCUUCGUGUUUUCAUAUUAUUAUCACUCAUUAACAUAACAUUUUUUUCAUAAAUUGUUAUUUUAUGUUCUAUGUUAUCAUUCCAUUUCACUUCAUCACUUCGAAAGUUGCAUUCAAUUUGUAUUUACCCAUAAUAAACCGUUCUAUUUUGUCACAAAUAAAACAAAUGCACCUCGUUCAAGCAUUGUACUCACAAUUAUUCAAAACGGGGAAAAGUUUUAAAAUAAGACAAUAUUUCGCAUUUUGGAGAUUUGAGAAAUUGUACCCUAACUUACGGGGUUUCAAUUUUCUCGUUGAACCUAAAUAGCAAAAUAUCCUUCUAAUUUUCAAAAUUUACGAAAUUCCAAUAAAGUUAAAGGCUAGCUUAUUCUCAAGGGUUCUAAGUGUCGUGUCCUAACUUACGGGAUGUGACAUUUAUUAUCUCGAGACGAGAGGAUCUUUGACAUUCGUUUCAAUUUAUUCAAGCAAAUUCUUUUAAAUUAAAAUAGCGUUAACAAAAGGGGGAUCGUGUUUUAAAUUCUUUCGAAGUUUUUCAAUUUUUAACAUUUAGACAUUAAUUAAUCAAUUGAAUACCAAUUUUGGGCGUGACGAGGGUGCUAAUCCUUCCUCGCAUGUAACUGACUCCCGAAUCCGUUUUCUCAAAUUUCAUAGACCAAAAUCACUGUUUUGAUAAAUUAAAAUAUUUUAUUAAAACAACUAAAUUAUGAGGUGACCUAAUCACACCUCAUAAAAAAAAGAUUGGUGGCAACUCUCGUUUUAAUUUCCAUUUUCAAACCAACGUCGACCCUUUUAAAAAAAUGGUUUCAAUAUUAAGUUAUAAGUUGAAUGAAUUAAAAAUAUGUGAAAAGUGUAAAUAGAGACUCUUCAAUCUCAUUUCCUCUAAUGCUCUUUUUUUAAAUUUUUUUUUAAAUUUUUUAUGUACCUUUUAAAUAGUUAAUGAAAAUAAAAAUAUUUUGAUAAUUUUCACUUCGAAAUGCAAAAGCCAACAACAGUUUUUGACUACAAAAGCGGUGUGUUCUUCAUCACUUCUCAGUGGAAAAACACUUCUGCAAUGUAACAACACUUUUAACCCAAAACGGCUUUUUCACCACAAUAGAGAAUGCACCCUAAAAUUGUAAAUAGAAAAAAGAAGGAUCAAACAUUGUUUCUACCCUGUUUUUGUCUCCUCUUUGAAAAUACUUUCCAAAAAGUUUUAUCAUUUUUUUUUCUGUUUACAAAUUCCUUAUAGAAGUGCUUUCUUUUGAUCCACUUGCAUCAUUGUAAUAAGUUUGCAUUGCCUUCUAACUUUCUAUGUUGAUUACAGUUUAUUAAGUUUUCUGUUGGAUCUUAUAGUCAAAUUCCUUUACAUCAUGUAUGUUAAUUUGCUUAGCCCUGAUAAAUGUUAGAUAUAGGGUUAUCAGUGUCGAAACCACUUUUUUGGCGAACAAAAAUUAGUUGUUGACUUUAAAAACGAAAGUUGGAGUCGCCAUCGAUCCUUUAUUGGGGUGUGAUCGGCUCACCUUAAAAACGAUUUUGGUCUGCAAAAUUUGAGAAAACAGGUUCGGGAGUCGGUUACGCAUGAGAAAGAGUUAGCACCCUCUUAACGCCCAAAAUUGGUACCGAAUUAAUUAAUUAAGGUCUUAAUGCCGAAUAUCGAAAAUCUGUGAAGAAUUUAAAAAUACGAUCCUCCCUUUUUGUUAAUGUUAAUUUUAUAAAAGAUGCUUGGAUAAAUCGAAGCGAAUGCUAAAGACCUUUUUGUCUUGGAAUAAUAAAAUGUCACACCCAAUACGUUAGGACAUGACAUUUUAGUCCUCGAGAAUAAGCUUGUCUUUUGAUUUUCAAAGCUCGUGCGGUGAAGUUUAAAAAGGAUAUUCAAUUGCUUUAACUCAGAUGAAAAAUCGGAGCCCAAUACGUUAGGGCACAAUUUCUCAAAAUUCCGAGCAUUGAAUAUUGCCCUUAUUAUUAUUAUUUUUAAAAUCUUCAUCUCGAGAAAAUGACAUGUCAUAUCCAAUAUGUUAGGACACGACGUAUCGAAUUUUCGAGAAUGAGCUUUUUAUUUAUGCUUUAAUUAAAAAAGGAUACCCGGUUUCUUAGAUUCAACGAGGAAGAUUGGAAUCCAAUAAGUUAGGACACAAUCUUUUCGAGGAUCCUAAAUUCCGAGUGUCGCGUUAUUUUUGAAAAAAAACUUUUUGAAUAAAAAUGCUCUCGAUACUUGAAUGAUAUUAAACGUAACCUUUUAACAACGAAUAAAAUGCGACGGGACGAUAAUGUAUAACGCGGAAUGACGAUUUGUAAACAAAAUAUACUCUAACGAAUGACAAAUAAUCAAUAAAAACAAAUAAACAUUAUCAUACAUAUAAGAGCAAUAAUCACAUGUAAAUAUUAACAUCAACAUUUGAAAGCUAAUGACCUAAAAGCCUAUCGCAAAUACAACAAAUUUAAAAUAACUAAAAAAAAAGCAUGAGAGAAAAGAAAUUUGAAAUUAUCAACAUAUAUACACAAAAUACACGUAUAUAAAAAUUUAAAAGAAAUAAUUAAUAGGAAGACUUGAAAUAAUUUAAAAAUAGAAUUAAAAAUGAAUAAUAAUAUCUAAAUGAAUUUUAAAAUAAAUAUUAUAAGAAGAAAGUCAAAAUAAAUAAAACCCAAAAUAAUACACAUAUAUUAAUCUAAAUAGGUAAUAGAUAUAAAUUACGUAUUAUAAAAGAAAACUAUUUAAAAAGGGUAAAUUCUAUUGGAUUAACAUAAAAAUAUAAAAUAAUUUAUUAUGAAAUUAAAUAAUAAUAUAUGAUAAUAAUAUAAAAAAACUUAAAAUAAUAGUGCAUAAUAGAAUAAAAUAAUGAAUAUAAAAAGGUUAGAUAAAUUGAUAAAAAAUAAUACUAAUAAUAAUAAUAGUAGCAGUAAUAAUAAUAAUAAUAAUAAUAAUAAUAAUAAUAGUAAUAAUAGUAAUAAUGAUAAAUUAAUAUUAAAGUAAUUAAUUUGAUAGCAAAAAUAACAAAACAGAUUACUAAUUUGGAAUUAAAACAGAAAUUUAGGGGUAAGACGUGCAAUAAAAUGAAAUGAAAAGGACCUAAUUGAAAUUAAUUUAAAAUCAGACUGACUAGCAAAGAAAUUAAACGCACAAGUCUCACCUGGCAAUCAAGUCAGAUCAUCAGAAACGGCGUCGUUUCGAACGUUUGUCUCCUCAACUGACAGAAGGACGAAAUUGAAAGAAAUAUCGAAUUAUGUGGCAAAAUUAAAAAAGACAAAGAAGGAUUAAAAUGAAGUAAAUAAAAAACAGAAGGACCAAACAGGAGAAUAAGCCAUUGAAACAAAACACGCGGAUCCUCCCCGGGUCAAAUCGGAUCAUCGGGUCAACCAACACGGAGACGUUUUGAAGCCAUUAAAUCGGGCUUAAACGGCACCGUUUUAUUAUCGUUAAAAACCUAAAAAAAUAAAACCCUAAUAAUUUGUUUUGCCAUCCUAAAACAGAUCAAGAGCCUAGCCUUCUCCCCACCGGUCUCCACUCACGAACCCAAUCUGACUCCGAUUCAGACGGAGCAAACCAGAUUCCAAUGGCGUCUGCUCUGGUAAGACGCUUCUUCUCUCCCUCUUUUUUUUUCGUUUGGUGCCAAAGAAGAAAACAAAGAAUCAAAGAAAUAAAAGAGAAAAAAAAACGAAGAAAAUCACCUUUCGAAAAAACUUUCUGUUUUGAUUUUUUGUUUGUAUUCAAUAUGCGUAAAAAAGGAUUACAAUGGCCUUCUCCCUCUUUAUAGCCGAAUAUUCGAAAUAAAAUGAAAGAAAAUACAAAAAAUUCUCUCUGCUGCGUUGUUUUCGUCUUCUUUGCAGGUAAGGAGGCUAGCUGGCGUAAGGAGGUGGUGGACGUGGCACAGCACACUCGGGGAAGGCCCUGGUGGCUGCGGCGCUGGAAGGAGGGCUGUUGCAGCUAGGGUUUUCUGAUUUUUUUUUGGGCUAGGGUUGGGUUGAUAGUUGUAUUGGGCUAGGUAUUUGGGCUGGGUGUAGUUGGACUAGAUGUAUCUGACUUUGGGUUUGUACCGGGUCACUGUAAAUGGGUUUGGUUUUUGUUGUUAUUGGGCUGUGAACUAUUUGAGUUUUAAUUAAUUUUUAUUUAUUUGGUUUUUUAUUGUGGGCUGGGCAAAUUGGGUAUUACAAUCAGCUAAUUAGGAAAGACUGUGAUGAUAGUCACACCUUACAUCCAAAAGCAAAGCUUUUUUUACAUGUGUAUGUAAGGUUGCUAAGCAAAUCUGGUGAGCCUUCACUGCUGUUUUAAGGUUAAGUUAAUGUUCCUUUUCGGCAAAGAACAUUAUCGAGAUCACGGUAUUUUGAUCGCCUUUUGCUUCUUGUUAUUCGUUCUGAAACGAUUGCAUAAUCUUUACUGUGAUUGCAGGAUAUAGAGCAACUUUUGAAUUUCAUCGCUGUAAAGUGUUUAGGACCACGACAUGUUCUUGCAAAUUUGAAGAAGCUUCUAAGGUCUGUCCAGUCUUCAGAAUAUAUAGAUACCUGAAUUAAUUUUGAUUUUGUAGGAUCAACUAUAAUUAGCUACUUAUUAGAGUAUGAAUAGACAACCUCACCUUCUUCACACACUGACACGUGCGGAUUUUUUGCCAAUCCCAUUUCAAAGGAUCACACUUUUUUGUUGUUUACAGAAUCAUAAUUAAUGUUAAUUAAAGUGGAAUAUUUCAGAUUUCUGAUGAUGAGCAUAUUCUUGAGUAUUGCAGUAAAAAAAUGGGUGCGGAACUUAUUUGAACUUUGAAUGUAUGUUUUGUUGGUGAGAAUAUAAAGUUGAUAAAGAUUUGGUAAAUAGAAUAAAAUACUAUUUUUUAUUAGAAAAAUUAUUUGGUAGACUGCCAAUCGAUUUAUAAUUAUCAUGACGCAAUAUUAAGGGUAAUUAAAACAUGUCAUAUUACAAAUAAUAAAAUUAUAAUGACUCAAAUAUACGAACAUGUCAAAAUUUAUGUACAACGAAUUAUUAACAUGUCAAUGUAUAGUAUAAUAUGGUACGCAAAAAUAAGAUAAUUGCUUGUCUUUAAUUGAAUUGUUAUAACACAUUAUACAAAAUACAUUGUGAAUUAAAGCAUAAUAUAAUCAUGAUAUCAAUAUAUUAAAUUUUUUAAAAAUUCGAUGAUACGAAUAAUUAUGUAAAAUAUCACAUGAUACAAAAUGACUUGAGAGGAAAAGAGGAACAAAGACUUGCNNNNNNNNNNNNNNNNNNNNNNNNNNNNNNNNNNNNNNNNNNNNNNNNNNNNNNNNNNNNNNNNNNNNNNNNNNNNNNNNNNNNNNNNNNNNNNNNNNNNNNNNNNNNNNNNNNNNNNNNNNNNNNNNNNNNNNNNNNNNNNNNNNNNNNNNNNNNNNNNNNNNNNNNNNNNNNNNNNNNNNNNNNNNNNNNNNNNNNNNNNNNNNNNNNNNNNNNNNNNNNNNNNNNNNNNNNNNNNNNNNNNNNNNNNNNNNNNNNNNNNNNNNNNNNNNNNNNNNNNNNNNNNNNNNNNNNNNNNNNNNNNNNNNNNNNNNNNNNNNNNNNNNNNNNNNNNNNNNNNNNNNNNNNNNNNNNNNNNNNNNNNNNNNNNNNNNNNNNNNNNNNNNNNNNNNNNNNNNNNNNNNNNNNNNNNNNNNNNNNNNNNNNNNNNNNNNNNNNNNNNNNNNNNNNNNNNNNNNNNNNNNNNNNNNNNNNNNNNNNNNNNNNNNNNNNNNNNNNNNAUGGUCUUCUAGGCUUGGUACCUAGUUUUCCAUUCUUUUUAUCCGUUCUAAUUCCACUUUUGCUUUAGUAAAAUUUUCUUAUAGCUAAGAAAGAAAAAAAAAACUAUUAACAAGUAAUUAUAUAUAUAUAUCAGGUUUUCAAUUGCUUUCAAGACUCAAUAACUUGGAAACUCUCGAUUUAAGUCGGAAUUCUUUUAAGAAUAGCAUUUUGUUCCAUAUGAGAAAUCUUUCAUCCUUGAAGACUUUAAGAUUGAGCGGUAAUCAGUUGAAAGGAAGGCUGGAUCAUAUUCAAGGUAGACUAAUUUUACCUGUUUCUUUUUAACUUUAAAAAUCAAUGUAUGCUCAAGUUUGAUUUUAUCAUACGAUGAAUGUAUAUAACUAAUCAAUAUUUGGGAUUGAAUUUCAGGAUUGAAUAAUUUGACAAAUUUGAAGUACUUGGAUUUAAGUUGGAACGACAUUGAAAGCAUCUCAAACAAAGGUAUAAGUAUUUGUGCAAAACUUUCUUGACCGACUCUUAUUCCAAAAGGCAAUGACAGACUUCAAAUGUAUUUUCUUUAGUGAAUUUUUAUUGCAAAAAUGGAGUAUUAUUAUUUAUUUAUGUUUUGUAGUAACUAAUUAUAUAAUAUAUAAAUCAGGUUUUCAACGGCUCAUUAAAUUGGAAAUUAUUGAUAUAAGUUGGAAUUAUUUGAAGAAUAGCAUUCUUUAAAAUAAAUUCAUGUUGAAGGAAAAGUUGUUGCAAUAAGUCAUUUGAUUUUAUCAUAUCAUGAAUAUAUAUAAGUAAUCAAUAUUUGGGAUUGAAUUUCAAAAUUGAGUAAUUUAAGUAGGAAGGUAUCUCAAACAAAGUAUUUAUAUAUUGAAUCAAUUCAUGGGAAAGCUUGUAAAUUGGCUCUUCCUUCUCAAACAAUCAUUUUUCCUAACUUUUUAUAUCUUGAAUGAUAUUAACUAUACUCAUUAUUUUCUUCCAAUGAUAGAUGGAACACAAUGGAGGCUAACAAACUUAGAGGAACUUGAUUUGAGUGGUAAUCUCUUUCGGAACAACACAAUUUCCUUUCCUCAAGGGCUUUCAAGCCUAAAGUCUUUGACUUUGUACAACAACCAUUUGCAAGGCUCAUUAGAUACUAUAGGUACCAAAGCUAUAACUUUGUUUUUCUUGAUAAUUCUUUCUAGAACCUUUUAAAAUUAAUUGUUUCAAAUUUGAACAUUCACAUUUCACUUUUGAGGAUUUUCAUCUUCACUUCCAGUUUUAGAUUUACUUUUUUUUUCAUUUUUAUUUCAUUAAAAUAUUAAGUAGAAAUUAAAAUUAUUAACAUAAUGAUUUUUUAAAUUGUACGUGGAUAUGUAUAGGAUUGAGCAAUUUAACAAAUUUGAAGAAACUCGAUUUAAGUGGGAAUCAAAUUGAAAGCUUUCAAACCUUUAAAGGUAUGCAUUUAUAUUUAACUAAUUACCUAAAUUCUUACAUAUAAUUAAAUUUUAUGCCAAUUCAUUUCAGUGAUGAAAUUAUAUAAAUCUUUUGUAGAUGGUGGUAGAAAAUUGGAGUUGACCCACUUGGAAGAGCUUUAUUUAGAUGGAAAUCACUUCAAUACUAGUGUAUUUGCAUCCCUUAACAAGCUUUCAAAUUUGAAAUCUUUGAGCAUAAGUGAGAAUCAAUUGAAAGGAUCAAUAGAUAUGAAAGGUAAAAAUAUUAGUUUUUUAACAAGAAUAUAAUAAUGUUUGAAGAGAAUAUAAUGAAGUUGAUUUGUUGUUUUUGUUUUCCUAGAUUUGGAAGCAUUUAUCAAAUUAAGGGAACUAGAUAUGAGCUAUAAUGAAUUGAGAGAUUUUGUGAUCCACCAAGGUAUCAUUUAAUUAAUUUUCCUUUUUUUUUAAUUUAGAAAUUUAGUUUUGAUCUAUGAUAUUAUAAUAACAGUUAUUGUCAUAAAUAUUAAUAAAGUUAUAUCAUAUCAUACUUGAAAGUAAAAUAUGGGUUUGGUGAAACAUUUUCUAAACCCUCCAUUAUAAUGUGUUUCGACUUUGGUUUGAAACUAAAAUUCUUUAAAUUUUUCAUAAUUUUUAAAUAUUAAUGUUUAUAAUUAUUUUGUUUGUAUAACUAUGUUUUUAAAAUAAUUUAUUGAAUUUUUAUGAGAUAAAAAAUAAUUAUAACGAUAAAAAAUGAUAUUAUAAGUAAAAAUACAUAUAUUUAUGGGAAAAUAUGUAAUAUAACUAUAUUUUAAUUUCAUAUAUUUUUAAUAGUAUAAAACAUAAAAAUACAUAUUAGAGUUAAAUAAAUGGCAUUUUUUGGCCAAAAAUAAAUAAAUGUCAAUUUUGAAUAAUAUAAAAAAAAACUUCAAUUUUAUGAAAUUUAAACAUACAUUUUGAGGUGUUUAAACUUUUUUUUUUAACUUUUUAUAAAUUUCAAAAUGCACAUGUUGUUAAUUUUUUGGUUUUAAAAAAUGUGAUAGGUCUAUGUACUCUUUACAAAUUUGUAAUUUAAUUCUUGUAUUUUUAUUUUCGGGAAUUUGAUCCCUCUAUUUUUUAAAUUUUAAAAUCCAAGUUCAAUUGUUAACAUUGUUAUUUUUUUAAAAAAUAAUUUAUUGGUGUUGACAUUUUAAAAUAAAAGAACUUGGUAGCGAUGUAACUAAAAGAUGAUGUAAUGAACAUGGAUUUAAUAAAAUAAUUUCAACCGUAUAAAUAGUUAGACUUGAAUUUUGAAAAAAAAAAUUUGUAAAGAGAAAAAUAUGCACAUUAGAUUUAAAUAAAAAUAAUAUUUUUUUUAGUUUAAAAUUUUCUAUUUUAUAAUAGAACCAUUGAUUUAAAUAAAUGAGAUUUUGAAGAAUUUCCAAAAAAAAAAAACUAUGUAGGUGAAAUUUAAAUAGAGAAUUUGAUAAGCUGAAAUUCUCUUUUGGAAUUCAUAAAUUUUAAAAUUCAGAAGCAUGUAUUUUGACAAUUUUGAUUUAAUAUGGUGAAUUUAAUCAAAAAAUUAUUUAUUAGAUUGUAAAAUAUUUCUUAACAUUUAUAAUUGAGUACAAAGUAAAUUAAGUUUAAGGGAAAAUAUUGGGUACUAUUAAUGAAAUUCUUUUCUUUUAUCAAUUUUUUUUUAAAAAAAUCGGGGUGGUACUAUUAAUGAAAUUCUAAACUUCAUAAGUAGGAUUGAGAUAAUAACAAAUUUCUUAUAUGGUAUAGUAAAAUAUUAAAAAAUAAAUAUUUAAAAGAAAUAGGUUAGUGGCCAUUUUUUAACUUCACUUGUAGAGUUAAAAAACUCCAUUACCAGUACCAAAUACUAACAUUAAGGUUAAAUGCUAAUUGAUUUCAAACAUAUUUGAGUUUUUUAAAAGAAUAUUCUCAUAUAUUUAAAAGAAAACAACACAAAGUUAGAAGAUCUCAUCUUGAAGGGUAAUUCAUUUACCGGUCCUCUCACAUUACCGUCAGCUCCUAACUCUAAAGUGUCUUUAAUUGACAUAUCCCAAAACAAAUUGCAAGGUCAGAUUCCAACCAACGUGUGUUCACAUUUUCCACAUUUGAGCCACUUAUUCUUAUCCAAGAAUGCCUUCGAAGGUGAUAUCCCUCCUUGUUUGAGUGGCAUGAAGGAUUUAUCGAUUUUAGAUUUAUCAGACAAUCAAUUGUCUGGAAGAGUACCUGAAGAGUUAAUCACAAAAAACUCGUUGACCAUUUUGAGACUAUCAAACAACAACCUCAGUGGACAUGUGCUUCCUGUGAUUCUCAAUGCAAAUGGGCUGUCAAAAUUAUAUUUGGAUGGAAAUAAUUUUUCUGGGGAGAUGGCAAAUGUUGAUGUCUCUAUUUCUGAGUUUCCAACUUCACUAAGGGAAAUUAAUCUCGGAAAUAACAAGUUUUAUGGAAACCUCCCAAGAUGGAUGGGGAAUGUGUCAUUUUUGGAGAGAUUAGCUUUGUCCCAAAAUGGUUUCGAGGGUUCUAUUCCAAUGGAAUUUUGCAACUUGAAUCGCUUGGAAUUUUUGGAUCUCUCUGAAAACAAUUUAUUUGGCUCUAUACCGUCCUGCUUUAAUACCCUAAACAUAAAGCAUGUCCACCUGCACGGGAGUAGACUAAGUGGCCCACUACCAAUCGCUUUUUAUAAUAUCUCUUCACUGGUUACGUUAGAUCUUAGAGGAAACAAUUUGACUGGUAGUAUUCCAAAAUGGAUUGGCACACUUUCUUCAUUGAGUGUUCUUCUCUUGAAAGAUAAUCAUUUUCAUGGUGAAGUUCCAGUUCAGUUAUGCAAGUUGGAUUCUUUAAACAUCAUAGAUCUUUCUCAAAAUAUGUUUUCUGGUAUUAUACCUUCUUGUUUGGGAAAUUUAACCCUUUCAACGGAAACAAAUAAGAUUCUAACUGAUUCGAAAAUUAGUCCAAGGUUAACAGGGGACGGAUUAGUGAAAACAUUGGGAGCUCUCGGAAAUUAUUACUAUCCUGAAGGCUACUUAGAAGAAGUAAUAGAGUUCACAACAAAGAGUGGGUUCUUAUCGUAUGAGGGAAACAUCCUUACAUAUAUGACCGGGAUUGAUUUAUCUUGCAACAACUUAACUGGUCAUAUCCCACCAGAAUUAGGGAACUUAAGUGAAAUCUAUUCUUUAAACUUGUCGCAUAAUAAGUUGACAGGAGUUAUACCCUCAUCAUUCGCAAAACUUCAUCAAAUUGAGAGUUUGGACCUUUCUUACAACAAUUUGAGUGGUGAAAUCCCCAAUCAGUUGGUAGAGUUGAACUCUUUGGAGGUUUUCAACGUGGCAUACAACAACUUGUCAGGUAGUAUUCCCGAACCAAAAGCUCAAUUUGGGACCUUUAUUGAAAACAGUUAUGAGGGAAAUCUUUUUCUUUGUGGAGCUAUAUUGCAUAAAAGUUGUUCCAAAACCGAUUCACCAUCAACGAUAUCAACUCUAUCAGAAUAUAAAGGAGAAGAUGGUUUGAUAGGUACUUAUGAUUUUUGUGUGAGCUUUUUGGUUUCUUAUGUAGUUGUGUUGUUGACCAUUUUUGUUGUCCUCUACAUAAAUCAAUACUGGCGAAGAGUUUGGUUUUCUCUCAUUGGGAAAUGCAUCACCACCUGUCGCUACUCAAAUGUGGGCAAUUUUCUUACUUAUCACAUUUUCAAGCAAUGAGUUUAGCUACUCAAAUUGUAAUUUGAUUUUCACACCUAAAUGUUUAAUUAUGCUAAGUUGAGCGAUAAUGAAUAUUUUGUUGAUUUUUGCAUUUUAAAUAAAAGCUCUUUGAUCUUAUGAUUUUAUCAUUUUCAACCAUCUAUUUCUUUUUUCUUCUAUGAAAUUUAAUGUAAAAUCAUAAUCCAUUAUUAUGUAUAUGCAAUAUCUCUUUGAAUUAAAUUAAAUUGAAUACCAAGCGUUCACUAGUGCAUACUGAAAAGGAAAUCUAAUGUAAAAUUAAACCAAACAUACUAGAAAAAUGAAUCUGAAACUGAAAUAUUUUAAAACCUCAAAAACAAUGCAAUUCUUUAUUCCUCUUUUCCUUUCAAGUUAUUUUGUAUCAUGUUAUAUUUUACAUAAUCAUUCAUAUCAUCAAAUUUUAAAAAAUAUUUAAUAUUUUGAUAUCAUGUUCAUAUUAUGCUUUAAUUCACAAUGUAUUUUAUACAAUAUGUUAUAACAAUUCAAUUUAAAAAACAAGCAAUGAUCUUAUUUUUGCAUACCGUAUUAUACAUUUACAUGUUAAUAAUUCAUUGUACGUAAAUUUUGACAUGUUUGCAUAUUUGAGUCAUUAUAAUUUUAUUAUUUGUAAUAUGACAUGUUUUAAUUACCCUUAAUAUUGUGUCAUGAUAAUUAUAACUCGAUUGGCACCAAAUAAUUUUUCUAAUAAAAAAUAGUAUUUUAUUCUAUUUACCAAAUCUUUAUCAACUUUAUAUUCUCACCAACAAAACAUACAUUCAAAGUUCAAAUAAGUUCCACACCCAUUUCUUUACUGCAAUACUCAAGAAUAUGCUCAUCAUCAGAAAUCUGAAAUAUUCCACUCUAAUUAACAUUACGAUUCUGUAAAAACCAAAAAUGUGUGAUCCUUUUUUAAAGCUCUUUUUUUUUUCCUUUAAUGAAAUGGGAUUGGUAAAAAAUCCGCACAUGUGUCGUGUGUGAAGAAGGUGAGGUUGUCUAUUCAUUCUCUAAUAAGUAGCUAAUUAUAGUUGAUCCUACAAAAUCAAAAUUAAUUCAGGUAUCUUUAUAUUCUGAAGACUGGACAGACCUUAGAAGCUUCUUCAAAUUUGCAAGAACAUGUCGUGGUCCUAAACUCUUUACACCGAUGAAAUUCAAAAGUUGCUCUAUAUUCUGCAAUCACAGUAAAGAUUAUGCAGUCAUUUCAGAACGAAUAACAUAACAAGCAAAAGGCGAUCAAAAUACCGUGAUCUCGAUAAUGUUCUUUGCCGAAAAGGAACAUUAACUUAACCUUAAAACAUCAGUGAAGGCUCAUCAGAUUUGCUUAGCAACCUCACAUACACAUGUAAAAAGCUUUGCUUUUGGAUGUAAGGUGUGACUAUCAUUACAGUCUUUUCUAAUUAGCUGAUAACCCUGUAUCUAACAUUUAUCAGGGCUAAGCAAAUUAACAUACAUGAUGUAAAGGAAUUUGACUAUAAGAUCCAACAGAAAACUUAAUAAACGAUAAUCAACAUAGAAAGAAGGCAAUGCAAACUUAUUACAAUGAUGCAAGCGGAUCAAAAGAAAGCACUUCUAUAGGGAAUUUGCAUUUAAGGCAUCGUAAACAGAAAAAAAAAUGAUAAAACUUUUUGGAAAGUAUUUUCAAAGAGGAGACAAAAACAGGGUAGAAACAAUGUUUGGUUCUUCCUUUUUCUAUUUACAAUUUUAGGGUGCAUUCUCUACUGUUGUGAAAAAGCCUUUUUGGGUUAAAAGUGUUUUUACACUGCAGAAGUGUUUUUCCACUGCAGAAGUGAUGAACAACACAUAGCUGUUGUAGUCAAAAACUGUUUUUGGCUUUUGCAUUCAAAAGAGAAAAUUAUCAAAAUACUAUUAUUUUCAUUAACUAUUUAAAAGGUAUAUAAAAAUUAGAUUAAUUUAUAUUUUAUAUAUUAUUAUAUUAAAUUGUUUAAAUCUUAUUUAUUAUUAUAUUUAAUUUUUUCAAAAUAUUUUAUAUAUUAUCAAUUUUACAACUAAUUAACAAAAUAUUUUACUAGGGAAUACGUAUAUGUGAAUAUCUAUAAAUGGCAUGCCUGGAUAUGCAUAUCCUUUGAUAUCAAAUAUUUUGAAAAAAAUAUUAUCAAUUCCACUGAUAUAUUAUCAAUUCCACUGAUAUAAAGCUCUUUAUAUUACCAAUAUAAAUAUAAAUAUUUUGAAUAUAAAUAUCCAUUGAUAUAUUAUCAAUUCCACUGAUAUAAAGCUCUUUAUAUUAUAAAUAUUUUAUAUUUUUUUUCAAAAAUAUGGAUAUGCAUAUCCUUUGAUAUCAAAUAUAAAGGUAAUAUUUAUAGGAAUUGUUUUUUAAUUAGAUAUUUUUAUAUAUCAGUGGAAUUGUCAAAAUAUUUUCAUUAACUAUUUAAAAGGUAUAUAAAAAGAGCUUUAUAUUGCCUCAAGCGCAAGGCACAAAAUGAAGCGCUAGCCUGUGUGCAGUAAAGCGCAAUACGUAUAUGUGAGAGUUUUUGCAAGUCUGUGUGUCUAUAACAUAAAAGUUUAAGAUAUAUAGUAAACUCUAAAGUGUGGUCUGGUUUAUCCACAAAACUUGAAAUUUUUUUAUAGGUGAAUGCUCAAAUAUUGAGAAUUAUAGAGUUUGAUAUUAUCCCUUCCUUAUUAGUAAAGGUAUAUCAAAUGAAAACAGUGAAAAAUAAAAUAAAUUAUUGAGAAAUUCAACAAGGCAGGUUUUUCUAAUGCCCAUUGCCUUACAAAAAAAGUGUGCCUAGGUGCACCAGGCAUGCGCUUGAUCAAAUGGACCUCACCUGGAAGGGUCCAAGGCGUUUUGUUGUAUAAAACUAAGGCGUAGGCAUGCCUAGGCGCAUGCCUUGACGACACUGACCAUAUGUUGGCUUUAUUGCAAAGCAUUAGCAAUUCAAAACUACUAGCACAUUACCUAAUCUACUACUGCUAGAAUAGGACUCAAGUUCUUGCUCCUGUGCAGGUCCAACCAAGAUCUUUACAGGAUACAGUAAUGAAACUUGUGAUAUCAUAUAUUGUUGCCUUGCUCGAAGCUUCCUUUGCACAUUUUUAAGUUUAACACAACCCCUUUCUUCAGUGAGUAAUCUAUUUGCUUCCUGUGAUAAAAACAACAUAUAAUCAAUCAUGCCAUGCAUGCAAGACUACCAACCAUCUUAAAAAAGAGACAAAGAAGUAGGACAGCAAGAAGGGGAUAACCCUUGACUAUGCAAAGGAAUUCAUAGAAUGAGAAUCAUCUCAUCUAAGCCCCUCAACCACCUUCACAGGGGGUGGAGCUGCAAAAAGAGAUGUCUUAUUGAUCCAAGAGGAGAAUAAAUAACAUCUAAAGCUGAAUAAGAAGAAACCUUCAAAUGUAUCAUAAAUUCAGCAUUCAUGAUAAUAUCAAAAUGAAAUUCCAAAGCUAAUUUAAGCUAGAAUAAAAAUGCUUCACCUGUAAUCGCUUCCUUGCUACAGAAAGAGAGGUACCAGCAACCAACAAUGAUCUUACUUCAGUACUAAGCAUUUCCUCCUGUUUUUUAGCAUCCUCUGUUGCAACUUUGCAACGAGUUGACAUUUUGCCAUAACUACUUUCCUUGCCUCUAGUCUCUCACGCAUUUCCUCAAGCUCGUUCAGUUUAUUCAAAGACUCAUUUUUUACCUGCACAGCAUGUUCCCGCCCAUUAAUCAGUGGGCCAAUUGAUUAGGUCACAGAAGACAAAACUAAAUUACCACUCACCAGGUCCCCUUGAAGUGUCAUAUGGCUUUAACAAUUCAACGUGCAAUAUCUAGUAAAAGUAAAAUAAACAUAGAAGAAAGCAAAUGCAAUUCUUAAACGCCUUUAAAUGGACAACAUGAAACAGUUUAAGAGCCCUAUAAAACAGUAAAGUGGAAAAAAAAUCUGAAAAGGAAAAAGAAAUGAAUUGAAACAAUAAAUCCAUCAGGUACAAACAGCAACAAAACUUGAAAUAAGCUUUGGCUUUAGCCCAUUAAAGCCCGGGCAUCCAGCCAAAUAAACAGUGACUGCCAUGUCAACUUUUUGAGACGGUAGAAAAGAGAUCGAAAAUCUCAAUUUCCAAAAAUAAGGACAUAAGAAGUAAAAAAAUGCACUUAUUCUUACAGUAGAAGAGCAAAAUGAAACUAAAUGAAGCAUAAGGGAACUGAUGCGAAUUGACAUUGUCAUUUUUGGGACUAAAAAGAAUACGCAGAUUGAAUAUUUAAGAUUUGGAAGGGAAAAGUUCCAUUCACCAACACAAUUAUCGUCGCCCUUCAUCCUAGUAAAGCUUAAUUGACAAUUUUUCUGUCUCGUGUUCUUGCUAAAGCAUUUGAGCAACCCAACAGAAAUCAUUAUAUUUCAAACUGAAAUGAUUGGCUUUAUCAAUUUCACAACCUAUACCGCCCAACCUAGUAAGUAAUUUAGGUGCAGACACCAGAAAUCUAUUUCCUUUGCACUCUACAACUAAAUAGCCUACCACUUAUCAAUCAAACACAGCUGAAAACUUCAGUGAGGAAACAUUAUGAAAACUGAAAAAACUAUAACUUCAACUUGAUUCAUAGCUCGGCAAGUUCAGGGAAUUGGGACUUCUACCACCAUGAUCCAGUUCGAUGUGAAACAGUGAUCUAUAUCACGCAUAUCGGUUCCCGCAACAAGAGGUAAAACAGCAAAUUAGGUAAACGAUGAUCCUACUAUAUUUCAGAAUAGCAACAUUGAGCAUGAAAGCUAAAGUUAUAGCAUAUUAUGGGUCCUUGCUCUCUACAACUACAUAUAAAAUUACUAAACAAUAUUACUACAUUAAGGAUCCAGAAAAACUUUGUUUCAAUUGUUGAUCACUUGAUCCAACUAUUUUAGAAAGUUUAUUCUUCUUUUUCCUUUCCCUUAUUUUCUAAAUCAGGAAAAACAGUAGCACAUAAACUGGAUUACUACUCCAAGUUUCUAAAAUUUCAGCAAUAUCCCUUUAACCUUUUCACUCAAGUCACUACCCCCCCAAUUAACAAAUAUAUUCCCAGUUUCCCUUUCACUUCAAACCCCCUUUUUUUUUUCUCUACCCAAAUUCAGCUUAAGUUCAAAAACCCAAAAUUGGUUUGCUAAAAAUACAUAAUUUUCAAACACAAAGGUAACCUAAUUUUAAUCAGAAAAAAAAAGCAUUACCUGAAUUAGUGAAUGGAGUUUCUCUUGAAGACUUUGUUUUAAAACUAUCUUAUACUAUUUGCUUUAAAUCGAUUUUUAUUAGCUAUUUAAAACUCGUUUUCAUGUAUUAUUUAUUUUUUUAUCACUUAUUUAAAUUGUUUUACAUAUCUAUUUUUUAAACCCUAUUUUAUUAUAUUUUACUUAUUUUAACUUUUUUACAUAUUUCAUUAUAAAUAUUAUUAAUUAUCUAUAUUGAGUUUUUCAUUCCAUAUGUAUUACUUAUUUAGAUAAAUAUAUACUAUUUUGUGUAUUACUUAUUUUGAUUUUCUUCUUAUACAAUAUUACUUUAAAAUUCAUUUAGAUAUUAUUAUUUCACGUAGUAUUUAUUUUUAUCUUCAUUUUUUAUUUAUUUCAAACUCAUAUAUUGUUUAUUUUGAAAUUUUAUGCAUAUGAUUUAUUGUUUAUAUUGAUGAUUUUAAAUUUCCUUUCUUGCAUGUUUUUUUUAUUUAUUUUAAAACUUGUUAUACUUUAUUUGUGUUAAUUUGCUUAGUUUUUCUUUCAAAAUUAACUUAUAAUUCAUUAGCUUUUAAUGUUAGUAUUUGCACAAUAUGUGAUGUAAGAUUAUUGCUUUCCUGUAUUGCUUAUCUGUAUAUAUUGAUUAUUUGUCAUUCAUUAGUAUACAUUUUGGUUUACGAAUUGACUAAUUUACCAAAAAAAGCCAUUUUUUUAUAAAUUACCGAAAUAGGCCGGUUUUUUAAUUAUUUACCGGAAUGGGCCAUUUCCCCCGAAAUCGCGCCACGUCGAAGCGAUGUCAGGGGACGGGGCAGAAGGUCGCGUCCACGUCAGAGCGACCUACUGACGUGGAAGGAAAUCGCUCCCCUGAGGGCGCGAUUUCCUUCCACGUCAGCAGGUCGCGCUGACGUGGACGCGACCUCCUGUCACUUUGCGCGGUACCGGGAAUGCGAUUUUGACCCUGAUUUUUACGCCUAGGUUUUAUGGCUUUUAGGGUUUAGGGUGCAGGCUUUUUAGGAGUUAGGGGUCCGGGAAAAUUAUUUUUCGAGUUGACGUUUCUGGUUAAAUAGUGGGAAAUCGCUUAUACUAGGAUGCUAUUUAAGAAGAAAUUGUGAAAUAGUGGCCUCGUGGACGCGAUUUCGCUACAGUGGUCAUGUGAGAAAUAAUUUUUUUAGACGUUUUCUGAGGAAAUAGUAUAAAAUCGCUGAUACCAGGAUGCUAUAUGAGAAGAAAUUGUGAAAUCGCGCCCUCGUGGACGCGAUUUCGCUACAGUUGGUCAUGUAGGAAAUAAUUUUUUUUGACGUUUCUGAGUAAAUAGUGUCAAAUCGCGCCCUCGUGGACGCGAUUUCGCUACAGUAGCAAGUUUGGGCUGAGGUUAUAAAUUAGGCAGAGAAUUUUCUUAGAAUGCAUAACUCAGAGCAGAAACAUUUUAGGUUAGGGUUAGGGAAUUUAGAGUUUCAAAAUGAGUGAAUGUAUUAGUGCUGUUAUUUACUACGAUGGUGAGGUUUGCCACACCGAGAAUGGUGUUGUUUUUUUGUCGAAGAAUACGAUGCGACUGUCAUUUAGCCAAAACAUAGAUUUGACAGAACUCCGUAAAAGAAUUAGGCGUAAAAUCUUCGGAACCACGCCAAUGAAAGUUCAGUCAAUGACGUAUCGAUUUUGUUCUUCUGUUGAUUCGGUGACAUAUGACUCGUUCGACAUAAAAGGUGCUCGUAGCUUAGAGGCAAUGGUGCAGACUCAUCUUGCUAGCGGAGCAACUUAUAUUGAGUUAUAUGUACAAUUUACGUCACCAAAUGAUGUACUUUCGUCCGGUGUUCGAGAUGUAUACACGACCCCUGGCCGACACUCGGUUAGUGUGUUACAAAAUACGGAACAGCCCAUGUUCGGUAGCGGUGUCGAAUGCACAUCCCCCCAAGACACUCUGUCGGUGGAUGGGACAUGUACGUCGGUGGCUCGACGGUUGACGCUGGAAAUACGAGCUGGUACGUUCAUUCUCUUAUUUUAUUUUAUUUCAUAUUUUGGGAAAUUUAGAACGAUAAGCGAAAAUGAAUAUAUUCAGAUUAGCAGGGGACAUGACCCAUUUGUUUAGUGUUCUUGUUUUGCUUCUUAAGAUCCACACAAUCAAGUCUUGUGCUGGUACGUUCAUUUUCCAAAUAUUUACUUUACUUUUUGUUUCUGGGCUUAUUUCAUUUUAUGUUGUACUUUUUUCCCAGUAAUUUACUGCUUAAUAUAAAAGAAUCGAAUAUUUAGGUUAAAUUGUGGGUGGGUUUUUGCUAGUUUAUUGAAUACUCAAAUUGGAGCCAUGUAAAAUGUGGAAACUUUAGCUUGAUAGAAAAUGUGACCCCCUUUUUUUUUAAUGUAUGGAAUAAAAAUUUUUGUAUUUUGUGAAUUUUUUUUUAGUAAUUUGAAUUUGUAUGUAUGUUCAUUGGAAGUUUAGAAGCAAGGAGUUCUGAUCAUUAGGACUUUAUGUGAUUCAUUCAUUUUGAGUUAUAGUGUAGUUAGUUGUUGGAUUUAGUGUCACUGUUGGCAUCUUAUUUUAGCUGAUUUCCUUUCUAUUUGUACCGAUAAACCUCUAGAGGUUUUGAAAUUAGCAACUGAUUUUUUUUAUGUGUGAGAGUUUUUAUGGAAAUCAAUAAGCUAAUUACAUUUUGCAGGAUCAUACAGUCGGGUUAGUGGUUUUUAUGUCAUGCUGGCCUAUGGUUUUGAGAUGAACAUCAUGAAAUCUGUAUAAGAUGAGGGUAUUAAACUAUAAACAUAGCCGAGGUAGCGAUUUAUUUCGUAUCAUGCUAUUGGAAGUUUUUUUGGGGCGGCAAUGUCAACUAAAUUUAUAUUCUUUUGAUCAAGUCGAUUAUUUCCAGUUGCACAACUAGCUUGUUGGAAAUAUUUUCUUUCUUUGCUCCUGUCCUUUUCACUUUCAUAUUUUAUGGGUGGUGUGAUGAUGGGAAGAUUCAUGGGUGGCUAAAGCCAUCUUACUCACUAGAAGUGAGGCUGUUAUUUUUAGAAGUUAGAGAUGCUAUAUCAAUUGAGGAUGCCGUGAGCAAAAGCUUGCUAAUAAUAAGUGACUGUUCAUAUGCGUGGGUUCUAUCACAUGUUGAUGGAGUAUUUGGUGCUCUUUCUUCACUAAUUUCAUAUGUAUAGAUAUAAUUGUAUAACAUCUCGACGUUGAUUACUGUUACGAGGGGAAAAAAACACAGCAUGUAAUGAAACUCAAAAAGUAGGAAUCCUAGAUCCUUGUAUUCAUUCAUAGGCAUUUUACAACAUUUGAUUUAACUUGAGCAAGAUUCCGUUUUGGGCCUGGUCUUUUCCUGUUCGUUCCCUUGUUUAUAUAUGAUGAAGUUGGUUCAGCAUGCAGGAAACUCGACAGCAUGCAGGCCAUGAAGACCAAGUCGUGCAGGAGCUGCUGGAACGAGCUGAACUUUUCCUAUUUUGUUCAUCUAGUAAUCUUAAGUUAAUGUAAUGUACUUUAGUUCAUUUAGAACUAUGUUAGGUUUAUGAUUGAUGUAAUUUUGAUGACAAUUGAGCUGUUAAGUCAGCUUUGUUUAAGUGUGUAAGCUUAGUUUUUCAAGUUUCAAUGUAUUAGUGGUAGUAGGUGAUGAUUAGGUAUCAUUAUGCAGAUUUUGACAAGCAAAUUGCUUGGUUUAUGUAUUGGCAUUAUGCCAUUGUUCAACAUAUGAAUGAAAUCAACUUUGUUCAUCAAUAUUCUCUCAAAUUUCCUCAGCUUAUUUUCUUUUUUCUUCAACUCGAAAUUGUUUGUUUGCUCAGCAAGAUUCGAGGCUUGCUCGACAAGAAACUUGCUGAGUCUGUUUGAUUCUGCUGUUGCACCAACAAUUGGUAUCAGAGCUUAUUUCUUAAGGGACCUGUUAUACAAAUCCAUGGCUUCAUCAAGUUUUUCACCAGCUGCACCUCAAGUCUUCAAUGGAGAAGGCUAUCACAUAUGGGUGGUCAAAAUGAAGACCUACCUGCAGGCAUUUGAUCUGUGGGAGGUGGUCAACUCUGAUGUUGAACCAGAGCCACUUAGAGCUAAUCCAACAGUGGCUCAGAUCAGGCAGCAUGCUGAUGAAAGGACCAAGAGGCACAAUGCUAUGUCUUGCAUCCAAAACUCAGUGUCUGAUGUGAUUUUCACAAGGAUUAUGGCCUGUGAAUCACCAAAACAGGCCUGGGACAAGUUGCAGGAAGAGUUUCAAGGGACUGAGAGGACAAGGCAACAACAGUUGUUAAACUUGAGGAGAGAUUUCGAGAAUUUGAAGAUGAAGGAAGAAGAAACUGUCAAGCAAUAUUCUGACAGGAUUAUGGCUGUGGUUAACAGCAUCAGGCUCCUUGGAGAGCAGUUCAAUGAAGCUAGGAUAGUGGAGAAGGUUAUAGCAACUCUGCCUGAGAGGUAUGAGGCAAAAAUCUCAUCUCUCGAGGACUCAAGGGACCUGUCCACCAUCUCCCUGACAGAGUUGAUCAAUGCUCUAUAUGCUCAAGAGCAGAGGAGAGCAAGCAGACUGGAGGAGCACCAAGAAGGUGCCUUUCAGGCAAGAACAAAUACUUCCUACAAAGGCAAGAAGGCUUGGAGAGACAAGCCAAAGGAUGAUGCUGCAAGGAGAGAAGGUCAAACUUGCAAGCACUGCAGAAAGGCUGGUCAUUCAGAAGAAAAAUGCUGGUUUAAUCCAGAUGCUGUGUGUCAGCAUUGUAAGAAAAAGGGCCAUGUUGAGAGAGUUUGUAAGAGCAAUGCCAAAACAAGGCGCAAUCAGGCUCAACAGAUGAAAGCUGAGGCUCGAGUAGCUAAGGAGGACAGUGACCAAGAGGAGCAAGUCUUUACUGUGUCAUGCUCAGCUGCUCAGGAAAGGUCCUCAUCUGGUUGGCUCCUAGACAGUGGAUGCACCAACCACAUGACACCUGAUGCUGCAAUCUUCAAGUCUUUAGACAGAAGCUGCAGAACUAAAGUCAAGAUAGGAAAUGGUCAUUUUAUUCAAGCUGAAGGCAAGGGUGAUGUUCUGAUAUGCACUCUUACAGGUACCAAAGUGAUUUCAAAUGUGCUGUUGGUGCCUGAAAUUGACAGAAACCUGCUCAGCAUAGCUCAGUUGCUGGAAAAAGGUUACUUAGUUGUGUUUAAAGACCACCAAUGCCAAAUCAGUGAUCCAAGUGGAUCCAAACUGAUGGCAGUCCCUAUGGCUGAUAAGAGCUUUGUGGUUGACUGGACAAAAAAGUCAGACAUUGCCUACACAGCCACUUCAGAUGAAUCCAAGCUGUGGCAUCAAAGACUGGGACAUGCCAACUUCAGAUCGAUGGCCCGAAUGAUCAGAGAAGACCUGGCUGAAAACUUCAUCAACUCAGUAGACCAUGAUGAUGUAUGUGAAGUAUGUCAGCUAGGAAAGCAGGCCAGACUCCCAUUUCCCUCGAAUCAAGCCUAGAGAGCCUCUGAAAAACUCCAACUGGUGCAUACUGAUGUGUGUGGACCUAUGAAGACUGAGUCAUUAAGUGGAAACAGGUAUUUCAUACUGUUCAUUGAUGAUUUCUCGAGAUAUUGCUGGAUUUACUUCUUAAAACAGAAAUCAGAGGUGGCCACUGUGUUUUGGAAGUUCAAAACUGCUGCUGAGACUGAAACAGGCUGCAAGGUGAAGACCAUAAGGUCUGAUAAUGGGACUGAGUACACCUCAGCUCAGUUCCAAGCCUUCUGUGAUAAGGCAGGCAUCAAACAUCAACUUGCCAACACAUAUACACCUCAGCAGAAUGGGGUAAGUGAAAGGAAGAAUAGGAGUUUGAUGGAUAUGGCCAGGUGCUUGAUGAUUCAGAAGAAUCUGCCUAAAGCACUAUGGGCAGAAGCAGUUAACACUGCAACAUACAUUCAAAAUAGACUUCCAACCAGGGCUUUGGAUCAAAAGACCCCAUUCGAGGCCUGGUUUAGCUUCAAGCCAUCACUGGCUCAUCUGAAGGUCUUUGGAUGCAUCUGUUAUGCACAUGUACCUGCUGUUAAAAGGGACAAAUUGUCUGAAAGGGCUCGACCUGGUGUUUUGGUGGGCUAUAGCACUGUUAAGAAGGGCUAUAGGAUUUUAGAUCCUUCAACAAACAAAGUGUCAGUAAGCAGGGAUGUGGUAUUUGAUGAGAGGUCAUGUUGGAACUAGGAAAGACAUGAACCUGAAGAAGUUUUUGAAGAACUUGCAGCAGACCAAGCUGAGCCAGACCAAGAUGUCCCUGAAAUGGAUAUUGAUGAUGAACCAGUCAGAGGAACAAGGCCAUUGGCUGAAAUUUAUGAAAGGGCUCAUGUAGCCAUAGUUGAACCAAGCAACUUUGAAGAGGCUGAGGCUCAGCAAGGGUGGAAGCAGGCAAUGGCUGAGGAGAUCAGCAUGAUUGAGAAGAACCACACCUGGAAAUUGGUUGAAAGGCCAGUCAAAAGGAAAGUGAUUGGGGUGAAAUGGGUGUACAAAGCCAAGCAGAAUGCUGAUGGUACCUUGAACAAGCUGAAAGCAAGGCUAGUUGUCAAGGGGUUCAGUCAGAGGUAUGGCUUGGACUACCUGGAGACCUUUGCACCAGUGGCCAGGCUCGACACCAUCAGACUGCUGAUUGCCUUAGCAGCACAGCUUGAAUGGAAGAUCCAUCAACUUGAUGUGAAAUCAGCUUUUCUGAAUGGUUUCUUAGAUGAAGACAUCUAUGUUGAACAACCACAAAGGUUUGAAAUAGCUGGCAGAGAGCAUAUGGUCUACAAACUGAAAAAGGCCCUAUAUGGAUUAAAGCAGGCUCCAAGGGCCUGGUAUAGCAGAAUUGAUGGCUACUUGACUGAUCUAGGAUUCGAUCGAAGCAAGAGUGAGCCAACACUGUAUGUCAAGAAACAAGGGACACAAAUACAACUCAUUGUGUCCCUGUAUGUUGAUGAUCUUCUGGUGACAGGAGGAGAUCGAGUAGUGCUGGCUGAUUUUAAGACCAAGAUGCAGGAAGUGUUUGAAAUGUCUGAUCUUGGGGAGAUGUCAUACUUUCUUGGAAUGGAGGUGUCUCAAGUAUAGAAUGAGAUAUUUCUAAGCCAGAGAAGCUUUGCCACAAAGAUUCUGACCAAGUUCUCCAUGCAAAACAGCAAGGCAACUAAAACACCUAUUGCUGUUGGAGAAAAACUAUCGAGCCAAGGUGAUUUUAAGAAAGUUUGUGAAACAACCUACAGGAGUCUAGUUGGUUGCUUGCUAUACUUGACUGCCACUAGACCAGACAUUAUGUAUGCUGUAGGAUUGCUCUCAAGGUUCUUGCAUUGCUGCAAUGAGAAGCAUUUCCAAGCUGCAAAGAGAGUGCUGAGAUAUGUCAAAGGCACUUUAAACUAUGGUUUGAAGUACAGUAAAGAAGGAAAUCUGAAGCUGAUUGGCUACACUGAUAGUGACUGGGCUGGCUCGAUAGAUGACAUGAAAAGCACCUCAGGGUAUGCUUUUAACCUUGGUUCAGCCAUGUUUUGUUGGAGCUCAAAGAAGCAAAGUCUAGUAGCUCAAUCUACUGCUGAAGCAGAGUAUGUGGCAACAGCAAGUGCUAUCAACCAAGCCAUAUGGCUAAGAAAAAUAUUGGCUGACUUGAAUGUGCAUCAAGAGCAAGCUACUGAGAUCUUCUGUGACAACCAAUCUGCAGUAGCAAUUGCUAAAAAUCCAGUGUUCCAUGGAAGAACAAAACAUUUCAGCAUAAAGUUGCAUGUUGUUCGAGAAAUGGAGCAAGCUCAGGAAGUAAAGCUGGUCCACUGUAAUUCAGAAGAUCAACUUGCUGACAUUUUAACCAAAGCUCUUAGUGUCACAAGGUUUGAAUAUCUAAGAAAGAAGCUAGGUGUUUGCUCCAUGCAAACCAAGGAGGAGUGAUGAAGUUGGUUCAGCAUGCAGCAAACUCGACAGCAUGCAGGCCAUGAAGACCAAGUCGUGCAGGAGCUGCUGGAACGAGCUGAACUUUUCCUAUUUUGUUCAUCUAGUAAUCUUAAGUUAAUGUAAUGUACUUUAGUUCAUUUAGAACUAUGUUAGGUUUAUGAUUGAUGUAAUUUUGAUGACAAUUGAGCUGUUAAGUCAGCUUUGUUUAAGUGUGUAAGCUUAGUUUUUCAAGUUUCAAUGUAUUAGUGGUAGUAGGUGAUGAUUAGGUAUCAUUAUGCAGAUUUUGACAAGCAAAUUGCUUGGUUUAUGUAUUGGCAUUAUGCCAUUGUUCAACAUAUGAAUGAAAUCAACUUUGUUCAUCAAUAUUCUCUCAAAUUUCCUCAGCUUAUUUUCUUUUUUCUUCAACUCGAAAUUGUUUGUUUGCUCAGCAAGAUUCGAGGCUUGCUCGACAAGAAACUUGCUGAGUCUGUUUGAUUCUGCUGUUGCACCAACAAUAUACCUCCACUGUGCCAUUGUGUAUUUGUGUUCGAUUUUCAGUUCUGUCUCACAAUCCCUGUCAUGUCUUAUGAGUGAUUUUCUGGCUCUAAAUAUCUAUGAUAUAUUUGUGCAGGCAUUUCACUGAAGACUCAGGAACUCUAUGCUAUUGUCUUUGCUACUCGUUACUUGGACAUAUUCACUAAUCAUAUCUCGCCUUAUAACACAAUCAUGAAGCUAAUAUUCCUGGGCAGCUCUUUCUCAAUUGUAUGGUACAUGCGGUAUCACAAAAUAGUUCGUAGAUCUUAUGAUAAGGACCAGGAUACAUUUCGACAUUACAUCCUUAUACUCCCUUGCCUGAUUCUUGCCCUUCUUAUAAACGAGAAGUUCACCUUCAAAGAGGUAUCGACAUCCUUUUGUUUGUUGGAAUAUGAUAACAGUAUGUUCAUAUUAAUUACUGGUUAACUUAGAAGCUCCCUAAACUGUUUAUCUGUUUUAUAUUAAUUAUUCAUUAUUAUCCUUCUGGUUAUAUUUUUAUAUAUUGAUUAUUGUCUUAAAAAAAAUUGUUGAGCAGGUCAUGUGGACAUUUUCCUUGUAUUUGGAAGCUGUUGCGAUACUUCCUCAGCUUGUAUUGUUGCAAAGGACUAGAAAUAUUGACAACUUGACUGGACAAUAUGUGUUUCUCCUUGGGUAACCACUGUAUUCUUUAAAAAUCCUAAUCAGUUGCAAGUUUUCUAUUUUAUUACCUUGCAAUUUGCAUGAAGGACCCUUAUUUCCUGGCUCAGUUCCCUAAAAUGUUGCCUCCUUCCUGAGGAAACAAAAGAGAGAAAGUCUCUAAAUAGAGUUGCCAUCAUAUUGCCGCUUGGUUGCCACUGAUUUCUUUUUGAUGAAAAGUUGAUAUGAUUAUAUGUUGGACCAAAGUUAUCUAUUUUCAGAUGUGAUUAACUGCAGUUGAAUUUUGCGAGUAUGACUGUUCUUGUGUAACUUUUGUUAUGUGCUUUCAUGUCGUUUUUAGUCUUUUACACUGUGUUCUGUCUAUCUUUGUUUGCUAUUAUCCUAAGUUAGGAGACAAGGUGCCAUUAGGAGCAAUGUGACGUCAAAAUUCAUUUCCCUUUAGCCUUCAGUUCUACCUUUUCUUCCCUUUCUUUAUGUAGUUUUUGGGAGUUGGGGAUCACAGCGAUGAUAGUCGGUACAUGUGACUUGAAAGAUGCCUAAAAACUUCAAGAGCAUAGUGUUGUAUAAAUCUUUUGGAGAAAUUUUUUUGGUACAUUGAUGCCAACUUACAAUAACCCUUGCCACUACAACCGUGGCUUUGUUGGCUUAUGUAUGCACUCUCUUUGUCUUUAUAGGUCACCAAAUUCCUAAUGUCUAAUUCUUGGUUAUGGACUAAUAUAGUUGCUUGUUAUUGCAGUGCAUACAGAGCAUUGUACAUAGUGAACUGGAUUUAUCGGUACUUUACUGAAGACCACUUUGUCCACUGGAUAAGUAUGUACUCUUCUCUGUCUCCCUUCAUCUUUUACUCCAAGUCGGUAGCCAUGGGUGUAUGACGAGUGUGUCAAUAUAUCUACCCCAACACAUUUGUGAUAUACUAUGCUAUAUGUGUUAUUUCUAACACCUUGUUUACAUGAUUGCUGCCUUUCAGCUUGGAUUUGCGGUCUUGUCCAGACAUUGCUUUAUGCUGAUUUCUUCUACUAUUACUUCCAGAGGUAACCCCCUUUCUGACACUCUGGAAAGCACUUCAUACCUAUGUGAAUGAUUGCAACUUAUUUGAUUAUUAUGCCUGCAGCUUGAAGAACAACAUGAAGCUCCAAUUACCAGCUUGAGAUUUUAAUGGUGCAAGUUUUGUAGUAGCAUACAUAAACUUACAUCAUAUGGGUUCAAAUUUAUGAGUAUUUCAAUUAAUUUUAAUUUCACUAUGUUAUAUUGUAAUAUCAUGUAAAAAGUAUCAUAAAAGCAGGCAUAAGUUUUCCACCAAUUAGAACAUUUUGAAAAUUGAUGUCAAGCCCGAAAUGACCGUCACAAGUAAGCAUAUUAAACGUGUGAAGAGAAGACCUUAUUUUUCCACAUAACUAAAACUUUUUACACCAUAGGAACUUUCAUCGUCAUCAAGUUGGACAUGGAUGGAGCUCACGUAAAAAUAAUUUUUCAUAUAAAAACUAAAAACUAGAAAUUGACUUGUAAUAAUUCUCAAGGUUAAGGUUGACGUGGUCAAUAGUAAUGAACUUAUGUUUAAGGUUUGGGUUAUUUUUCUCAAUUAUAGAUUAGUAUUUUGUUCAUUGUAAACUUUGCUAACAAAAUUUAAUAUAUGACACAUAUCUGAUUUAAUUUAUUUUUAUUUUAUAAAACUUUCAUUAUUUGUUUUACUCAUUAAUGAAAUUUGGUGUGAAUACAUUAAAUAUUACCUUUUAUAUAUUUCACUCCCUCUUACUAUAUCUCAAUGGAGAAAUUGAAGGUCAUUCAAGGAAAUGGUAAUGUCCAUUUUCCACAAAACUAAAAUUUUCCACACGACAGAAACUUUCUUGGUCAAACAAGUUGGAUUUGGCUUCACCAAUAACUUAAUAAUCUGUACUAAAAUUUUCCACGCAAUAGAAUACGAACUCGUUCUCGUAAAUAUUUUAAAAAAUAAAAAAUUUAAUAUUAUGAGUUAACGAAUUAUCAAUUUAAUUAAAAAAAGUUGAAAGAUACAUUUUUUAAAAUUUUAUGAAAUUAUAUAUUAAUAUAAUUAUAAAAUUAUAGUUUUAACUUUAUAAAAUUUAUUAUUUAUCUUUGAUCUUGAAGAGAGACAAAGUAAAAUACCUAUUCUUGGAGCCAUAACGACAACUAGGAUUAUGAUUGCACAUUUUCUAAGUCUUCAUUUUUGUUAAUUAGGAAAGCUGAUGGGCAUCUCCACUAAGUUUCCACCCACAAGAAUAUACGUAUUAAUUUGUUUUUCUCAAUUUCCAUGAGGGGGGAUAUAAGCUUAAAGUUGACGUAGAAGUCAAUACUCAACAUUUGAAAGUUAAUGCAGUGAACUAUGUGCUUGUUGAUAUAUGAAAUGAUAUUUUCUUAACAAUUUCCUCCAACUAGUUCGUAGAUGGUGCUAUAUUACAUCACAAUGGGUAACCAAAUGUAUAUAAUUGAGAUUUUUAAGCAAAUAUUAUAUUUUAUCUUUAUCCAUGAAUAGUCUAAUAAUAAGGAUUAAUAUUUGGUACAUUGUCAGUGGAGUUUUUAAAUUCCAUAAGUAGGGUUAGAGGAUUGACACAUGCCAAUUUUUUAAUGUUGCUUGUGGGAUGCACUUGAAUUGUGGUUCAUAGAAGGAAAUUAUUAUAUAAAGGUUUAAUUCUACCAUAGUUCUUGUACUUUACUGAAGUUGUAGAUUUAAUUCCCAGACUUUAAUUUGAUAUUUUAGAUAUUUGUUAAAUUCAUAAAGUCCUACUAUUUCCAAAUUUGGUGUGGCAAACAUAUUAUCAUAGGUGUAAUAUCACUAAAAUUCAAAAGAAUGAGAAAUUUGUACAUAUUAUCAGAUGUCAAUAUCAAGUUGAGCAUUUCAAAAUCUAAAGUAAUAGUUCAAGUAUUUAUUUUUCCAUAAAACCAAAAUUUUCUACAUGAUGGCUUUUUUUUUGGCUAUUAGUUAAGAGGAAUUUUUUUAAUAACCCAAUUUAAUUAACUAAUUUAAAAAAUGGUUCAAGUAAAACUCAAGUCAUAUUAAAAAUAAUUAUUUAUAAAUUUUAUGUUUCAAAAACUAAUGAAUGUUCAAAGAAUAGUGAAUUAUUAAAGAGAAGUUAUAUGAUAAUGGAUUGUUUUAAAGUAGUGGUCUAGUAGAAAUAAAUAGUUUUUUAUAAAAAAAUAUUAUAUAAAUAAUUAAAUUUUAUAGUUACUCCUAUUUUUUUUAAAAAUAGUGAAUGUAAUAUUUUUUAAAAUGUUAAAUUAACUCAUGAUAUUAAUUAAAUCAAGAAAUUUUAUAAUAAUAGAGAUGAAAAAAACUAAAUUUUCAAAAUCAAAACCUAAAACGUGCAAGAAUAAAAGCAAUCUGAAGACUUAAAAUUUCCAUUAAUAAAACCAAAAUCAAAGAAGUAAAAUUUCCAUGAAUAAAACCAAAAAUGAAGACCUAAAUUUUCCAUUAAUAAAGCCAAAUCAAGACUAAGUUUGUAUAAGUGUAAGAAGGGUAUAAAGGAAACUCACAAGAAAGCCACAUGAAGAAUUUUAUAACUCCAACUACACGAUUUUAUGUCCACCUCUCACUUUUCAUAUUUUUUUUUGGCCAUUCAUUUUUCAAGAUUAACAUUAGCAUUCUUGUGGUCCGUUCAUCCUUUCCUAACCAAUUUCCACCAAGAGUUUUUGCAAUAAGGAAUUUACCUAAAUAAGAAACCUAGAUUGAUCCAAUUUUUGAGGAAUUAAUUAAUUAUAUAUUAUUUUUAUAUUAUAAUGAAUUAGUGGGAUGCAGUAUGUUCUGCUUGUAUAUAAAUAAGAAGCUUAGGCUUCUUUAGAUUAUAUACAUAUAGAAGUUAACAAAAAGUAACAUAUAGCUGAGAGAGAAGUGAAAAUAGAGAGAUGAUGAUGAUGGAGUGGAAAUGGUUAAGGUUUAUUAGGAUGGCAGUAAUGUUGUUGGUGUUAGAAGGAUGCAGAUGGUGUACUACUGAUGCUUGUUUGGAGCAUGAGAGAAUCGCUCUCUUGCAUCUCAAGCCUUUCUUCAAUUAUCAAAAUCAAUUGCAAAGUUGGGUUGAGGUGAAGGGUUCAGAUUGUUGUAAAUGGGAAAGAGUUGAGUGUAACACCACCACUAGGAGACUCAUACAACUCUCCCUUAAUUCUACAAGAUGGUUUGACAGUAUGGGAUACAAAACGGAUAAUAGGAAUCUCAAUGCCUGGUAUCUCAAUACCUCUAUGUUUCUUCCCUUUGAGGAAUUGAAGAGUCUUUAUUUGCGGGGGAAUGCCAUAAGUGGUAACCUUGAAAAUGAAGGUCGUGCCUCUAGUUUUUCCUUAAUUACAUCUUUUAUUAUCCCACUACUCUUACCAUCGUUAUUUUGCAAUUACUUAUAUUUUAUUUUAUUUUAUGGAAGAAAAGUCACUAACUUGUAUAUAUUUAAAAGAAUAUUUCUAUAGGCUUUGGAAAACUAUCAUCCACAUUGAGUAAUUUGGAGAUCCUUGACUUAAGUGAAAACUACUUGAAUGACAGCAUUUUGUUAUCUUUGAGUGAGCUUUCAUCUCUCUGGUAUUUAGAUCUAUCAGGCAACAAAUUUGAAGGAUCAAGCCAUCUAAGAGGUAAAUUAAGUUUGGUCUGGUAUUAGUUUUUAUUUGUAAAGUGGAGUUUGAGGAUGGUCUUCUAGUAAUUCCACUUUUGCUUUAGUAAAAUUUUCAUACAGCUAAGAAAGAAAAAACAAUUAACAAGUAAUUUUUAACUUUAAAAAUCAAUGUAUGUUCAUAUUCAAGGUAGACUGGUUUUAUAUGUUUCUUUUUUACUUUAAAACCAUUUUUUUUGUUUAAGGGACAGUUAAUGUUGCAAUAUGUCUUUGCUUUUAUCAUAUCAUGAAUAUAUAUAAUUGAUCAAUAUUUGGGAUUGAAUUUCAGGAUUGAAUAAUUUGACAAACUUGAAGUACUUGGAUUUAAGUUCGAACAGAAUUGAAAGCAUCUCAAACAAAGGUAUAAGUACAGUAUUUAUAUGUCAAUUCAUAUUAAAGGUAGACUGGUUUUAUAUGUUUCUUUUUUACUUUAAAACCAAUUUUUGUUUAAGGGACAGUUAAUGUUGCAAUAUGUCUUUGCUUUUAUCAUAUCAUGAAUAUAUAUAUAUAUAUAACUGAUCAAUAUUUGGGAUUGAAUUUCACGAUUGAAUAAUUUGUCAAACUUGAAAUACUUGGAUUUAAGUCGCAACAACGUUGAAAGCAUCUCAAACCAAGGUAUAAGUAUUUGUGCGUAGUAACUUUCUUGACUGACUAUUAUUCCAAAAGGCAAUGACAGACUUCAAAUGUAUUUUCUUUAGUGAAUUUUUAUUGCAAAAAUGGAGUAUUAUUAUUUAUUUAAGUUUUGUAGUAACUAAUUAUAUAAUAUAUAAAUGAGGUUUUCAAUGGCUCAUUAAAUUGGAAAUUAUUGAUAUAAGUUGGAAUUAUUUGAAGAAUAGCAUUCUUUAAAAUAAAUUCAUGUUGAAGGAAAAGUUGUUGCAAUAUGUUAUAUCAUGAAUAUAUAUAAGUAAUCAAUAUUUGGGAUUGAAUUUCAAAAUUGAGUAAUUUAAGUAGGAAGGUAUCUCAAACAAAGUAUUUAUAUAUUGAAUCAAUUCAUGGGAAAGCUUGUAAAUUGGCUCUUCCUUCUCAAACAAACAUUUUUCCUAACUAUUUAUAUAUUGAAUGAUGUUAACUAUACUAAUUACUUUCUUCCAAUGAUAGAUGGAACACAAUUGAGGCUAACAAAUUUAGAGGAACUUGAUUUGAGUGGUAAUCUCUUUCGGAACAACACAAUUUCCUUUCCUCAAGGGCUUUCAAGCCUAAAGUCUUUGACUUUGUUCAACAACCGUUUGCAAGGCUCAUUAGAUACUAAAGGUACUAAAGCUAUAACUUUGUUUUUCUUGAUAAUUCUUUCUAGAGCCUUUUAAAAUUAAUUGUUUCAAAUUUGAACAUUCACAUUUCACGUUUGAGGAUUUUUAUCUUCAAUUCAAGUUUUAGAUUUACUUUUUUUUUUCAUUUUUAUUUCAUUAAAAUAUUAAGUAGAAAUUAAAAUUAUUAACAUAAUGAUUUUUUGAAUUGGACGUGGAUAUGUAUAGGAUUGAGCAAUUUAACAAAUUUGAAGAAACUCGAUUUAAGAUGGAAUCAAAUUGAAAGCUUUCAAUCCUUUAAAGGUAUGCAUUUAUAUUUAACCAAUUACCUAAAUUCUUACAUAUAAUUAAAUUUUAUGCCAAUUCAUUUCAGUGAUGAAAUUAUAUAAAUCUUUUGUAGAUGGUGGUAGAAAAUUGGAGUUGACCCACUUGGAAGAGCUUAAUUUAGAUGGAAAUCACUUCAAUACUAGUGUAUUUGCAUCCCUUAACAAGCUUUCAAAUUUGAAAUCUUUGAGCAUAAGUGGGAACCAAUUGAAAGGAUCAAUAGAUAUGAAAGGUAAAUAUAUUAGUCUUUUUAACAAGAAUAUAAUAAUGUUUGAAGAGAAUAUAAUGAAGUUGAUUUGUUGUUUUUGUUUUCCUAGAUUUGGAAGCAUUUAUCAACUUAAGGGAACUAGAUAUGAGCGGCAAUGAAUUGAAAGAUUUGGUGAUCCACCAAGGUAUCAUUUAAUUAAACUUCCUUUUUUUUUUAAAUUUAGAAAUUUAGUUUUGAUGUCAAAUAUUAUAAUAACGGUUAUUGUCAUAAAUAUUAAUAAAGUAAUAUCAUAUCAUACUUGAAAGUAAAAUAUGGGUUUGGUGAAACAUUUUCUAAAUCAUCCAUUAUAAUGUGUUUGGACUUUGGUUUGAAACUAAAAUUCUUUAAAAUUUUCAUCAUUUUAAAAUAUUAAUGUUUAUAAUUAUUUUGUUUGUAUAAAUAUAUUUUUUAAAAUAAUUUAUUGAAUUUUUAUGAGAUAAAAAAUAAUUAUAACAAUAAAAAAUGAUAUUAUAAAUAAAUAAAAACAUAUAUUUAUGAGAAAAUAUGUAAUAUAACUAUAUUUUAAUUUCAUAUAUUUUUAAUAGUAUAAAACAUAAAAAUACAUAUUAGCGUUAAAUAAAUGGCAUUUUUUGGCAAAAAUAAAUAAAUGUCAAUUUUGAAUAAUUUAAAAAAAAUCUUUAAUUUUGUGAAAUUUAAGCAUACAUCGAGAGGUGCUUAAACUUCCAUUGCAAUCUUUUUAUAAAUUUCAAAGUGCAUAUGUUUUUAACUUUUUGGUUUAAAAAAAUAUGAUAGGUCUACGUACUCUUUACUAAUUUGUAAUUUAAUUCUUAUACUUUUAUUUUCAAGAAUUUAAUCCCUGUUUUUUUAUAAAAAAAAUCAAAAUCCUAGUUCAAUUGUUAAAAUUGUUAAAAUUUUAAAAUAGUUUGUUGGUGUGACAUUUUGAAAUAAAAAAAAAAACUUAGUAGUAAUGUAACUAAAAAAAUGACGUAAUGAACAUGGAUUUAAUAAAAUAAUUUUAACAAUAUUAAUAAAAUAAUUUUGAAUUUUGAAUUUUAACUUAACUCUAUUUUUGGGCCAAGAUUUAAUGCUUUAAAAUUUUCAUUUAAUCCGCUGAGUUUACUUAUAAUUCUUUUGAGUUUUAUUUAUUGGUGAGUAAAAUACCUAUUUGAUUUUUUUAUAUACUAUUGGCAUCUUUAAAGGUAAUAUAAUAAUUUUAGUGUAGACGUGUUUUAUUUUAUAAAUAUUAUUUAUAGUGUAGACAUGUGAAUUUUGAAUAAUUUAAAAAUAUCUUCAAUUUUAUGAAAUUUAAACAUACAUUUAGUGUAGACAUGUUUUAUUUUAUAAAUAUUAUUUAUAGUGUUGUUGAUUGGAGUUUGAAAAUUAUACAACUUAGCUAUAUCAGUUAAUUACUUAUAUUAAAAAAUAAUAUAAGAAAAUACUAAAAAGAAAAAAAAUAGUAUAAUUAAUAAAAUGGAUGAAGAGUUAUAUUAAAGUUUCAACAUCUUCUCUCUAUCAAAAUUUAUCUCAGAUAAAUCAUGAAUAAUCUAACUCAUAAAAAAUAUAUAUAUAUUUAUAUACUUCAUUUCAUUCACAGAAAAUAAAGCAUUCUACUUAGUAGAGGCUUUCUAUAAUACCGUUAUCUAAUACCUCUUGACAUUGCUUAGAUUCAAAUGUGUCGAGCAGUUUGGAGGAAAUAUAUCUUGACUAUUCUACUCUCAACACCAACAUUUUGCAAAGCAUUGGAGUAUUCGCUUCUCUUAAAACAUUGUCUUUAUAUCAUUGUGGACUUAUUGGUCCCUUACCUAAUCAAGGUAAAUAAUUUUAUGGCUCAAUUUGAUUUCUUUAUGAACUUUCUGUAAUAUAUUAUCUCCUAUUCUGUUUUAUAAAGCAAAAUUUAAUUGAAACUUCUUCCAUGAAUUUAUUUAUAAAAUUUUCAGGAUGGUGUGAUCUAAGGAACCUUGAAGUGUUGGAUGUGAGUGGGAAUGCACUUGAGGGGAUGCUUCCUCAUUGUUUUAGUAACUUGACAUCUCUUCGUGAGUUAUAUAUUUCAAGAAACCAUUUUCAAAUUCCGCUGUCAUUUGCACCAUUUGCAAACCUUUCAAACCUCAAAUCCCUUUGGAUUAAUGAAAACAAGAUGGUAAUGGAACCUUCCUUUUAUACCUCAAUCCCAAAGUUCCAAUUGGAAGUCAUCAGUUUGCUAAAGUGCAUAACAUCUCAACAACUCAGUCGUAAAGUUCCUACCUUCCUUUACUACCAAUAUGACUUGAGAUAUGUGGAUCUUUCGCAUAACAAUUUCAGCGGAACAGUCCCAACUUGGUUGUUAGAAAACAACACAAAAUUAAAAGUUCUUAUCUUGAAGGGUAAUUCUUUUACUGGUCCUCUCUCA